rnacentral:lncRNA from 1 species
AAGCCGAUGAUGGGAUGAAGGUGAAAGCAGUAACCAUCUGCCAUCUAGACACAUCAGAAUGGGACCCAGAGCAUUUGUCCUUCCAAAUCCUCAACGUUAAGCCCGGAACCACUCCCAUCUGCCAUUUCCUUACCACUGAUGCUAUUGCCUGGGUUCCAAAACACAAAUCUGCAUGAUCAUCACUUAGCACUGUACGUGUAAUAAGCUUGGUCGGGUUGCACCCUAGGCCUGCAUAAUUAUCUCCCUACUUAUUUCUGCCUCUUCAUCAUGCGGUGUAAGAUAUAUGAUGAGAUGAAGUUUUCUCUUGUAACUAUGUAGACUACUUCAACUUGUACUCAUAAUAAAGCACGCUGUUGGGGGGUUCUACUUAAUUUCGUUCUCUCCAAUGUUUGAGUGUUGAAUUGUUACGUUGGAAUAGGCUGCUAAUGCAUGUAGUUAGAGAAGCCUUCAUUUAUAUCAAAGUCCUCAAACUAUCAAGAAUUAAUGUAUCCAGAAACAUAUACCAAGACGCAAAACAACAUAUUUUCCAUUCUCUGUCUGUAACACCAAAGCAAACUUCCUUUAUCACAUCAUUUAAAGGAUCAAAUUCCAGUACUAAUCUAAUCCAUCAUGUAAAGCAUACAAGUGCCUACCUAAAUUUGUCCAUUGGAUAUAUAUGUCACUUUUUAUUUUUUGAUAGAGAUAUAAAUGUUGAAAAAAUUAGAGUACACAACUCUUAUAGACACUACUACGAUUUACUAUUUGCGCGACGGAAGUUUGCGCGACGAACAUUGUUUCGUCGCGCAAAAAGCACUAUUGCGACGAAAAAAAAAUACCGUAGCGCAAACAACAUAACACAAGCGCGACAAACAGUUUCGUCGCGCAAACAAUCUAUGCGCGACCAAUAUUAAUUUCGUCGCGCAAAGGUAGGGGAAAAAAACCCGGUUUUUUUUUUUUGGCGCCAUAAUCUUGCGCGACAACAACAAUCGUCGCGCAUGACAAUAUUGCGCGACAAUUCAAAGAAUUCGUCAGGUAAAGAUGGACAGAAAAUUGUCUCAUUUUUUUGGCGGUAAAAAACUUUGCGCGACGAAAUUUUUCGUCUCAAAAGACAACUUAGCGCGACGGAAAUAUGUACCGUCGCGUAAAAAAACGAGGGAUACUUAUUUUUGGCGCCAAAAUGCAGGGUGGAUAAAAAAAAUUUUGCGCGACGGAAUUACCUUCGUCGCGUAAAGUGUAAUGCCGGUGCUUUCUUGCGCGACGAAAUAAAUAAUUUGCGCGACGUAAUUUAAACCUUGCGCGACGAAAAGUAUUAUUUGCGCGACGAAAUUUUGUGCGACGAAUAAUAUGUUUCGUCGCACAAAAAAGCAGAUGUCGACAGGUAAUUGCGCGACGGAAAUGUUGUUUUGUGCGAUGGAAAAGUGGGUUUUCGCGACGGCAUUUUGCGCGACGGAUAUUGGUGUUCGUCGCGCAAAGUCCUUCUUCUUCAUAUUAGUAUCUGCCAUUGCAGAGGCAGAAUGCAGAAAUUGCAUUCUGCCUCUCUCUCACUCUCCCUGCCGCUGCUCUGCUGUGAAUUCAAUACGUUCAUUGGGUAUGUAUUUUUUGUCGUUAGUUUAAAUGUAUUAAUGUAAAUUCGUAGUAACGCUAUUAAUUUUGUUAUCGUUAGGGAUAUUUGUGAUUAGUGAUUGGUGGAGAACGAUUGAGAAGGUAUGUUAUUGUAAAAGUUUGUUUGUUAUGUUUGUAAUUUUUUUGUGAAGUUAUAUGUAUAUAAUGUUGUGAAAUUGUGCGUGACAUAGCACAAUGUGUUGUGAUGUACGAAGUUAAUUGAAAUUAACUUCGUACUUUUAUUUUUAUGUUUAGUAACACGUAGUUUCCCGUUCGAGAUUAGUUGGAUUUCGUGCAUGGAUGAGUAAUGCAUGACUGCGGUCCAAUUAAUUCUUGAAUUGUCCCAUUAUUUGGACAGUUUGGUAAUGCAUAGUGUUGUCACAUAAUCUUCGGCUACAGGAUUAGGUUUCGAUUGUGGAGAUUUCGGUGUCAUCUCGGUACGUUCUUCGAGUGGUACGUAGGUAUUUAUACCUAUGCCCACUUCAAGAACUGUGUCGAGAUGCUGCCGAAAUUAAUCCACGUCGAAAUCUAAUCUCAUGUAGCCGUAGGUUACGUGACAGGACUAUGCAUUCCCGAAUGGGAUAGGGCCCUUACCGGAGGCAUAAGGUGACAUUAUAACUUCGUAUGAAGUUGUUGUGAUUGUUGUGUCGUGAUUGUGGUUUCAUGAAUUAUGAGCAGAAGGUGGAUACAUAACCCGAAUAGAUGCGCAGACGAAUACUUGGAUGGAAUCGAGGAUUUUAUUGAGUUUGCACAUAGACACAACCCGGGUGCAAGUAGAAUCCGUUGUCCUUGUAGGAGGUGUAACAACACGUUGUGGGAGACAAUUGAAAAUGUUGGAUUUCAUUUAGUAAGGAAUGGAAUGAUUGAAACAUAUAGCAUUUGGAACCUUCACGGCGAACAUGUAGGCCAUGCUUCGUCUUCAAAUGCCCCAAGAGUGGACAAUGUUGAACCUAUUGUGGAUCCUAAUGAUCAAGUCAUGGGUAUUAUACAGGAUGCUUUUCCAUUCGCAUCGACCAACAUCAAUCAGGAAGGGGAAGAUAACGUGCCUACACCAAUAGACAGUGCGGAGUUUGAACAGUAUGAAAAACUGUUAAAAAAUGCCAACCAAGAGUUAUACCCGGGGUACGAGAGCUUUUCCGUUCUCACUUCUAUUGUGGAGCUAAUGCACGGAAAAAUAAAGUAUCGUAUGUCGAACUUGUGUUUCGAUUACUUUUUGGGGGUUUUCAAGAGAAUGCUUCCGACGGAUAAUUAUUUGCCGAAAGACCAGAAACAUGCACAGAAGGUGUUGCAUGGUCUUGGAUUGGGUUAUGAAAAAAUCCACGCUUGCAAAAACAAUUGCAUGUUAUUCUACAAAGAGCAUGAAACGUUGGAUACAUGCCCUAUAUGCAAUGAGUCGAGGUUCAAAAUGACAUCCCAGAAUAGAACGACUAAGAUACCACAAAAAGUCAUGCGUUAUCUGCCCCUUAAACCUGGGUUGCAGCGAUUGUAUAUGUCGACGCAUACUGCCACAGACAUGAGAUGGCAUAAGGAAAAACGGGUAGACGAUGAUGUGAUGCGGCAUCCUGCAGAUGGGGAGGCAUGGAAAGAGUUCGAUCGAACGUUCCCCGAGUUUGCUGCUGAUCCCCGAAAUGUAAGAUUGGGACUUGCCACUGACGGAUUCAAUCCGUAUGGGGUUCUAAACCAACACCACAGCACUUGGCCGAUUUUCGCAUUCCCAUAUAAUUUGCCGCCUUGGAAAUGCAUGAAAAAAGAAUACAUGAUGAUGACUGUUUUGAUAACUGAGGAUCCUGGCAGGUCAAUUGAUGUGUACUUAAGGCCUCUGGUUGAUGAGCUGAAAGAUUUAUGGACAAACGGUGUUCGCACGUACGAUAAAUCAACUGGGAGGAUGUUCACUUUGCGAGCAGCAAUUAUGUGGACUGUGAAUGAUUUUCCAGCAUAUGCAAUGGUUUCUGGGUGGAGCACAAAAGGUUAUAUGGCAUGUCAUGUAUGCAAGGAAGAUGUAACUUCUGGUUGGCACGCGGGAAAAGUUUGUUACCUUGGUCAUCGGAGAUGGUUGCCAUGGGACCACGAGUGGCGAGAAAAAGAUAAAGAGUUCAACGGGAACACAGAGCGUCGCCUCAGACCUGGAGAAUGGUCCGGUGAUGAGAUCUUGGAACAGCUGAACCGUUUGGAUUUUGGUCCGUUCGGAAAAACAAUUAGUCGGACCAGACCUUCUACACAUUUGAACUGGACGCACAAGCCUAUGUUUUUUGAGCUCCCAUAUUGGUCGAAACUGAAAUUGAGGCACAAUCUAGAUGUGAUGCAUGUUGAGAAAAAUGUAUUCGACACAUUGGUGGGCACGAUUCUAGAUAUCGAGGGGAAGACGAAGGACACGAUCAAAGCUCGUCUUGAUUUGGAAAGAAUGGGCAUACGAAGGGGUUUAUGGAUGAAUAGGGACAGUGAUAAAGCUAGAAGGGAUCUUGCAUUCUUUUCUAUGAAACCGAAUGACAAAAAGGAGUUUCUAAAGUUUGUAUCGUCUGUCAAAUUUCCCGAUGGGUAUGCUUCUAAUAUCGCACGUUGCGUGAAUGUCGAUGGGGGUAAAUUUACUGGACUUAAGAGCCAUGACUGCCAUGUUCCUGUGGGUAUUCGACACCUACUGCCGGAAGAUGUGGUGAAGCCAAUCAUGUUGUUAUCCAGAUUUUUUUCCCAACUGACGGCAAAAACAUUGCGAAGGACAGACAUGUUUCAGUUGCGCCAUGACAUUGUCCAAGUCCUAUGCAAGUUUGAGAUGAUAUUUCCUCCGGCUUUCUUUACAAGUAUGAUGCACGUAAUGGUUCACUUGCCAGAAGAGGCAUUGCUUGCUGGUCCUGUCAACUAUCGCUGGAUGUAUCCAAUAGAAAGGUAUAUAAUCUUUAUCAUUUGUGUAUGCAUCAUUAUCGACACUUUGCUAAUUUGUAUCAUAUCGUUUUAUUUUGGCAGGCUUCUCGGAGAGCUGAAAAAAAGUGUACGCAACAGGGCAAAGCCCGAAGGAUUAAUUAUAGAGGCUUGGGUUCAAUAUGAGUCGCUUACUUUCUGUGGAAUGUAUUUAAAAGAUGUGGAGACGGUUUUCAAUCGUCCUCAACGCAAUAAUGACGGAGGUAUGAGAAAUGAAAAACUUUUUGUUUUUGCCCAAAGCGCAUGACCAUUUGGAGAUCCUGGACGAGGAGAGUCGUUUUCUAGAAAUGACAUGGAGGUAGCGCAUUGGUUCGUACUGAACAAUUGUGAUGAGAUAAUGGCCUACUUAGAUGAGCAUGAACAGAUGAUGAAGCGAGAACAUCCAUCACAUUUGGUUGCCCGGAAACAUCGUGAAUUAUUUCCACAAUGGUUUUUGGAUUCUGUAAGUUAUAACUGUUUUGUAAUUGACAAAUAUAAAUUGUAGUAUUUAAUUUUGUCAGACUAACAUGUAAAUGAUUUUGUAUACUAUUAGGUGAAUAAAUUGAAAUCAUCGAAUUCCCCCACUUACAGUGAUGAGUUAUAUAACUUGGCGUUCGGCCCAAUUCGUGCUGAGUUGUUCUCGGGUUGUAAUGUUAACGGCGUCAAAUUUUUGGGGGCCGCACGAGAUGACAAGUUGUGUAUGCAAAACAGCGGUGUCCAUGUCCCAGGUGGAGGCGAAAGUACGGACAUUGAUUUCUAUGGCAAACUGACAACUGUCGUGCAAUUGCUUUAGAAAGAUCGAUACCAAGUCAUCAUGUUUAAGUGUCGAUGGUUCGAUACCAACCCAAAUAGGGCGGGAAGUGUUAAAAUCGACCAUGGAGUACUGUUUGUGAACAUGGCGUCCCAAAUUGUGUAUCUAGAUGACCCUAAAGCCGGGAGCGGGUGAAAAGUUGUGCAGAAGAUGGAUCAUAGGAACGUGUAUGAUAUACCAGAACUAGACCCAAGUGACAACGACGUCGACAAUGUGGCUGACCAACGUUUAGAAUCUUCAAUGGAAAAUGAUGCGGAAACACUUCGAGAUACAAAUGUUAUACAAGAACCGUUUCAAAUAGAAGGAGUGUCUUCAGUAGAAAUACCGAUUCAGUCAAUUACAAUUGACCUCGGUGAUCUUCCCCGAUACGAUGUUGCAGUGGGUCCUAGCAACGCCGAUGAUGCAGUUAUAGAGGAGGAGGAGGAAGAAGAUUGGGAGACCGAGAGUGAUGAUAGCGAUGAUAACGAAAGUUAUUAUAGUUCAGAUGAUGAAUAAUGAAUUUAUUUGUAAAGUUAUUAUGUUAGUGUAUUCAUUUUGUGUAAUACAAAUCUUUGAAUAUAUGUAGUUGUCCAUAUGUAGUUGUGUAUUCAUUCUCCAUAUUUCAUCACAAACUUCAUUGGAAUGUCAAUACUUUAGUCAAUACUUAUUACGACCCCAUGCUUGUCGAUUGGUUUUUAUUUAUUUAUUUAUUAAUGUCUUUAACUCUUCAAUUAUUAUUUUUUUCUUUUGAGAUAUAGUUAUUUCUUCAUGUUUAAACAAAAAAUAUAAGUUAUUUCUCCAAUAUUAUCUGUGUGCCACUUAUUUUUCUUCACUUUGGUUCAUGAUUAGUGGCAUCAAUCUAGUCAAACCGAUAAAAUCGGUCGAUUCAAAUCUUAAUUAUCAAUUUAGUUUGGUUUUGAUGAAGAAAUACAAAGCCUUUCCAAAAAAUACAGAGCAUAAAAAAUGAUGAAUACAAAACCUUUCCAAAAAAUACAAAGCAUACACAAUUUGAAUUAAAUGAGGAUUUAUGGCGCCAAAUCCUUGCGCAACGAUAAGGAGCCCUUCGUCGCGCAAAUAUAUAUUAGGUAACGUUAUAGUAUAAUAUAUACCCACAUAUAUAUUUAAAAUUGGCGAUCGAAGUAGUUCAUUGUAUUCAUAUGAAGUGUAGGACUGUAGCUGCAAAAAAUCAUCAACAUCGGAGUUAAAAUAACCGUUCAAUCAUCACUUUUUAUUUAGAACCGUCGAAAAGUUUUACCCCGUUACUUAAUCUCUGAAUGUUUUUUUUGUCUGAUUUUUGCUGUCUAUGAUCUCGAAGUAUAACAAAACAAGUUUGACGGCUGGAUGACUGAAGCUAGUUUCGUAGACUGCGUGUGCUAUCAAAAUCAUAUAUUCACCAAAAACUCAAAAAUUUGUUCAUACAUUUGUGAAAAUGUAACUUAAUGUUUAUGUGGUAUCCCCUAGUGUAAAAAUAUGAAAUUGAAGAUCAAAUUCAGUCAUUGUAUUCAUAUAGGGUCAACAAAUGUUGCUGUAAAAAAUGAUCAAAAUCGGAGUUAAAAUAACCGUUAAAUCAUGACUUUUCAUUUAUAACCGUCAAAAUAUUUUGUCCUGUUCCCUGAUAUCUGAAUGUUUGGUCGUUUUGAUUUUUGGCGUAUACGAUCUCCAAGUAUAAACAAAUAAGUUUGCCGGUUGGAUCAUUGAAACUAUUUUAGGGUUUAGGGUUUAGGGCUUAGGGCUUAGGGUUUAGGGUUUACAUUUUAGGGUUUAGGUUUUGCGCGACGAAUAAACAUUCCUUUCGUCGCACAAAGUGAAAGUGACAAAGAUUGCGCGACGGAUAAGUCUUCCAUUCGUCGCGUAAUCUGGGACACACAUUUCACCCCUCCAUACCCUUUGAACACUUAGUGAAAAUUUCAACCGAAUGAAAUUCUUGAACCCGCGCGACGAACAAAGCAAAUACGUCGCGUAAAGUGGACGUGAACAAGAUUGCGCGACGGAUAAAUCUGGUAUUCGUCGCGCAAUCUGGGCCACACUUUCACCCUUCCAUCCCCUUUGAACACUUAGUGAAAAUUUCAACCGAAUGAAAUUUUUGAACUCGCGCGACGAACAAAACAAAUACGUUGCGCAAAGUGGACGUGAACAAGAUUGUGCGACGGAUAAAUCUAAUUUUCGUCGCGCAAUCUGGGCCACGCUUUCACCCUUCCAUCCCCUUUGAACACUUAGUGAAAAUUUCAAGCGAAGCAAAAUCUUCAACUCGCGCGACGAAUAAAAGUAUUCGUCGCGCAAAAGGCACAGGCCUCUGAUUUUUGUUAGCAAACAUUGCGCGACGUUUACUGUCUUCGUCGCGCAAAAGGCACAGACCCUUCAGUUUCAGCCUCCCGCUAAACCCAAAAUUUUCCCAAAAUUUUGGCGGAACGACAGCGUUUUGCGCGACGAACAUAUGACUUUCCGUCGCACAAGGUUAACCUUGCUCGACGUUUACUAUCUUCGUCGCGCAAAAGCACAAACCCUUCAGUUUCAGCCUCCCGCUAAACCCUAAGUCCCAAAAUUUGGGCGGAACGACAUCGUUUUGCGCGACGAAUAUAUGAUUUUCCGUCGCGCAAGGAGAACCUUGCGCAACGUUUACUAUCUUCGUCGCGCAAAAUCACAGUUUCAGCCUCCCGCUAAACCCUAAAUCCCAAAAUUUUGGUGGAACAACAGCGUUUUGCGCGACGAACCAUGUAUUUUUCGUCGCGCAAAAGGCACAGACCCUAAUCCCCAUUCAAAAUUUGGCGUUCUGGGAGACCUUGCGCGACGGAUAUUUCAUCGCGCAAGAUUCAUUAAUACCAUUUUGCACGACGCAUUCUGUUCUUCGUCGCGCAAAGUCGAAUAAAUUUGCAGAAACGGCCCGAUGCCUCCUUCUUCCCCAUUUUCUGGUUUCUCUCCGUUUCUUCCUCUCUCUCCGCCGUCACCUUAGCCCUCUCUCUCUGCCAUCACCUCAGCCACCUCCGCUCGUUCCGUAGCCUCCCUGCCGUCACCGUCGAGCCUGCCGUCGCAAUUUCGUCAGUUUUUCCCGAUUCUUCGCCGGCCGAUUUCUCUCUCCUCCGGCCACCAUUUUCGACGCCUAAGGUAUGAUUUCUCGACUAUUUUUUGUGCUCUAGCUGAUGGUUGGUUAGGAUUUCUUGAAUUUUCGCUAUAGGAAAUAGGAAUUAAAACCCUAGGUUUUGGCCGCUUUGGGAAUUUCAAAUCCGGCCACUUCCGGCCAUUUUUCGGGGUAGGUCCGAGAACAAAAGUGGCUCCAAUUAAUGUUUUCAACCUAGGGUAGGAACCUUGGCCCUUAGUUUUUAGAAUUUUCCGACGAAUGUUAUCGCUUUGGACACCCACGCGCUGCCGGCGCGUGUGGUGGCGCGUGGGAUGUUGUGGCAGUGGGGCAUUGGGUCCCAGAGCAAUCCCCUGUUUGUCACGAGCGCGUAGGUUUGCUCGGAUUUGAAUUUGGUUAUCGUUUGAGUCUUGAUCGGAUUUCGGCUAUUGUGCGAUUUCCAGGUUUGAUAUGUUCGGACCGUUGGAUCGAACUCAAACUCACGUAGUUGUACCUUUGUGUUUCUACGAUCGUUUAGGAUUCGACCGAUCGUUGAUCGGUGUCCCGGAUACUUCGAAAUUCCAAACCCUAGGUGAAGCUAUGCUUUUAAUUAAUUAGUUUAAAUUCUUAAUGAAAUUAUAUGUGCAGAUGUCAGAUUUGAUUAGACGUGGUAGGUCGAUGAUGACUGCACCGAGUUCGGAUCCCCCUGCUCAGUCGGCAUAUGCUGCCACUGCUCCAGCUUUGAUGGAGCACGUGCUGGUUGGUCCCGGGGCGUCCCAGGCGCCUGCGUCAUCUGCGUCAUCCGUCGCGCAGCCAGCUAGUGCUAGGCGGCGGCACCGGCCCGCCGACACGACAUCGACCGACGGUACUGGUGCCUCGGGAUCACAGCCAGAUAUAACUACCAUUUUGUAUUGUUAAUUUUAUAUUGAAAUUUGACAAUGUUGUUUAUUUAACAUUAAUAUCUUUUUUCUUUGCAGCGAAGAAGAACACCUGAGGGCCGUGUCGUCAGCUGAAGACGGCGAAGGUCACCCGGGUGACCAACAGUCGUAUCAGCAUCGGAUACGACGAGCGCCAUCGGGCUGCACCGACGGCGGAGUUGCAUAGCUCCUUGGCCCACGACAUUGGCCACGUCGUGCGGACCCAUUGCCUGAUGCAAUGGAAGUCUUGGAGGGUCAUGCCUGACGAGAUCAAGGUGGAGGUUCGCGGCCAGUUGUCGGUAUGUACCUUACAUUUUCAUUAAUUUUCUUUAAAAUUGUGUAUAUUUCUAUUACUUAACGUAUCUAAUUAAUUGAUUGCAGACGAACUAUAACUUGGAGGAUCUCGACGAAGAGUCGUUGGCGUACGUCAACAGACUCUUCGCUGAGAGGUACAAGCAGUGGAAGAGCGACUUGCACCAUCAUUUUCAGGCCUUUGAUGAUCCGCAAGUCGCUCUUCAGGAGGGUUGCCCGAAGGAGCUUGAGGGGCGGGAGGAUAGUUGGGAGUGGCUCUGCGCUCAUUUUCAAGCGUCCGAAUAUGUGGUAUUUUUUUAAUAAUAUUUGUUUAAUUAUUACUUAUUUCUUAUUAAUGUUUAUUUCAUUUUUUUUAUUUCAUUAUUAUUUAAUUUGUUAUGUUUUAACUAAUACGUUUCAUUUUUUGUAUAACAGAAUAAGGCCCAAGUGAAUAAGGGUAAUAGGAAGAAGAAGACCCUUCUCCACCAUUCCGGCUCCAGGCCCUUUUCGUAUAGGAUGGAUGCCCGGCGACGGGUAAUAAUCACAUAAUUUAUAUUUCAUUUUUAAUGUCAUUUUUAUUAAUUUAUUUUUUUCAUACUAAUAUUUUUCUUCUCUUGUUCAAUUUAGGAGGGGUCCAAGUUCCCAGAGAUCGACGUCUUUGGUGACGUUUAUGUUCGACCCGGGAAUGAGUUGGCCGAGUCCCUUCAUGUAAGUAUUAUUUAAUUUUAAUUCUUAUGUUACGCAUUCAAUUUAUAUGCAUGUUUAAAUUUAUAUUUUAUGUUAUGUUCAACAGACGACGAUGGUGGAGAGGAGCCAGUUGGUUCUUCAGGAGUCCGCCUCCCAGCUUCCUCCCGAGACUCCGAUCGAGUCUGUGGCUCCUCCACAGGAUGCUGGAUUUCAGAUCUUGACGGAGACGUUGGAUCAGACUCUCGGGAGGAGGCCGGGGACAUAUUGUCGAGGGAUGGGGAAUGCCCGGCGGAGGGAACCUAGACCUCGUUCAUCGGCCCAGUCAAACAGUCAGGUGACUGCUUUGACAGCACAGGUGGCCGAGCUUCAGGGUCAGAUGUCGGUGAUUCUACAGUCCCUCGCACAGAGCGGCUUUCCAAUCCCGCAGUUUCGUGCGUCAACCUCCCAGCCCGUCCACCCCGAGUAUGCCCACCAGACCACUGCCCCGGUGGACGCCCAGACCUCCGAGCCGCAUACUGGCGACGACCCGAUUGAUUUUGCUUCAUUAUUUGAUUAGUGUAUUUAUUUUCAUCAUAAACAUUUAUUUUAUUUGUAAUACAUUUAUUUUAUUUUAUAACAAAAUUUUGUUCUAAUUUAUUUUUAUUGCAAUUUCAUUGUUUAAUCAAUAAAAAAACCAAUUUUAUUUAAAAAAAAUAAAAAUAAAUAAAAAACAAAAACAAAAAAAACAAAAAAAAAUUGUAAUAUUAUUUUUGCGCGACGGAAGACAUUUCGUCGCGCAAAACCACAUGUAACAAAAAAAAUUAAAAAAAUCAAUUUUUUAUUACUUUAAUUCUUGCGCGACGAAUACAUACGUCUCGCAAACAUUUUUUGCGCGACGAAAUGUUUCGUCGCGCAACAGCUUUUGCGCGACGACUGAAAUUUUCGUCGCCAAAUAGAUGAGCGACGAAAACUUUCUCAUCGCGCGAAUAGUUCUGCGACGAAUAUAUACGUCUCCCGGACUAGUUUUGCGCGACGAAUUAUUUUCGUCGCGCUAUUCGUUUCGUCGCGCAAAUAUACGUGCGCCGAAUACUUUAUCGUCGCGCAAAUAUUUAUGCGACGAACAGUUGUUUCGUCUCCACACCGUUGGUGCAACGAUGGUUUACCCGUCGCACAAUUAUGCGCGACGAAGUGUUGUACCUCGUCGCGCAAAGGCUUUCUUCACGAUCUUCGCGCGACGGAAGGUGCGCGACGAAUUUUUUGUCGCGCUGAAAUUAGGGCGACUAAAUAAGACUUUGCGCGACGUUUUGUUAUUCGUCGCGCAAAGAGUAAAAUGUAGUAGUGAGACUUGUUGGAGACAAAACAGGUAAACAAAUUACUUGUAUUAGACUCACAAAAUAUUACAACAAGACAACUCUCAAAGAAAAGACAAACUCUCACACUUCUCACAAGGACUACUUAACUUUAUAGCUUAUUGCAUAUAGCAUAUGCAAACACAAUUAGAACAUACCUACGUACACUAUGGGAACACUCGUGUAUAUUUCAACACAAGAAAACAUGUGCACCGUGCACGGUUCACAUGAAGUAAGAAAUGAAGAGGAAAUAAAGAAGAAGAAUACAAAAGAAAAUGGAGAUGAGAAAAAAAAAAAAACCGAAUAAUGAAAAAUGAAUUGACAAUUAUAUAUGGUUGACAUUAGAUCUAAUAUUAUAUGUAACAACUAUUGAUCUAAAAUAAACAUUAAAUCAAACAAUAAUUAAAAGAUUUGACAAUAUAAAAAUUUAUUGAGGACAAAAAAAGGCAAAAACUUAUGAAAAAUGGAAACAAUAAAUAUGAACUGAGUCAUCAACUCACCAUGGUAAGUUUGCUGACGUAUAAAAAUAGUCAAUGGACAUCGAAAAGUAAUUGGCUUACAUCAAAAAUUAAAAUCACGUGGGUUAUUCCUAAGAAACCUUAAUAUUUGCCUUCCAUUUGUUCCAGCAAAAUAAAAGUCAUUGCUACUUAUUGUAACCCCUUUUCCAAGCUUAUUAAUCAAAGUAGACACCUCACUGCUGUCACCUAGCCAAUUUUCAACAAUGUCAUACUUAACAAGCAACUCCACAUCCUUUGAGGUGUUCACAAAACGAUCCAUGAGACUAACAUAAUCACUUAUGUACGUCUCCUCGUAGUGGCAUUGUUCAAAUGCGAUGAGAUUUCUAAUUAAUACCUCUGUAUGAUCGCUUAUUUUCAAUCUUGGAAUUUCAAGAGUCCGGCCAGCAAAUCUAAUAAGGUAUUCAUUGAUCCCUCAUUCAACUUGAACCCUGCCCUGUGUAGCUCUGUGAUGCUGGGUGUGUUUAUAGUUAUGAGUUUCCCGUCAUUAGUUUUUAGGGUUAUUCGUUAUAUGAGUCCCUGAACUUAGACCCGAUUUGCAUUUUAGUCCCUCAAUUUCCAAAAUCGUUCCAGUGGUCCUUCAACUUUAGUUUCGUUAGGACAAAUGGUCCUGCCGUCAAAUGAUUAUAAAGUGGAAAAAACAAGAACAAAAAAGGAAGUGAGUUAAAUUUGCACCUGCUAUGUUCAAACGACAAAGUUCGUUUCCGUUUGGUCGAUUACAAGAGAAGCUCAAUGCAGCUUACUUGGUUCCUCUUGGUAGAUGGAAAUAUAAUUUUUCUCCUAAUAACAAAGGUUUAGUGCAAUCAAUGAUGGGCUGUAUAGAACAACUUUUUUGUUUUAUAUGUUUAUGUGAGACAAGUUUUGCCAGAUUGAAUUAAUGUCUUCUAGCUAUGUACCUUAUCUUUUUGCCGGGCCAUGAGUUGAAUGUAGAGGCAGAGCAUGGCCUUGGGUUUGUAAAAGACAAAAGACUGAACCAGACGUAAUUAUUUAGAUUUUGGAUCCAGUUCCACAUCCCAAAGAGAAAACCACAAGUUUGCAAGCAAGUUUGUCCAUAUUAACACUACGUAGAGUAUAGGCAGUGUGCUACUCAUCUCACUUUCUCAACCUACCCUAUAUUUGUCUAAAAGAGUUUCUAAUUUCGUGUACUGAUUCACUACUACAUUUUACACUUUGUGCGACGAAGAGAAUUUCGUCACGCAAAAUACAUUGGUCGCGCAAAGUUUAAAAAAAAUUUUAAAAAAAUAAAAAAUUCCCGCGUCCAAUUUUUGGUACUUGUCCAAAUUUUUUGAGUUUUGCGCGACGAAUACUAACAUCGCGCAAAUAUUUGCGCGACGAAAUAUUUUUUGUUUUAAAUUUUUUUAAUUUAAAAUAAACUAAUUUAAUAGUUUGCGCUACGAAAUAUUUUGUCGCGCAAGGUUUUUGACUUUUUGUUUUAUUAUUUCUUUAAUAUGAAUUUAUUUAUAUGAAUUUUUUGAAAUUUUUACUUUUUAAAUUUAAUUUAAUUGUAUGAUUUCUUUUUAAAAUUACUUUAAUUUAAAUUGAUAUUAAUUUUUACUUUUUAAAUUUAAUUUAAUUGUAUGAUUUUUUUUAAUUACUUUAAUUUAAAUUGACAUAUUCAAAAUAAAAUUACAUAUGAAAAAUAGUGAUUAAAUUAUCCAAUAAAUAUAUAUAUAUAUAUAAUAUUCAAAAUGUACACAUAAAUUAACAAAGCACAAUAAUAAAAUCCUAAUACAAGCGUAUUGUGGUGGUAGUGUCGGAGGAUAUGUUUUGAUAGCUUCCUAAUCCUCAACUUUAGCCGUCAAAGUCUCGAUGAUUCCCUACAAAAAAAAUAAAUAUGGUCAAAUAACCACAAACAAAAAAAAAAAAAAAAAAAAAGGCAUAAUCUCCCCUAAAAUUGUUAUACCACAAAUCCAACCCAAACUCCAAUCCCUCCCCUUUACUCAACCCCAAAACCCACACAAACUCAAAAUUAACUCCAAAAACACAUAUUAAUGAAAAAAAUUUAAAAUUUGGAGAGAAUAUACCUUUUGGCAAGAUUGAGAGUGAAUGAGAGGGAGAAGUGAGUGUGAGAGAAUUAGAGAAGAUAGUGAUAGAGAGAUGAGAGAGAUGAGAGAGUGAGUGAGAGAGAGUGAGAGAUAGUGAAGAGAGAGAUGAGAGAUUAAGUGAGAGGAGUGAGUGAGAGAAAUGGUGGGAUUUGGGGAGAGGGAAAGAGAAAGGAGAGGUAAGAGUAGAGAAAGGCAUUGAGAAAAUGGUGGAUGAGUUAUUUCGGUUUUAAAAACCGUAUCACUUUGCGUGACGAAAAAUAUUGUUGGUCGCGCAAAGGUUUGCGCGACGAAAAAUAUUGGAAUAUUGAUCGCGCAAACUUUUGAGCGACGAAACAUAUUGGUCGCGCAAAGUCUAAAAAAAUUAUUUAAAAAAAAUAAAAAUCCCCGCGUCCCAUUUUUGGUACCCGCCAAAAUUUUUAAAUUUUUGCGCGACGAAUAUAGGAAUAUUGAUCGCGCAAAGUCUAAAAAAAUUAUUUAAAAAAAUAAAAAUCCCCGCGUCCCAUUUUUGGUACCCGCCAAAAUUUUUAAAUUUUUGCGCGACGAAUAUAGGAAUAUUGGUCGCGCAAAGUCUAAAAAAAUUAUUUAAAAAAAUAAAAAUCCCCGCGUCCCAUUUUUGGUACCCGCCAAAAUUUUUCAAUUUUUGCGCGACGAAAAAUACAUAUUGGUCGCGCAAAGUCUAAAAAAAUUAUUUAAAAAAAUAAAAAUCCCCGCGUCCCAUUUUUGGUACCCGCCAAAAUUUUUAAAUUUUUGCGCGACGAAAAAUACAUACUGGUCGCGCAAAGUCUAAAAAAAUUCCCGCGUCCGAUUUUUGGUACCCGCCCAAAUUUUUGCGAGACGAAAAAUAUAUAUUGGUCGCGCAAAGUUUUGAGCGACAAAAAAUAUUGGUCGCGCAAAGUCUAAAAUUUUUUUAUUUUUUUUUUAAAAUCCAGCGUCCCAUUUUUGGUACCCGUCCAAAUUUUUAGAGUUUUGCGCGACAAACUGUUGGUUGCGCAAACUUUUGAGAGACGAAAAAUUGGUUCGUAACACAAUAUUUAUAAAAAUAAUUGUUAUGAAUAAUAAAAAUAAAAUUAUUUUAUUUUACAAUUUAAAAUAUAAAUAAGGUUAAAGCUGCUUAAGAAAUAUAUAUACUAUUCAAUUUCUUAAGUGUUAUACGUACAAAAUAAAUAAAUUUAAAGGUACUUAAUAAAUAAAUAUAUAUACACACACCAUUCAACGAUCCAACCGUCAGACUUAUUUGUAUAUACUUCAAGAUCGUAUACCCCAAAAAUCACAAAAAACAAACAUUUAGAGAUCUAGUAACGAGACAAAACUUUUCGAUGGUUAUAAAUGAAAAAUUACGAUUUAACGGUUAUUUUAACUCCGAUUUUGAUGAUUUUUUUUUACAGCUACACUCCUUGACCAUAUAUGAAUACAAUGACUGAAUUUGAUCUUCAAUUUAAAAUAUUUACACUAGUGGAUACCACAAAAUCUUAUGUUAUAUCUAACGAACGUAUAAAUAACCUCUUAAUUGUUAGUGAAUAUAUUGUUUUGAUGGCAUAUGCAUUCACCAAAACUAGUUUCAACGAUCCAACCAUCAAACUUGUUUGUUUAUACUUCGAGAUCAUAUACGCCAAAAAUCAGAAAAAAUAAACAUUCAGAGAUCAAGUAAUGGGACAAAAAUUUUCGACGGUUAUAAUGAAAAAUCACGAUUUAACGGUUAUUUUAACUCCGAUUUUGAUGAUUUUUUACAGCUACACUCCUUGACCCUAUAUGAAUACAAUGACUGAAUUUGAUCUUCAAUUUAAAAUAUUUACACUAGUGUAUACCACAAAAUCUUAUGUUAUAUUUAACGAACGUAUAAAUAAACUCUUAAUUGUUAGUGAAUAUAUUGUUUUGAUGGCAUAUGCAUUCACCAAAACUAGUUUCAACGAUCCAACCGUCAAACUUGUUUGUUUAUACUUCGAGAUCAUAUACGCCAAAAAUCGGAAAAAAUAAACAUUCAGAGAUCAAGUAAUGGGACAAAACUUUUCGACGGUUAUAAUGAAAAAUCACGAUUUAACGGUUAUUUUAACUCCGAUUUUGAUGAUUUUUUACAGCUACACUCCUUGAACCUAUAUGAAUACAAUGACUGAAUUUGAUCUUCAAUUUAAAAUAUUUACACUAGUGGAUACCACAAAAUCUUAUGUUAUAUUUAACGAACGUAUAAAUAAACUCUUAAUUGUUAGUGAAUAUAUUGUUUUGAUGGCAUAUGCAUUUACCAAAACUAGUUUCAACGAUCCAACCGUCAACCUUGUUUGUUUAUACUUCGAGAUCAUAUACGCCAAAAAUCGGAAAAAAUAAACAUUCAGAGAUCAAGUAAUGAGACAAAACUUUUCGACGGUUAUAAUGAAAAAUCACGAUUUAACGGUUAUUUUAACUCCGAUUUUGAUGAUUUUUUACAGCUACACUCCUUGACCCUAUAUGAAUACAAUGAACUAAUUCGAUCGUCAAUUUAAAAUAUAUAUUUUCUAACAAAAACCCAAUCUGAACAACAAUAAUAUAUUUUUCUAACAAAAAUCCGAUCCGAUCUAAAAUAAUAAAUUUAAAGCUACUUAAUAAAUAUAUAUACUGUUUAAUUUCUUAAGUGUUAUGCAUACAAAAUAAAAAACAAAAAUAAAUUAGUAUAGGCGACAAAAUGUUUGGAUUACGUCAUGCAAAGAUUUUAAAAUAUAUAUAUAUAUUAUUUUUAUAAGGACUUUGCGCGACGAAGUUCAUUGUUUCGUCGCGCAAAGUCACUUUGAGCGACGAUGUAUUGUUGUCGCGCAAAAGUUUGUCGCGCAAAGUUACUUUGCGCGACGAAUUUUUUUUCAUCGCUCAAAAUUUGGUCGCGCAAGACUUUGAGUGACGAUGUAUUGUCGUCGCGCAAAAGUUUGUCGCGCGAAGUGACUUUGCGCUACGAAUUGUUUUUCGUCACGCAAAAUUUGGUCGCGCAAGACUUUGAGCGACGAAGUUUUGAGUUUCGUCGCGCAAAGUGACUUUGAGCGACGAAUAGUUUUUCGUCGCGCAAAAUUUGGUCGCGCAAGGGGUUUUUUUUUACUAGUAUGAGUUUUAUAUACAAUUUAUAACAAUAUUUUCAGGCAAAAAAAUGUCUUGGCAAGAAAAUGUACAAUUUGUUACGUACUUAACUGGAACGAUUACCUUCAAAUUCCUAUGGCCAAUUACCUUCUUUUUUCUUCCUUUUUUUUUUUUUUUUUUUUUUGGUUGUUGUUGUUCUUUUGAUCAAGUUGCAUAUUCCAAAGAACGAAAACCAGUACAGGCUCUUUUCCAAUGCAAGCUCUUUUCCCAUGUUUCCCUCUGUUUUUCUCCUAUUUUUCUUAUAUGGAAGUGAUUAAAAUACACCUCUAAGCUUGUUUUGCGUUUGGUAACCGACUGUAAAAGCUCAAUGCAGAUAGUUUGAGGUAGAAUUUUCUCCAAUUUUACUAGCACAGUGAUAAGCUAUACUAUAUGUAACAACAAAUUGCUUUAAUAAUGAUAAUGAAAAAAGUGUGAUCCAUCGAAUAUUUGCGGGGUUUUGUUCCAAGUCAACACAUCAAAUUCUUUUACACCAUGAAAUUAAAAAAAAUUUAUUCAACCAUCUCGACCUUAUGCUCGAUCAUUUUGCACAAGCAACCGUCCACGUACCCCAAUAAUUUAAAAGGGCUGAUGAUCUUUAAUUUGGCGAAAGCUUCUAUCUACUUCUACCGCGCUAUAUAUGAGCUAUGCAAUUGUGACGGUGUUACAUGACGUCACAAUGUCGUAGGGAUAAAAAAAUAAUAGUCAUGGUUUCUUAUUAAUGUUAAUACAGGCAUAGCAAAAAGCUUGUAUUUCUAGUGGUUAAGAACAAUUACCCAUGCACUUGAGAUAUUAUGUGCUUAAAUCCCCUCUUCCCCAAUAUUUCUUGUAUAAAAAUAAAAAUAAAAAUAAAAAUAAUAAAGAUAUUGAUAUUGUAUUCUAUAAAGUGUUGGACAUGUUUUAUACCCCUUUACUGCAAAUUACAGUUUGACACAUGUACAAAAAUAAUAGGUAAGUGUUGGACAUCAAGAGUACUUACAUAUAGGUUUAAUAGGUAAGUUUUGAAUAUUUCUGUCUUUAGCUUUAAUUAUUGAAAAUCAACCUAUUAUCAUAUUAAAGACUUAUCCAUGUUCAACGUACAUUCUCUUAUUUUUCUCUCAUUGAAGUAAAUACAAAACUAAGCACAUAGUGGAAAAGUAGGUCACGAUUAGGGGUGGGUUUGGUCUGGGUUGGUUCAGUUUUGGGCUCAACCCGAACACCGAACCGUAGACCUCGAUUUGGCUAUUUUGGAAACCAAAACUAAACCAUAAUUAAUGAAAACCGACCACUUCAAUUACCUUCUGGUCUUCCAACCAGAAGAAAACUCAAAACUUUAACCAUACCAAGUGCAACAGAAUUACACCAGGCUGGAGUCAAGUUUAUGAUGGUUAAAGAUAAAAACUUAUUUGACAUACAAUUUGAGAAUGGAAUCCUCAAAAUUCCACACCUGCGAAUACAGGGUUAAACAGAAAUUUUCUUCCGCAAUUUUAUUGCCUAUGAGCAGUGUGAGCUCCAUGAUCAUUACAUCAACAACUAUGUCUUCGUCAUGGACCGCCUGGUCGACAGUGCCAGGGAUGUGGAAUUGCUUGUGAAGAGUGGAAUUCUUGAAUCCAUGCUACCGGACAGCGAGGCAGCAGGGGAAUUUAUUAAUUCUCUUGACUUGGGGCCUAUUUUAGGCAAGCUUGAAACAAGACUAUUUCAGUUCACCAUGGGCUGGCCUGUCUAUUAUUGUAGCCGCUAUACUAGUUGUGCUCACAUUUAUUCAAACAGUGUGCUCCGUAAUGGCGCUGUAGGUUCUUCAUUUCCUCAAUUUCAUGUUUAGUGGUUGCAGAUUUGUUGCUCAUGUACGUGUUUAUCUAAAGUUAAAUAAGAGUGAUUGACUGAUAGUCUGUUAGUUUGUUUUUCUGGGGUUUUUCCCCUGUUCGUCAAAAAAGAAAAAGAGAAAGAGUGAUUGCUUGUGCCUGUUUGGGCCUAAUUUGACACACCCAAUCCAAAAUCAAAAAGUCCAUGUCAAUUUUGGACAGCCACCAGCAUUCCCUUUGUAAUUAGGCCAAAAACUGCACACCCAACCUAGCACUGGAGCCUAGAACAAACAAGGUAAACUCAGGACCCAAGCAGUUUGAUUUUUUCAUUUAAAUUGGAAUCAAGGGCCCCAAGUCAAAAAAGCCCAAGCCCAAGGCAGAUUUUUUACCAAAAAGACCCAAGGAAGCCCAGUGCAUGCGAAUUGCUUAGCCCACAAUCCCAAAACUCAAAACUAAGUUUGGCAUGAUUAAAUAAAGAUAGAGAGAAGCCCAAAAUUGAAGAAACCCAAAACAGUUUUAUCAAAAUUGUCAGCUCUCUACCCAAGACCUAAAAAGGGUCAAAAAUACCACUAUUGGCAAAAUUGACGCACUCAGCCUUGGAUCACAAAGAAAUCCACGUGACUAUUUGACUUUGAGAAGUCAACAAUUUCAACUAGUCACAAGAGAAGUUGAUUGGAAUUAAUGUAGGCAGGUCAUUACAGAAAAGACUUCUUUGAAACUCUGUAGCCAAAAGAUCAAAAUCCCUUUCUAUAUAAUUCUGCAUCAGAGUAGGUGGUCUUUCCAAGAGAUAAGCAGACUACGUUUUCAAGAGAUAAGUAGAGAAUGAGGGAGUUGUUCAACAAGAAAAGCAAACUAACCAUCAUGAUAGGUUGUGUUCUUUCUCUCUACAAAAAACAAUAGGGAACAAAGAAGAGUUGGUUUUUCUUUCAGAAAAAGGAAGGAAAAGACCUACAUGAAAACUAAUUAUUGAUGGUUCUUCUCUGCCAGAACAGAUAACUUCUCAUUUUCUUUGACAUUUAAAAAUGAAAGGUCUCGCUUUUACAAAAUCUGCCGCCCAUUAUUUAAAGAUUAGAAAACCCACUCCAGCAUUUCCUAUAAAUAUGAGAGGAGGUGAUGUCACAUCACGGGAUUGGCUCUGCCGUAGCACGAUAUUGUCCACUUUGCGCCCCCCUCUCUACCCUCACGGUUUUAUUUUUGGGAACUCACGAGCAACUUCCCAGUGGGUCACUCAUCUUGGGAUUGCUCUAGCCCCCAGCUCGCUUAACUUCGGAGUUCCCAUGACUCCGAAGCCAAUGAGCUCCCAAAAGGCCUCGUGUUAGAUGGAGGCGGGCAUGUACAUAUAAGGCACAUCACCUCCUCUCCGUUGGUCGAUGUGGGAUGUUACAGGUGAACAUAUCAAAGGACAGCCAAAAAAUCAAUCAAAGACAAAAACUCAAAAUGAUCACUUGAUCUCAAAAGCCUUCAAAACACUGAAGCAAGCAAAGCUCAUUGAGCCACAACGAACAAGUCAGCUAGAAUUCAGAAUCUUUAGAGUCAGUUCAGUUUCAGAGAAAUAAUCAAAGAAAGCGAGAUCUCUCUCGUUACAAAUUUGGUUCAGCUUAAAGCCAAAACAAGCAGAGUUCAGGUUCUUACAAAUAUGAAAACCUCAAUAAAUUUAUGGAGAGCCCUGAUCAAGCAAAACAGGUACUACAGUGCAGUUCUAGCUUAGUAAUAAUCAAAUCCACCCACUUCUGCCCCUUCCAGAUUGAGAAGGUCCCAAUUCUGCCCAUUCAAAAAGCCUUCCAAGACUUGAAAUAGAUUAAAGCUCUGCCAAACUCAAAUGUUGGAAUCAAUUCGCAGCUGAAACAUGACAGUUGAAGGUGUUGAUAGUCCAGUCCAGCACAGACAUACCCAGUCUAGCCCAGAUCAGAAGCAUUCACCGAGGCAGAAAUUGAAGUCCAAAGCUCUUUUUGUCUUUUUAGAGUUGGUCUUCCUUUUCUGAGCUUUGUAAAAGGCAAUUCUGCCUAAAACAGUUCACUUUCUUAUCAUUUAUUCUGGCCAGAACUACCAGUUUUGUACUGUGAAAAAUUAUGAAGUCCUCACCAGUCUAAGGCAAGAAAAGAACUUACUUGGGAGAUAUUCCUCACCAAAUUCACAACCGUUUGUUUAGAAAUCAGUAACUUGGUGUAACGACCCGGUCCUAAAUAAAUUGGUAAUUAUUAAUUUAUUCAGAUAAAAGACCAUUUUGCCCAUAGAAUAUUUUAAUAGGUUUACAUGUUGACCCGGGAGGCUUCGGUGAAAUUGUUACAUCUCGGUCCGAAAAAGUGUUAAAAUAAUUAAAGUAGAGUGCUGCUAAAAGAACCCUAAAAUUAACUGAGUACACCCUAUGAUCUAAGUACACCCUAAUAUUUUAAUUAAAAUAUAAAAUUAACUAAGUACACCCUAUAAAACUAUCAAAAAUAACACUGAUACACCCUAAUACUUGUAGCAUUAUUUUAUAGUUGAUUAUUUUAAUAGUGUUUAUAAAUCUUUGACUUUUCAUAUGGAUUUAUGCUUCUACUAAAAUUGUUGCCACUUUUUUUCCAAUUCCAAGUUCUUGCAAUCACCACAUCUUUCGUUAAAAACACAAUAGGACAAGCAAUCUCUUGAUUAGGGUUGAAUAUGGUUAGUAGGGUGUACUUAUUAAUAUUAUAUUUGUUUCACAAUUCCAUAUAUCCUUUUUGGUCAUUUUAUAUUAGGGUAAACCAGUAAUUCAAUAUAUACUUUUAUAGUAGGGUGUACUCAGUUAAUUUUAGGGUUCGUUUAGCAGCACUCUUAAAGUAAGAGAGAAUAAAAUGAAAUAAACAUUAAAAUAAAAUGAUUUGAAUUAAUUAAGGUUUUUGAGAAAUUAAAAUAUUAUUUAAUAUUAUAAGGGGAAAAAGAUCAUUUUAAGUUUGGGAAGGAAUUUGGAAAUUCCAAUUGUACCGUUGUGUAGAGCAUGUCGAAACGAGUCCGUAGACACGUAGUGGACUCGAAUCGUAGUUAUAACGGAGAAAUGGCGAUCAAAAGAAGUUCAGUGGCAUAGCCAUAAAUAUUUCGAAGUUCAGUUUUUUUAAAACCCAAAUUUCUUCUCUCUGGGGAGUGGGAGAGCCAACUUCAAAUGGUGAUUUCUCCCAACUCCGACCACCACACUUCCCUCUUCCUUCAGUUUUGGCAUCAUGAUGGGUUCCAUCCCGGAAUGACACAUUUUCGACGCUAAGGACGUCACAAAUGGUAUUUGAGAUGCUUUGUAAAUUUGUAACCAUGGAAAACACAAUGAACUUUAUGUUCGGAGUUGCAAGAGAACAUUAAGGGGAAUAUGGAGAGUGGGAAAAUAGUAAUAAGUGGAGAUCUGUAUGCUUACUUACUACUGAACUUCCGUCGUGGUGGUUAGUAUGAAAAAGUGUUAGAGAUUAUAGAUUUUAUGGAGGAACAUGGUUGUACACUGAUAAGUAGUCGGUAGGAGUUGAUUUAAGUUCCAAGAGAAAUUCAUUAUGAACUGGGAUGAAUUACUGCAAGAUUCUUGCUGUUUUGAAGUUAUUGAUUUUAGGGGCAUCACCUCUGAAUGAUCAUAAUAACCAUGCGUGGGCUCUGCAUGAGGUUUCUUUGACAUUGUUUGAUUUUGUGUAUUGAUAAUUACACUUAGGGGUGUCACGUUUCUAGAAACGUGUCUAUCCAAAUUGUUGUAUCUCAAUAUCCUAUGGAAGGAAAGCUGAGAAGCUGAAAAUACUGGAUUUAUGGUGGUGAGAUAAAAAUUGUCAGGAACUUUCAAAAGUCAAAUUAUUUCACAAAGGGAAAUACUGGAGAGAAGUAUUAGAGAAUUUUCUUUGGAUAAGUUAUAUAGGAGUGGAGGAGUUGCGAGUUUAACCAAGGAGGGUUGUGACAAUUUAAAUUGAGAAGUAGUGGUGUUGGGUGAAGUAUUAUUUCAUUCGCGUGGGCUUGAAUGCCGCGAUUGACAGGAAUGGAACAUUAGGGUUCUUCUUCCUUGCUCUCUCACGCGAGCUCGCCAUAGAGAGUAUUUCUUGGCGUGGUACUGGCUUCGUCCGACCUCCGAUUACUGUGAUUUUUGAAAGGACCCGGCCCAAAUUUCUCAAAAUCCGAGGCGAAUCCUGUGAAAUUCCCGACAUCACUCCGAUGCCAGGCCCACUUACUAAAGACCGAGACUUUCUGCCGAACUUUCGGCAGAGUCUCCCCUAUAAAUUGGACAUUUUCCAAAACUACCACCUGCAUAAAACACAAUUUAUAUCCCCAACUGGCAGCAUGCACAAGAUAAUUUCAUGCAAAUCACAUAAUCGGCCUGCGGCCUUCAAAUAAUUCAAAACGAAACCACCAAGCACACUAUCAAAUUAAUUCCUACCUUAAACAAGGCAAACAAUAAAUUUAAAUAUGAAUUAUGACUACUAAAUUUCAACAUACGAGGUUUUAACCUCCUAACACAAUCACAUCUAUGUCCGCGGCUGCACCUAAUAACCUUAGGCUGCCUACGUACCUUCACUGAGGGAUCAAGCCACACGUAGUUCUUCCGUAAAACCCAAUUCCACACAUAGGCAAUACCUUUAUUCAUUUCUCUGUAUUUCACAUAAUCUCCCCAUACGCCAGUACUACCAUUGCCACGUAUGGGACUUGUCAACAAGCCGGAUAACCUACACCACGUGCGAUCUCAACAUAAUAUCACAUAAUCUCCUCAUACGCCGGUACAACCAGCGCCACGUAUGGGGCCUGUCAACACGCCGGAUAACCUACGCCACGUGCGACCUCAUCAUACUAUCACAUGAUCUCCCCAUACGCAGGUACAACCAACACCACGUAUGGGGCCUGUCUCAACGCCGGAUAACCUACGCCACGUGAGACCUGAACAUAAUAUCACAUAUCUCCUCAUACGCCGGUACAACCAAUGCCACGUAUGGGGCCUGUCAACACGCCGGAUAACCUACGCCACAUGCGACCUCAAUAUACUAUCACAAUAUCUCCCCAUACGCCGGUGCAACCAACGCCACAUAUAGGGUCUGUCUCAAAUUGGAUAACCUACGCCACGCUAGACCUCAACAUCAUAUCACAAUAUCUCCUCAUACGCCGGUACAACCAACGUCACGUAUGGGGUCUGUCCGCAUGCCGGAUAACCUACGCCAUGUGGGACCUAACUUUCACAGAGUGGUACUUGUAGUGUAACCAAAAUCUGGGGAGGUGCCUAAGGUAGUGCAUAUAGCACUUCAAACUGACAUUCUCUCACUUAUCUAAACUAAUACUAGAGGUCUUCCCAUUUUAAUGGUACCAGUCUAUAGUAGAUUGUAACGUAAUUUAAUCAUAAAAAUAAUAUUAUUUCUAGACCAACGAUUAUUCACAUAAACAUGAAUUUCAUAAUUUCACUAUUUAAAAUAAUAUCUAAAAGUUUCCUAUAAUACAAAUAAACACUCUAAAGAUCCCAACUUAGUCAACACAGCUCAACAAUGCUCAAGACCUGUCAUUAGGGUCAUUAUGAUCCUUCUAGGAAGGUAAAACUACCUCGAAAGACUCAAGGUCAACCAAGGGUCAAACCACCCACAAUUGGUCAAACGGGCCCACGGGGCCCACGACCUCCAAAUUCCAAUCCGAAGGUUCCUAUGGGAUCUACAAGGUAUAGGACACUCGUCUUGCAAGUUAAGCCUAGAUCGGAUGGUCAGAUCGCUCACGAUCGCACAAUCUGAUGGUUAAUAUAAAACAUAAACUUUAAAUUAUUUAAUCGGAACAUCCGGGGCUCCCGAUUCACGAUCUGUUCCUACACGAUCCUAGAAAUACAUAGAUUAACAUAUAUUAAAUUUGAGACCAUCCAACGGUCCUAACCUAUCGAACCCGGAUAACGCGCAAUAGGCGAUAUUCGUUCGAUAGUCAAACGACGUCCGAAUUGAGAUUUACGAAAUCCUACGCACUCGUGACAACCUAAGGAUCUCAUUGAGACAUAUUGCUAUCCCAAAACCGACCGAAAUCCAAUUCGAAAAUCGAGUUACUUACGUUAAGAAUCGACCGAAUCCUACCCAACAGGCAGCUAGAGCAUGAAAAGUAUGUGAGAAACCAUACCUCACUCGUCGAAAUCAGUGGCCAAAGGAGGGAGAUCGACGAUAGAGAAGUUCGGACGAACUGACCGCUUCUUCUCCAUUUUUCAGCGAAACCACGGUAGCUGGUGGCGGGACCUAGCUGGGGUUGGAAGAGGAUGACGCCCCGGUCAUUUUGGUAUCGGCCUCGUGGUCAUCGGUGGCCGGAUGAGAAAACAGCCGGCGAAAAUGUGACCGGCUGCCGUUGCGCACGCGAGAGAGACCACGAGAGAGAGAGAGAGAGAGAGAGAGAGAGAAAUCUGAUUGUGCCACUGAGAUUCUUUUGACCAUAUCUCUCUCGUUACAACUCCGAUUCAAGCCCACCACGUGUCUACGGACUCAUCUCGGUACGACCUAUCCAAAAAUACCAAUCACUACCCCAAAUACUUUUUGGAUCAGAAAGUGACCAAAUUACCCCUACCUCAAUGGUAACUUUGUAAUUUCACUUAAAUAAUUUAAAUAAGGGAUUAAAUUUGGAGUCGGGGUGUUACAAUUUUUGUUGCUAAAUGUUGUCAUCAUUUCUCCUCUACAUCACUCAGUGAUCAUUCACUCCCAUUUCUCUAGUUUACACGGUGAAUUUUAUUUCUAAAAUUUCUUAAAAUUCCGGCCACUGUGAGUUUGACCAGCGACUUGGGUUACUUUUGCCCAUCUUUUUGGAAAUGGAACCGAUUUGAGGAAGAUUAGGAGGAAAGAUACAUAGGCCGCUGAGGCAGAAGUAAAGCCGGAGCUUUACCAUAGACAGAAGUUGUUUUAGAAGUCCUGGAAGAUUGUGAACAGGAAUUGGAAGUUUGCAUGGGGUGAUAGGAUUUUUAGUACUUGUGCAAACAGUGUUAAAAAUCACAUAAAAUACUUGCAAGAAUACAAGGCUAUUGUAGUCUAGAUGCUCAUGCAAGGUCGUUUUCCUCAAGGACUAAUUAGCAAUUUAUGUAAAAAUAAAUUCCAAUUACUACUUAAAAUAAAAAGUCAAGAAAGAUGAUUAUAAAUUUGGUUGAUUCUAAAAAACAAAUAUUAAACAAAAACAAAUACGAUUGAAAGAAAGAGUUUUGAAUAUCAAUUUAUAAAAACACUAGGGUUUCACCAUCACCUAGCAAUCCUAUGAACUUUUACCAAUUACUUAUGAUUUGCACAUGCCACUUUGAAGGUUAGGUUUUCCUAAUGUAUAUUCUACUUAGAACCUCCAACACAGAAUGUAUAUCCAACAUGCAACCCGUCCGGACGUUCGGAUCAAAUCUGAACAUGAAAGACUCAUUAAGUUUUGUGAAAACCCUUUGAAAAACCAUGCAACCCUUAAGACGUGGUGUUCAUCUUAAGUGAAAUUACAAUUAUUAAUCAGAAGAAGCUAGCAUCAAUUUCAGGGAACCUUCCGACCAAAAUUGCAUCCAAUUACUUUUCUAAAGAUCCUAAUGGUGAUCAGGCAUUAAGACAAUUAGAUAGUUUAAAACAGUGAUUAACAAUUCAAAAUACGCAUGCACUCAUCAUAAGCAAUUAAAUAAAAAUCACAUAUUCAUGCUAAGGUUCAAGGCUUCACCCUAGCAAAAGAAAUUUAGUUACGCAUACUCAUAAUUGAAAUCCAAGAAAAUAUCAUUAAGAAGAAAAGAACGAAAACACCUGAAAGUUGUGAAAACCCAAAACCCUAGCAAUUGCUCUCCACAAUGCAAAGUUCAAAAGUGAAAAGGGAGUCCUCCAUUCCUUGUGAGAAAGAGCUUAAAUACCCCUUAAAACCUAGCUGCCAAUGUACAGCUUUUCUAUCCCCACAAGGAAACUAAUUAAAAUAAAAUAAUACUAGGAAAUAAAGUCCAAAUUGGAAUAGGAGAAUCUGCUCAAAAUCUGCCCAGCCACGUUUUGGCCCCAAAUCUCCUCCAAAUCUGGCCCAAGAUAGCUUGUUUUAAAGAUAAAAAAUGUUCUGAACACUUCUUUAGAAGGCCACGAACCCAUCCGAGGUCAUCUUGGGCUCCAAAAACGCAAUAAAAGCCCAACACGUCACUAUUCCAGCACCGCGCACUGCUCCUUUAUUUUGUUGCCAGAAAAUAACCGCUUGGAAGAAAAAUCUGAAAUUUUGAUACGAUCAAGCUAAGUGACUCAAGAACGUCCUCCAACUGGAAUUACUCCAAAAUUCCUCAAUUUGAUUAUGUUUUGCUCCAGAGAGAUUCGAAAGUCCUAUAUUGGAAAUAUAAUUCAAAGUAUCAAAAGUCUUCCAAAAUAAUAACCAAAAUAUACUAAGAAUGAGGUUAAAUAUAUAAUAUAAAAUAUGUCCAUCAAAAUACCCCCAAACUUAGCUUUUGCUUGUCCUCAAGUGAAACAAGACUCAAACAAAAAUAAAAACUUAACAGAUUAGACAUCUGGCUAACACUUAACUAGGACAAAAUUUCCACCUUCAAGUUGCAAUCCAUAGAAAAUUUUAAAAACUAGAACAUCCUUUCAAUAGAUCUAAGUAAUCCCACCACAAAGUCUAAGCUAUUUAGACUCAAUUAGAAAAGAAUUCACAAACUUCUUUCGGUGCAAAGUGAACCAUUAUGGUUAUGGAGACUUGACUAAAACCCUUAACUCUCAUCCCUUUUAUUCAUACUUCACACACUCCACACUUUUUGUUUUUUUUGUUUUUUGUUUUUUGUUUUUUUGUUUUUUUUUCUUUUUGUUUUUAUAGUAACAGUAGUGGUUGUGCAAUGUUGGUUCCCUUAAGCUUUCAAUCCAACCGUGUAGCCAGCUUUAGGUCAAUGUCUCCCAAACCACUCGGGUUUUAGGGCACUAGGUGUAGAACACCCCUAAGGACUUAUUAACUCAAGCUGAAAAGGCUACGAAACCAACUAACCACCCUGCCUCAUGCCAAAACUCUACCUUUUGUCUCGAGAAUCACUGCUGAUUAGGCAGGAUUGACCCGGUUACUAGCAAAGCUUCGGGUGAGGUAAUUAUUACUUUAUAACACAAACUAACUUUAUUUAUAUUGAACAUAAAUUAAAACACAUUUGGACAAAAAGUAAGUAUUCCAAUCUCACUCCCCAAAAACCAUGUUGGUGUGAUGUGCAAAUUUCAAAGUAUAAUUCAUGAAUUAAUGUCUAAGCAACAAUAAAUAGAAAAUACUCUACCGUGGGAUUGAUUUUCACCAUGUCCAUUUGUUCUAACGUUUAAAAUAAUCUAUGGAUAUUGACUGAAAAACGAAAAUUUGUAAACAAGACUCAAAAAAUGAAAAAUAAAAAAAAUUACGUUCCCACCCCCUAACUUAAAUCACACAUUGUCCUCAAGGUGGGGUAAAUAAUCAAAAGAAACAAGAGCAGAAACAAAACGACUAAAACUUAGAAAAUGGAAAUCAAAAAUAAAGAAAAUACUCUAAGAAAAGAAAUUAGGAAGGCAAAGGAUGAGAUCCAGAUGGAUCUGGUAAUCCUAUCCGUAGAGAUGGAAAGAUUCUAUACACGCCAUUGAGACUGGAUUUGGAGAUGAGGAUUUGACCCUACCUUGUUCGACGAAUUCCCUCAAGGGGAAUUAUAGCAAUAAAAUACAUAUGCUUCUACAAACAUUUAAUUGCACUGCUACGACGUGGAAAGAGUGCUUUGGGGUCUCAUCUCAUGUGAACCCGUUCGAGUAGAAAUCUUUCAUUAGAAUCAGAAAUGGGUCAUGGUAAAGAGAGGUAGAUGAUGAUUACAGUUCGGUAAAAAUGAUCAUUUCUGACAUUCCUCUCAAAGAACCGUGUUGGCAAUGUCGUUUAUCGAUUCUAAAGAAAGAAGAAAAAUAUCAACAAGUCAAAGAACGUGGAUUUCUUUUAAGGGGAGAGCUAGAACAAAAUCAAAUCACGAAUGGAAGAGUUUAGCUUUCAGAGGAAGAUUGAGCAUUACAGCAGCUAUUAAAGGAUAUUUUUAGUUGAAGAAUGAGAUUUUUCUUCCUCUGAUUGUUUAGCUAGAGCUUUUGGCUUGACUGCCAACGUGGUUGUGGAGGAAGAAACUUGGGAACCCGAGUAGUAGAUGCGAGCCCACUACCCAUACCCCUUUUGAGUGACAGGUAUGAAAUUUCAAGGAUGAAAUUUUUAUAAGAGGGGUAGAUUGUAACGACCCGGUCCUAAAUAAAUUGGUAAUUAUUAAUUUAUUCAUAUAAAAGACCAUUUUGCCCCCAUAAUAUUUUAAUAGGUUUACAUGUUGACUUGUUGACCGGGGAGGCUUUGGUGAAAUUGUUACAUCCCGGUCUGAAAAAGUGUUAAAAUAAUUAAAGUAAGAGAGAAUAAAUUGAAAUAAACAUUAAAAUAAAAUGAUUUGAAUUAAUUAAGGUGUUUGAGAAAUUAAAAUAUUAUUUAAAAUUAUAAGGGGCAAAAAGAUCAUUUUAAGUUUGGGAAGGAAUUUGAAAAUUUUGAUUGUACCGUUGUGUGGAGCACGUCGAAACGAGUCCGUAGACACAUAGUGGACUCGAAUCGGAGUUGUAACGAAAAAAUGGCGAUCAAAAGAAUUUCAGUGGCAUAACCGUAAAUAUUUUGAAGUUCAGUUUUUUUAAAACCCACAUUUAUUCUCUCUGGGGAGUGGGACGUGCCAACUUCAAAUGGUGAUUUCUCCCAACUCCGGCCACCAAUUCAAGUAAGACCGGCCCCGUUAGAACCACCACACUUCCCUCUUCCAGUCCCAGCCCAUCUCAGUCUCGAUCCGCCGUCGUAGUCGCCGAAAAUCGCCACGAAACAAGGUGGUUUGGAUAGUUUUUGUCGAAAUUUCGUGGAGCUCGUUCUCCCUCCUCCGGCCACCGUUUCAGGCGAGUGAGGUAUCAUUUCUCACCUAUUUUCUAUGAUAUAGCUGAUGGUUGGAUAUGAUUUGAUAAAUUUUGAGCGUUGAUAGUUCGAUUUUCGAAUCAAAGUUUGGCCGAAUUUCGGGAUGAAAUUCCGGCCACUUUCGAUCACUUUUUGGGGUAGGCCCAAGAACAAAAGUGUCUUCAAUUGAUGUCCUGAUCCCAGGGUAAGAGCAUUGGUCGAAAAUUUUGAGAUUUUCCUGCUGGUGGUAUCGCUUUGGGCACCCAUGCGCUGAUGGCGCGUGUGGCAGCGUGUGGGCACUGUAGCAGAGGGCCAUUGUGUCCCAAUGCGACCCCCUUGUUGUCACGAGUGCGUAAGGGUGCUCGGAUUCCAAUUUGGUUGAGGUUUGAACCCCGAAUGGAUUUCGUAUAUUGUACAUUAUCCGGGUUUGAUAGGUUUGAACCGUUGGAUAGUCUUGAAUUUAAUAUAUGUUAGUCUAGACAUCCCUAGGAUCAUAUAGGAUUUCGCGGAUCAUGGAUCGGAGCCCCGGAUGUUCUGAUUUAAUAAAUUAAAGUUUGUGUUUUACAAUAACCGUCCGAUCGUGCGAUCGCGAGCAAUCCGACAGUCCGAUCCGAACCAAACUUGCAGGACGGGUAUCCUAAAUCUUGUAGAACCCAUAGGAGCUUUCGGAUAAGAAUUUGGAGGUCGUGGGCCCGGUUGACCAAGAUUAGGUAGUUUGACCCCUCGGUUGACCAUGAGUCUUCCGAGGUAGUUUCACCCUUCGAGGAGUACUAGAAUGACCUUAUUACAUAGUCUCGACCUUUAAUUGAGCUAUGUUGACUAUGUUGAGAUUUUUAGAGUGUUUAUUAUUAUCGUAUGAAAACUCUUGGAUAUUACUUUUAAUAAUUGAAAUUAUGGAUUUGAUGAGCGUGGGUAAAUUGAUUUGAUGAGUGGUGAAAAGAAGUCGUGGGCUUGGCUAUGACUAUUAGGAAGUGAGGGGACAUUUAUGUUGAAUAUGCAUUAAUUUCAACAAUUGAAAGAACAUGCAUGGAAUGGGUAUAUAUAUAUAUAUAGAUAAAUUGGAUUAAAGAUUGAGAAAUUAAUAAGUUGAGAUAUUAGUAAUAUUUAAUUGAGAAAUGGAUUUUGAGGUGGAAAUUGGAAGGUUGAAUUUGGGGAAUUUUGGAAUUGAGAAUUAUGGGUUAAUACUGAAAGAUGUAGGAUUAUACUAUGUAAGUACCAUCCCCUAGUUACUAGGCUUCCCAUACGUGGAGUUGGAAUUUCUGGCGUGUGGGAAGGAUAUAUGAUUAUUAGAUCUCACAUGCCGUUGGAUUUUCCAGCGUGAGACAGACCCCAUACGUGGGGUUGGAUUUUUCGGCGUAUGGGGAGAUUAUGUGAUGGUUAGGUCACACGUAGGGUGGGAUUUUCCAACGUGUUGACAGACCCCAUAAGUGGCGUUGGAUUUUCCGGUGUAUAGGGAGAUUAUGUGAUGGUUAGGUCACACGUGGCAUAGGAUUUUCCAGCGUGUUGACAGACCCCGUACGUGGCGUUGGAUUUUCAGCGUAUGAGGAGAUUAUGUGAUGGUUAGGUCCCAUGUGGCGUAGGAUUUUCCGGCGUGUUGACAGACUCCAUACGUGACGUUGGAUUUUCCGACGUAUGGGGAGAUUAUCUGAUGGUUAGGUCACACGUGGAGUAGGAUUUUUCAGCGUGUUGACAGACCCCAUACGUGACGUUGGAUUUUCCGGCGUAUGGAGAGAUUAUGUGAUGGUUAGGUCACACGUGGCGUAGAAUUUUCUGGCGUGUUGACAGACCCCAUAUGUGGCGUUGGAUUUUCCGGCAUAUGGGGAGAUAAUGAGAUGGUUAGGUCACACGUGGCAUAGGAUUUUCUGGCUUGUUGACAGACCCCAUAUGUGGCGUUGGAUUUUCGCGCGUAUGGGAAGGAUAUGUGAUUAUUAGGUCUCACAGGUGGCGUUGGAAUUUCCGGCGUAUGAGACACUAACAGUGAGAAGAGAAUGAGAUUAUUUUUCUAUAUCAGAGAAAGGUUAGAGUAUAAAAAGAAAUAUGUUUGGUGUGUGGUAAUUUAAAUUAAAACAGGGAAAGAUAACUUACCUGUACUACUGAAACAGUUGUGUAACAUUUGGAGCAUGAUUAUGGAGUGAAAGAACUACGUGUGGCUUGAUCUCUCAGUAAGGGUACGUAGGCAACCUAGGUGCAGUCGUAGACUAAACGUUAUUUAUGUUGUUUUAUUGAGAUUGGUUCUGACCCUGUCGUUGGUCCUGAAAUUCGGUUGAAAACUAGAUGCGAGUAAAUAAUUGUUCAUACUCCCGUUUCGUUGAGGGAGGAUUGUGUAAAUGUGUUCUGGUCAAGACAGGUAUAAGAACUCGUUUAGGAUUGAUGUACGAUUUGGGCUAAGGCCUUAAACUACUUGUUGUUGUAUUAGGAGAUUAAAACCUCGCAUGUGGGAUAAUUGGGAAAGUUAGAUGAUGUAAAGUGCACUUAGGCAUUCAUAUAUAUGUUUAAAUUUAUUAUUUGUCUUGCUUAACGUAAUUGUUUGACUUAUGGGCUUUAUUGGUGAUUUGCUUCAGAUUAUUUAAAGGCCGAAGGCCGUUUAUGUGAAUUGCAUUUUGAUACAUUGUGCAUGCUACUAGUUGUGGAUAUUAAAUGUGUUUUAUGCAGGUUGAAAUUUUUGGGAUUGUUCAAAUUACAGGGGAGACUGCCAAAAUUUUGAUAGAAAGUCUCGGUCAUUAGUAAGUGGGCCCGGCAUCGAGGUGAUGUCGGAAUUUACACAAGAUUCCUCUCGGGUUUUCAGGAAUUCGGGGCGGAUCCUGUUACUUGGGGUGCAAAUUAUCCAUUUGUUCACCCGUUUUCGUGUUUUACUUCUGAGGUGGAAGGGCGAAGUUUCCCACUGGCUUGGAGACCACUUGUUGGUCGACAAGUCAGCUUUCUUUGGUGUGUGUGAGCGUGCCACUGCUAGCAAUGUAAAUUCUAGCAGACUUAUUUUUUAGAGUGGAUAACUUGCGCCUCAAGUUACUGACUUCUAAAACAAAUGAUUGUGAAUUUGGGUGAGGAAUAUCUCCCAAGUAAGUUCUUUUCUUGCCUCAAACUGGUGAGGACUUUCACAAUUUAUCUCAGUAUCAAAUGGUUGUUCUGGCCAGAAUAGAUAAUAAUAAAGUAGACUGUUUCAGGCAGAACUGCCUUUUACAAAAUUAAGAAGGGAGAAAUCAACUCUAGAAAGGAAAAAAGAUGGCUGGAAUCCCAUUUCUGCCUGGGUAGAAACUUCUGAUCCGGGCUGGACUGGGUAUGUCUAUGCUGGACGGUGCUGUCAACAACUUUAGCUUGCUCGGCUUUAGUUGUAAAUCGAUACCAAAGUUCAAUUUUGGCAGAGCUUCAAUCUACUUCAAGCCUUGGGAGACUUUUGAGUGGGCAGAACUGCAGCUUCUUCAGUUUGAAGGGACAGAAGUGGCUAUUCUCGAGGAUUUAGCAAGCUGGAACUAUGCUAUAAAAUUUGUUGAGGUUUUCAUAUUUGUGAAAACUCAAACUAUGUUUGUCUUGGCUUUUGCUGAACCAAAUUUGUAACGAGAGGGAUCUUGUUUUCAGAAGACUUAUUUUCUAAGUCUGAACUUUGGAAUUCUGAUCUAAAGCUGUUUUCUUGUUUGUUUUUUUUUGAUUGACUGAUGAAUUGAGUGUCCUUUGUUUCUUUGCCUUCUUUCGCUUUUAUAAGAGAUCCUCCUAAGGAGGUCAUUUUUAAUCCUAAACAAUGGGCGGCAAAAAGAUCUCUUAUAAUGUAAAGUAAGAAGGGUUUCUUAUCAAUCAAGGCAGAUAGGUUCUGAGCAGUCACCUCCUAAAAACAGUCCAUUCCCUGGUUUCCUGGGUGGCAGCUUUCUAAUUCAACCAACGCCACCGUCUGUGUGGGCUUUUUAUGGCAGUUUUGGCUCUUUUCUUUUGUAUUUUCUGAGUGGUUCCCUGUUUCCCGUUCUAAUUUAGAAAGCGUGAUUCGUGAAUUCCUUGGGAGAUGGUGUAUUGAUUUGGAGCAAAAUCUUGAACACAGAUGGGUUUUUGAUCUUCAAUUGGCAGUGUUUCAGAGACGUCCCUCUCACAUUUUUAAACUUUAGUUGGAAUUGCUGACUUUUCCAAAGUUGAGGCAAUCACGUGGGUGUGUCUUUGAUCCCUUGGUUUUGAAUCUAUCGAAAAUUACGGGCUGAUCUUUGAAGCCCAUUUCGAAAGUUUCCACAUCUGGGCUUUCUUUGGGCUGAGGCUUUAUUUCCAACAUUCUUGGUGUGAAGCCCAAACUGUCUGGGUCUUAUUUUCGUUUUUCUCAAGUCUCUGGGCUGGGCAGGCAAUUUUAUCAUGGGCCUGUCUUCUGGUCUUGGGCGUGCCGAAUUUGGGCCCAAACAAUGCCCCCUAAGUCUGAAUCGUUUUGGAAUGGUUUCAGACUUAAUGUUUUGCCAUUUAAUUCACGUGCCAGUUUCUUCCGUGUUUUCGCCCACGUCUGCCACGUUUGCCUGCUACGAACUAGAGUUCGUGGGAAAACGGCUAGUUAUUAUCUAGUUACUAGCUAAUAAUCAUCAGGUGCCGUCCCAUCUUCUUCUUCCCACGUUUUCGAGCCCCUCUUUAAAAGAAAUUCAAAUUCAUAGCUUCUGAAAAAAGAAACCCUAAACCUUCCAGCUCUUGUUCCUGCGAGUUCUUUCUUCGAGAUUUCCAAAGCCUUCUUUAGACCUUCCUUUCUUCUGCUUCUUCCCUUGAAUCAGAAAUGUCUUCCCCAAGGUCCCGCGCUCAGUCUUCUUCCGCUUCAGUUCCUCCCGAUUAUAUCACUGGGAGCGGGAUUGAUGCUCACGCGAUAGAAAUCAGGAGCAAGCUUCAUCCCUUUGCCCAGAAGAAUCUGGACGAGAAUGUCCUCCAUUUGUUUGAGAACACCCUGGUGUUAGGGCCUCACUGGUUUGGUCCUGUUCCAGCUGAGAUGGCAGAAUUGCUAAAAAAGGAUGCCGAGGCUCCUUUGUGUUUUGAGAGCUCUUCUGCCCUGGCUUCUUAUUCUUGGGUUAGCAAGAAUUUGAGCCGGUCCUUCCCGUCCAGCGAGGUGAGGAAUAGUCUGGUCAAAUGGGCAGACUGGAUUGAUAGACUUCUCCCGAGAUAUGGGGGUCACUGGAGGAGAGCUGGGAUUUAUGACGCCAUUUUUCUGUCCAAACAAUCGAUUAACAGAGAUGAGAAUCUGCUUGCUGCUGCUUUAUGCUUCUGGAAUUCUGCCAGCAAUACAUUUGACUUCCGCGUGGGUCCUAUGGCGCCAACCUUGCUGGAUAUGGCUCAGAUUUUUGGGUUCAGGCCCCAUGGUAGGCCUGUUGAUGCCAUUGGAGAUUAUCACAGGCGAAGGAAUCAAGAGAAAGUGGCCACCCCUUUUACUAUCCCUCCAGCCGUGAUCAACCAGAACUGCUCUUUCUCCAACUAUCUGAAGAAGUUCAGUGCUGAUAAGGACAAGGAUCAGCAACAUAUGUUGUUCCUUCUGUAUUGGCUGAAUUGGUUCGUUCUCCCCAAUCGGUCUUCUGCAGUUCUGCUAGAGUACAGACACUUGGCAGAAGCACUCCACAAUCACACUGAUGUGGGGCUCGGGCCUACAGUUCUGGCUCACCUUUUCAAGAAUCUGCAUACUUCCACCCUGGAGAACCCAUUGAACCUGUCAGCCCCUGGCGCAUUCUGGAUGAUCCAGAUCUGGCUGCAGGUUUAUUUUCCAGAACUAAGGUUCCCAGACAUAGUUCUGCCUGAAGAUCAAGUCCUGGCUCUUCCUCUGAUGUCGGCAGAAGUGCCCAAGCAUUCUAUUGAGGAGUAUUUGAUGCUCUUCAGGCAUUGUACAAAGAGGUCGGCAGCUCAGUGGCAAGUGGUGAUCAGGAGGACCUAUCCUUGGUUCCAGACCGGAUUUCGGUUGUUUGAGAAGGAGCCAGAAGAUGAAGCUGCCAGAACAGAUUUCAGGAGGAAAUUUCUGAGCAUUACUCUGCCCAGAGAUCUACCCCAUGGUGGGGGCAAACCUCCAAACUAUCAUCUGGGGGCAGAAGUCUACCAUCCCAACUUCUGCGCGAGGCAGCUUGGUUGUCCCCAACUCAUUCCGCUGAAAUCAUAUCGGAGUUGUAACCGGGCCUCUUCUUGGAGGGAUGCAGAUGAUCUGGAGGUGCACAAGGAUGCCCGGUGUGCAGUGAACAAAAUCAACAACAGCACGGAUGCCCUCUAUCCCUCGUGGGAGCUGAAUUCCUGCAGUUCUGCCGACUUUGACGCAUGGUGGAAAGCCAGAUUCCAAAGUCUGCCUGCUUCUGUCACUGCCCUCAAGGUGCUGUUUGAUGGUUGGGAAAACUGGGUCGUUUUUGCGAAUGGGGAUGCCAAGACGCAUAUGAUCCAGACCAUCAAGGAUAUUAACGCGCAAAUUAUAGAAGGUAGAUUUCUGAUUCUGUAUGGGGUUCGUUCUGUCCUGAUGAUUGAUUUCUAAUGUCUAUUCUGCCUGUAUCAGAUCCUUCUUUGACCAGCGUAGGUGGGCAGUCUGUUCAUGCUGGGGAAGUGAUUGGUAAGUCUUUUCUUUUAAUUCUAUUCUGUCUUUUCCUGCUGGAUUGGUCUCUAAUGUCUAAUGCCUUGGUGCAGUCUCUUCCGUUAUUGCUGCCGGGGACUUGGAGCUCCCUUCUGCGGAUGAAGGAGAUGAGGUCCAGACAGAACAAACACCUACCGAGGCCGCUCUUUCUGGCAGAAGAAAAAGGAAAGGACCUGCCCCUCCUUCGGAUAAUCCCACGCGGCCUGGUAUUUCAGGUAAGCUCGUGAUGUUCCAACCAUUCUCUUUAAAUUUAUUAUGUCUUGCCUUCUUUUCCCUAAUACUGCUUUUUGUUCUGUGCAGCUGGAAGUCCUUCCCCUCCUCCUACCAAGUUGAAAAAACUUAAAAAGAGGAGUGAGGAGGAGUAUGUCGCCGCGGAAGAGACGGCAGCAAUUCCCACCACUACCUCCGGGACGGAUGAAGAGCUGCGAGAGGCUUUUGAGGAGGUGGAGCAGGAAAAAGAAUUGGAAGAGCUGGAAGAAACGCCUCAGGAAAAAACGGCAGUGGCGGAAGGAGAGGUAAGUUUUAUUUCUGUGAUUCGCAUCAGUUCCCUUCUCGCCCUGUUUCUUCCGUUCUGACCCUUAUUUUGUAGGAGAAGAUCCCUGCUGAGGUGAUUGCAGAGAGCAUUGCCUUGGCGCAGAAGCAACAAGGGGGUCCAAGGGCUGAGCGGACUAGCUCAGAACUAGCCCUAUUUGAGGAUGCUGAGGCAGAGCAUUCUACUGCCGUUCCAGCGGCUGAGGAUCAGGCGGAACGGUCUGCAUCAGAGCCUGUGGAUCAGGCAGAGCUGUCUGUUGUGGUUCCGGAGGCUGAAGUGGAAACAACCGCCGCUGCCCCUGUGGUUGUGGUAACUUUCUUUCUUUAUCUGUCCACACUCUCCUGCAUUUCUGCCUUGUUCUUUAUUUUUAACUGUUGUAGCCUUUUCAGGUAGAAGUGCCUAAAGCUGUUGGCGUCCUGGCAGCGGUUACCAGUCCCCAGAAGCCUCCCAUUGUUGCUGUAAGUUUUCAUAACUUUUGGGCCUUUAUUUUCCACUUUCUGCCUGGUCUUACCUUAUGCUUUCUUCUUGCAGAUGCCAAUUCAUUCCCUUCCAGGAUCAUCUGCCACGGCUUCUUUUGCUGAUCCAGAACUCGAAGAGUUUGAAGCCAUGGAUCUGGAUGCCCAAUUGGACAGAUUGGAGAAACUCAGCUCUCCUCCAGGCAAGGCAAAAUCUAGGGCAGUGGAGGAGGCCAUGGAGAGGUUGAAAAUCUGGCAGUCUAAUGAGCUGGAGUUUGAUCAAGACAAUGAAGCCUUAAAUCAGCUGAUGAAGGACCUGGACCUGCUUCACAGACAGAACAUGGCUCCAAAACCUAUCCUUGAGAUGGGCCUAAGCUUGGCCAGAGAUGUGCUCAAUCUGCAUGAUCGCUAUGAGGAUCUCAGGCCUACUUUCAAGACUUCUGAAUUCUGCAAGGCCACUCAUGAAGCCAACCUGGCUGAUUUUGCAAAGCAGAAAGCAGAACUGGAUCAGAUGGUGGCCGGAUAUAAGGAAGCCAGGGCCACUGCGGACAAGCUGGAGAAGCCGAUGGAAGAGCUCCAAAAACAACUGGCAGAAUGCAGGGAGGUGCAGAGCAGGCUUGGGGCUGGACUGAGUUCUAAAACUAAGGCCACUUUCCUUGUGCAAAGUAUGGUUGCAGCUUCCAGGACAGCCUUGGAGAUUGCAGAGGCUUCAAUUCACCAGGGGGUGCUGCUCCAGAAAGAGCUUUCUGUCAAGAAAGCGAACCUGCAGGAGACUCUUAGAAAACUAGGAUUUUAGCUUCUUCUUUCCUUUUAUUGUUCGAAUAAUUUGCCGCAAAGGUGGCUAUUUUUAUAUAAGCUUUCAAAGCAUUUUACUGCUUUUCAUUUAUUCUUGAUGCAAUAACUGGAUACGGCUUUGAAAGUAAAAAACAGAACAACUUUAAAGCAAAAAUAAAUCUAAACAAAAUUCUUUUCAAGAAACAAAAAGGUCAAACUUGUUCCUCUUCUAUCCCGGGAUCUGUUUAUACAGCCUGCGAAUCCCACGUGGUUGGAUAGAACUUCUUUAACCAUUUACCAUUGAUUGGGGCAAAAUGAACAACUCCAUCUCGGUCCUGCAACCUGUAUGCCCCCAUUCCGAGGAUUUGGUUAAUUAUAAAAGGGCCUUCCCAUGUAGGUGACCAUUUCCCAUAUCCAGCUAUGUGUGCUCCAAGGGGCAGAAUUGCCUUCCAGACUAUCUCUCCCUCUUCAAAACUCUUGUUUUUGACUCUUUUGUUGUAGGCCCUUGAUACAGCCUGUUUUCCUGCUAAGAGUUUGUUGAGGGUGUCAAUUCUGCUUGCAUCCAAUUCUUCCAAUUCCAGCAACAUGGCUUGAGAGUAAUCCUCCCCAGUGAGACCAUGCUGGUGAGCAAUUCUAAGAGACUGGACCGCUAUCUCCAUGGGAAGAAUUGCAUCGUGGCCGUAGGUUAGAGCAUAGGGGGUCAUGCCAGUUGCUUCUCUCUUUGAAGUUCUGUAUGCCCACAAAGUUUCUGAUAACUUCUCAUGCCAUUACUUUGGAUUCUUCUCUAGCAUCUUUUUGAUGAUAUUGAUAAUCACCUUGUUACUUGAUUCCACCUGUCCAUUAGCUUGAGCAUAGUAAGGAGUAGAUUGAAGCAGUUUGAACUUGAACGUUUCUGCCAUAUCUAGCAUGUCCCUAGAUAUGAAAGAAGAACCCCUAUCGGUUGUGAUUGAUUCUGGAAUGCCAAACCUUUGUAUGAUCUGUUCUUCUAUAAAGGUGAUGAUCUCUUGAGAUGUUGUGGUUUUUACUGGCUUGGCCUCUACCCACUUGGUGAAGUAAUCUGUGGCAACGAUAAUGAAACAGUGCUGCUGGUUGCUGGCUGGAUAGAUUUUGCCAAUGAGAUCCAUUGCCCAUCCCCUGAAAGGCCAUGGUUUUACUACUGGAUUCAUGGGAACCGAAGGAGCCUGCUGGAUUGGGCCGUGCCUUUGACAGGCUUCACAUCCUUUGGAGUAGUUGAUGCAAUCCUUCAUCAUGGUUGGCCAGAAGUAGCCAUACCUUCUGAUUAACCAGCACAUCUUUCUUCCCCCUUGGUGAGCUCCACAGAUCCCCUCAUGGGUUUCUCCCAUGGCUUUCAUAUAUUCUGUCUUCCCGAGGCACCUUAAUAGUACCUCAUCCUUACUUUUUCGGACCAAAUCUUCAUUCCACAUGAGGUAGUUUGUAGCCAUGAUUCUGACUCUUUUCUUAGAGGGCAGAGUGGGAUAUCGUAAGUAAGUCAUGAUAGGCUCCCUCCAAUCAUCUUCAGUGAUCAAGGCAGAAUUGACUUCUAUCUCCAUUCCUCUCGUCAAAACAGAUGGUAGACUUUUCCUUCCUAUCUUGAUGAUCCUUUGGACGCAGUCUUCGGGCAUUUGUAUGCCUGAUGCCACCUGAGCCAGUUCAUUGGCUGCAAAGUUUUCCUCCCUUGGGAUGUUCUCCCAAGUAGCUUCUCUAAAUUCUGUUAGCAGAUUUCUAGCUGCUACUAGAUAUACAGCCAGAGAAGGAUUCAGACACUUAUAUUCUCCAGCAAUCUGUUUUAGGACAAGCAUGGAAUCUCCCAAGAUCUCCACGGACUGGACUCAUAAUUCUACCAACAUCUCGAGCCCUAUAAUCAAAGCCUCAUACUCGGCCAUGUUGUUGGUGCAUUGGAAAUCUAGCUGGAAGGAAUAGCAAUGUCUGACCCCUAAUGGUUCUUCCAGAACAAUCCCUGCUCCUGAAGCCUUGUCUGUCUUUGAUCCAUCAAAAUAUAACUUCCAAGGUGUGAGAUGAAUCGAGUAGAUUGGAUUGUUAAGGCAAACAUGAGCUCUAGUUAGCAGAUCUGCAUUUGCUAUGUCCAAAGAAUCCAUGUUUUCAAUUUCCUCUCCCGAGUGAUCUACCAAGAAGUCUGCCACAGCUUGCCCUUUGACAGCUUUCUGGGGGACAUACCUGAAGGUGAAUUCUGUCAAAGCCAAAGUCCAUUUCCCAAUUCUGCCCCUCAGCAUUGGUCUUGUUAGCAUGUAUUUGAUUAAGUCUGUUUUGGCAAUGAUGUAGAUAGUAUGUGGCAGCAUGUAGUGCCUGAGCUUUACAGCAGUGAAAUAUAAGGCCAGGCAAAGCCUUUCUAUUGCGGAAUACCUUCUUUCCACUUCUGUCAAUGUUCUGCUUAGAUAGUAGGCUGCCUGUUCUUUUCCUUCUUUGUUAUCUUGAACUAUUAGACUUCCAAUGGAUACUUCUGAUGCAGAUACAUAAAGCUUGAGGGGUCUGCCCCUUUUUGGUGGGGACAGAACUGGUGGAUUUGAGAGGUAAUGCUUUAUUUCCUGGAAAGCCUGUUGGUGCUGUUCUUCCCAUUUGAAUGUCUGUUCCUGCUUCAGUCUUAACAGGGAAGAAAAAGGUUGGAUUUUUCCUGCAGAAUUGGAUAUGAAUCUCCUUAGAAAAUUGAUUUUUCCUAAGAGACUUUGAAGUUCCUUCUUGUUCUGAGGUGGUAGAGCUUCUAUGAUGGAUGUUGCUUUAUUUCUGUCAACCUCUAUACCUCUCUGGUGGACCAAGAAUCCUAAGAAAUUCCCUGCUUGGACUCCAAAAACACAUUUUUUGGGGUUCAUUUUCAGUUUGUGCUGCCUCAUUCUUAGGAAUGCCCUUCUCAGGCUUGCUACGUGAUUUCCUUCCUCAGGGGAUUUAAUCACCACGUCAUCUAUGUAUACUUCCAAGGAAUGUCCUAUCAUAUCAUGAAAAAUAGAAUUCAUUGCCUUUGGUAGGUGGCUCCCGCAUUUCUCAAACCGAAAGGCAUUACAGUAUACUCGAAAGCACCUAUAUGUCCUGGACACAUAAAGGCUGUCUUGUGGAUGUCCUGUUCUGCCAUCAUGAUCUGGUUAUAACCUGCAUUGCCGUCCAUGAAAGAUAGCAUCUGGUUAUGAGUGGCUCCAUCCACUAGCAUGUCUGCCAUUGGCAUAGGAUAUUCGUCUUUAGGAGAUGCCUCAUUCAGAUUUCUGUACAAUAUUUGCUAACCAAUCGGAAUAGACGGCUGGCCUGAUGAAUCCUGCCUUGAGCAGCCUUUCUAUCUCUUCUUUGACCUUUAGUUCUGUGUCCAUAGACAUUCUUCUUCUGGCCUGUUUGACUGGAAGGUAGCCAUCUUUAAUUGGCAGCUUGUGCUCCACUCACUGCCUGUCCAAUCCUGGCAUUUCGUGGUAAUGCCAGGCAAAACAAUCUCUGAACUCCUGUAAAAGUGCCAUGAGUUCAGUCUUGAGUGGUUCCUUCAAAAGUGUGCUGAUGAAAGUAGGCCUUGGAUCUUCUUCUGUUCCUAAGUUUAUCUCCUGUAGAGGAUCCUCUACUUCUGGCAGGGAGUCAUCCAGUGCUGCUGGUGCAAAAUCUAAUACUUCCUCCUGUAAAAUUUCCUCCUCUUGCUCUUUUGUGCUUUCAUGGGUGAAUUCUGCCAUAUUGAUGGCUGGAUUCUGUAUGAAAAGCCUCCUUUCUCCCCAGUAUAUCAACAAUCUUUUUGUGAUGGAUCGGAUUGUUGCAGCUCGAUCCUUGUCUAGUUGAUUCGGACUAAACAUCAGAGUUCUGGAAGUUCAGCACAAAAAGGUCUAUUCCAGUCCUCUAGAGAACUGGCUAAACCUUCUUCAAUGAGUCUUUGGGCCGUGACACCAUGUGGACGGCCGUUCUGAUUGACUCCAAGGAAAGUGAAAGGACCGAGGUCAUCAUGAUAAUACCUUGUUUCAAAGCACAUGGCAGAGGGCAGGAAUGGCCGUGGAUCAGCCUCUAUAAUCUCCAUGCAGCCUUCUUCAUUCCAUAGUGCUAACUGCGGGUGGAGGGUGGAAGGAAUACAAAGGCUCUGGUGAAUCCAAUCCCUGCCAAGUAGUGCAUUGUAGGUGGUGGAAGUAGUGUCUAUAACAAAGAAUGCUAUUUUCAACUCUUUGCUUCCGAUUAUGACAUCCACAUCUAAGAUGCCAUGUAUUUUGGUGAUGCAACCAGAAGUUGGUGACGGUCAAUCGUGUUGGAAUCAGAUCUUUCUCUGUCCUGCCCAGCUUGGUCAGCAUUCUGUGGGGUAAUAGAUUAAUGGCUGCACCUCCAUUUACCAUGAUCUUGGAAAUAGGAAUACCCCCAAGAUUUGCCGUUAUAAACAAAGGUCUGAGGUGAAACAAGGUUGCUCUGUAGCUGGUUUAUUGGCUGUUCUGCCUGUCUUGGGGUUUUCUGCUUGUGGUUCUGGUGGCUCCUCUGCUUCUGCCAAUCUACAUUCAAAGCUUUCCUGAGAGAAAACAUCCCCUUCCAGAGUGCUUUCUUGUCCUUCGGCUGCCCUGAAUUUACUUGGUAGGAUGAAUACCAUGUUAAUUCCCAGAUCACCCUGUAGGAGGUCUUCUAAUUCUGCGCCAAAAGCUUCUGUUUCUGGGUCCAAUUCUACACCAAAUUCCAUUAAUUCUUCCCCGUAUUCUUCCGUCCAGUCAUCCUGUUCUGCUACUUCGAGGGGCUCUUUCUGAUCAUCUGCGGAAGGUUCAUAGUCCAAUUGCUCUUCUUCAUAUUCCUCAGUGUAGUCGUCUUCUCCUUGUAACGGGGUAGACCCAGAUUUCUCUGGUGUCUGCGUGGUGUCAGGACGGCUGCUGGACGACGAGGCCACAUGGAUAGGAGACCUGGCUGGGGGUUCUGUUUUCAGCAAUUCCCUUGACUGGCAAGCUUUCUGUUCUGUCUGGGGAAGUGUUUCAGGAUUUUUUCCUUUCCUAGCAGAACUGGGUUGUGAACGUACCUGCGUAUUAUCUUGGCUCUUAAGAUAUGUGCAGUAUUGCCUCUGGAUUCUCCUUUUCUGGGUUCUGGUUAGCUCCAGAGUCGGUCUACCGCUUCUUCCUACGGAAUACCAUCUCCCUUCUAUGAUCGUUGCCAAGGAUCUUUCGUUUCUGGGCAUCUUGACUGGUAUUUCCUUUCUGGGUUGCUCCAUCCUCCUCUCGCUGUAUUGUGUAGGCCUAAGACAGCUCUUCUGCCUUGUUUUGUCUCGGGAUGAGGUUCCAAUUCUGUCAAAGACACUAGGUGUGGGCUGAUUUUGUCUGUCUAGAACCACCUCUAGCUCUGUUUCACAUUUGCACCUACUGCAGAGCACUACCCCAGCCGAGAUGGUCGCUCUUGGUAUUUGACUGGUCUCCCUUAUGAUUCUUCUGCCUCUGCUGCAACCAGCAUCUGUGAUUGGCUCGGUUUUCCUCUGUUCUGGCCAAUUUAAGUUGACCAUAUUGACUUGUGGUUGAGGAAAAGGAUCCGUUGUGACGGAUGGUGGUUUUUCUGCCAGUUUCAACCUUCCUGCCGUUAUCCCUUCUUGUAUUACGUCCCUGAAAACAACACAACUAUUGGUAGAAUGGUUCCAAGAGUUGUGCCACCUGCAGUACUGUCUGCCCUUGAGUUCUUCCGGCUUCGGUAUUCUGUGAGGCGUCUCUAUUGCCUUCUACAGUAGCAUUUCGUGGAACAAGGCAUCAACCUUGGUUAAGUCAAAAGAGUAAACCUUGUUUUACGUUGGUUUGUUUGGAACGAAUCCUCCUGUGAAUGGUGGUGGCUUUUGGUCUUUAGGUGGCUUUGUGAGGGCUUUGCAACUAAUGGGAUGUUUUAGUUUUGCCAUUUCUGCCACUGAAACCUCUUUCUCUUCUGAUUCUUCUGCAUCUUCUUGUGAUUCCACCUCGAUCAGGUGGACUGAAGAAGAAGGGGUUUUAUAGUAUGUACCUUUGGAGGAGUUCCUCCUUUGCUGUUCCUCCCUGAGUAACUCCUCAUAUUUGGAUGCCUUAUCAGCCAGUUCUGCCAGAUCUCCGAACAAUAUCCCGUCGAACCUUUUCCUGAGAGAGAUUUUAAGGGCAACUUGGGCCAUCUGGAUGAAGUGUCUUUCUUCCAUCGGGAUUCGGCACUUCAUUUUGAGCUUUCUGAACCUGGUUAUGAAAUCUUGGGCCGGUUCAUCUUCACUUUGCUUGAGGGCAGCUAGAUCACUGAUGGUGACUUCUGGCUGAAUCCUGUAAUAGUAGUCAUGGAAGACAUUUUCCAUCUGUUCCCAGGUUUGAACAGAGUUAGCUGGCAGGCUGGUGUACCAGGUAAAAGCUUGCCCAAAAAGAGAGUUGCCGAAAAGCCUUAAUUUCAGCAGAGGGUUGCUUUCUAUAGCUAUGCAUUGGACGGAGAACCUGCCUAUAUGUUCAACUGAGGAAGAAUGGGGGUCUUCCCCAUUGAACAAAGUGAAGUUUGGCACUUUGAAACCUGGAGACAACAGUAUUUGAUCGAUAUAGGCUGGGUAUGGCUUUCUGUAAGUAGGCCUUUCCCCUAUUCUAGCCUCGGGUUCCAUGAUUUCUCUGAUCAUUCUUUGCAACGCUCCUAUGUCAUUCAAAGCAUUGACUGGGGGAAGAUUUUGUCCCUGUUCUGGCUGAACGUAAUCAAACCUGGGCUCUGCUCUGUGUGGUCUGGGUGGAACUUCCUCCCUGUGUUCUUCCUGCUCUUCGACUUCUGGAUGAUUCCUCCAGUUUGCCCCCGGUCUAUUCCUGUCAUGAUUAGCAAAAAGGUUGUUCCCUCCUCGGCCUCUCCUCCUUCUUGCAAGUGGAGGGAAUGGAUUAGGGUCCAUCCUUCUGGGUCUAUAUGGCAAUACUGCCGGUGGUUCAGGCAGAAGCGCCAAAGGUUGAUCAUGUGGGAGCACAUGAAGUGGAAUGGGCUGAGGUUCUGGCUGGUUCUGAGCCAGUGCCAGGUUAUCUGGUUGAGCUGGGGCUUCAUGUUUUUGAUUAGGAAGGGCUCCUUCCCUCGGACCAGCCUGAAUUUCUCCGUGGUCUGGCACUCCAGCCAUCUGUGCAACUAGGAAAUUUUCCUGGUAUGGCCAUAUUAGUCCUGGCGGAGGGCCAUAAGGGAGAUCCAACUGCUGGAUUACAGGAUCUGGGUUUGGGUUUCUGGCCAUGGCGGAUUCUCGGUCCUUCCGGAACUGUCUGUUUACCUGCCAUUACAUCAUGGCUGUCAUGUUAUUGAGAGUGUCCUGGCUCCUUCGUACUGUGAUCUCUUGUCGGAGUACUGACUCCUGUAUUUGAUUCAUCCUUUUGGAGCCAGUCCUGGAACGUCUACUUCCUGUACUGCCGUGGGCAGAUUGCCUAGCAUCGCUUUUUUCUGAUUCGAGGCCUUCCCUGAGAACCAUCUUGUUUUUCUCCAUAUCUGGUGUGGGUUCUGACUAGAUCUUCCGGUAUUUGUGAAUCUGUGAAUGAUUCUGUCAGAGUAUAUAUACUGAGAAGUCCCACUGGGUGUGCCAAAUUAUUCACCCGUUUUCGUGUUUUACUCCUGAGGUGGAAGGGCGAAGUUCCCCACUAGCUUGGAGACCACUUGUUGGUCGACAAGUCAGCUUUCUUUGGUGUGUGUGAGCGUGCCACUGCUAGCAAUGUAAAUUCUAGCAGACUUAUUUUUUAGAGUGGAUAACUUGCGCCUCAAGUUACUGACUUCUAAAACAAAUGAUUGUGAAUUUGGGUGAGGAAUAUCUCCCAAGUAAGUUCUUUUCUUGCCUCAGACUGGUGAGGACUUUCACAAUUUAUCUCAGUAUCAAAUGGUUGUUCUGGCCAGAAUAGAUAAUAAUAAAGUAGACUGUUUCAGGCAGAACUGCCUUUUACAAAAUUAAGAAGGGAGAAAUCAACUCUAGAAAGGCAAAAAGAUGGCUGGAAUCCCAUUUCUGCCUGGGUAGAAACUUCUGAUCCGGGCUGGACUGGGUAUGUCUAUGCUGGACGGUGCUGUCAACAACUUUAGCUUGCUCGGCUUUAGUUGUAAAUCGAUACCAAAGUUCAAUUUUGGCAGAGCUUCAAUCUACUUCAAGCCUUGGGAGACUUUUGAGUGGGCAGAACUGCAGCUUCUUCAGUUUGAAGGGACAGAAGUGGCUAUUCUCGAGGAUUUAGCAAGCUGGAACUAUGCUAUAAAAUUUGUUGAGGUUUUCAUAUUUGUGAAAACUCAAACUAUGUUUGUCUUGGCUUUUGCUGAACCAAAUUUGUAACGAGAGGGAUCUUGUUUUCAGAAGACUUAUUUUCUAAGUCUGAACUUUGGAAUUCUGAUCUAAAGCUGUUUUCUUGUUUGUUUUUUUUUUAUUGACUGAUGAAUUGAGUGUCCUUUGUUUCUUUGCCUUCUUUCGCUUUUAUAAGAGAUCCUCCUAAGGAGGUCAUUUUUAAUCCUAAACAAUGGGCGGCAAAAAGAUCUCUUAUAAUGUAAAGUAAGAAGGGUUUCUUAUCAAUCAAGGCAGAUAGGUUCUGAGCAGUCACCUCCUAAAAACAGUCCCUUCCCUGGUUUCCUGGGUGGCAGCUUUCUAAUUCAACCAACGCCACCGUCUGUGUGGGCUUUUUAUGGCGGUUUUGGCUCUUUUCUUUUGUAUUUUCUGAGUGGUUCCCUGUUUCCCGUUCUAAUUUAGAAAGCGUGAUCCGUGAAUUCCUUGGGAGAUGGUGUAUUGAUUUGGAGCAAAAUCUUGAACACAGAUGGGUUUUUGAUCUUCAAUUGGCAGUGUUUCAGAGACGUCCCUCUCACAUUUUUAAACUUUAGUUGGAAUUGCUGACUUUUCCAAAGUUGAGGCAAUCACGUGGGUGUGUCUUUGAUCCCUUGGUUUUGAAUCUUUCAAAAAUUACGGGCUGAUCUUUGAAGCCCAUUUCGAAAGUUUCCACAUCUGGGCUUUCUUUGGGCUGAGGCUUUAUUUCCAACAUUCUUGGUGUGAACUGGACUAAACAGUUAGUCGGACCAGACCGUCUACACAUAUGAACUGGACUCACAAGCCUAUGUUUUUUGAGCUCCCAUAUUGGUCGAAACUCAAAUUGAGGCACAAUCUAGAUGUGAUGCAUGUUGAGAAAAAUGUAUUUAACACAUUGGUGGGCACGAUUCUAGAUAUCGAGGGCAAGACAAAGGACACAAUCAAAGCCCGUCUUGAUUUGGAAAGAAUGGGCAUACAAAGGGGUUUAUGGAUGAACAGGGACAGUGAUAAAGCUAGAAGGGAUCUUGCAUUCUUUUCUAUGAAACCGAAUGAUAAAAAAGAGUUUCUAAAGUUUGUAUCGUCUGUAAAGUUUCCUGAUGGGUAUGCUUCUAAUAUCGCACAUUGCGUGAAUGUUGACGAGGGUAAAUUUACUGGACUGAAGAGCCAUGACUGCCAUGUGUUUAUGCAACGCCUACUUCCUGUGGGUAUUCGACAUCUAUUGCCGGAAGAUGUUGUGAAGCCAAUCAUGUUGUUGUCCAGAUUUUUUUCCCAACUGACGGCAAAAACAUUGCGAAAGACAGACAUAUUUCAGUUGCGCCAUGACAUUGUCCAAGUCCUAUGCAAGUUUGAGAUGAUAUUUCCUCCAGCUUUCUUCACAAGUAUGAUGCACGUGAUGGUUCACUUGCCAGAAGAGGCAUUGCUUGCUAGUCCUGUCAACUAUCGCUGGAUGUAUCCAAUAGAAAGGUAUAUAAUCUUUAUCGUUUGUGUAUGCAUCAUUAUCACAGACUUGCUAAUUUGUAUCAUAUCGUUUUAUUUUGACAGGCUUCUCGGAGAGCUGAAAAAAAGUGUACGCAACAGGGCGAAGCCCGAAGGAUCAAUUAUAGAGGCUUGGGUUCAAUAUGAGUCGCUUACUUUCUGUGGAAUGUAUUUAAAAGAUGUGGAGACGGCUUUCAAUCGUCCUCAACGCAAUAACGACGAAGGUAUGAGAAAGGAAAAACUUUCUGUUUUUGCCCAAAGUGCACGACCCUUUGGAGAUCCUGGACGAGGAGAGUCGUUUUCUAGAAAUGACAUGGAGGUAGCGCAUUGGUUCGUACUGAACAAUUGUGAUGAGAUAAUGGCAUACUUAGAUAAGCAUGAAGAGAUGAUGAAGCGAGAACAUCCAUCACAUUUAGUUGCCCAGAAACACCGUGAAUUGUUUCCACAAUGGUUUUUGGAUUCUGUAAGUUAUAAGUGUUUUGUAUUUGACAAAUAUAAAUUGUAGUAUUUAAUUUUGUCAGACUAACAUGUGAAUGGUUUUGUAUUAUAUUAGGUGAAUAAGUUGAAAUCAUCGAAUUCCCCCACUUACAGUGAUGAGUUAUAUAACUUGGCGUUCGGCCCAAUUCGCGCUGAAUUGUUUCGGGUUGUUAUAUUAAUGGCGUCAAAUUUUUGGGAGCCGCACGAGAUGACAAGUUGUGUAUGCAAAACAGCGGUGUCCAUGUCCCAGGUGGAGGCGAAAGUACGAACAUUGAUUUCUAUGGCAAACUCACAACUGUCAUUCAAUUGCUUUACAAAGAUCGAUACUAAGUGAUCAUGUUUAAGUGUCGAUGGUUUGAUAGCAACCCAAAUAGGCCGGGAAGUGUUAAAAUCAACCAUGGCUUACUAUCUGUGAACAUUAACAGAACUUGGUAUGAUGACGACCCUUACAUUUUGGCAAACAUGGCAACACAAAUUGUGUAUCUAGAUGACCCUAAAGCCGGGAGCAGUUGGAAAGUUGUUCAGAAGAUGGAUCAUAGGAACUUGUAUGCUAUACCAGAACUAGACCCAACUGACAAUGACGUCAACAAUGUGGCUGACCAACGUUUAGAAUCUUCAAUGGAAAAUGAUGCGGAAACACUUCGAGAUACACAUGUUAUACAAGAACCGUUUCAAAUACAAGGAGUGUCUUCAAUCGAAAUACCGAUUCAGUCAAUUACAAUUGACCUCGGGGAUCUUCCAAGAUUCGAUGUUGCAGUGAGCCCGAGCAACGAAGAUGAUGUAGUUAUAGAGGAGGAGGAGGAGGAUUGGGAGACUGAAAGUGAUGAUAGCGAAGAUAACGAAAGUUAUUAUAGUUCAGAUGAUGAAUAAUUAAAUUUUUUAUAUUUUUAUUAUGCUAGUGUACAGACUUUGUGUAAAACAAAAGUUUGAAUAUAUGUAGUUGUGAUAUCCAAACCUUAUAUAUGUGGACAACUGAAACAUUAUUAAAAUAAAUUUAGUUAUAAAACAUCGGUAAAUCAAUAUAUCCAAACCCUUUUAAUAUUCAUUUAAAAUUUUUUUUUUUGACAAAAACGUUUACAAAAUGAAAAUGAUAAAAUAUUUGUUAUAAAACAUUGAUAAAUAAAUAUAUCCAAACCAUUUUCAUACAAAGUUUGAAAAUUAUUGACAACAAACAUUUUUCAAAAAUGAAAAUCCUUGCGCGACGAAGUACACCUCGUCACGCAAAGUUUGCGCGACCCAGUAAACAGUCGUUGUGUAAAGUUAAAACAUUGCGAGACAAAUUAUCAUCCGUCACGCGAUAGAAUUUUGCGCGACGAAUAUUUACUCUCGUCGCGCAAAUGUAUAUUCUUUUAUAAUAUAUUUUAUAUACACAUAUAUAUUCGAAAUUGACGAUCGAGUUAGUUCAUUGUAUUCAUAUAGGGUCAUGGAGUGUAGCUGUAAAAAAUCAUCAAAAUCGGAGUUAAAAUAACUGUUAAAUCAUGACUUUUCAUUUAUAACCGUUCAAAAAUUUUGUCCCGAUACUUGAUCUCUGAAUGUUUUUUUUUUCCGAUUUUUGGGGCCUAAGAUCUCGAAGUAUAAACAAACACGUUUGACGGCUGGAUUAUUGAAACUACUUUCGUAGAAUGCGUAUGCCAUCAAAACUAUAUAUUCACCAACAAUGAAUAGUUUACUUAUACUUUCAUUAAAUAUAACAUAAGAUUAUGUGGUAUCACCCUAGUGUAAACAUCUUAAAUUGAAGAUCAAAUUCAGUAAUUGUAUUCAUAUAGGGUCAAGAAAAGUAGCUAUAAAAAAUCAUCAAAAUCGGAGUUAAAAUAACCGUUAAAUCAUGACUUUUCAUUUAGAUUCGUCGAAAAGUUUUGUACUGUUACUUGAUCUCUUAACGUUUUUUUUGUCAGAUUUUCGGCGUAUACGAUCUCGAAAUAUAAAAAAACAAGUUUGCCGGUUAGAUCAUUAAAACUAGUUUCGGGUUUAGGAUUUCUGCAGUUUAGGGUUUAGGGUUUGCGCGACGAAGCCAUUUCGUUGGUCGCACAAAGCCUGCAAAGAACAGUCUUGCGCUACGAAACUAGGAUUCUUUGUCACGCAAUCUCAACCAGCCCUUUCACCCUCUUCCUCCUUGGACACUUAGCCAAAAAAAGUUGCGAGUUUACAGAAAGCGGCUUUGCGCGACGCUGCCGGUAUUCGUCGCGCAAUAUGUAUGCCAAUAAAACCUAAAUCCCAAAUUUUGGCGAAUUACAACUUUGCGCGACGAAUAUGGGAAGCUUCGCGCAAAGUUUUCAAUCUUUCCCGCUAAACCCUAAGUCCCAAAAUUUUGGCGGAUUGACAACAUUGCGCCACGAAAGAAGGUACUGUGCGUCGCACAAAGUUUUCAAUCUCUCCCGCUAAACCCUAAGUCCCAAAAUUUUGGCGGAUUGACAAUAUUGCGCGACGAAAGAAGGUACUGUGCAUCGCGCAAAGUUUUCAAUCUCUCCCACUAAACCCUAAGUCCCAAAAUUUUGGCGGAUUGACAACAUUGCUCGACGAAAUAUGGUACUGUGCGUCGCGCAAAGUUUUCAAUCUCUACCCAAUAUUUUGCCGGAUUGACAACAUUGUGCGACGAAAGACGAUACUGUGUGUCGCGCAAAAACUACCCUGAUACCAAAUUUUGGGAUUAACAAUAUUGCACGACAGAAGUUAUACUUAUGUCGUCGCGCAAGUGUCAAUUAAAAUAUUUUGCGUGACGCUUUUGUUUGUUCGUUGCGCAAAAUCGAAUAAAAUUGCAGAAACGACGCGAUAGCCUCCUUCUUCCCCAGAUUUGUUUUUCUACCCUAACUCUCUCUCUCUCUCUCCGCCUUCAGCUCAGCCCCCUACCCCAGUGGAUUUUGGACGACGGCGCCACAACAGUGGUACCCCGGAGGUUUCCCGCCGUCACCGUCGAGCCAGCCGCCCUAAUUCCUCGAUUUUCACCGAAUCUGCGCCGCCGUCGUUCUCUCUCCUUCGGCGACCAAAUCCGACACCUGAGGUAUGGUUUCUGUCCUAUUUUUGAUGCUUUAACUGAUGGUUGGGUAGGAUUUGUGUAAUUGUUGCAAUAGGGCAGUGGAUUUGAAACCCUAAAUUUCGACCGAUUUUUGAAUUCCAAUUCCGGCCACUUCUGGCCAUUUUUCAGGGUAGGUCCGAGAACAAAAGUGGCUCCAAUUGAUGUUUUGAACCUAGGGUAGGAACCUUGGCCCUUAGUUUUAAGAAAUUUUCGACGAUUGGUAUCGCUUUGGACACCCACGCUCUGCCAGCGCUUGUGGUGGCGCGUGGGGUACUGUAGCAGUCUUGCAUUGGGUCCCAGUGCAAUCCCAUAUUUGUCACGAGCGCGUAGGUGUUUUCGGAUUGGAAUUUGGUUACCGUUUGAGUCUCGAACGGAUUUUGCCUAUUGUGCGAUUUCCGGGUUUGUUAUGUUCGGACCGUUGGAUCGAACUCAAACUCACGUAUGGUGUACCUUGUAUUUCUUGGAUCGUCUAGGAUUCGACGGAUCGUGGAUCGGAGUCCCGAAUACUCCGAACUCGCAAACCCUAGGUCAAGAAUCUUAAUAAAAUUGUAUGUGCUUUCAAAUAUUCGUAUGUUUUAUUAAUUUGUAUGUGUAUUAAUGAAAUUGUGUAGAUGUCAGACCUGAUUAGACGUCGUAGGGCGGUGACGACUACGCAGAGUUCUGAGCCCCCGGCUCAACUGACAUCUGCUGCCACUGCGCCAGCACUGAUGGACCACUUGGCAGUUGGUCCCGCGGGGUCCCAGGCUCCUGCUUCAUCAGCUUCAUUAGUGGCACAACCUGUUAGCGCCAGGAAGCGUCAUCGGCCUGCCAGCACCACCGACACCACAUCCACUGAUGCGUCGGGGUCACAGCCAGGUAUAGAUUUCCUUAAACUCCAGUUAUUUAUAUUUUUGUUUUUGUUUUUAUUUUUGUUUUUGUUUUUGUUUUUGUUUUUAUUUGUGUGUGUAUUUUAUAGUUAAAUUUGUUAUUUAUUUAACAUUAAUGUCAUCUUUCUUUGCAGCCAAGAAGAACACCCGAGGGCCGUGUCGGUAGUUGAAGACGGCGAAGGUCACUCGGGUGACCAACAGUCGUAUCAACAUCGGAUACGACAAGCGACAUCGGGCUGCACCGACGGCGGAGUUGCAUAGCUCCUUGGCCCACGACAUUGGUGAUGUCAUUCCGAGCCAUUGCCCGAUGAAAUGGAAGUCUUGGAAGGUGAUGCCUGACGAGACCAAGAUGGAGGUUCGCGGCCAGUUGUCAGUAUGUAGGCCUUUUAAUUCUUUUUCUUUCAAAUUUUAUAUUUCUAUUAUUUAAAUGUAUUUAAUUAAUUUAUUGCAGACGAACUACAACUUGGAGGACCUGGACGACGAGUCGUUGGCGUACAUCAACAGACUCUUCUCUGAGAGGUACAAAUAGUGGAAGAGCGACUUGCACCACUAUUUUGAGGCGUUUGAUGAUCCAGAAGUCUCUCUUCAGGAGGGUUGCCCGAAGGAGCUUGAGGGGCGGGAGGAUAGUUGGGCGUGGCUCUGCUCUCAUUUUCAGGCGCCCGCUUUUGUGGUAAUUUGUAAUAUGAAUUUCAAAUUUAUUAUAUUUUUCUUACUAAUGUUUUUUUAAUGUUUUAUAUUUAAUUUCAAUUUCAACUAAUACGUUUUAUUUUUUGUAUAACAGAAUAAAGCCAAAGUCAAUAAGGGCAAUAGGAAGAAGAAGACUCUUCUCCAUCAUUCGGGUUCCAGGCCCUUCUCCUAUAGGAUGGAUGCAUGGCGGCAGGUAAUCAUAAAAAAAAUUUUAUUUAAUUUUUAAUAUUUAAUUAUUCUUAAUUUAUUUUUUUGUACUAAUAUUUUUCUUCUCUUGUUCAAUUUAGGGGGGUCCAAAUUCCCAGAGAUCGACGUCUUUGGCGACGUUUAUGUUCGACCUGGGAAUGAGUUGGGCGAGUCCCUUCAUGUAAGUAUUAUUUAAUUUUAAUUAUUAUGUUACGCAUUCAAGUUUAAAGGUUAUUAUAUGAAUGUUUUAAUUUAUAUUUUAUGUUAUGCUAAACAGAUGACGAUGGUGGAGAGGAGCCAGUUGGUUCUUCAAGAGUCCGCCUCCCAACUUCCUUCCGAUACUCCGAUCGAGUCUGUGGAUCCUCCACAGGAUGCUGGGUUUCAGAUCUUGACGGAGACAUUGGAUCAGACUCUAGGGAGGAGACCGGGGAUAUAUUGUCGAGGGAUGGAGAAUGCCAGGCGGAGGGAAGCCAGACCCCGUUCAUUAGCGCAGUCAAGCAGUCAGGUCACUGCUUUGACAGCACAGGUGGCCACUCUUCAGAGUCAGAUGUCGGACAUUCUGCAGUCCCUCGCACAGUUCGGCAUUCCAGUCCCGCAUUUUGAUGCGCCGACCUCUGAGCCCGUCCAUCCUGAGCAUCCCCACCAGACGACGGCCCUUGUAGACCCCCAGACCUCUGAACCGCAUGUGCCAGACGACAAUGUAGAUUUUGGAACAUUAUGAUUAGUUUUUUUAUUUUCAUAAUUAUUUUUUAAAUAUUUCUCUUGCAGCAUACAUUUAUUUUAUAUAAUAAAUAUGUUCUUUACAAUUCUUUUUUUUAUUGGAAUUUCAUUUUAUUACCCAAAAAAAAAAAACCAAAUUUAUUUUUUUAUAAAAUAAAAUAAAAAGUAAUAUUAAAAUUAAAUAAUAAUUAUAUAUAUUAAUUUUGCGCGACGAAAUCUUUCUCGUCGCGCAAAUUUAUAUAUUACGAAAUAAAAAUGUUUCAUUUUUUUAAAUACAUAUAAUUUAUUCUUGCGCGACGAAUAUUUUCGUCUCUCAAAAAGGAUUUGCGCGACAACAGUUUUUCGUCGCGCAAAAUGUGUUGACACGAAUUGCACGACGAAGAUAUCUUUGUGCCGCAAAUAUCUACGACACGUAUUGCGCGAUGAAAAUGUUCGUCGCGCAAAAAACGUAUGCGCGACAACAAUGUUUCGUCGCGCAAUACGUGUAGACAUGAAUUGCGCGACGAAGAACUCUUGGUGCCGCAAAUGUGUACGAGACGUAUUGUGCGACGAAUAUUAUUCGCCGCGCAUCGUUGUGGCGACGAACCCGCUUUCGUCGCGCAUAAGUUUGUGCGACGAACUAUUGCAUCGUCUCUGAACCUUUUGUGCAACGAAGGGUAACCGUCGCACAAAUUUGCGCGACGAGUGAUACAAUCAGUCGCGCAAAGUCUUUCUUCACCAUCUUUGCACCACAGAUUACGCGCGACGAAUUUUCUGUCGUGCUUGAGUUUGUGCGACCAAAUUUAACUCUGCGCGACGAAAUUGGCUUCGUCGCGCAAAUCGUAAAAUGUAGUAGUGGAAGUUAUCAACAUCUAUAGGAACCCCAAUGAAAAGGCUGUUAACUAAUAAUGAAGUAAACCCCUCAAUGUUUCCGCGUAUCAGAUAUCUCUCAGAAUAUGCGAUUCCAUACUCAAUAAGCAACUCCACAUCCCCUGAGGUUUUCACCAAACCACCCAUUAAGGAAACAUACUGACUCAUGUGUAAUUAUCAUUACUCAUCGGGUAAUGCAAUUGUUCAAAGGCAAGGACAUUUCUCAUUAUUUCUGUAGUGAACCCCAAUGGAAAUGGUGGGAUCUUCAGAACCCCAUUGGUGCUACUGAAUUGUAUGUCAAAUAUGUUUUCACCUUGUCGCGCCUCAAACUUGACUCCAGCGUGCUGUAAUUCUGUCAAGCUGGGUAUGGAUGAUGGGAGUUCCCCUCCAGCUUUUGAUUCCAACGGUUGAUAGAGUUUAAAUAUUUUCCUGUAAAGAUCAACAAUAUGUGCCACUGAUCUAAAAGUCUCCAAAUUGUCUUCCAUUUUGUCAACAGGCAAUAGAUGUUCGAAGAAACUGAAAGAAAGACUAAUUAUUGAAAGCCCCUCAGUAAUGCAGUUAUUGUCAGCAUCAGCAGGGAGUGUAAUUUUCUGUGGGUCGAAAAGAUCCUCGAGAAUGAAGAAUGGCAACUGAUUUUCAAGCAACCACAUAUCUGUCCAUACAUCUUGCAACAUACCUGGUUUGUCAAAUAUGCGGUCAUUUUCAUCCCAAAAUUUGAAGUAGUCCUUCAAUAAGAGCUCAAUAACGAAGGCGGCAUCCACUAGAAUGAUUGUUACAAAUUCAUCACUGCUAAACUUGAUGGGUUCUCCAUAACAACGUCUCAAUCUUGCUUCGUGGUCCUUUAUUUUCUUAAUAUAAUCCUCCAAACUCACAUUGGUCCGACCUAUAAAAUCUUGCAGGUAUCUCUGUUUGUGCUCUUCCUAUACGACAUUCAAGCCUUCCUUUCCAUGGUGAAGUGGGCCUAUAGAGACCACCUGAGGUGUGCAGAGCUUUUCAUUCACACUUCGUAGUCGUUGAGGAACUCUGUAGAUACAGCACUUGGAGGAUGGGGGAGACAAGCUAUUGAACCCUUUUCUCAUCGAAUUUGCUAAUGAAAUGUAUGGGUUUUCUAUGUCAUUUUGAGCAGAUUGAUGGCUUCCUGCCAUUUUCCAGCUCCUGACUAUAUGUGGUGUUCCGAUUGUAACAGAUUACAAUAAUGAUGAGUAUGGAUAACUGAAUUACUGAUAAAACAAUCAAGAAACAUUUCGUUAUUUUCCAUUCCCAAUAACGAAAUCAAAAUGUUCAAGGAAAUAUAAUCAGGAUAUUGCAAUUAUAUAGCCAUUCAUAAGCUGCCUGGCAUGGAAUAAGAGGUGGAAACCAAAUCUACUUAUUGGCCAAAGUUCGAAUUCACUAUAUAUAGAUAUAUAUUUUGCCAAAAUCUAAAACUGACCAACCUUAGAUACAAAAACACGGUACAGCCCGGUUAAAGUAAUUCCAAGUGCGAAGAAAGAAAGGAAUUGAGCGUUUGUACCUCUACAGCUAGCCAAAUUUUCUAUUGAUUCUUUAAAUUUUAGAGAGCAAUUACUCUUAAUUUGGUAGGUGUAGGACUGUGCAACUUCAAGCUUUAAUGAAAGAAGCCAAGUUUAUUCUAAGGGGACAAGUCAGAGACAACGAAAUUUUGCUCAGCUUCAUUUUCAAAUUUGCUGCUUAAGAAGGAAAUUUAAUAUGUUUGUUUCACAAAUUGUAUUGUCAUCAAUGAAACUCGUGCACACCCAACGAAAUUUGCAUGGCUUAUUUUCAAAGGAGUACUGCUAUUUCCAUCCUCUGUCCUAUUUUUCCACUCACCUUAUCUUCAAAAUUUUAAAGACAAAAAUAAACCCCUUUGUAAAAUGCUUAAAAAGAAAUUUAAUAUGUUUGUUUCAAAAAUUGAUAUUGUCAUCAAUGGUUAAAGAAUUGCUGGUGACAACAUAUACUUCUUUUCUACUGUAUUAAUUUCUUUCUUUAUUUUUUCUUCAGUAUAGUUCUGCCUUUCUUUUACAUGUUUAUGCGCAUAUUUGACACGUUCAAGUAUACUUAUAUAACAAAUGCAAUGAGUUUGUAGUCACAAAAAUCAAGGAUUGAAAACAAAAAGUAAUAUUAUGUGCAAGAGAAACUUACCUGCAGAAACUGAAGAACUCCUCUAGUUUCUUCUCUGUCGCUAUGUACUCCCGCGUUCAAGUUAUUAUUCUUACAAUGUACAUACACUAUUAUAUAAUGGCGAGAAGGCUCUGAUUAACCUCCUUUUUGCUUCAUUGGAUGGGGCAAGAAUGGAAUUGUCACCGUGGGUGUGGAGGUGAUCUACCAUUUGAGCAAGAAAUUCCCACAUAUUCUUUAACUAUUUUUCAAGCAUGCAUAUUCCUCCCUAUCAAUCUUUGGUCUCUUCUUUUACUAUUUUUCAAGCAUGCAUACUUUGAUUUUAAAUCAUCUUUUCCGCACUAAUUUGCUUCAAUCAAGAAACAGUUAAUAUAUUUUGUAUCAUCAUUAGAGAACACUUGAAACUGCAUAAGUUAAUUUUGAAGAUGAUGGCAGAACCAAAAUGUGUAUAGCUUAUAACUAUAAUUUCUUGAUUACAACAAGAGGUUUCAAGUUUUCAACAACACAAAUAUGAAUCUCCCAAGCAAAGAUAAACAAUAAAGCAAGCAUACGGAUUGUCAAAUUGCCUUCAAUCACUCUAAAAUACUUCAUACCGUCCGACACUGGCUUCAAUUACUCUACAAUACUUCAAUUCAUAUAUUGUCCUAUUUUCACAUGUACAUCCUGCUUUUACUUAAGGGUUAAUUGUUGAUUUACCCCUUGAACUUGUACUCUACUUUCAAUUUGCACCCUCAACUUUUUUUUUUGAAAAUUAGGUGCAUGAACUAAUUUUUAUUGCCAAUUCCCCCUACCAACAUGUCAUCUAAUAGUCUGUCAAAUCAUUAAAAAAUAUAAUAUUUUUGGAAAAAAUUAAAGAAAAAAAAAUUCCUAAGGACCCACAGACCCAGAACCCACCCUCCGUUGCCCCCGCUUGCUGUUUUCUUCUCCUCCCAGUCCCCCAUGACCACCACCCUCCACUGCCACACCAAUCCCCUACCCAACAGACCCCUCACCCCUUCUUUUUUUUCACCCCCGAACCCAGCAUGAGUUAUUGGUUAAUACCAUUUUCUUAAUUGCCAAAUAAAAAAAAAAAACAGAGUUAACCCUCUGUUAAGCUAGCUGACUAGUGGGGCGAAAUGGAGGAAAAUCAAUAUGGAGACAGCGGAUCCGGUCCCGUGUAAGUGUAUCUGAUGGAAUAAAAGAAUGAUAUUAUUGGUGGUGGGUACGGUUAUGUGGAAGUAAUAAUGGGUAAGAGAAGAAACUUGUUCUCUUGUGAUAAUCAAAAGACAGAAAGUAGUGGGAAAAGACAGAAAGUAGUGGGACACUAUUUUAGAUAUGAUAAUGUUCCUUCCUUGAUUGAUGCAAAUGAAGAGAAAAGGGUGGCUUUAUAUAAUAGCCACUACCGACCUAACACAUUAAAAACACAACUAACACCAAACAUAGUUAAUUCAACUAACUUCUACCACACCAUUAAUUUAACACACAACUACUAACAAACUGCCAACUAUUUCAAAGUUACCAGCCGACUAUUAAUGAAGUCUAGAUUACUUUAACAUCCUCCCUUAAGCUAGACUUCAUUUACGCCAAUUAAUUUUCUCAUCUUGAUGAGCGGCUCUUUCUUCAACGGUUUGGUGAACAAAUCUGCCAGCUGAUCUUGGGACUUGCAAUACAGAACCUCAACUUCUUUAUCUUUGAUUAGCUCUCUGAUGAAAUGGAACUUGAUCUUGAUGUAACACCCCGACCCCAAAUUUUCCCAAAUUUUACCCUUAUUUAAUUAUUUAAUUAUUUAAGGGUAUUUUAGUCAUAUUUUUAACCGGAGAGAGUUUGGGACCGUGACUAGUAUUUUUGGAUAGGUCGAGCUGAGACGAGUUCAUAGACACGUAGUGGGCUCGAAUCGGAGUUGUAACGAGAGAGAUAUGGUCAAAAGAAGCCCAGUGGCACAAUCGUAAAUAUUUCGAAAUGGGAUUUUUUAUAAAAACUCAAAUUUUUCUCUCUCUCUCUCUCUCUCUCUCUCUCUCUCUCUCUCUCUCUCGCGACUCCUCUCUCUCUCUCCCGUCGGCCUCUCCUCUCUCUCUCUUCGUAACUCCGGCCACCGGCCGCGGCUGCGGACGGGGCCGGUGUCAAAAGAACCGGCUCGACCUCGGCAUCACGACCCAGCCCAUCCCCGCCAUCGGCCGCCGCUCCAGCCGCCGGAAAAUGGCGAUUUUCGCCCAGAUGUCGCCGGAACUUCAACGCCGUCGAUCUCCCUCCUCCGGCCACCAAUUCCGUCGACCCAGGUAUGGAUUUUGAACCUCUCGAGCUGCUCUAGCUGAUGGUUGGGUAGGAUUAGAUCGAUUCUUAGCGUAGAUCACUCGAUUUUCGAAUUGAAAAUCGGCCGAAACUUCGGCCGCCGUGAUCGGCCAUUUCCGGCCACUUUUUGGGGUAGGUCCAAGAACAAAAGUGGCUCCAAAUAGGGUGUUAUACCUAGGGUAGGAGUUUGGAGCCGUGGUUUUGAGAUUUUCCGGCGGAGCGUUAUCGCUUUGGGCACCCACGCGCUGCUGGCGCGUGCGGCGGAGCGUGGGCACUGUAUAAAAAGUAGCGAUGUAUUCCGAUGAGAUCCUUAGGUUGUCACGAGUGCGUAGGAUUUUGCGGAUCUCAAUUCGGACGUCGUUUGACUAUCGAACGAAUAAUCGCAUAGUGUGCGUUAUCCGGGUUCGAUAGGUUGGGACCGUUGGAUGGUCCCAAAUUUAAUAUAUGUUAAUCUAGGUAUUUCUAGGAUCGUGUAGGAAUUCACGGAUCGUGAAUCGGAACUCCGGAUGUUCCGAAUAAUAAUUUUAAGUUUAUAUUUUAUAUUAACCAUCAGAUCGUGCGAUCGUGAGCAAUCCGACCGUCCGAUCUGAACCAAACUUGCAGGACAAGUGUCCUACACCUGGUAGAACCCAUAGGGACUUCCGGAUCGGAAAUUGGAGGUCGUGGGUUCUGCAGGUCCGUUUGACCAGGGUUAGAGUAGUUUGACUCUUGGUUGACCGUGAGUCUCCCGGAGUAAUCUCACCCUUCCAGGGGGAAUUAUCGGGAGCUAGACUAUUGUGGAGGGUUACACAAUAUUAGAAUUAUUUAUAUAAAUUAUGUGGUUGUACAAGGGUACAACAGAGUCUAGAAUGUCAGUUUGGAGUGCUAUACGCACUACUCUAGGUACCUCCUCGGACUUUGGAAUUUCUACAAGUACCACCAAGUGAAAGUUAGGUCCCACGUGGCGUAGGUUAUCCGGCGUGUCGACAGACCCCAUACGUGGCGUUGGUUGUACCGGCGUAUGGGGAGAUUUGUGAUAUGAUAUUGAGGUCCCGCGUGGCGUAGGUUAUCCGGCGUUGGGACAGGCCCCAUACGUGGCGUUGGUUGUACCGGCGUAUGGGGAGAUAUUAUGAUAGUAUGGCAUGGUCGCACGUGGCGUAGGUUAUCCGGCGUGUCGACAGACCCCAUACGUGGCGUUGGUUGUACCGGCGUAUGGGGAGAUUUGUGAUAUGAUAUUGAGGUCCUGCGUGGCGUAGGUUAUCCUGCGUUGGGAUAGGCCCCAUACGUGGCGUUAGUUGUACCGGCGUAUGGGGAGAUAUUAUGAUAGUAUGGCAUGGUCGCACGUGGCGUAGGUUAUCCGGCGUGUUGACAGGCCCCAUACGUGGCGUUGGUUGUACCAGCGUAUGGGGAGAAUAUGUGAAAUACAGAGAAAUGAAAUAAGGUAUUGCCCAAGUGUGGAAUUGGGUUUUAGGGAAGAACUACUUAUGGCUUGAUCCCUCAAGGAGGGUACGUAGGCAGCCUAAGGUUAUUAGGUGCAGCCGCAGACUAAAUAUUAGUCAUAAAUUGUAAUUGAACUGUUUGGUAGUCGUUUGAGGAAGUAUUGAAAGGCCGAAGGCCAUUUGUGUGAAUUGCAUGAAAUUAUAUUGUGCAUGCUGCCAGUUGGGAAUAUUAAAUGCGUUUUUAUGCAGGUAUAAAUUUUGGGAAUGUCCAAUUUACAGGGGAGACUCUGCCAAAAUUUCGGCAGGAAGUCUCGGUUUUUAGUAAGUGGGCCUGGCAUCGGGGUGAUGUCAGGAAUUCCAAAGGGUUCGUCUCGGGUUUUGAGAAAAUUCGGGGCGGGUCCUUUCACUUGAUAUGCUUACUCUUGCUGUGAAACAUUGGAUUUUUGGAAAGACAAAUAGCUGAUUUGUUGUUGCAGAACAGCUUUGUAGGUCCUUCUUGAACUUGACCCAUCUCUUCUAAAAUACUUUUCAGCCACCUAGCUUGACAACCUGCUGAUGCAAGAGCAACAUACUCAGAUUCUGUAGUUGAAAGUGCCACUAUAGAUUGCUUUUUGGAGGACCAUGAAAUCGCACUUGAGCCAAUGCUAAAGACAUAACCAGAUGUGCUUUUGCAAGUAUCAACAUCUCCACCCAAGUCACUGUCACUGUAGCCAGUCAAAUUUAGAUUCUGAAUAGGAUAAUAAUGCAAACCAUAAUUGAUAGUUCCAACCACAUAUCUUAGGAUUCUCUUUCCAAGCUCCCAAUGAACAUCUUUUGGUGACUCCACUAAACGGCUGAGGAAGCUUACUGCAUAUGUAAGAUCUGGCCUUGUUGUAGUUAAAUACAAGAGGCCACCCACUAGACUUCGAAACAAAGUUUGAUUUACCAUUGUGCUUCCAUCAUUCUUACCUAUCUUAACACCAACCUCCAUUGGAGUAGCAAUUGACUUUGCAUUUUCCAACCUGAACCUUUUCAACAAUUCCUUUGCGUAUUUCUUUUGAGAAAUAUAGAUACCAUUCUCAUUUUGUUUGACUUCAAUUCCAAGAAAGAAAUGAAGCAAACCAAGGUCUGUCAUUUCAAAUCUUUGUGACAUAAUCAUCUUGAAAUUAUCACACAUUUGAGCAUUACUUCCAGUAAAUAUUAAGUCAUCCACAUAUAAGCAGACAAUCAAAAUCUCACCUUGAGAGUUCUUCUUGGUGUAAAGAGUAUGCUCAUAUGGGCAUUUGUGAAACCCAUACUCUUGGAAGAAUGCAUCAAUCCGACUGUACCAAGCUCUUGGAGCUUGUUUCAAACCAUAUAAAGCCUUCUUCAAUCUACACACUUUUGUUUCUUCAUUUCCCUGCACAUAACCUGGAGGUUGAGCAACAUACACUUCUUCUUCCAAAAAACCUUGCAAGAAUGCUGGUUUAACUUCCAUUUGAAAGACUUUCCAACAAUUUUGGGCAGCAAGAGCUAACACCAUUCGGAUGGUGUCAAAGCGUGCAACUGGAGCAAAAACUUCAUUGUAAUCAAUUCCAUAAUUUUGCUUGUAGCCUUUAGCUACCAAGCGAGCUUUGUAUUUCUCAACUUCUCCUUGAGCAUUCAGCUUGGUCUUAUACACCCAUUUUACUCCUAUAGGCUUCUUUCCUUGAGGAAGAUCAACCAGCUCCCAUGUGUCAUUUUUCUUAAUGGAAUCAAUUUCUUGAUCCAUAGCCUUCACCCAAUUUUCAUCCUUUGAAGCCUCUUCAAACAUAAUUGGGUCUGCAUCUACAAAUAGAGCAAAAUUUGUGCCACCAUUAGUGAUCAAAACAUAAUCACUAGAUGGGUACCUUGUGGAUGGUUGAUGAGCUCUUGUUGAUCUCCUUUGUCCUCUGCAAAUUUCUUCUUCCUCACUGCUAUCACUAGAAGAAGUUGAUGAUGACCCUUGUGAUGAAGAUUCCUAUGAUGAUAGAGUUGUUGGUGGAGUUAAAUCUGGAUUUUCAAGGCCAAUGUCCAACAGUAUUGGACUUUGAUUUUCAGCUUCACUCCAAUUCCAUGCUUCUUCUUCAUUGAACUUGACAUCACGACUAACAAUAAUCUUGUUAGUCAAUGGAUUAAACAACUUAUAUGCCUUGGCCUUUUCACUAUACCCAACAAGAAUGCACUUUUCUGAUUUGUCAUCCAAUUUUCUCCUUGUUUUAUCAGGAAUAUGAGAAUAAGCAAUGCUGCCAAAUAUCCUUAAGUGACUAAUACAUGGCUUGAGGCCACUCUAAGCUUCUUGAGGAGUCUUGCCUUCCACACUAUUGGACGAUGCACGGUUCAAGAGAUAUACAGCACAUGCCACUGCUUCUGCCCAAAAACGAUUAGGCAUUGCUUUUGCCUUCAACAUGCUUCUUGCCAAUUCCAUAACGGUCCUAUUUUUUCUCUCGGCCACACCAUUUUGCUGUGGGGUGUACCGAGCUGUGAACUGAUGCUUAAUCCCAUUUUCUUUUAGAAAAUUUUCGAACACAUUGGAUGAGAAUUCUCCACCUUGAUCAGACCGCAAGGUUUUCAAUGCAAAUCCACUUUGCUUCUCAGCCAAAGCUUUGAAAACUUUAAAGUAAUCAAACACCUCUGAUUUAUAUUUGAGAAAAUAGACCCAUGUCUUUCUGCUAUAAUCAUCAAUGAAUGUAAGAAAGUAGCGGUUACCUCCUGUUGAUGUUGUGUUCAUGGGCCCGCAUACAUCUGAGUGCACCAGCUCAAGAGGAUGGGAUGCUCUCCAAGAAUUUCCUGUAAGAAACGAAUUUCUCUGAUGUUUUCCCAGCACACAUGCUUCACAAACUUGUGUUUGAUGCUGUAUCGUUGGUAGGCCUCGUACCAUAUGUUGUUUCCCCAUCAAUGAUAGUGUAUUGAAACUCAAAUGCCCAUAGCGUAGAAGCCACAACCAUGAGGAAUCCUUGAUAAGUGCACUUAAGCAAGCAAAAGAUUCAUACUUUAUGUUCAGAGAAAACAUAUUGUCUCCUGACAUCUGCACCUUUGUAAUUAGAGAGUUGUACUUGUCUCUAAUUACACACUGGUCUUCCCUGAACUGAAUAUUAUGGCCUUUAUGAAGAAGUUGCCCCACACUAAGGAGAUUGUAAUUUAAAUCUGGAACAUAUAACACAUCAGAGAUUCUUUUUUGUUCUCCAGACUUGGAUAGAAAAAGAAUAUCUCCACAUCCUUUGGCCACUAGCUUUCCACCAUCACCAAUCCUUACUUCUGAGUUGUUGGUAUGCUUGAAAUUGACAAAGGCACUUUUGUUGCCUGUCAUGUGAUUACUACAUCCGCUAUCAAGAUACCAUUUUUCUGCACACACGUUUCCUUCCCUGGCAGCUGCAUAUGCAAGUAGAACCACAUUAUCAUUUUCCCUUUCAGAAGCUUUUUCAUGCACAAAGCUUGAUUCGGCUCCUCCAUUUGUUUUGUUUUUGCAUGUUGACUUGAUGUGCCCAUAUUGCUUGCAAUUGUAGCACUGAAUAUUAGAAAGAGAGGAACCUUGUUCUCUUCCUCUUCCUCUUGAAUAACCACCAUAAUCUCCUCUUCCUCUUGGAUAACCAUAAUCUCCUCUUCUUCUUGAAUAACCAUAAUCUCGUGCAGAGCCUUCAUCAUUAGUUUUUUUUAGGUCAUUUGCAUAGCCACGUCCUUGAUUAUUUCUUCCUCGUCCACGAGUAAAGCCGCCUCUUCCUCUUCUAGAACUUCCUCUGAAUGAGACUUGAGAUUGAAAAGCUUGCUCAACAGGGCCAGAGUCAAACUGCUUCAGUCGUAACUCAUGGGAUUGAAGAGAACCCAUUAAACUGUCAAGAGACAAAGUAGACAGAUCUUUGGAUUCUUCAAUUGCCACCACAAUAUAUUCAAACUUUCGGGGACAUACUUCGAAGAAUUUUUUCAGCAACUCUCUGAUCUUCAAUUUUUUCUCCAUUAAUUCUCAGUUGGUUGACUAGAGAAAUGACACGAUUGAAAUAGUCUUCAACAGAUUCUGACUCCUUCAUACGUAACAUAUCAAACUCACCUCUUAGAGUUUGCAGUCUUGCCAUCUUCACUUUAUCUUCUCCUUUAUAUGAUGCAAAGAGAGUGUCCCACGCCUGUUUUGAUGUAAUGCAUGAUGAGAUUCUUUCAAAGAUAGCUUCAUCCACUGCUUGAAAGAUAAAGAAUAAAGCUUUUUUGUCCUUCUUACGUGUCUCCUUCAGCUCUGUGAGUUGUUGUUGAGUGAGGACUGCUUGAUCAUUUGGCUCCACAAAGCCAUUUUCAACCACCUCCCACAAAUCUUGAGCAGCAUACAACACCUUCAUUUGGAUGCUCCAUUGACUAUAAUUCUUCCCUGUAAACUUUGGAAGCUGGGGCUGUAACAAGUUGUUGUUUGAAGCCAUAUGAUUCUGAGUUUCCAGCUCUGAUACCACUUUGAUGGAAUAAAAGAAUGAUAUUAUUGGUGGUGGGUACGGUUAUGUGGAAGUAAUAAUGGGUAAGAGAAGAAACUUGUUCUCUUGUGAUAAUCAAAAGACAGAAAGUAGUGGGACACUAUUUUAGAUAUGAUAAUGUUCCUUCCUUGAUUGAUGCAAAUGAAGAGAAAAGGGUGGCUUUAUAUAAUAGCCACUACCGACCUAACACAUUAAAAACACAACUAACACCAAACAUAGUUAAUUCAACUAACUUCUACCACACCAUUAAUUUAACACACAACUACUAACAAACUGCCAACUAUUUCAAAGUUACCAGCUGACUAUUAAUGAAGUCUAGAUUACUUUAACAGUAUCGAAUCUAGCUUUAAUAUGUAUUGGGUCCUCUGGACAAGAAUUCUAUCCUUUUCGUCCUAACUAAUAUGUAGGGGAAAAACAAUACAUCAAUUAUCCUUUUCGUCCUAACUAAUAUGUAGGGGAAAAACAAUACAUCAAUUAUGAAUUUUUUUUAUCUGGGUUCGAAAUUAAAUAUGAAUGGAGUUUUGGAGGCUUAAAAGUUAUAAGCUCAAGAAAGGAAGGAAACUAUAUGUACAUUUGGGUCGGAGGCAAAGGUCCAGUCAUCUACCGUCCAGGAUAUACAGUAUCAAAAAAGGCUUAAGAAUUGUAAUAAGGUGACAUACGCCCACAUACGGCCAACGCUAGCAUAUUUCGUAAGUGUAUUAUAUGUCUUCUAAGUAUAUCAUAGUUAUGUGUCAAUUUUAGAUCCAAUUGCACACCCAAAAUACAGAAACAAAAUCAUUGAGAAUACACUUUUUUUCACUUAUAUUUUGAAUAUGCAUUGCCUGUAUUUCAUGUGUAUGAUAUAGGGGCUUCACUUAUAGUUUUUGCACAAAACCUCCCUUGAUGAAGGAUGUCUUAGAUUAAUGACAUCAAUGAUUUGUUACAUUUGGAGUACCCAACAUAACAGCUCUCUGAUUAACAAUAAAGUUAUAAAAUUUCAACAGUUUCAUACCUAACAAGCAUAGAGAAACAAAUAAAACAACCACAUUGCUUCGAUCACUGUACAUGCACACAGCUCACUUUCACUAACUACAGAGGCUAUAUUUUCUACAUAUACACUAACUUUUUCUUUCUCCAGCUCUCUUACACCACCAGGCUGGUGACAAACCCAGCUCGCGUCAUGUGGAGGACCAAAAGGAAAUGACAAGGAGAAAACGGCUAAGGAGAGACUUACUCUCAACACUUAGAAGGCAGAGCAGAGAUAACAGAGCACACUGCUUGUAUAAAAGUGAGUAUGAGGAGAAAAAUAGCGGUAGCAAUUGAAAUAGUUGCCCAAGGUGUGUUGCAAUAGUUUUGUCUCAAGUUUGCCUGCCAUUUGUGCCAAGACGUUCUGCAGUACUUGUUGAGGUCUGCACAAAGAAUAGCAAAAUAGAAGUCAUUAGAGUCCACAAUGACCCCAUCUGCAAGGUUGUUGAUCAGAGUAGACCCUCCACUACUGUCACCGAGCAUAUUUUCGACGAUUCCUUGCUUAACAACCAACUCCACAUCCGUUGCGGUGUUCACAAAGCGAUCCACGAUGACAACAUAAUUGUUUAUGUAAUUCUCCAUGCAAUGGCAUUGUUCAAAGGCAAGGAGGUUUCUGAUUGUAAGCUCUGUCUCAUCACUUAUUGCUAAUUUUGGAAUUUCUAGAAUCCCAUUAGCGAAUUGUAUGUCGAAUAAGUUUUUGGGUGAUCCCACCUUAAACUUGACUCCUGCUCUGUGUAACUCUGUGAUGCUGGAUGUGUUUAAGAGUUUCAAGUCGCCCCUUAGCAGGUGGUUUCAAUGGUAGAGGUAGAUACAAAUUUCUACAAAAAUCUACAAAGUGUUCUACUUUAGAAGUACAUAAUUUCUCCAUAUUGCCAUCCGUUCCCUCUAUGUGCAUUAGAGUUUUGAAGAAAUUGUGGCAAAGGUUAAGCAUCGAAAGCCUCUCAAUAUUGUUAUUGUUAGAAGAGACUUUGAUUUUUUCGGGGUCAAAAAGUUCCUCAAGAAUGAAGAAUGGCAGCUGAUUUUCAAACAACCGCAUGUCAGGCCAUACGUCUGGCAACAGCCAUGGUUUGUUAAAUAUGCGGUCAAUUUCAUCCUGCAAUUCAUCGAAACGAUACCUCAACAAGACCUCAAUGAUGAAGGCGGCAUCCACUAGAAUGAUUCUCACAAAUUCAUCACUGCUAACCUGAAUGGUUUCUGCAUAACAACUGCGCAGUUUUGCUUCUUGGUCUUUUACUUUCUGUACAUAAUCGGCUAGGCUUACCCUGGUCCGACGUAUAUAAUCUUGUAAGUACCUCUUUUUGUGAUCUUCCAUGGCUUUUAGGCCUUCCUCGCCAUGAUGAAGUGGGCCUAUAGAGACUACCUGAGGUGUGUAGGCCUUUUCACUCACACGCCGUAGUCGUUCAGGAACUCUAUAAAUGCAACACAAGGAGGAGAGGGAAGACAAGCCAUCCAACUCCUCACUCAUUGAAGUUACUAAUGGAAUGCAAGGGUUUUCAAUAUCAUGUGGAGCUUGAUCGCUUCCUUCCAUUUUCCGCUGAUGUGUUUGUUGUUGUCAAUCAUAAUGGAUGAUAAUGAAAUGAUAGUCACUGACACAACAAUAAACAAAUUUUUCAAGAUGGCUGAGAAAAUUAAUACAAACAUUGCAAUUAUAAGACCAAACACACAAAGACUUUUGAUCCUUGUAACUCUUACAUACCACACUAGUGCCUUAAGAAUUCGAUUUGAAUGCACCAAAUUCAUUCAAAACUCUUCUGGUCAACUCUGUUUCUUGUAAUUAUUCUUGGAAGAUUCUAAUACAUUUUUGAUUGAAAAAUUCCUACUAAUCAUGUGAAUCAGUACCAAAGUUUAUUUCAAAUUAACAUACAAACCCCACUUUUUUUUUCCUACAUAUAUACUUCUUUAUUUCCCCUCAACUUAUUGGAGCUUCUAAUAAAGCAAAUUCUUUCUGUGAUGAUAUCAGAUAGUAGAUUAUGCUUCCAGUCAAAACAUAGACAAACCAAAAUCCCAUUAGAAGAGAAGAAAAUAAUAUACGACAUUCACAUAACCUUCUGCUCAAUUCCAAUUUCCAACUACAAUGAAACAUAAGACACUUAAAAGCUUCAAGAAAUUGGAUGUGCAAGCAAACAUAGCGAAAUUAUGAAAGACAGAGAAAGGUGUUGGGCAUUGAAAACAUACCUGAUACGUAUUGAAACACAAUUUUUUUUUGCCUUUGGUAGAUGGAGUAGCUAGAAAAGCUCAAUGCACUUGCUCUUCUGCUACAUUUCAAUAUAAGAACAUUGUUUGGAAGUCCGGUCAAUUCCUCAAAGCUUCCUUGCCUUUGUUUUGACAUGCCGAUGCCCGUCUUGGGGAAGUUUGAAUAAUCCAUUGCAGGCCCCAUGAUAGGAUUUUUAGUACUUGUGCAAACAGUGUUAAAAAUCACAUAAAAUACUUGCAAGAAUACAAGGCUAUUGUAGUAUAGAUGCUCAUGCAAGGUCGUUUUCCUCAAGGACUAAUUAGCAAUUUAUGUAAAAACAAAUUCCAAUUACUACUUAAAAUAAAAAGUCAAGAAAGAUGAUUAUAAAUUUGGUGGAUUCUAAAAAACAAAUAUUAAACAAAAACAAAUACGAUUGAAAGAAAGAGUUUUGAAUAUCAAUUUAUAAAAACACUAGGGUUUCACCAUCACCUAGCAAUCCUAUGAACUUUUACCAAUUACUUAUGAUUUGCACAUGCCACUUUGAAGGUUAGGUUUUCCUAAUGUAUAUUCUACUUGGAACCUCCAACACAGAACGUAUAUCCAACAUGCAACCCGUCCGGACGUUCGGAUCAAAUCUGAACAUGAAAGACUCAUUAAGUUUUGUGAAAACCCUUUGAAAAACCAUGCAACCCUUAAGACGUGGUGUUCAUCUUAAGUGAAAUUACAAUUAUUAAUCACAAGAAGCUAGCAUAAAUUUCAGGGAACCUUCCGACCAAAAUUGCAUCCAAUUACUUUUCUAAAGAUCCUAAUGGUGAUCAGGCAUUAAGACAAUUAGAUAGUUUAAAAUAGUGAUUAACAAUUCAAAAUACGCAUGCACUCAUCAUAAGCAAUUAAAUAAAAAUCACAUAUUCAUGCUAAGGUUCAAGGCUUCACCCUAGCAAAAGAAAUUUAGUUACGCAUACUCAUAAUUGAAAUCCAAGAAAAUAUCAUUAAGAAGAAAAGAACGAAAACACCUGAAAGUUGUGAAAACCCAAAACCCUAGCAAUUGCUCUCUACAAUGCAAAGUUCAAAAAUAAUUAAGAAGUCCUAAAUUCCUUGUGAGAAAGAGCUUAAAUAUCCCUUAAAACCUAGCUGCCAAUGUACAGCUUUUCUAUCCCUACAAGGAAACUAAUUAAAGUAAAAUAAUACUAGGAAAUAAAGUCCAAAUUGGAAUAGGAGAAUUUGCCCAAAAUCAGCCCAGCCACGUUUUGGCCCCAAAUCUCCUCCAAAUCUGGCCCAAGAUAGCUUUUUUUAAAGACACUACUACAAAAAGUGAAAAAGACGACCAGAAAACAACGACGGUCUAAGUGAAAACCGUCGUGGUUUUUAAAAAGACGACGGUUCUAAAAACACCGUCGUGUAAUACCACCUUAGACAACUAAAAAAUGGAGAUUCAAAUGGCUGUUCAAAAACAACGACGUACCUAAUUAAACAACCGACGUCUAUUUGAAACAGAUUUCCGCAGUGUAAAAUCAAAGCAAACAAAGAACGGCAGAAGUUAUGAAUAGACCGACGUAGAAAGUAAAGACGACGAUUUCAAUAAAAGCCGCCGUUUUUACUCAUAAAAUAACACGACGAGGUUUUCGUAUAAGACGCCGUAUAAUUACAAACAAAUCCACGGCUUUAAAAUACAAAAUAAUCUUAACAGAUGACACAGAUUUGCAAUCAGAGAGACAAUUUUUUGGAAGUUGAUCAACGUCGUUGAAAAUUUGCAAUCAGAGAGACAAUUUUCAACGACGGUUAUAUUAUACCUAACGACGUUUAAAAACAAAUCAACGUCGCUCAACAAAUAUAUUACGUCGUCUUAGUCUUACUUAAGACGACGAAAAACGACGACAGUAGUAAAAAAACAGUCGUUGUUUUUAUAUUCUUAUUUUAUUUAAAUCUGUCGUGUUAGUUAAAAACGACGGCAUAACAAAAAACCGUCGUUUUGUUUCAAACUGAAUUAAUUUAAAAUUUCUUCAGGAAAGCAAAAUCUAUUUAUAAUUUCCUCGGGUUAGUAAUAUUGUGUCGUGUUAGUUUACAAAUUCUAGAACAUUAAUUUCCCUCAUUUUAAAUUUUCUCGGGAAAGAAAAAUCUAUUUAUCACGCUUUGUAAUUGAAAACUAAAACUGAAAGAAUUCUGGAAAAAAAACUCUAUUUAUAAUUUAAAAAUAAAAUGCACGUCGGUUGUAGUACACUUAACGACGUUUAACAAAAUAAUCUACGUCGGUAAUUAUAAAUCUACCGCCAUCUUACCCUAAUAUAGACGACGAGAAAAGACGACGGUAGAACAGAAAACCGCCGUUGUUUCAGUUUCUUUAACAGUUUGGUCCUUUAUCUUUCUGCAGGACUUGUAUAGUUCAAAGCAUUGACAAUGUCUUCAUCAUAUCUCCCAGCAACUACUGAUUCGAUUGCUCAUGCUUUAGAGGCCAUCUGAAGCCAUUUCUAUUCUUUAUCGCAUUCUUGAAACCCAUCUUCUUCUUCUGAAGCUCUACGGAUAAAGGAANNNNNNNNNNNNNNNNNNNNNNNNNNNNNNNNNNNNNNNNNNNNNNNNNNNNNNNNNNNNNNNNNNNNNNNNNNNNNNNNNNNNNNNNNNNNNNNNNNNNNNNNNNNNNNNNNNNNNNNNNNNNNNNNNNNNNNNNNNNNNNNNNNNNNNNNNNNNNNNUUUUUUUUGGGGUUGGUUUUUUAUAGUAACCAGUUAUAACAGUAGUGGUUGUGCAAUGUUUGGUUCCCUUAAGCUUCGAUCCAACCGUGUAGCCAGCUUUAGGUCAAUGUCUCCCAAACCACUCGGGUUUUAGGGCACUAGGUGUAGAACACCCCUAAGGACUUAUUAACUCAAGCUGAAAAGGCUACGAAACCAACUAACCACCCUGCCUCAUGCCAAAACUCUACCUUUUGUCUCGAAAAUCACUGCUGAUUAGGCAGGACUGGCCCGGUUACUAGCAAAGCUUCGGGUGAGGCAAUUAUUACUUUAUAACACAUACUAACUUUAUUUAAAUUGAACAGAAAUUAAAACACACUUGGACAAAAAGUAAGUAUUCCAAUCUCACUCCCCAAAAACCAUAUUGGUGUGAUGUGCAAAUUUCAAAGUAUAAUUCAUGAAUUAGUGUCUAAGCAACAAUAAAUAGAAAAGACUCUACUGUGGGAUUGAUUUUCACUAUGUCCAUUUAUUCUAACGUUUAAAAUAAUCUAUGGAUAUUGACUGAAAAACGAAAAUUUUAAACAAGACUUAAAAAAAACUAAAAAUCUAAAAUUUACUUUCCCACCCCCUAACUUAAAUCACACAUUGUCCUCAAGGUGUGGUAAAUAAUCAAAAGAAACAAGAGCAGAAACAAAACGACUAAAUCCUAGAAAAUGAAAAUCAAAAAUAAAGAAAAUACUCUAAGAAAAGAAACUAGGAAGGAAAAAUAGAAGAAUAAUAAAAUAAAAUAAAAUAAGAAAGAAAAGGAGAAAAACAACAAUAGAAAAGAAAUAGGAAAGAAAAUACCCAAAAAUGAGACACCUUGGGGAUUCAAAGGCAGGACCAGGCGGAGUGUUGCGAAAAAGCGCUGACCAACUCAACCACGUCCACACUGGCAUCAAAUAGGAGCGACAGCUACAAUAUAACCUGCUGUAGCUGCUGCAUCUGUCAUUUGAAAAAUAUUGGAUUCCCUUCUCCUACCCCGAGCUCAGAGCCGAAAGGCUCUCUUCUGUCCAUUCCCAUUUUGCAGAAGAAAAAAGAAUAUUGCUGGAUAAACCAAAGCCUCCGCUGUGUCCAGAGAAUCAGAAAAGGUCUCUGAUUUCUCUCUUCUCAAGGCCAUCCAUCUCCGCCUUCACUCUUCUUCAUUCUCUCCAACACUCACGAUCCUUUCCUCUCUUUCAACCCAAUUACACCAGCGUUUUCAUCUGCGUGAGGAGGCCACAUUUGCAGCAAACACAACCAGUGAGGUUGAAUUAUCUGAUGCACCUGAAUUUUUGGAUGGUUUUGGAGUCCCUAGAUUCCUCAAAUUCAGAUCUGUCUCCAUCCAUGUCACCAGAUGCUAACUUGUUCCAAGAUGAAAACAAGCUGAAGCCGAACAAGAGUCUAUUCUCCACCAGUAAGGACCCCAGAUCUGUGCAUCCCGUAGGUAAACUUUCGAACCCCAGAACUGGUUUUUUUUUUUUUUUUUUUCCGUUUUUUUUUUGUUUUGAAAAUAAAAGAAGUAAAGAGUUUAGAAAAAUUGGGUUGCCUCCCAAUAAGCGCGCUAUUUUAAGUCUGUAGCUAGACUUUGCAGAAGCCUGGUGGUCAAAUCACUGGUUCCUUCAGAGUCAAAGACUCGGCUGCAAUGUCAAAGGGUGUCUCCACGUAGGGUUUUAGCCUAUGACCAUUCACCUUGAACGUGUUGCCUUUAUCUUCAUUAGUGAUUUGAACUGCUCCAUGAGGAAAAACUUGAGUCACUAGGUAGGGUCCAGUCCAGCGAGAUUUUAAUUUCCCUGGAAACAACUUGAGCCUUGAACUAAAUAACAGAACCUUUUGCCCUGGCUGAAAUUCCUUCCGUAAAAUUUGACUGUCAUGAAAUGCCUUAGUUCUUUCCUUGUAGAUGCGAGAACUAUCAUAAGCACCUUGACGAAUUUCCUCUAGCUCAUUUAACUGCAAUUUCCGCUUUUCCCCAGCUGAGUCAUAUGCAAAAUUUAACUCUUUAAUGGCCCAGUAAGCUUUAUGCUCCAGCUCCAUAGGUAGAUGACAGGCUUUCCCAUAAACAAGUCGGAAUGGUGACAUCCCAAUAGGAGUUUUAUAAGCUGUCCUGUAUGCCCACAAAGCAUCAUUUAGUUUGAAACUCCAAUCCUUGCGUGUAGAGCUCACUGUUUUCUCCAAAAUACGCUUUAUUUCUCUGUUUGAAACUUCAACUUGACCAGAUGUCUGUGGGUGGUAUGGUGUAGCCACGCGAUGAUUAAUCCCGUAUUUUGCCAGUAGGUUAGCAAAUGGUUUAUUAAUAAAAUGCUUCCCCCCAUCACUAAGAAUAACACGCGGUAUUCCAAAACGUGGAAAUAUAACCCCCUGGAGGAACUUCAGGACCACUGAUCCUUGAUUAGUUGGUGCUGCAAUGGCCUCGACCCAUUUUGAAACAUAUUCCACAGCCACUAAAAUAUAUUGGUGCCCAUUAGAAGAUGGGAAUGGCCCCAUGAAAUCAAUACCCCAAACAUCAAAUAGUUCAACAAUUAGGAUACUUUGUUGGGGCAUUUCAUUCCUUCUGGAUUGAUUGCCGACCCUUUGACACCGAUCACAUGCCUUGCACCAAUUCUGUGAAUCUCUAAAAAGUGUUGGCCAAAAUAACCCACUCUGUAGGAUUUUCUCUGCUGUCCUUUUCUGCGCAAAAUGUCCUCCUCAAGCAUAGUGAUGAGCAAACUUUAAAACACUUUCUUGUUCAGCCUCCGGAAUACACCUGCGAAUAAUCUGGUCUGCACAAUACUUGUAUAAGUACGGUUCAUCCCAGAAAUAGUGCUUUACAUCAGAUAAAAACUUCUUUUUCUGCUGGUAGGAAAAAUCUGGAUGCACCACACCCUUAGCCAAAUAAUUGACAAUAUCUGCAAACCAAGGUGUGUCAAUUUUGACAGCAAAUAGCUGUUCAUCUGGGAAACUUUCACUCAAUGGUAGAGAAUCUGCCUCUGUAGCUGCUGGAAUAAUUAAUCUAGAUAAAUGAUCAGCCACAACAUUCUCACUGCCCUUCUUGUCUUUAAUCUCUAAGUCAAAUUCUUGAAGUAAGAGAACCCAACGAAUCAAUCUAGGCUUUGCAUCCUUCUUAGACAACAAGUAUUUUAGUGCAGCAUGAUCUGUAUAGACAAUUAUUUUAGCCCCAACCAAAUAAGACCGAAAUUUCUCUAGUGCGAACACAACUGCCAACAAUUCCUUCUCUGUAGUUGCAUAGUUAAGCUGUGCAUCAUUUAGAGUACGACUUGCAUAAUAGAUGACAUGGGGAAGCUUAUCUUUUCGCUGCCCUAAAACUGCCCCGACAGCAUAAUCUGACGCAUCACACAUUAGUUCAAAUGGUAAAUCCCAAUUUGGUGCAGCAAUGAUGGGUGCCGAAGUUAGGAGUGCUUUCAACUUGUUGAAUGCUUCUAAACAGGCCUUAUCAAAAUUAAAUGGUGCAUCCUUAGCCAAUAAAGUGCACAAAGGUCGACUAAUCUUGGAGAAAUCCUUGAUGAACCGACGAUAAAAACCUGCGUGUCCUAAGAAGGACCUCACACCUUUUACUGAUGUAGGAGGUGGCAGCUUUGCAAUAACUUCAAUCUUUGCCUUGUCAACCUCGAUGCCUUUGCUAGAAAUUGAAUGACCCAAGACAAUUCCCUGUUCAACCAUGAAAUGCCACUUUUCCCAGUUUAGCACUAAAUUUGUCGCUUGACAUCUCUGAAGAACUAAUGAUAAAUUCUGUAAGCAUUGAUCAUAUGAAUCCCCAAAAACAGAAAAAUCAUCCAUAAAAACUUCCACAAUAUUUUCGACCAAGCCAGAAAAAAUACUCAUCAUACAACGUUGAAACGUAGCAGGUGCAUCGCAUAAUCCGAAUGGCAUCCUCCGAUAAGCGUAAGUACCAAAUGGACAAGUGAAAGUAGUCUUCUCUUGAUCCUCUGGUGCUAUUGGAAUCUGAUUAUACCCAGAAUACCCAUCAAGAAAACAGUAAAAAGCCCGCCCAACCAACCUUUCUAACAUCUGGUCAAUAAAAGGCAAUGGAAAAUGGUCUUUUCUCGUCCCUGUGUUAAGCUUCCGAUAAUCUACACACAUUCUCCAACCCGUAGUCAAUCGUGUAGGAACUAACUCAUUAUUAUCAUUUUUCACCACUGUAAUACCGGUCCGUUUAGGCACAACUUGAGUCGGGCUAACCCAUUUACUGUCAGAAAUAGGAUAAAUCAUACCUGCAUCAAGUAAUUUCAUAACCUCUGUUCUAACCACCUCUUUCAUAAUUGGGUUAAGGCGGCGUUGAGCAUCAACUGUUAGCUUUACGUCGUCUUCCAUUAAUAUUCUGUGCAUACAUAGUGCUGGGCUGAUUCCCUUGAUAUCCGCAAUUGUCCAUCCCAAUGCAUCUUGAUAUUUUCUCAAUACACGAAGCAAUUUAUCCUCCUCUGUCGGUGUUAAAUCUGCUGCAAUUAUAACUGGCAACGUCUCUGCAGCUCCUAAAUAUGCAUAUUUAAGAUGUUGUGGUAAAGGCUUCAGCUCCAAUUUUGGCGGCUGCUGUCUGGAUGGUUUAAGGGGCUGUUUGGGCUCCCCUAAACUCUCAUACACAUUCCUAAAUUUUGGCAACACUGUGGGCAGACUGUUCAAUGCGUGUAUGUACUCAUGAACACCUUCAUCUUCAAAAUCUGUCUCAAAUGCCCCCUGUAAAACAUGCAACAACUGAUCUGUUUUUGAAUUAGCAUAAAAUCUGUCCUGCACCAUACUGUCUACCAUGUCAAUACGCAUACAAUCUAGCUGUUCAGCAGGACGUUUUGUUGCCGCAAACAAAUUAAACACCACAGAUUGGUCCUGAACCCGUAAAGUCAAUGUUCCAGCUUCCACAUCAAUUAAGGUCCUAGCUGUUGCCAUAAACGGCCUCCCCAAAAUAAUAGGUGUUUGAAGGUCUUCAUCCAUGUCUAAAACCACAAAAUCUGCCGGUAGAUAAAGAUUAUCAACCUUAAUAAUUAGAUCUUCAAUAACACCUCUUGGAUAAGUGAUUGAACGGUCAGCUAGUUGAAGUAUAAUUGAUAUAGGCUUUAAAUCUCCUUGCCCCAAUCGCUGAAAAACAGAAAAAGGCAUCAAAUUAAUACUUGCACCCAAAUCAAUUAAAGCACUCUUAAAAUUAGAAUUUCCAAUAGUGCAAGAAAUAUUAAAACUCCCUGGAUCUUUUUUCUUAGGUGGUAGUUUGUGUAGCAAAACUGCAUUGCACUGUUCUGUCAAAAUAACUUUUUCCAAAUCUGAAAGCUUCUUUUUGCUGCUGCAAACUUCCUUCAAAAAUUUGGCAUAUGAUGGAAUUUUCUUGAUUGCAUCCAGUAAGGGAAUGUUGAUUUGAACCUUGGAUAAUGUCUGCAUAAAGUCCUUGAGUUGCUGAUCUUUUACUUUUGGCUUCAAACGUUCUGGAUAUGGAAUUGGGGCCUCAUAAACACGCUCAGGUACUUGUUUUGGAACAGUUUCUAGAUCUGCCAUAUUAUGUUUUUCUACAGGUUUGGCAGGUUCUGCUGCUGCAAAAUUUUCUGUAUGAUCCUCCACUGCAUGCUGCUCCUUUUCAAUGUUAUUUUCACGAUUGUCAUAGCUUUUUCCACAUCGUAAAGUCCGAACAACUUUGCAAUCUUCACGUCCAUUUGGAUUAGGAAUUGUUUGACUAGGAAAUUUGCCCUUUUAUCUGUCUGAAAUCUGUGUAGCUAGUUGUCCAAAUUGUUGCUCCAAACUUUUAAUAGAUGCUUCAACAUUUUGAAAUCUUUGAUUGUUGCCCUCGAUGAAUGAUUGAGUUGUUGCUGCCAGUUUAGCAAGUUGAUCUUCCAUAGAUGGUUUGGAGGGAACAAAAGGUUUUUGUGCAUGCUGGAAUGGUUUGGCAUUAGUCUGAUUGUCACCCCAUUUGAAAUUAGGGUGAUCCCUCCAUCCAGGAUUGUAAUGAGUUGCAUAUGCAUCAUUCCUAGGCCUUUGAUAGCUGUUCAUCAUAUUGACAUGUUGUUCAACAAGCUCUGGGUAAGAGUCUCUAUGUGGGCAGCCCAUUAUGUCAUGUGUAGCCAUACUGCAUAUAGUGCAAACUGUUGAUGUAGGUGGCUGCUGUGUAGAACUUGCUAUAUGUUGUAGAAGCAUAUCAAACUUUGCAUCAAUUUUCUUAUCCAUUUUUUCCAUUUGUGCAGACAUGUUGGGAGAACCUACUGAUAACUCAAAAAUGCCCCUUUUCUGUGAAUGUUCUGCUGCCCAUUGCUGAGAUUCUGUAGCCAUCAUAUCAAACAGUUCAAAUGCCUCUCUUGCAGAUUUAUUUGAUAAUGAUCCUCCAGCUGAUGCAUUCACAUGGCUCUUAGAUGUAGGAUUAAGCCCAUCAAAGAAAAUAUUCAUUUGUGUAUCUGAAUCAAUUUUAACAUGUGGACACUUUAUGUACAUCUUUGUAUAUCUCUCCCACGCUUCAUGAAACUCUUCAUUAGGCUUCUGUGUGAAUGUCAAAAUCUCCCUCUUGUAAUUCAAUGUCUUGGAUGCUGGAUAAUAUUUGUUCAGGAAUUUUGUGUGUAACUGCUGCCAAGUAGUAAUGCUAUUAGCUGGUAGAGUGAAUAACCAAGUUUCUGCCUUGUCCUUCAAAGUGAAAGGGAAAAGACGUAACUUAAUAGCCUCAGCAGAAAAACCCCUAAUCAAAAUAUUCUUGCAACCCACAAUAAAUUUUGCAAUAUGUAUGUUUGCAUCUUCAUUAGGCAAUCCCCGAAAAGUAGGUAGAAUUUCAAGCAUAUGGUGCCUGAUCUCGAACGAAUCACCCUCUUCUUGUUCAGGAUACACAAUGCAAUUGGGAACAUCAGUGGCACGGGCUUCCAAUGACUCCCUGAGUGGUCUACCUGCCGCAGGUAAUUCUAACGCCAUGUUACUCUCGUUUGCAAACAGAUCCUGCAGAAAAGUGCCCUGCAGUGAACAGUCCCAAGCCCAAGUAACUUCUCUCCGCUGUCUAUGCAGUGUGCGCUCUGGUUCUGGAUCAAAUUGUACAAUCUGUGUAGUUCCUGAUCUGGUCUGGACCAUGCAGUCUGCAAAAUCUGCAACAGAAACAAAAUUGUUCAAUUUCAAUUUUUUUUUUUGGACGAAAAUUAAAAAUAAAAUAAAAUGAAAUAAAUCAGAAAAAGGUUAAACAAAAAUUGUCUAAAAUAGUCCCCAGCAACGGCGCCAAUUUCUUGAUAGGAUUUUUAGUACUUGUGCAAACAGUGUUAAAAAUCACAUAAAAUACUUGCAAGAAUACAAGGCUAUUGUAGUAUAGAUGCUCAUGCAAGGUCGUUUUCCUCAAGGACUAAUUAGCAAUUUAUGUAAAAACAAAUUUCAAUUACUACUUAAAAUAAAAAGUCAAGAAAGAUGAUUAUAAAUUUGGUGGAUUCUAAAAAACAAAUAUUAAACAAAAACAAAUACGAUUGAAAGAAAGAGUUUUGAAUAUCAAUUUAUAAAACCACUAGGGUUUCACCAUCACCUAGCAAUCCUAUGAACUUUUACCAAUUACUUAUGAUUUGCACAUGCCACUUUGAAGGUUAGGUUUUCCUAUUGUAUAUUCUACUUGGAACCUCCAACACAGAACGUAUAUCCAACAUGCAACCCGUCCGGACGUUCGGAUCAAAUCUGAACAUGAAAGACUCAUUAAGUUUUGUGAAAACCCUUUGAAAAACCAUGCAACCCUUAAGACGUGGUGUUCAUCUUAAGUGAAAUUACAAUUAUUAAUCACAAGAAGCUAGCAUAAAUUUCAGGGAACCUUCCGACCAAAAUUGCAUCCAAUUACUUUUCUAAAGAUCCUAAUGGUGAUCAGGCAUUAAGACAAUUAGAUAGUUUAAAAUAGUGAUUAACAAUUCAAAAUACGCAUGCACUCAUCAUAAGCAAUUAAAUAAAAAUCACAUAUUCAUGCUAAGGUUCAAGGCUUCACCCUAGCAAAAGAAAUUUAGUUACGCAUACUCAUAAUUGAAAUCCAAGAAAAUAUCAUUAAGAAGAAAAGAACGAAAACACCUGAAAGUUGUGAAAACCCAAAACCCUAGCAAUUGCUCUCUACAAUGCAAAGUUCAAAAAUAAUUAAGAAGUCCUAAAUUCCUUGUGAGAAAGAGCUUAAAUAUCCCUUAAAACCUAGCUGCCAAUGUACAGCUUUUCUAUCCCUACAAGGAAACUAAUUAAAGUAAAAUAAUACUAGGAAAUAAAGUCCAAAUUGGAAUAGGAGAAUUUGCCCAAAAUCAGCCCAGCCACGUUUUGGCCCCAAAUCUCCUCCAAAUCUGGCCCAAGAUAGCUUUUUUUAAAGACACUACUACAAAAAGUGAAAAAGACGACCAGAAAACAACGACGGUCUAAGUGAAAACCGUCGUGGUUUUUAAAAAGACGACGGUUCUAAAAACACCGUCGUGUAAUACCACCUUAGACAACUAAAAAAUGGAGAUUCAAAUGGCUGUUCAAAAACAACGACGUACCUAAUUAAACAACCGACGUCUAUUUGAAACAGAUUUCCGCAGUGUAAAAUCAAAGCAAACAAAGAACGGCAGAAGUUAUGAAUAGACCGACGUAGAAAGUAAAGACGACGAUUUCAAUAAAAGCCGCCGUUUUUACUCAUAAAAUAACACGACGAGGUUUUCGUAUAAGACGCCGUAUAAUUACAAACAAAUCCACGGCUUUAAAAUACAAAAAUAAUCUUAACAGAUGACACAGAUUUGCAAUCAGAAGAGACAAUUUUUGAAGUUGAUCAACGUCGUUGAAAAUUGCAAUCAGAAGAGACAUUUUCAACGACGGNNNNNNNNNNNNNNNNNNNNNNNNNNNNNNNNNNNNNNNNNNNNNNNNNNNNNNNNNNNNNNNNNNNNNNNNNNNNNNNNNNNNNNNNNNNNNNNNNNNNGGAAGUUGAUCAACGUCGUUGAAAAUUUGCAAUCAGAGAGACAAUUUUCAACGACGGUUAUAUUAUACCUAACGACGUUUAAAAACAAAUCAACGUCGCUCAACAAAUAUAUUACGUCGUCUUAGUCUUACUUAAGACGACGAAAAACGACGACAGUAGUAAAAAAACAGUCGUUGUUUUUAUAUUCUUAUUUUAUUUAAAUCUGUCGUGUUAGUUAAAAACGACGGCAUAACAAAAAACCGUCGUUUUGUUUCAAACUGAAUUAAUUUAAAAUUUCUUCAGGAAAGCAAAAUCUAUUUAUAAUUUCCUCGGGUUAGUAAUAUUGUGUCGUGUUAGUUUACAAAUUCUAGAACAUUAAUUUCCCUCAUUUUAAAUUUUCUCGGGAAAGAAAAAUCUAUUUAUCACGCUUUGUAAUUGAAAACUAAAACUGAAAGAAUUCUGGAAAAAAAACUCUAUUUAUAAUUUAAAAAUAAAAUGCACGUCGGUUGUAGUACACUUAACGACGUUUAACAAAAUAAUCUACGUCGGUAAUUAUAAAUCUACCGCCAUCUUACCCUAAUAUAGACGACGAGAAAAGACGACGGUAGAACAGAAAACCGCCGUUGUUUCAGUUUCUUUAACAGUUUGGUCCUUUAUCUUUCUGCAGGACUUGUAUAGUUCAAAGCAUUGACAAUGUCUUCAUCAUAUCUCCCAGCAACUACUGAUUCGAUUGCUCAUGCUUUAGAGGCCAUCUGAAGCCAUUUCUAUUCUUUAUCGCAUUCUUGAAACCCAUCUUCUUCUUCUGAAGCUCUACGGAUAAAGGAAGAGGCUAUCACAAAUCUGACGGAUCUUCUUAGUCAAAAAAAUCAAGCAGAGGAUCAGGCACAUCUGAUCUUCAGAUUUCCCUGAGAAGCGAACUUUCCUUCGACAGCGAGUGGAGGCCAGGCUUGCAUCUCUUUUGAUGGAAAGCAAGGAGUAUUCAGAAGCACUAAGUGUCCUAUCAGGCUUGAUCAAGGAAGUGAGAAGGCUAGUUGACAAGCUUCUUCUUGUCAACUAGCCUAAAUGUAAGCUCAAUUUCUCUUUGAGAAAGACCUCCAAAUUAUUGUCUUUGAGAUGUGAGAGACAGUGUCUCUGAGAGAGGAAGAACUUGGAACCCUAAAUGUAAACCGCGAAAAUGAAUGAAAGCGACAAAUUUAUAGAAUAAAUUUUUAAAACCAACGGCGGUACUUACCAAGAAACCGCCGUUUCAAUUGUAAAAUCAACGUCGGUAUUACUGACGUAUAUUACAGAACUCCACGUCGGUACAUUAAUAAUCACGACGUCUUAAAUAAUCUACCAUGACGCGAGUUAUUACUUAUGUACUUUAAUUUUUGAGUUUACUACGACGGUACCUACAACACUACUGUCGUAUUUAUUUACCACGUCCGAAGUUAAAUUUACCGACGUAUUUUGUACUUUAUACGUCGUAGUUAUAUGUAACCGCCGUAUUAUUUUUUUGAAAUGGUUUUAUAUGUAAGCAACUUUUCGUCUACUUGACUUACACAUUAGUUGUUUUUAUAUUCUUAUUUUAUUUAAAUCUGUCAUCCAAAAAAGAAACUUUACAUAUUGCAGAAUAUUAAUUUCCUUCGUUUUAAAUUUCCUCCGGAAAAAAAACUCUAUUUAUAACGCACUGUAAUUGAAAAAUAAACUGAAAGGUCACGGGAAAAAAAAUUCUAUUCAUAAUUUAAAAAUUAAAAUCCACGUCGGUUAUAUUAAACCUAACGACGUUAAAUGAAAUGAUUCCACGUCGAACGAAAAAUAUUUCGUCGUGUUAGUUAAAAACGACGUAGUUAAAUGUAACCGCCGUAUUAUUUUUUUGAAAUGGUUUUAUAUGUAAGCAACUUUUGGACUUACACAUGCACUGUUUCCAAACCCGAUUAAAAAUUUCAAUCUCCAGAGAAACCUUUUCGUCUUUUUUCCUUGUCAGAGCAUUAUCAGAGUUUCUCAUCGUCUUCCUCUCGUCUUCUUCGUCGUCCUUGAACUUAAACAUCGAUCAUCUUCCUCUUGCUUUCAUUGCACGCAAAAGGUAAGCUUUCAUUUUCACUAUUUUGGUUACUGUUUUGCAUGCUCAUACGUUUUUUGUUUGAAAAAUCUUUUUACCUUUUUUCUGGCCAAAAUCAUUUUACUUCUUUCCAAGUUUGAUAAAAUAUACAGACAAAAAGGGAAAGUUUCCAACUUUGAAGACAACUACCUCAACUAAAUGAGACGACGGUAGACCACGACGGUUCGUCAGUUGUUCUAGCGUCGUCUGAAAAUUGACAAAGUUGUUUUUAAAAUAAUAGUCUUUUUUUAUAUGCUUGUUUAAUUGCAGGUUUGAUUUCUCUGAACAAUGGUUUUUGUUUUUCCCUUAUUUGAUAAAAUAUAAAGAAAAAGAAACUAGGGUUGGUAUCUAAUAUAGACGACAAAAUAUCUUAUUGUUUUACGUCGUGUGAAUGUUAAUACCACGACGGUGUAUUACUAUUAACGUCGUAUGAACAUAAAUACCACGACGUUAUAUAAAUAAUAGUUUACCACGACGGUGUAUUACUAUUGACGUCGUGUGAACAUAUAUACCACGACGUUAUAUAAAUAAUGGUUUUAAACAUUUAUUACGUCUGAGAUUAUUUCAUUGCGUCGUCUAAAAUCAUAUCAUACGUCGUAUUUUUUUAAUACCGUCGUUUGUGUUCUUAAUGUUUUCCUGAAAUAUUUUCACUUGCAGUUUUGUCUGUUAAAAUGGUUUCUCAACAACAAACUAAGGAUUCUGGCUCCAAGAAGCUUGGAAUGGUAGCUCCUCAAGACAAGUCUUCGAAGGAGAUGAAGUCUUCGAAGAAGAUGAAGUUUGCUUCAUCAUCUGCUGAGACAGAACCAACCAGCCAGACAACAAUCUCUGAUGAUUCAAAGACUGGUCGAGGCAUGAGCACAAUGCCUCGUGUUGUGAAGAGAAAGCUUCAGAAACUGAGGCCAAUUGUUGAGUACAAUAAAAGGGGGAAAGGUGUUGGCCAAGCACAUAUUGAGAUGCAGUCGUAUAUUGGUGUGUUGGCACGCUCCAGGAUCCCACUUGUGGACAAGAAAUGGUCCCAAAUCCCCAAGGAUAUAAAGGAGCAGAUUUGGGAAGCAGUUGACAUGGCUUUUGUCGUAGGCCAAGGGGGCAAGACCUCUGUUUUAGCUUCUGCUUCCAAGAAAUGGAAGGAUUUCAAGUCUACACUAACGAGGCAUUAUAUCCUUCCAUACACCAAUGACAGGGAGAAAUUAAGCCAACCCCCUGAAACAUAUAAAUUCAUAGAGAAAGCACAAUGGGAUGCCUUUGUAGCUUCAAGGCUAUCCAAAGAUUUUGAGUCUGUGCAUUCUCAACAUGCACAGAUUAGGGAGAAACUCGAGUACAAUCAUCGAUUGUCUCGAAAAGGAUAUGCUGGAUUGGAGGAUCAAUUGGAGGAAACCAUGCCUGGGGUAGAAAUUGAUCGAUCUACCUUAUGGAAGAGAGCUAGACAGGACAAACAUGGUAACAUCCCUGAUCCAAAGGUGGCAGAGAAAGCAAAAUUAAUUGUAAGCCUACUAUCACUCUGUUUUAAAUUUUUAUUAAACUGUGAAUUAUUCUUAUUACGUCGUAUGUUAUAUUUUUCGUCGUGUGAAUGAUAUUACCACGUCGAAAAGUUUUUAAAAACGUCGUUAAAGGUCUAAAUAGGAAUCACUACUAAUUUUCUGUAAUUAUAGCAUAAGACGUCGGUGGUUCAUUUUCGCGUCGUUUGAAUGAUAUUACCACGUCGAAACUUUUUUAAAAACGUCAUUAACGGUCUAAAUAGGAAUCACUACUCUGUUUUCUUUAAUUAUAGCAUAAGACGUCGGUUGUUUAUUCAUUUCGUCGUUUUAAAUAAAUAACCACGUCGGUAUAACUACCGUCGUGAUAAGUUAUAAUAACGUCGGUUUAUACGUUAUUGCGUCGUGUGAAAUUAUAUAAUACGUCGUUUGUACAUAAAUAACCGUCGUGUGUUUUUUUGUUUAUCUUUGUUUUAGGAUGAAUUGCAGAAACAAGUCUCGGAAGGCAAAGUCAGAGUAGAUGGCAGCAAUGAUGUGCUGACCAUGGCUUUGGGCCCCGAGCAUCCAGGCAGAGUGAGGGGAGUUGGUGCUGGUGUUUCCCCAAGGCAAUAUUUCAAUUUGCCCAAACCACAGAGGGUGAGCUUUGACGACCAUUUGAAGGACAGUUUAAGAGUUCUCCUUCAAGAAGAGACUAAAAAGAUGGAGGCUAAGGCAAGGGAAGAGGCCUUAAGAAUGGAGGCUAGGACAAAACAAUUGGUAGAGGCUGAGAGGGAGCAUUUCCUGAGUCAGCUUUCCCAAUUAAUUCCCAAUUUUGAUCCAAGCAUGCUUAAACCAAGAAUUAGCCAAAGCCCCAAAAAUCCAAUGUCUGACAAAGCUAGCUGCUCUGGAGGUGAUGUGAGAUCCCUACAUUUGGAGGAUGAUACUGCCAAAAUGGGGAAACAUCAGCCAGAUGAAGAGAAGGAAGAAGAAAAAAGAGAUGAAGAGAAGGAAGAAGAAAAGGAGAAAGAAGAUGAAGAAAAGCAUGACGACAAGGUAUGUUCACAUAACUUUGCCUUUUUUAUUUGUUUUUCAAAAUUUCAGACGUCGAUAUUUUUAUUUAAUCCGUCGUUUGUUUAAAACUUAGACGGCGGACUUUUUUUAAGACGUAAUAAAAUAUUUAAACGACGGUUUUUGCACCGUCGUUUAAAUGGUUUCAGACGACGCUUUAUUCAUAAAAUCGUCGUCUUUAUUGAAUUACCACGACAGUUUUUUCACCGUCGUUUAAAUACUUUUAAGACGACGUUUUAUUCCUUAAACCGUCGUCUUUGUUGAAUUACCACGUCAUUUUUUUUAUUUCUUUAAACAGGUUAUUGAAGUUGGUGCUUAUUCAAAUAUGGAGGCGCCAUCUUCUUUAAAAACCCUUUGUCGUUUUGUGGAAACGACACUCCUGCCUGAGGAUAAGACACUCCAAUUUACAAUUGAUAAGGAGGUGUUUGGUGGUGAGCGCGAUACCUUCCUCCUGCCUGAAGAUAUUACACAAUUUGCAGGCAUGGAAGAAAUUGGAGCUACUGUAUUGGCUGUAUAUAUGAGGUUUGUACUUCUAAAAUAAUACCUCGUUGGUUUAUAUAUUGCGUCGUCUUAACUAACUAACCACGUCGUCUUAACUAACUACCGUCGUGAUAAAUAUAUUAUAACGUCCUCAUCUAUUUCAGUACGUCGUGUGAAAUAUUAUAAUACGUCGUUUUUUUAUACAUAACCGUCGUGUUUGUUUGUGCUGACUUGUUUAUAUUAUUUUAUGUAUUUAGGUACUUACACGAUGUUUUGAAACAAGCCAAUAUGUGCAGCAUGGUUGGCUUUAUCGACCCUGCUACAGUUAGUGCCAACUCUGGCACAAUAACUGAAAGAUCACGACUGGUAGCAGCUCGACUUCAGAAGACAGACGGUGAACAGAUUUUCAUGAUGCCUUACAAUCCAGGGUUAGUCUCCUUAGGAUUUUGUUUUUAUGAUUUUCAAUAAAUGACAGCUUAUAAACUAACCACGUCGGUGUUUUAUUUUAUUUAGUCGUUUGAAACUACUAACCACGUCGGUAUUUAUUUAUCGUCGUGAUAAAUAUAUAAUGUCGUCGUUAUCUACUUUAUUUCGUCGUGUGAAAUACUAUAAUACGUCGUUUUUGUAAAUAACCGUCGUUUUUAUAUUCAUUUUGUGCAGCCGUCAUUGGAUCUUGCUGAUUGUAAGAGCAAAGAAGGAGACCGUCUAUUUUCUGGAUCCUCUGCCAGGUCAUCGUGUGGUCGACGAAGAGGCGAAAAACAUCGUGAACAGUGCUUUAAAAAUAUAUAAUACCCACAUAGCCCGAGCACGACGUAAAAAUGUAAUUUGGAAAACUCUCUCAGGCACACCAAAGCAACCCAGCAAUGUCGAAUGCGGGUACUAUGUGAUGCGCUUCAUGAGGGACAUCAUCAUGGAUCCUUCCUUGGGGUUUGAGAAUAAGGUAAGAAGAAAUUACCUUCAUACAUUUCACGUCGUUUUUUGUAUUAUCAACGACGGUCAUGUAAAAUUAACGUCGUUGAAUGGAUAUACUACGUCGGUUAUGAAAAAUAUCGUCGUCUGUGAUUGAAUUUCUUUUUAUUUAUAAACCCUAAUAGUCAUUGUUUAUGCAGUAUGCCAAGGGAAACCAGGAAGCUUCAUACCCCCAAGAAGCCAUUGAUGAAGUCCGGAAUGAAUGGGCAGAGUUUGUUUUCCAAAUUAUUAAACAGGGCAAUUAUUGAACACUUGAUAUUUAUGUAUAAUGUACAAAUUUUCUCUAUAAUAUGUAAUGUAAAAAUUUGUUGAGGUUUUCUUAAAUUAAAAAAAAAACAAACAUACAAAUUGCUUAACCGACGUGUAAUACUUUUCCAACGACCUAAUAAAGUCAAAAACCGUCGUAUUUUGUUGUUUCGUGUUUUAAACAAAUACGACGUAAAAAUAUAGUUAGACGACGUUCUUUGAACAAUUGAGUCGUUUAUGGUUUACAACAUCUUCAAUUUCUUAAGGGUUCAGGGUAUCAUCGACGACGUUUAUGUAACGACAGCGGUUAAGUCGUGGAAUAUAUAUUUUACGUCGUAUAGUUAAAUAGCCGCCAUGGUUUCUCAUUUUAACGACGUCAUUUUAACGACUUAGUAGUCUAUUACAAUUUACAACGUCUACAAUUUAUUAACACCGACGUGGUUUGUUGUUGUGGUAAGAAUAUUUUAUUAUUUUUAUAUCAAAAUAUUCAAAAUAAAUUUAAAAUAAAUCAGAAAAUUGAAAAGUCAUCUCCUAUGAAGUCAUUGAUAUAUUUUCUUCCACAUAAACCUUGAAAAAAUUCAUUUUGAAUAACAAAAAUUUAAAAUGACCAUCCAAAACAAAAUUGUUUUGAUGAGUCAUAAAAUCACUUCUAGUUUUAUGGUUUAGGGUUUAGAGUCUAGGGUUUAGAGAUUAGGGUUGUUAUUUGUUGGGGUUUAUUUUUAAAGUAUAAUUUUUGGGUAGUCUAGGGUAUAUGUUAGGCUUUAAAACCAUAAAACCUUUUAUAAACUUAAUUUUUUAAAUUGUAUAAUUUAGUUUUAUGGGUUUAGGGUAUUAAUUUUUAACGACGGUGGUUGCGUCGUGGAAUACAUAUUUUACGUCGUACAGAAAAACAUACGACAUGGUUUACGCUUUAAACGACGUCAUUUUAAUAUGUAAGUCGGUUUAUAUAAUUUACAACGUCUUUAAUUUCUUAACACCGACGUGGUUUUUCAGUCGUCGUUAUAUAAAAAAUUCAAAAUAAAUUUAAAAUUAAUCCGAAAAAUGAAGCUUCAAAAUGAACGGCCUUACGUUCUUAAUCCGAAAAAUGAAGUUUCCGUCGUGGAAUAUUAAAUUUACGUCGGUACUUGUAGAACUUUCGCCUUGGUUUUUCUUUCGACGUUUUAAAACGCGCGAGCUCUAAAAAUUUUCGCGUGACCUAAAUUUUUUUAGAUUUGGCUCUUAUUCUUAUACUUCGAACCCUGAAACCUAAAAUUUUCAGAUUUCGCUCUCUCACUUCUGCUCUAAUUAAAAGUUGCACUCUCCAGGCUUCGUCGAAUCUGUGAGCUCGUCCAACCUGUAAGUACAAACCCUAUCUUCCCCUUGUAAAUUCAUUGAAUGAUAUUAGGUUGUUUUGUUAAAGGGUUUUAUGUGUAUGCUUUGCGAUCUGUUAAUAAUGUGCUUAUAGGUAUGGGUUCAUAGAUUUUCUGUUUAAUGGGUUCAUGGAUUACAUUAUCUGUUAUGUUGAAUUGGGAAUGGAUUUAAUUUUGUCGUAUCUUUUAAUCACCCUAUGUUAUGUUGAAUUGGGAAUGGAUUUAUUGUUUUCAUGCUUGGUUUCAUGUAUAUGUUGGUUUCUUGCUUGGUUUCAUAUAUAUGUUGUGUUCUUAAUGGGUUUUGUGUUCUUGAAAAUAAACUGAGACACGACAAAUUUUAAGGCAUACGACGACGAUUACACGACGGUUUUUUUAAACUACCGUCGUUGUAUUACUUAUACAAGACGGUUUUUUCAUAAACCGUCGUUUGUAUUACUUAUAAUAGACGACGUCUGUUGAAAAUCCGUCGUCUAUAUAUGCCAAAUACGUCUGUUUUUGUUUAAAACCCGUCAUCUCUGUUGUGUAUUACUUGCGAUUAGAUCAUUGUAUAAUCUGCUAUAGUGAUGGUCAUUGCCUGUAUUUUCACUUUAUUAUAGAUAAUAGGUUAUAGUGUCGGAGAUGGAUAAGUCAUGGAUGCACUCGGAUAGAAGAUCGAAGGCAUAUGAAUUUGGGGUGGAAGCAUUUUUGAACUUUGCUUGAGAAGUACUUUCCCCCUUCAUUCUUUGAUAUCAUGGUUCAUCUAGUAGUACAUCUUGUCAGAGAAGUUCGUCUAUGUGGGCCAGUAUAUUUUAGGUGGAUGUAUCCGUUUGAAAGAUAUAUGAAAGUGCUGAAGGGGUAUGUUCAGAAUCGUACUCGUCCCGAAGGUUGCAUUGCUGAGCGGUAUAUAGCUUAAGAAGCGGUAGAGUUUUGUACUCAGCAUUUAUCUGAUGUUAGUACAGUUGGAGUGCCUUCAAGCCAAAAGAUGGGACUUUCAAAGCCAUUAUCAGGUUGCACAGUGAGCGUAGUUGAUCAGGACCUGUUGAAUCAAGCACAUCUAUAUGUCUUGGAGAAUACGGAGGAAGUCCUACCUUAUAUCGAGUACGUAUGAGCUUUAUUCUUUAAGUUUCCAUUUUAAAUUAUUUCUUAUGUUUAUCUUCUAUAUUUGGGACCGUAAUGCUUGAAUUUUUCGUGUCAUGUAGGCAACAUAUGAUCCACAUCAAGAUUGCUUAUCCAAAAUUUAGAAAGAGAACAAAGUGGCUGCAGGAUAAGCACAAUAGCACUUUCAUUCAAUGGCUACGCUUCAAGGUAUAUGUUGUUGAAUAACAUAUUUCUCUUUUAAUUUUCUUCUUAUUUAUAUGUUAGAUUGAAUUAAGAUAUGAUUAAUUUGCAGGUUCAAAGUGAACUUGAGGAAGACAAUCAUGGCGUAUCAGAAAAUUUAAGGUGGCUAGCAGCUGGUCCAAACAUGUCAGUGCCAUUAUAUAGGAGCUAUCUUAUUAAAGGUAUUAAAUUCAAUAUCAAGGCACAAGAUGAUGUGCGGACAACUCAAAAUAGUGGAGUUUAUUUACUUGCACAUACCAUGCAAGUUGCUAGUGCCAAGGAUAAAAACCCAAUUCUCUCAAACAUGGGUUUCUAUGGUGUCAUUCAAGAAAUUUGGGACCUUGACUACCAAAAGUUUACAAUCCCAGUCUUUAGGUGUGAUUGGAUAGAUAGUUCUGGUCUUGUAGUCGACGAACUUGGAUUUACCCUUGUAGAUUUGAGUAAAAUUGGACAUAGGAAUGACCAAUUUGUUUUGGCUUCUCAAGUCAAACAAAUAUUUUUUGUUGACGACCCGAUGCAUCGUGGUUGGUCGGUAGUGUUAUCAAUGCCUAAUAGAGAAUAUAAUGAUGUUAUUGGUGAUGAAGUCUUAGGUGAUGUGAUAAUUGAGUGUGAGCCAUUUACUAGAGGGAUGCCAAAUGUUGACACAUUUGAUGAACUGGUGGGUGAGUUAGGCGGUCAAAAUAUUCGAGAUGGGUGUGAAGAUAUAUGGAUUGAAUGAUGCUUAUGUAAUUGGCAGUGUAUGACAUUAAUUUUGUAAUAUAUUGUAAUGUGAUUUCUUCACUUUCUACGUUCAAAUAAAACACGACGUUAUUGUGAACCAGUUAUUCAGCAUAUUUACCGACGUCUUAAAGCAACGUAACAAUGAAGAACCACGACGCUAUUGUGAAGCAAUUAUUCAGGAUAUCACGUCGGGGAAGGAUUAAGAACCGCCAUGUAAUUCAAAAUAACACGACUCCAAUCCCAUAAUACCGACGUCUAAAAAACGAGAUAUAUAAUCUGAACGUUAAAAAAUACGACGUCAUCAUACAUUUUCCACAUCGCAAGUUCUUUUAUAAACGAAGAGGAACGAAAUGAAUUCCGACGGAAAUUCAUUAUAACCGCCGUCUAAUAACAAUUAAACGACGUUAUUUGUAAUACGGCUCUCAUCAUAAUCAACGCCGUCUAUAUGUUCUGUAAUACGGCUCUCAUUUAUUUGGAACCGACGUUGUUUAGAAGUUCAACGUCGUCUAUAUUAUUAAGUGCGUCGUGAGUAAUGAUGAUAGAUAUAAAUACAACGUCGACUAUAUAAAUGCCACUGACGUUGUUUCGCAUUUCAACGUCAACUGUAUAAAUACAUACGUCGUAAAUAAUGACACUGACAACUAUUUCCACGUCAUCUUUUUUAGAAAAAUCGAAGUGGAAAAUUUAUUUCACGACGGUUGUUUGUAAAUAAGAGACGUAGUAUAUUUCAAUAACGUCGUCUUCUCAUGUAUUUAAAGACGUCAUAUUUUUUCUUGUCGUGUAAAUUAUAUUUAACGGCGUAGUAUUUUAGUUGUCGUCGUUGUAUGUAUAUCUUGCGGCCUUGUUCUUUUAACAUGUGUCAUAUUUUUCCUUUUUAACGACGGUGAUUUGUUUGAGUUGGUCGUCUAUUCUCAUCCUCGACUAUUUUCUAGAACUUUAGCAGACUAAACACGUCUGUUUUUAUUGUUUUCCGACGUUGUUUUAUUUAACAACGUCUAAUAUUUAUCGUCGUUGUUUGUUUCUGAAAAUAUGACGUAUAAAUUUUGUAAUACGACUCUCAUAUAUUUGUAACCGACGUUGUUUCGUUUUUCAACGUCUACUCUAUAAAUACAUACGUCGUAAAUAAUGACACUGACAACUAUUUUCACGUCAUCUUUUAUCGAAAAAUCGAAGUGGAAAAUUAAUUUUACGACGGCUGUUUUUAUAUAUGCGACGUAGUAGGUAUCAAUAACGUCGUCUUCUAAUGUAUUUAAAGACGUCAAAUUUUUUAUUGUCGUGAAAAUGAUAUUUAACGGCGUCGUAUUUUUAUUUUCGUCGUUGUAUGUCUAUCUUGCGGCCUUGUUCUCUUAAUAUGUGUCAUAUUUUUCCUUUUUAACGACGGUUUUUUUAGAGAGUUGGUCGUCUAUUCUCAUCCUCGACUGCUUUUUUAGAUCUUUUUGCAGUACAAAGACGUCGUUUUGUAUUUGUUGAUGACGUUGUAUAUUUUAACAACGACGGUGAUUUUGCGUCGUGGUUUAUGAGGGAAAAGAUGACGGUGGAUUCCACGACCAUUGAAAAACCGAAUACACGACGGUGAUUUACCGUCGUCUUUUUGCUUUUUUGUAGUAGUGAGAUAAAAAUGUUCUGAACACUUCUCUAGAAGGCCACGAACCCAUCCGAGGUCAUCUUGGGCUCCAAAAACACAAUAAAAGCCCAACACGUCACUAUUCCAGCACCGCGCACUGCUCAUUUAUUUUAUUGCCAGAAAAUAACCGCUUGGAAGAAAAAUCUGAAAUUUUGAUACGAUCAAGCUAAGUGACUCAAGAACGUCCUCCAACUGGAAUUACUCCAAAAUUCCUCAAUUUGAUUAUGUUUUGCUCCAGAGAGAGUCGAAAGUCCUAUAUUGGAAAUAUAAUUCAAAGUAUCAAAAUUCUUCCAAAAUAUUAACCAAAAUAUACUAAGAAUGAGGUUAAAUAUAUAAUAUAAAAUAUGUCCAUCACCCCACAACAACUAAAGAACCAACAUUUUGUAGAAGGUUUUGUCUAUACCUUUGACUGUAAGUAAAUCUCUUGUAUCUGCUCCUGUGGUUCGGUGAAGUUUCUUUGUGUCCUUUCUGCGGAGUCUCCCAUGCUUGUUCCAUGAAAAUGUUCUAGGAGAAAAUACGGUUGUUUCUUACUAGAUUCAAAUGAUUAAGAAAAAUAAAAACGCAAGAAAAAAGGUAUUUUCUUGAUGGACUUGGUGAUGAAAAAUAUCACUCUCUUUAUAUGUCGUCUUCCUUGGACUUUGAGACCUUGGGUUUCGAUUCUUCUUGAGGAUUGCAUAGGGUUUCUAGGCCCAAGAAUACUUUGAGUUAGUUUUUGCGUUUUGGGCUUUGAGACUUUGAGACUAUAAUGAGUGGAAAGUUAUAAGGGGUAAGUUAUAAGGGGGUCACUUUAUAGCCAUCAGAUUAAUCCAAGGGCUGGGGAGAAUUGAGAUAAAGUUUCACAAUUGGGUAGGUGAGGAACCCAAACCCGAAUUGAAUAUCCAGCACGUCCAAAAAGAAGAAGAAGAGGGAAACACGUCCGAAAAAGAAGAAGAAGAGGCAAGUUCGAAGUUUGAACAGAAAGAACUCAUCUCUCUAAAACACAGAGGUCUGAGAUACCCAAUGAAGGCAACGGCUAACGACAGUUGAAGGCAACAAUUCGCCACUCCGUUCUCCAGACCCCGAAAAAGUAUUUAUUUGGAGUAGAAGGGGCAAAGGUGUGGAUUCCAAAUCAGUGAAGGGGCGAAGCAGUGGAAGGGGAAGGGGAGAAGCUGUAUUCGUUGGAAGUGUAGGUUCCAUUUGUGGAGCAAAGAAAUAGAAAGACCCCACACAGACACCUUGCAAUAACCAGCAUUUGGUGAGUAAUUUAUGGAAUUUGAGUUUAGGGUUAGAGUAAUGGUUUUCCCCAAUUUGUACCAUAAAUUUUGUUGGAUUUGGCAUCUCUUCGUUGUGCUUCAGUUGCAUGUUAAUUUUUGCUUAGGUAUAUGUUAAAAAAGGAAUGAAAAUUAAGUCAAUAACAAGUGAAUAACAUGUCAAUAAUGAUAUGAAUAAGAUAAUGGUGUUGAAUUGGAGGAGGCCCUCAAAACCUUCCACAUUUGAAGCAGUGCAUAGUGCAGAUUAAGAAGAGGCGCUAGAAUAUAUAUAUAUAUUUUAUGAAGUAAAUAUGAUUUCCUUUGUUACUAAAUUUGCCUGAGAAACAUUUGAACAGAUAAUAAUAAACUCAUGAAUAGAACUGCAAAGCAUUUGAUGAGCAAUGUAAGGAAUUUAAGUUUAGGGUUAGAGUAAUGGCAUCUCUUAUUUGUGCUUCAAUUGCAUGUUAAUUUUUGCUUGGGUAUAUGUUAAAAAAUGAAUGAAAAUAAAGUCAAUCACAUGUCAAUAACAUCUCAAUAACAUGUCAAUAACAUGUCAGUAAUGAUAUGAAUAAGAUAAUUGUGUUAAAUUGGAGGAGGCGCUCAAAACCUUCACAUUUGAAGCAGUGCAGAGUGAAGAGUACCUCUCUGGCACUAGAAUUUAUAUAUUUUGUGAAAUAAAUAUUAUUUCAUUUGUUACUAAAUUUGCCUAUGAGAAAUGAGAACAGAUAAUAAUAAACUCAUGAAUAAAAGUGCAAAGCAUUUGAAAUGAAGGUUGAUCUAUGACGAUUGUGGGUGACUGAAGAAAAAGGUAGAAAGAAAGAAGGAUGUGGCAAUUGCUUAGCAAGCAGAUAGCAGAGUACAUGCUUUGCUUUGCUUCCUUCCACUAUAUUUCUUAUUUAUUUAUUUUGGGUUGUGUAUGAGAUGACAAUAAUUGUCAUGUGUGUGAAGUGCAGAACUUGCCUACAUUGCACUCACACGAGUAUGGAUGCAUAAAUAAAACACGUGAAAUUGUUUGUAAUUCACAUAAUCAUUGCAUUAACAGGUAUUUGCACAAAAAUUGUCAUAUUGCUUUGAUGAUGUUAAAGGCUGUGAUGAGUAAUCCCUAUGCUCAUGUACUUUGUAAAAGUUGUAAUGUGCCUGGUUGACUAGUUGUGAUUGUGCAAAUACGUGGUAGUAUAUAUGUUCACGUUAUUUCACAUUGUAUUUGAGGAAAUGGGAUCCAACGUGGAGCUGGUAUGGCCAGAGGCAGAGGUAUAUUCGUCACGGGUGAACAACUGCUCACAUGCAAAUUCAUCUCUAGCUGCAAUUCGAGCGAAGUUGAGUGCGGAACAAUUAGAACAAUUCAAGACAUCAUGCUUUGGCCAUCUUCUGAAUAUAGAUAAGAUUCAGUUUAGCGGGCAGAUUGUGCAUGGGGUUGUGUUGCGUAGAGUAGCGGGGCAGGGUGUGAAAGACUUGGAUGGACUGAGUUUCUUAUUAGGGUGUGACGUUGCUCAGUUCACUCGUCAGGAUUUCUGUUUGAUCACAGGGCUUCGUUUUGGGGAAGUGCCUGAAGUUUCCAGUGGAGAGAGUGAUGAAAUCAGACUUCAGAAAAGAUAUUUUAUAGACGAAGGAAUUACAUGCAAUGCUUUAGAAGAAGCAUUUGUGAGGUGCACAGAGGAAGAUGACAUCUACAAGCAAGCUCUUGUUUACUUUGCUGAGUUAGUGGUUUUGGGAAGGGACAAACAUUUGAACAUCAAUCUAAAUUACCUGACCCUUGUAGAGGACUUGGAUGCGUUCAACAGGUAUCCGUGGGGUUCGGUGUCCUUUGACAAAACCCAAGACAGUCUAUUUUCUGCACCAACAAAGUAUGUGAAAAGCUUGGAAAAUGAAGAGGGAAGAGGGAAGGGGAAAAGUAAGGUAACGGGAACAAGCCGGAGAAAUGAGAAGGGCAAGAAGGAUAAGCAUGGUGAAGCGCAAAUGAGUGGCUGGAGUUUUAAAGGUUUCACGUAUGCUUUCCAGGUACAUGGUAAUAAUGUUCAUGUCAGUUAUGUUUUGUUUUUCUUUAAAACAUAAAUAAUGACUUUUGUCCUGUGAAUUGUGUAGAUUUGGGUAUAUGAAUUAAUUCCUAGAAUGGCGGACCUGAAUUACUGCAAGGUUGUUGAUCCGACCGUUGUCCCGCGUAUUUUGCGAUGGAGAACUACUACGUCUGUUCCAGAGAUGAGAAAGUUGAACAAUUAUUUUUUCCAGAGCAAAGAGGUUUGGUUUGCAGCCCUUGGAACUAUUGAUAAGAUUGAAUGAAAUUAUGAAGUAGAAUGAUUUGAUAUGACUCUUGUCUGUAUUCUGAAACAGUCAGUUCAGUUGCGGGCGCUAUGUCCGAGUGAAGAGGAAAUGAGACAGCCAUAUUGGAGUUGGCCACAGGAUCGCCCUGCUGUUGUCUCAGCAGAGUCAAUUCCUUCUUCAUGUGGUGAUCUUGAUGAGUUGAACAAGGUGGUAAGUUGGUUGAGGUCCGAGUUGUUUCAAGUAAAGCGGGAAAAAGACGUCCUUCACUUAAAGGUCAUACGGAUGGAAAAACUGUUGGACCAAUGUUUAGGUCCUCAGUUUGAGCAGGAAGUAAGGAGGGACCUAGCUUUACUGAAACAGAGGACGAAUCGUUGUGUCAUCUCACAUCUAUUUAAGGGAUAUGGGGAAAUGGAUGACAUUCAAUGGGAUGAAGGGCCAAGUAACAGAAAUGAGGGAGAGGAAAAGGAAGAUGAAGGGAUUGAAGGGGGUGAAGGGCCAAAUAAUAGAAAUGAGGGAGCACAUAAGGAAAAGGAGGGGAUUGACGGAGAGGAAAAGGAAGAGGAGGGGAUUGAAGGGGGUGAAGUGCAAGGAAAACCAAGUGAGGUAGAGGAAGGGCAAAGGAAAAGAAGUGAAGGAGAGCAAGUGCAAGUAAAAAGUAGCAAAGGAGAGGAAGCCCAGAGACAGAGCAGUGAGGGAGAGGAAGUGAAAAGAAAAAGCAGUAAGGGAGAGAAACUGCAAAGGAAAAAAAGGGAGGGCAAGGAAGUGAAAACACAAACAAGUGAGGAAAAGGAAGUGCAAAGAAACCAAUGUGAGAAAGAAGAUAAUGAAGUUAUGUUGCUUGGGGGUGACAUUGGCGAGAGCACGGAGGGGACACUGCUUGAGUUUACUGUCGGGGACAUUGAUUUGGAUGAACCUACAGCUGUGCUAUCUCAGUUGAACGUGUGGUUGAAUGAUAAAGGUAAAGCUCUGGCACAAGGGGUCCAAUUACGGAAAAGGAAGAGGAUCAUUCCUUUGUGGAAGAUCAUUGAAGGCAGUGAAUUGGUUCCAAAAAUUGGGGCACAGACAACCGGACUGAAGAUGUUAGACCCAAUGAAGGCGAUUUCGCAUGAUGAUCUGGUGAAAUUGCUGAAACUUUGUUGGGAAUGGCGCCAGGACCCAAAGUAAGUCCCUUGCAAUUAUAAGAUACAAGCAUGACUGUAUAUAAUUUUUUAUAUACAGUGUUCUAAAACUGUUUUAUAUUCAUAGUUUGGUGAUGCAAUUUGGCAACGUGGAAGCUGAGAUUGAAUUCUUCGCUUCCCUCGUGAAAGCUGAUGGUUGGCUGAAAGGAGAUGUAAGUGUAAUUGAUUAUGCAUUUGUUUUAAUGUACAUACAUUAUGAGAUUGACAAGAAAAACAUGUUGCAGCACAUUGAUUUGGGGUUGUAUCUCAUCCGGAAGCGACAACAACAGUUGGAGACAGAUUCGGUAGAAGUAGCGGACUGGACAACGACCGAUGUUUUUUUUAUGGUAUGUCAUCGGCCUUGACCAAGUGCCGUUAAUAAUUACACAUUUUCCAUACACACACUAGUGGAGGUGUUUAACCAUUGAUUGUUUUGUAUUUCACAGAAUCACAUUCGUACUUGCUUUGCGGAUAAUAAAAGAAAAAAACAGCAGCUUGGGUGGAAAAUCAGGAAAAGUUUACUAACCGUUGUAAAUGGGAAGGUUCCUCCGUGUGGGUUGGAUUGGCAGACCGUCUAUAAGGUGUAUACCCCAUUUAUGUUGACGAAGUACAAGCAUUGGGUGGCUGUAAUGAUUGAUCUGGUAUUGUGUGAAAUCAAAGUGUACGAUUCAAAGGUUUCACUAAUUCCAGAUGACAUCGUAAAGGAAGAACUCGGCCCGCUAUCAAUUACGCUUCCAAAUCUUCUCAACACCAUCGACUUUUAUGAAAAAGGUGUUUAUGCAAACAAUUGCAGCCAAGAUUAGUGGUGUCCGUGGCCAAUAGAGCGUGUGGAUGUUCCACAACAGUCUAAUGAGUAAGCACAACUUGCAAUUUAAUUUUAUUACUUUCAAUUGUCAAUUACGUUAGAAUGUCAUUAGUUGAAUUGAUCGAGUUCUUGUUUUGCUUCAGAGGCGAUUGUGGCAUGUUUGUGUUAAAGUACAUUGAGCUUUUCAGCGCUGAGCUUCCGUUAGCUACUUGCACCUCGCACAACAUGCCUUUUUUUCGGUUGAAAUUGGCUGCGGAGAUAACAAGGGGAGAUGCUUACUUCCCAUGAUAUUGGUUGAAGAUGACAAAUGGUACAUGAGAAGGUUUUGGGAAUGUCCAUUCUCAAACUAAUGUAAAUACACAAUAGAGAAGUACGGGUCCUUAUCGAAUUCUACCGCUAACUCCUUCAUGACAUUUACAUGUUUGUUAACCAAACUGCAUUGAAUUGGAAUUUUAAGACUGCAUAUGUGAAUUGGGAUUUGAAGAUGGCUUUUUAAGUGUAUUACAUCAUUGCAAAGUGAUAUGUCAUUGUUGAUGCAAGCCACCAUUAAUCGCAAUGUGUUGCAUCAUAAUAGGUGUCUAAACAUGCGAAAGGUUUUCCGCAGCUCAGUAGCAUAAAAGUAGAAACAAAGACAAUAUACACAAAAUGAACAACAAUUCACAAAUGCACCGACAAGCAAUACACACACAACAGACAAACAAUAUACACAAACUUGGCCUGCCAUAUACAGAGAAUAGACAUGCAAUAUACACACAGUAGACAUGCAAUAUACACACAAUAGACAUGCAAUAUACACACAAUACUCCCUUAACACACACAAUAGACAUGCCCUUGCCCACAAUAAUGAUGCAAUAUACUUCAGUCCCCAAGUACACCAACCAUAGGGAAGUCGUAUUGAAUAGGAUAUUAAACUUAACAGUUGUUCUUCCUACUAAAAGAAAGAAUAAGGUUCGUUUCCCCCCUUCAUUCUUACUUGAGUGAUACUUGUGGCCCCAAUAAACAUCCAAUUUUGGGGCAAUGAUAUUCCAUAUACAUGCAGCAAACUAUCAAUAAACCUUCAAUAAACCUUCAAUAAACAUUCAAUAUCGUUUCUAUAACAUGCGAAAUACAUGCAGUUACCAAAUAUUACAAAAUGGGUUUAGGGUCUCAUUGGUGGUGCGUGCAACAUGUCUUGUGCGGGAGAACUUUCACAAUCUUUUAAACCGUGCAGUUAAAUGAUCAUUAAAAGAACAAAUAAAAUGACAAUUGAUACAACUAAUAAAACUAAUACCAAGUCCUUAAUGGACUUCAGCAUGUUCAGCACUCUAGCAUCAUACGUGUCAUCUUGAUGUUCUGCUUCAGCGGAGGUUACAUCAACCCAUUCGAAUCCAUUGCAACUGGUGGCUCCCUAAUUGCAGGCAUCAUAUAUGGAAUAUAAUUCUGUCAGAGUUAGACAUAGGUUUUUUUUCACCCACAUACAUAUUCUUUAAAUUAAAACUUACAUAGGAGGUUAGACACUUCCAGAAUGGCUUCCCUCGAUUUUUGUCAGAUUUUGAAACCCGAAGCACCAUUGUAGCUCCACAAUACUGACACCUCUUUGUUUGAGCGGGAGAUGAAGAUGAAGACAUGUUUAAUCUUCUCAGUUGUACCUCUUCUCACUCAGAUCUUCUCACUGAAACCUCUUCGGACUCAUACCUUCUCACUCAUAGUUGUCAUUCAUACCACUUCACUCAUAACCCUAAACUUGUCACUCAGCUCUCUCUCAUCUCUGCCCAAAUCGAGUUAUAUUUCUUUUUUUUGGGAUCAUUUGGUGGGUUGGUCACGAUGUCGACACCUGUACCGUCAGCAUUGUGACAUCUUUUAGCCCGAAAAGCAAUAUAAACUACUUCACUACCAAAUAUAUUUUCUGAAUAAUGACGGGACACUGCUUCAAUUUUAUUAAUUUAUUUAUAUUUCAUUAAGGCAACUAGUUGGAUAAGAAUCCGUCAUUAUUGGUUCCAUUUUAAUAACAUUACUAGGGGUAAUUGGGUGUGGGAAAAUGAAAAAGUAUAUGAUGGGACCUUCUGUCACUAGUCAGUAAUCCAUCACAUUUGUAUCAAUGAAUUUGAUAGUGGGAUAAACCCAAAAAUGGCUAUGCAAAUAGCCAUUUAAUUAACUUUUUGACUGUCUGACUCUGUAUGCACCGUUAUGACGUUUUCCCUUCUUUUGUCUUAAGUUUUAAUUCACUGGGGUUCAGUUUCUUUCAAAAGGGUCAACUUGGAAAAACCCCAACUGGAAACACCUUUUCAAAACACUAUAAACAGAGGCUAAAACAAAACGUGUACCCCAAAUAUUAUCAUUUAUCCCCUCUGCCACUCCUCAAAUCGUUCCAUUCCAAAAACUUUUCAAUGAAUUCGAAACACUUCACUACAGUCGGAGGAAAGAGAAGGAAGCAUGUCCAUUUCGAUAUGCCCGAAGCCUUCAUCCCGGAGUCCGCUUGGUUUCAAGUCAUGUUAUACGUGGCAACCGAAUCAUCGGAAGAUCUCUUCCGUAUGGCAUCUGUGUGACGAUUGUUCCGAACUUUGGCAAACAGUUCACAAGUGUGGAACACCAUUUCAAUGGCAAAGUACCCAGACCAUCCUAUAUGGUACCGUGCCAGACCUGCGGUCCAGCAUUUCUUGCAACAAUGCAGGGCUUGCGAUAACCCUGAGUCCAUAUUUAGAGAAGCAUUCGAAGGUUUUUUCAGGCACGGUAAGGUGGAAGCGUUGUAUGGGAUGCGCAUUGCAGCCACGGCAGGCCAUAUGGAAGCGGCAUAUGUAGUUGGACUACUUGGUAUGUCCGGAAUUGGUCAGUCAAAAGAGGAUGCAUUACAAUUCUUGUGUUCUUUGAAUCAACGUAACAACAUUGAUAUGAAAGGAACCAGGGAUGCUUUGACAGGAAGAUUUCACGGAGCAUUUGUUGCAAGACAUAUCGUAGAUAUGUUUGACUAUGGGAAGAUUAAGUUCAAUCGGUGCAGCGCUUGUAACAACAAUGAAUGGUAUUUUGUUAUUCCAGGCUGGCCUAGUGAAGACAAGAUAAAUCCUGCGUUGUGGACUUGUUGCAAUCGAUGCAAAUGGCACCGUGAGAGUAUUUUUUGGUGCAAACUGAUGCGUGAGUAUGUUGUGCGAGGGAAUCACGUAUUUUUGCAUUAGUUUUAGUACGAAUUUACGGUUUUGAUGCAUUGUGGACUUGCUUCUCUUCACUUCUAGGUUGGCUGGCUACGUUAUACCUAUCUCAGUUUAAAUGUUGUUCAAAUGUUGGUAUUUUGUCAUAAACCGUUUUAUAUAUAAAUGUAUAAUAUUUAUUAUAUAGCGGAAUUAUUACUUACAUCAUAGACGGCUAGGAAUGACAUUUUACUGACACAGAUAUUUUGCUCACCGACCCCAAUCUUCAUAUUUGAUAAACGAAAAGUUAUGCAUGGAGUAAAUAGGUGUCUUUUCACCAGUGCUUGGGAAUGACAUUUUCCCACUUAGCAUAUCCGAAAGGAUUUGGUUACACGUUUCUUAACCUAGGGGGUUGAACAGUGAAUGACGUAGACUAUUUUUUGUGUGUGGAAGGAGUACAAUGGAUGACUUGUAUAUUUCCAUAUUAUGUUUCAAAACAUCCCUUCAACCUAAAAAAUAAAAAAAUUAACAAAUUGAAGAACAGAGAAACCGAUGAGCACUACAAAUGGCCUAUUCGCACGGAAAAUAAAAUUGUUUUCAACAAGUUGGACUAAAUAUAAUUAACAAAUGGACAGCCUAAAAAGUAAUAUCAUAAUAAUUAUAAUAAUUGUGGAUAAAUAAUAAUAAAAUACUAAUGUAACAUAACCAUUAAACAGGGAAUGCAGUAGGAAGAUGAAAUCGCAAUAAGUUCGUAGAAAUUUUGGGAUCGUUUUUCUAAUUUUUGUGUAUUUAGUUAUGAAUUUUCCAAGAAAAAAGGUAAUAAAAUAAUAAUUUAGGGUAAAAUGGGAGGAUGUGGCCAUGUUCGGUAACGUACACUUGUGCAAGUAGUCAAAAGUGACGGGCUGAGAUCGCGCCAGGUGUCAUAUUCUUGUUAAUUUUGGAUUCUUUUGUUAAAAAAUCUUUGAAACUAGGUAAUAAAUAGUAGGAAAAUCGUAAAAAUGGCCCAAAAAUUACUCCGGCCUCCUUUUGACGUCCUAAAACUAGGAGAACCUAUAAAUCAUUCGUCUCGCAAUGAAAUAAUCCAAAUUGUGUUACAUAACUCACUUUCCUCUUAACCCUAAGUAUUGAUGUUUGUUAACUUCAACUUGAAUAACCUACUUCAACAAGCAUCUCCCGUUAAUAUUGGGAAUUAAUUUUACAAAUGCGUAACAAUGAAUCGGAGAAUUCAGCAACGGAGAUGGAGUGUCAAUGAGUUCGUAGCAAUUUUCGGAUAAUUUUUUUAUUUUGUGUGUAAUUAGUUCUGAUUUUUGUAAGGAAAAGUAAUAAAAUAAUAAUUUAGGGUAAAAUGGGAGGGUGUGGCCAUGUUGACUGACGUACACUUGUGCAAGUAGUCAUCAGUGACGGGCUGAGAUCGCGCCAGGUGUCCUUUUGCUAUUAUUUUGGCUUUUUUAGUGCAACAAUCUGUGGACAUAGGUAAUAAAUUCUACGAAAAUCCAAAAAAUGCCCGGAAAAUGAGAAAAUGAAAAUUAUUUGUACAUAACUCACUUUCCUCUUAACCCAAAUUCACGUUAACACGUAUAUUUCGGAUAAUAUUCGAAAUAUAAUUUCUAAUAAUACAAUAUUUAGUUUCACUAUAUACAAUAAUAUGUUUUUUUUAUAAUAAUGUACAUAAAUAAUAAUUGCACAUGCUUUGAAGCCAUCAUUGCAACUACGCCUAGAGCUUUGAAGACGUCAGUUCGUAUUCAAUAAGUUGUCCACAUGCAACUGCACCUAGAGUUUUCAACACGUCAGAGGUAUUCAAUAAGUUGUCCACAUGCAACUGCACCUAGAGUUAUUAACACGUCACAGGUAUUCAAUAAGUUGUCCAUAUGACGCCGCAUUGGGAAUCAGUAAUAUAUUUUCAAUCAUGUCAAAUCACAUAAAUAAUGCCAUACUUUUUCUCAAUAACCUCACACAAGUGAAGCAAUUUUAAAACCCUUAGUGAAUAUUUAUCCUAGUCUAUAUGAGUGAUUAUAUAAUCAGUUGCAUAAUAUUUUUUUCACAGUAUAUGUUAACUUUGAGAGGGAUUCCACAAACAUAAAAUAUAAAGAAAGCAAGAAAUAGUAGGAAAUGAACCAGUACAAAAAACAAUAUAUAAAGUGUACAUAAUAAUUCCAUAACCUUGUCACAAACGCACUCACAAAAGCUUUUCCAUAAACCUUGUCCUAACAUAUAAUAAAUAAAGGCAACAUUGCAUAUGAUGCAACCAUGUCCAAAUCUGAUAAGUGAUCAAAAACAAAUGGACAUGGCAGCAACAUAUGAUUGAAGUAGAUGGGCUCUUUGCAUCUUCUGUUUUCGUAAUUAAAGACAUCAAAAUAUUAAGGUUUAAAUCUUCCAUAGUAGUUAGCAUCAAAAUAGCUUUGAAGCAGAGUGUAACGAAAAUUCCAAUUCCACUUAUUUGCCUCUGCUCAAACACGAGAACCAAAAUGGUUACUUCCCUUGCUGAGUAUAUUUGGUGACGUCGGAAACGGUAAUAGAUGACCAAUCAAACCCGGGUACGACGAGUUUUGCAUAGGAUCGGAAGUAGUCGAAUCCAGCUUGCAUCACACGCUUCUUUGACUCCACUACAUUAGAUGAGUUCUUGUAUUUUUGAACAGCUACACUCUGAAGUCGUUUGUGUCUACGCUUCAUGCGCUGCAACUUCGCCCUAUCCAGAUUGGCCUGCCUUUUGUCAUCUUCAAUUUGGCCUUCCACAAAUUCCAAACGUGCCCUUGCCCUUUGGAUUUCAUCACCAAGUUGAAGAUGCCUCUCCUUCCAAAAAGCAACAACUCUUUCAGACUCAAAACUUCCAACAAAAUGGUCAUUCUGUCUAGCAAUGUGACAUUGCUUGUCUGGUGACUCACUUGCGUGUCGAAGCCGGUCUUUGUUUGGAGGGGUGUUUAUUAUACUCACAUCAAACUUGGUUGUGCUUAUGCUCAUUCUUUGGGGGGAAUGAGUUUGUUUGCUUGAGAGAGUAUCGGUAGAUGGAGACAGAUUCGGUGGAGGAGUGAGUUUUGUGUGGAAGGAGAUUUUAUAUGAAAGGGGUGAUAGUAAUACCAAGAAAAGGGUUCCCGCCAAAAAAUAUUUGGUUGACAAAGUAGAAAUUAUUUUUUUAGUCUGAUACAAUCUAAGUUUAAUCCUAACUAGUUUGGUUGAGUUAACUAAGUAGAUGUCACUUCCAUUGACUUUCUUUCAACAACUAUCAGUGGUGUAAGGAGAGUGUGAGGUUGACAUGCUUGAAAAGCAAAAGCUGACACCUAUUUUUAAAAAAUUCCCGCCAAAAAGUACAUAUGUUGACUACACACAAGCUUUGGUAUGUUGGUCUAUAAACCUAUGUUCCCUUUCUCAAACGAAAUUGCAUAUGCAAUCCUCAUCCUCCCAAAACAAAGAGGAUUAUUCAAGCAUGUCAACCUCUUCAGGCGCCAACAACACAAUCGAACAUGACAAAUUGGAGUCACAGGUUCUAUUUCCACAUUGUACUCGCCGACCCCUUCCUUUUUCAACAUCAUUUGGGAGUGAGGGGGACUCCGAUGAUCCAUUAGAGGCAAUACAUGCAGUCAGUGGCAAGCUGGAUUAUAAUUCCAGACUGAUCAAUUCAUGGCACGAGAAAUGUGUUGAAGACGAGGCAAUUUUGGCUGAUCUUAACAUUAGGGUGAGCAAAGCGUUAUCCCAAAAGAACAAGUACUUGAAGCUGAGUCAUAGCAGGAAGCUGAAAGCUGAGGAGUUGGAUACAGUAAUGAAUGAUGAAAUGAAAGGUUGUUUGAUGAACCAUAUGCGAUGCGAACAGCACCAUACUGAACUGGAGUUGGCAUUCAACGAAGGAUUCGACAAAUUCCGAGCAUUUGCGGCAACUACUCAUACAAGUUAUGAUUGGAACUAUGUGUCCCCUGAUGCUGUGAGAGAGAUACUAGACGAUGGGGGUGACAUGAAUGAGCAUAAGCACGUCAAAGCUGCUCGGAAGAAGCCGACCGAUACGACUAAGUGAUUGCGGCUACCGCUGUUCAGUUAGUUGAGGGUGACCGUGGUAUUGCACAUAUACUCCCUUAAUGUCAUUAUCUAACUUAAAAUAACACAAAUAUCAGUUUCAUUUGCUUGAUAUAUAAUUAUUGGGACUAUGUAUUGCAAGUCAUCAUGUGUUAUAAUGUCUAACAUUAUAUUUUGCAAAUAUGGAAAUAUUAUUCAAGAAGCAGUCAAUAUCACAGAAAGCCGGGAAUCAGUAAAUGCUCCUUAUCAUGUCCAUUUACAUUAAAGAGCUGGAGUACUAAUGUGUUCAAAAAAAACUGACACGUGAGUCAUAAGUAACAUAACAUGUGCUAUACAUUGUUUACUGAAUGGUUUAUGGUUUAUUUGUAUAUAAUAAAAUUUCAAAUAUUGCUGAAGAUUUAUUUCGUGUAUAUCACUAGGGAUAUGAGUGGCCAUAAGCAUGUGAGACCUGCUAAGAAGAAGCUGACGAGUACGACCCAGUGAUUGGCUACCGUUGUUCAGUUGGUUGGGGAGAUCGUGGUAUUGCUAUGAGGAAGCACACAAUAUGUUUUGCAAUCAAAUGUUCUUUUGUGUGUGGAAUUAUGAGUAUUUAUGUAAGUUAGUGUACCCUUUAAUAUUUUUCACCUAAGUAUCGAAAUGCAGUUUUUGAAUGUUAUGUUUUUUUUUACCCGCUGCUUUCUAUUUGCUCUGUUCCAACAAAGUGCUUCAAGUAUCCUUCACUUACAAAAGUGUACAAAAUCGUGCCCCUAAUAACCAGUCGGAAAAAGUGGCUACUGCUGGAAAUGAUUACUGGUAAUGGAAACAACAGCUGGCUGCUGUAAUUGCUGCAUUACCGUGAGGAUUUGAAAAAUGAAUCUCUGUUAAAACAAAUUUCACCCUAAACUGCCCAUUUUACAUGGUAAAAGUCAUUGCUUCUUCAAAUCUUUUGCAGCUACACGAUGCGUGGUCAGAAUCUUUGACAUAUACGACUUCUGCCACUCUUGUUUCCCAAUUUUUUCUUUCGCUCACGUUGAACACAACUUUACAAGCAUCCUCUGUUUUGAGCUCUAGGAAACAUGCUGUACUUUGUAUUAGUUCUUGCUCAAACUUUUGAAACAUUGUCCUUGUGUACAAGGUAGCCAUUUGUUUGUUCAUUGGCAUCGGUAGAAGACAUUGAGCCACUUCAAAUGCAUCUGCGUGAUCAGCAACUAACUCUUUUUCACGUUGAUGAGAAAGUGCCCUCUCAAAUCGUAUUAUGAAAUCCAUCAACGAAUUUCUCCUUGAUAUGUAUUGCUUGAAAAAACCAUGAGAACCUUCCGCUCUUUGGCUGCUUGACAUUCCAGCGGCAAAAAAUUGUCGUGCGUAGGCUGGAACCCAAGAUUCCCUUAAAUCAAACAUUGAACUUAGCCAUGGAUGGUCAGUCAAACCAGCCUUUGUAACCACAAUAUUCCAUUUUGCAUCAAACUCAUCCUUAUUGUCAGUAUCCCAUAUGGCUUUCUGAAAUUCAGGCCAAUACUCCUUAUAAGCGUCACGUGGUAACUUAACAGAGAACUUUGAUGUGAUGUGCUAUAUGCAAAGUCGAUGAAAUGUACUCGGGAAGGCUAUUGAAAUCGCUAUGGCCAUUGCCGCAUCUUGAUCUGUAAUGAUCGUUUUAGGUUCCCCACCUGGCAUGGCUUUCUUAAACUCCUCAAACAUCCAAACAAACGACUCAGUCGUUUCCUUGCUCAAAAAUGUGCAUGCUAACACAAUUGUCUGACCAUGGUUAUUAACUCCCAACAUUGGUGCAAAUGUCAAGUCGUAUCGAUUCGUGUUGAAUGUGGUAUCAAAUACAACAACAUCUCCAUAAAACCCAUACGCCCGUCUAGAAGUUGCAUCUGCCCAAAAACAUCGACUAAACCUAUCAUGCCCAUCUCCCUCAAUCUUGAAAUAAAAAGCCUCAUUUUUUUUCUGUUCAGCCAUAAAAUACUCGGUCACUAGUUCAACAUCGUGGUUCCUCAGCUUCCCAAUCACACUACAUUCAAGAUUGUAGAUAUCUUUUUUGAUAAAACCGAUUUUAUCCAUUCCUCCGGAUUGCACCUCGAAAAUACUUACCUUCUGAUGAAUGGGAAUAUUAACUGAACCCAACUGUUUUGUGAGUACUUUUGUAGAAUCUGAAAUAUGACGGUGUGAUCUCAAUAAAUGCAUUCUUUCUAAGGGUGUCAUCUUAUGAUUGUGUCCCUCUGCAAAAAGAGAAAUGUUAUACUUGUUGCUCCCAUUUGUCUUCACAACCACAAUCUUUGCUUUGCAAUUGCAUCUACUUAUUCCCCGUUGUCUUUUUCUCUCCCGAGUUUCAUCCUUCCUGUAUGCACCUUGUUUGCAACAUACAAAUUCUUUCCUCAAAAUCUCUUUCUUAUUUUUCCCCCAAAAGCUAGAAUGAAGUCGAAUACCAAAGCCAGCCAAGAAUGCAUAUCUAUUAUAGAAAUUGUAAACGAGGUCAAGCGAGUCAAACUUCAUCCCAACUGCUGGUGUUUCCUCAUUUCUUACUUCAGGAAUAUAAACCCUCCCAUUAGCUGUUGCACAUUCAUCACUCUCUGAGCCCCCAGACAUUUUAUCUACGUAUAUUAUUGAUCCACUUCUAUAUUACUGCAUAGCAAUUAUUCAUUCAUUAAUCAGUCAUUACUGCAUCACAACAUAUCAAUGCAUUCCACUUACACAAAACAUUGCCCAAAUUGACACAAAAUACGCAUAGCCUAACUUCCGAUUACACAAAACACAAGCAAAAUUUCAUAAAAGUUACGUCAUCUCUUGUGAAAUAAUCUGGUCAAAAUAACAUUAGAACCAACAUGUUCAACUAAGAACACAAAUGUAAUUCAAACCACCAAUUACAGAACUUCACCCAAUAUCCUCUCCAACUGCUUACUCCUAAUGUCAUUAAGCCUAAGUUUAGGUUCUUUUACCUACAUUUCAUAAUUUUUCACCCCGACCAACAACAAUGAACUAAGUAUAUUGAAUAUUCACAAGGAAAUGACACAUUAUUGAUGCCACAAAUGACGAAUUUCCCACCCUCACAAAAAAUAAACCUAACCCAAUAAAAUCAAUCCAGCAAGUGAACUUACCUCUCAAAAUCAAUCGAGAGCUCUGAAGUCAGUCAGCUUGAAAGAAUGUGGUGGACAUUAGAGAAGACUCUUUGGUAUUUGAGACUCCAUCUCUAUCAAAAUCGAGGAACAACUGCUGCUGCGGCUUCUAGCUACAAAAACAGAUAUGCUACUUUGCUUUCAUCUAGAAUCUUGUCAGCUGAAUGAAAAAGAGAAGGGGUUUUCACUUGAGCCAUAGAAUCAAAACAGGGCAACAGCUAGGUAAGAGCCAUUCUUCGUAAUACCCAGGAUACCAUAGAUCGCAGGCCUCCCAACGAGCUAAUGACAGUGGAGUGACUAUAAGGUUUGGGAGAUUUGGAUCCUUCUAAUUGUGGGUUUGCUUUACAUUCAAAAAGAAAGGAUUGUGUUCUUCAGUUUUUCACAGAGAGGGAAAGAGGGGAACAACUGAAGUUGGGUUUCUAACGGGUUAGAUUUCAACCCGAUUCUACAUGCACCCUCUUUUAAAAACUCACCGUUGGAUGAAAUCCAACGGCUCUUACAUACCCCUCAAAAACACCCCUUAUAACUUCCCACUCACUAUAGAAGCUCCCCCAACUAAAUCCCAAAAGGGAAACAGAUUUGAACAACAUACAAAUUUGAAGGACACACAAAUAUGAAUCUCAGCACCGGUGAGAAAUUAAUUUUAGUUGAGGUUGGUAGGUAGGCAUUGGAAGUUUUUAUUGUUUUUGCUCCAAGUCCCUCCUCCACUCACUAAUACAGAUUACUCGCAAAUGAACUAAAGUCUGCAGGGAUAUAUGGACUCCCCUGUCCAUACGAAUGUUGGAAGAAAUGUGUGUUAAAUUUUAGAGAGACGGGUCUGUGACCCACCACUAGCAACGUUGAUAUUGUCUCCAACUUAACUACAUGUUUAGUAGAUGUGGGGUUUUAUACAAAAAGUAUUGAUGUUAUUGGGAAUGGAACCACUUAUUAUAAGUUAAAAUUUAUUUAGUCAAGUUUCCUAUGUGGGACUUUCUAUUCUUCAACAAGCCCCUUCAUGUGGGACCACCACAUAGUGGGCCACACGUAGAGCCAAGUCCACAUCGGAGUCAAUCAUUCAAGCCCAAUACCUAAACACCACGUAUUGUGUGAGGGGUAGGGGUAAACAUUCAAGCCCAACAUAUGAACACUGUAACAUCCCAACUCCAAAUUUAAUCCCUUAUUUAAAUUAUUUAAGUGAAAUUACAAAUUUACCCUUGGGGUAGGGAUAUUUUGGUCAUUUUCUUACCCGAAAAGAGUUUGGGGCAGUGACUAGUAUUUUUUGGUAGAUCGUACUGAGAUGAGUCUGUAGACAUGUAGUGGGCUCGAUUCGGAGUUGAAACGAAGAAGUUACGAGCAAAACAUCACCAAUGGCAAAACCGUAAAUAUUUCAAAAUGAAUUUUUAAUAAAAAAAACCUGAAAAACCCUCUCUCUCUCUCUCUCUCUCUCUCUCUCUCUCUCUCUCUCCUGCGCACAGCCCCUUUCCCCCCUUCGUUUUUUCUUUCCGUGGCUUCCAAGAGCCACCAUCGCCACCACGAAUCACCACCGGCCAUGAGGCCGGACUCGUUCGAACUGCCGCCGCAUCCUCUUCCUGUUCCGGUCGCUCCCAGUCGCUGCCAUCCGCUGUGCUGGCCGGAAAUCGAAGAAAACCAGCCGAUUUUUGUCAAACUUUCGGCCGCUCGUUCUCCCACUUCCGGCCACCAUUUUGGCCAUCCAGGUAUAGAUUUUGAACCUCUCGAGCUGUUCUUGCUGCCUGUUGUGUUAGAUUUGGGAGAUUUCCGCGUUUUGAAGGUCGAUUAAACGAUGGAAGUUUGGCUGGUUUUUGGCCUCCGAUUCCGGCCACUUUCGGUCACUUUUUGGGGUAGGUCCAAGAACAAAAGUGGUUCCAAAUAGGGUGUUAUACCUAGGGUAGGAGUCUUGAGCCGUGGUUUUGAGAUUUCUCGGUGAUGCGUAAUCGCUUUGGACACCCAUACGCUACCGGCGCGUGUGGUGGCGCGUGGGCACUGUAGAAAUGGGGUAUUGUGUCCCGAUGCGAUCCCCUUGUUGUCACGAGUGUGUAGUGUGCUCGGAUUCCAAUUUGGUUGACAUUCGAACCCCGAACGAAUUUCUCCUAUUGCACGUUAUCCGCGUUUGAUAGGUUUGAACCGUUGGAUAGUCUUGAAUUUAAUAUAUUUAAUCUAAGCAUUUCUAGGAUCGUGUAGGAAUUCACGGAUCAUGAAUCGGAACCCCGGAUGUUCCGAUUUAAUAAUUUAAAGUUUAUGUUUAUAUUAACUGUCAGAUCGUGCAAUCGUGAGCGAUCCGACCUUCCGAUCCGGACCAAACGUGCAGGACGUAUAUCCUAAACCUUGUGGAACCUAUAGGAACUUUCGAAUCAGAAUUUAGAGGUCGUGGGCCUAGUGGCCCCGUUUGACCAAGUGUGGAUAGUUUGACCCUUGGUUGACCUUGAGUCUUCCAAGGUAGUUUUCCUUCCUAGAAGGAUUAUAAUGACCCUAAUGACAGGUCUUGAGCGUUGUUGAGCCAUGUUGACUAGGUUAAGAUUUUUAGAGUGUUUAUUAUUGUCGUAGGAAACUCUUGGACAUUAUUUUAAUAAUUGGAAUUAUAAAAGUGAGUUUUGGGUUCGGCUAUGACUUUAGUGAAUGGACUUUAUUUUUAAAUGAAUAGCAUGGCUUUGUGAUGGAAUUUUUAGGCAUGUGAAUUUAAUGGUUUAUUGAAAUUCAUUUUUAUAAUUAAUAGUUAAUUUAGCAGUUUUGGUAAAGUAUUAGUGAUGUGUGGGGUACUUGGGAUUUUGUUGAGGUUUAUACAAUAUUAGAGAUUAACUUAUAUAUUUAAAUAUAGGUAUGAAUGUAUGAAAAGAGUUUAGAAUGUCAGUUUGAAGUACUAUACGCACUACCCUAGGUACCUCAUCGGAUUUUGAUUACACUAUAAGUACCACCCUGUGAUUGUCAGGUCACCCAUGGCGUAGGAUUUUCCGGCGGAAUGACAGACCCCAUACGUGACGUUGGAAUUUCCGGCGUAUGGGGAGAUGAUAUUAUGAUUGUUAAGUCACACGUGGCAUAGGUUAUCCGGAGUGCUGACAGACCCCAUAUGUGGCGUUGGAAUUUCCGGCAUAUGAGGAGAUUAUGUGAUUGUUAAGUCCCACGUGGCGUAGGUUAUCCGGCGGGAUGAUAGACCCCAUACGUGGGGUUGGAAUUUUCGGUGUAUGGGGAGAUGAUAUAAUGGUUAGGUCACAUGUGGCGUAGGAUUUUCCGGCUUGAUGACAGACCCCAUACGUGGCAUUGGAAUUUCUGGCAUAUGGGAGAUUAUGUGGUUAUUAGAGAGAUGAAUUAAGAUUAUUAUACUGAGUUGGGAACGAAUGAUGUUUGAAAAAGAUUUUGUUUGGGAUUUCUGCAAUUGAUUGCAUGUUGAUGGACUUGGAAAUUUUGUAUGAAAGAACUACGUGUGGCUUGAUCCCUUAGUAAGGGUACAUAUGCAGCUUAGGGUAGUGCCUAGGUGCAGCCGUGUGCUAAACUUUACUCAUGUUGUGUGAUGGAGAUUCGUUCGGACCUUGUUGUUAGUCCUGAAUUUUAGGUGAAAAUGAGAUGCAGUCUUGUUAGGAGGUUUAAAUUUUCUACGUUUAAUAUUUGGGAAUUUAGAUGAUGGAAAUCGCAUUUGGCGUUCAUAAAUGUGUUUGAGUUUAUAUUUGCAUUGUUUAGAGUUAGUUGGUGGUUUCGUUUCGAAUUAUUUGAAGGCCGAAGGCUGAUUAUGUGAUUUAUAUGAAAUUAUCUUGUGCAUACUGCCAGUUGUGAAUAUCAAAUGUGUUUUAUGCACGUUGAAAUUUUUAGGAUUGUUCAACUUACAGGGGAGACUGCCGAAAUUUCGGCAUAAAAUCUCGUGCCCUUAUUCCUUAUUGGGAAAAAUGAUUUAGUUUUAGAAGUGGGUUCGACAUCGGGGUGAUGUCGGGAAUUUUCACAGGAUUCAUCUCGGGUUUCGGGAAAUUCGGGUCGGGUCCUGUCAAACACCACGUAUUAGGUAAGGGUAAAGGCUCAAUUCAGGCCCAGUCAAUCAACCCAUUAUGAUAUCAUGUUAAAUUUCAGAUAGACGGGCCUGUGGCCCACCACUAGUAACAUUGAUAUUGUCCCCAACUUAACUACAUGUUUAGUAGGUGUGGAGUUCUAUACAAAAGAUCUCGAUGUUUUUAGGAGUGAAACCACUUAUUAUAAGUUGUAAUUUAUUUAGUCAAGUUUCCAGUCAACCUGACUUUGAUACCAUGUUAAGAUUUUAAAGGGACGAACUCUUGGCCCACCAUUAGCAAUAUCGACAUUGUCCCCAACUUAACCACCUGUUUAACAAGUGUGGGGUUUUAUCCUAAAGAACUCGAUCUUAUUAAGAGUGGAGCCAUUUAUUAUAUGAAACUUUCUAUUUUGUUAACUCUGUGUAUUCUUCAUCAAUGUGAACACCCCUAAACCAAUCAUACCUGAUACGGAUUGAAACACAAGUUUGUUUUUUGCCUUUGGUAGAUGAGUAGCUAGAAAAGCUCAAUGCACUUGCUCUUCUUCUGCUACAUUUCAAUAUAAGAACAAGGUUUGGAAGCCAGGUCAACUCCUCAUAGUUUCCUUGCCUUUGCUUUGACAUGUCUAUGCACUUCUUGGGGAAGUUUGAAUAAUCAAUUGCAGGCCCCACGACAACUAAGGAACCAACAUUUUGUAGAAGGUUUUGUCUACACCUUUUGACUAUAAGUAAAAUCUUUUGUAUCUGCUCUUAUGUUUCGGUGAAGUUUCUAUGUGUCCUUUGUUGAACGAAAAAAUGAGGUUGUUUCUUACUAGAUUCAAAUACUUAAAAGAAAAAAAGAAAUUAUUGUUUCUUAAUUGAUUUUAUGGUGAACAAUAUCAAACUCUCCUCUUAUACGUCUUCUUCGUUGGACUUGGGGUUGUUUUCCUUAUAUGUCCCUUAUAUAUAUAGGGCCUUUGGUUGAGCCCACAAAUACCUUCAGUUAGUUUUUGGGUUUAGGGGCCUACAGAACCUGCACUAAACAAUAAAAGAAAAUACCUAAUUAGUUUAGUACGAAUUCUAUAAUGAAGGCUUUAUUAGGUAAGAUUUUAUUUCUUAAUCGUUAGAUCAAAUUUGACAGGACCCGUUCCUGAAUUUCUCGGAAAUCAGAGCGAACCCCGUCCUUGUUUCGACAUCACCCCGAUGCAGGGUCCACUUACUAAAAACCGAGACUUUCUACCAAAAUUUUGAUAGAAUCUCCCUUGUAAAUUGAGCAAACCCAACAAAAAUUUCAGCCUGCAACAUACAUAAAAAUAAUCCCAACCAGCAGCAUGCUUACAACAUACAACAAAACGUACUAAAUGGCCUCCGGCCUCACAAGUAAAAUUUAACAUGGGUAAUCUACUGAUGUAAACGAUUCGGCCUUCGAACACUGCUUGCAACCUUCCUGAAGCGACUACUGGCUAAGGGGCGCAAAACAGAAAACAUGUGAGUGGACAAAAACAAGAUUCAAUUAAAACAACAUAGUAACCCCACCGUGUAAAAAUAAUGCUCAAGACAUGUAGGUUUACAAUUCAUAAUUAAAUAUUCAAAAACAAAUUUCAUUUAAAAUUCUUUAAAACCACAAAUCACUCCAUCCAUAAAACCUCAUGCCCACAAUUUUACUGCUCCUACCAACCCACUGUAUAGACUCUAAUUUCUUCACAAUCACAACUAUAUAUAAAUAUAUAAAUUGUAUCAUACAACAUACUCCUCACACUACUUAGGUACAGGGGAAACAAUCCAACCGGAGGAUCGUUUAACUAGCCCGCAGGAUUUUCAGGUGCUAUCCUGAGUCUAGGAAUGAGUGGUCCAACCAGGGGACGAAACUCUAUAGCUCACACACCGGAACAUCCAACGCCACGUGUAGCUCCAAUACUAAGUCCUACAGGCACAGACUGGAUCACCACACACCGGAACAUCCAAUGCCAUAUGUGAUAAUCCCAAGCAAUAUACAGAGUCUUCCCAUACGUCGGAACAUCCAACGCCGCGUAUGGAAAGUGUUCACACGCCGGAACAUCCAACGCCACGUGUGGGAAGCCUAUUAACUGGGGAAAGUACUUACAUAGUGUAAUCAUACAAUUUCUCUCAACAACUCCUCAUACUCAAGUUCUUCCACAAACUCACCUCAACAAUCCCAAGUACCCCACCUAUAGACAAUAUAUAUAUAACUUCCCCAAAAUCUAUACAAAACAUACUCUCGAUAUCCAAAUAUGCCAAACUCACAAUAUAUUGCCAAAGUGCAAUACAAACAUCAAAAUCAACACAUGAAUAUAAUAUAUAUUCAAUAUACCAUUUAAAACAUUAUGCGUAAAUCUUUCAUCAAUAAAACCAUGCGUAUGAUUGAAAACAAAGUCCACUCACAAGUAUUCCUACGCUGCUUGACCACGAGAGAGUCCUGCCUGCUGAGUACGUGCAGUAGGAGCACCUAUUUUGAGAUACAAACCUUUAAUUAAUAUAAAAUUACUUCAAAACGGAAAACACAAAUUAAAUACUUAAAUCCCCAAGUUCCCAGUACAUGUACGUUGAACGAGGUAUCCUAAGGUCUAGUUACAAGUUUGGGAAUCGCUCACGAUUGGACGGUUAUCGCUAACCCACAAAUUUUGAAUUAUUGAAUCGGAACAUUCGGGGCUCCGAUUCACGAUCCGUGAAGUCCUACGUGAUCCUAGGAAUACCUAAAACAACAUAUUUUAAUUGGAAAACGCACAAUAUGCGAAAAUCCGUUCGAUAGUCAAACGAUGUCCGAAUUGAGAUUCGCAAAAUGCUACGCACUCGUGACAACCUGAGGAUCUCAUCAGGACAAAGUGCAACUUCACCACCCUCACCCACGCGCCGGCAGCGCGUGGGUGUGUAGAGUAAAUUCCGGCGAUGGAAAAACUCCACACCUACUUGAGGUCAGGAUCUCAUCACUCAACUACAGGGAGGUUCAAUUAGGACGGCAACUGGCCGGAAUUUCACUUUGAAAUCCAGCCAAAACUUAGGUUUUCUAAUCGGUUCCUAGACAACAAAUCGAUCUAAACCUAUGCAACAGUCAGCUAGACUAAGGAAAAAGAGGAAGAAACCUCACAUUUUUCACUGGAAUCGGAAGGGAGAGGCGACGGGGCGACGUCGGGAAGACUCGGGUUUGAACCAGUCGAUGCCGUUGACGAUUCUCGCAUUUUUCGGGGGGACUUUGGGUGGUUCGGGUUAGUGGCUUCACGACGAGUCGAACGGGACCGGUCUCGGGGGCUGGGGUGGUCGGGUGUGGUGGCGGUGUGGUGGUUUUCGUCUCGGUGAACAGUAACAGGGGAGGGUUUCGCACGCGCAGAGAGGGACUCGGGAGAGAGAGAGAGAGAGAGAGAGAGAGAGAGAGAGAGAGGAGAGAAAAGAAAAAUUAGAUUUUUACUCUCCUCUUUUCAAAAUAUUUACAAGUUUGCCACUAAUGAUGUUUUGAUCGCCAUUUUCUUGUUACAACUCCGAUUCAAGCCUACCGCAUGUCUAGGAAUUCAUCUCAGUACCACCUACCCAAAAUUACCAGUCAUGGUCCCAAACUCUUCCCGUAACAGAAAAUGACUAAAAUACCCCUACCCCAAGGGUAAAUUCAUAAUUUCACUUAAAUAAAUUAAAAAUAGGAAUCAAAUUUGGAGUCGGGGUGUUACAAAAUUGGUUAGUACGAUCCAACGGUUAAUAGAUAAAACUUUACAUAAAAGUCAUAUAUAAGGCCCUCACUAUAGAAUGACUCGUUAGUUUAGUCUCUUGUUACAUAUCAACUGUUAGAGAUAUUUUUUUAAUAAGGAUCUACCAUACCACAUAGUUGGAUAAGACAUUAUACACAACUUUUGUAAGAGCAUCUCCAGCGAGCCAGGCCAGCCCAAGCAGCAAGGGGCCUUAAGCCCGGUAAGCAGCUCCAGCGCUCAAGAUUCAGCCCAGGCAAGGUGUGGAACCCACAAGGAGAUCUGGCCCGUCACCUUGCCUUUGGGUUUCAGUCAGGCUGAUGUCAACGAAAGAAUUUCAAAAAAAUUUUGCCGUUGCAAUGCACGCGCCAACGAUAAAUUUUCUUUGGAUUUCUUGCGUUGAUCCACAGCUACCAAAAACCAACGGCUACAAGCCACGUGGCUUCUCCAAGAGCCUCUGAUCCAAAAAUCUUGUCAAAUCUAACGGCUGUCCAUUUUUUGGCUAAAAAAAUAUCAAAAAAUUAUGGAAACAUUUUCUAUAAAUACCUACAAAUAUUAUUCACUUCCCACACCAAACCUUCAUACAAAUUCAUAUCCUUUCAAUAUUUUUCACUUUCCACACAAGAUUUUCUACUACUAAAUUUCAUUUGUGUAAAAAUACAAGUGGCCUCUUCUAUCAAAGCCGGAGGCGCGUGGACAACCGUGGAAGAUAUUUUGUUGUGUGAGUGUUGGGUCAAAGUUGGUCAUUGCCCGAUCACCGGCAAUGAGAUGAAGUCCUCUCGUAGGAGUUUCUGACAUCGCAGCGAAAGUAAGAUGUGAUAUGAGAAUGUAAGGAAUUUGAUGAGAGGAAUGGGAUUUGAGGAGUUUGAUGUAGGAAUUGAUGUUGAAUUGGAUUUGGGAGGUAUGUAUAUAUGAUUUGAGAGUAUGUGUUUAGGGAUUUUGAUAGGAGGAUUUGAGGAAUUUAGAUUUGAGGGAUUUGGAUUUGGGGAAUUUAAAUAUGAGGAAUUGAUUUAGGGUUUGGGUUUGAAUAUGAGAAAUUUGAUAUGAGAGUUUAGAGACAACUGAUGAUUGAUUGCUCUAAUACCAUGCUAAAAUAUAAAUAUGGUUUGAAUACUUUAGGUUGAGUUUUAUUCUUUUCCAUAAGGAGGUAUAUAUAGCAGUUUACAUGAGUGUUUUACAAGGAAAUAGAUACAGUAAUCAAUUAGGAUAAUAUCUCCUAAUUAUACAAUAAUUUGUCAACUAUAUAGAAUAGGAAAGUAAAUUCCUUAAUUAAUCAAGAAAAUAAAUCUCAUUGAUUAAUUAAGAGACUAACGUCAACAUUUAUAAGCCAUGGAAGAGCAGAAAAAGAGGUACUUAGGAGAUUUUAUACGUCGGACUAAGGUAAGCUUAAAGGACUAUAUCAAAAAAAUAAGGGACCAAGAAGCAAGACUGAGAAGUUGUUAUGCAAACCCAUUAAGUUUAGCAGUGAUGAAUUUGUAAAAAUCAUUCUAGUGGAUGCUGCCUUCACUAUUGAGUUCUUAUUGAGGUUCUAUCUGAAAGGAUGUAGACAUGAAGGAGACCGCUUAUUAAACAAAUCAGCUCCCAUUCUUUAUUCUUGAGGAUCUUUAUCACACAUACAUAAUAACCGACUCUUUUAGGAAUUAUUACAGUACUCAUGAUCAUGAGAGGCUUUCAAUAAUUAAUAUUUCUAAGAAUUUCGUCACAGCUGGAAUAUUGAAUUUGGAGGGGAAGGGAGACAAAUGGAACAGAAUAUCAUCUUCUUCUAGUGUUGGAAAUUUUAUAUUAUUUAAUAAUAUUUAAUUUCUAUUGUGAAUGAAAAAUAAGUUUCUUUAAGAAACGUGUGUCUUAGGCCAGUUUUUCUAACUGGUCGGCUUCCUUAGAUUUGUGCCUAUUGCUUUUCAAAGUAUAAUGAUGCAAUGGUUGUAUCUCGUUCAGGCAAAUGGAAGGUAUAUAGCAAUUUAUAGAACAAUACAGUAAUCCAGAAGAAAUAUUAUGAAAUGAAAAGAAUAAAAAGUAAAAAAAGAGAAGGAAAGGAAUUCCCACCUGCAAUGUAUAUGUAUGAAAGGAAGGACCAAGUUUGUUUUAAAAUGGUAAGAACAAGUUGAUUUAUAAUUGGGUUCAGAUCAACUCAUGGAUUUCUUGCCUUUUCUAUUCUCCUUCCUUGGACAUGAACUGUUUAAUCUUGGCUCUUCCCCAUCAUGUUGGGCCUAUCUUCUUCUUGAGGAUUGUAUAGGCCCAGGAAAUGCUUCAAGAUAGUUUUUGUGUUUUGGGCAUUGGGACCUAACUUCACAAAAAGAAAACAGAUUUGGCCAAAAAACAAAUUUGAAGGACAUUGAAAUUGUACCUGUAGGAUAGGUUAAAACACUGUAAGGGAGGUAAAUAGUACGUUUACAUAGUUUAAGUGUAAUAAAGGAAUAAAAACAUGCCCAGAGGAUUGAUAAGUGAUAUCAAUUCUUGAAUAUAGAGAACGUAAAAUAAAGGAACACGUAUAAAAUUAUUUUAUGUGGUAAAACCCCAUCUCUAGGGAAAAUCCACGGGACUUCUUAGUCCAAAACAAAUCUAUUAUAGAACGAUGAUUACAAGAAGUACUCACACACUUAUCCUAGACACAUUCUAGAUAAUGUUUACUGACCUCUUCGUAACUCAACUUCUGUCACAGGAUGAUCUUUCGACACUUCUUAUGUUGAACGCAAUACUAGUCACGAUUUCUUUCAAGCUCAUUGGAGAAAAACCGCCACAACAGUCUCGGUGCCCUCAAUCUUAUGAGUCACUGAACAUGCAAAUGAAUACAAUAUGAAUGAUAAAAGUGUUUGAUAAAUCACCAAGUUAUGGAACACUUGAUGAUUUAUUUCAAGUAAAAAUUCAGCUUUCCAAAGUUUAUGAAUUGAAAAUAUGAUCGUUAAAGCUCUCUAAACAAAAAAAACGAAGGUCUUAUUUUAUAGACUUUUUCUUUACAAGAAAGAAAACACGUUGAAAACCAAAUCUCCAAUUUCAAGGCUUGACAGAAAAUCACAAAAGUAUCUUUCCUAUUCUAGAGAUUGGUCACAUGAAGUCCAACCAAUAGGAAAUGAGAUAUUUAAGAAAGGAAGAUUUUGAUCAAUAUCAAUAUCAAAUGAAUUCUUAUAUGCCUAGUCAACUAUUAAGGGUAUCUUAACUACUUGAUAUUAUGAUAUGAUUGAAACAUGAUUUCCACGUUAGAAAAUUAAGGGGAUUUUAAAACAUGAAAGUAAUAGGAGAAUCAAAUUGAUUUGGACCAAAAUUGCCUAAAAAGAAAACACUCCUAAAUAAACUUCAAUUCACUUUUAAAAACAGUAAAACUUGAUUGAAUCGUUCUUUAAAACAAUUCCCUAAUAUACAUGCAUGAUAGUGACAUCACUUACCUCUGAAUCAGAUGCCUUUUACGAGUCAAGCCACAAGUUUGUGUUUUGGGGAUUGCUGAGCUGCAUCAAUCCUGCCAAUGUCAAUUCUGCCCCUAGGCUCUCUCAAAGCACGUUUACAAUCUAUGCUAAUAUAUACUAGAGUUUAUGCUAGUAUCUAGAAAAUGCCAACACUAAUUUCGUAACACGUAGAAAUUGUUAGAGAUUGGAAGUUUUUUUCAUUUUUUUCUUCCAGACUCUCCACCACUCACUAAUACAGUUUACUCAUGUGAUGAAUUUACAAAACCUAUUUCUCUACUCUCACAAAGACUAUACUUAGGGGGGGUGUAUUCAAUUAGGAGUCUAGAGCGUUUAAAAAGAUUUUGUUUAAGUGCCAGCUUUCAUAGAACUUGAUGGAACUUUAUAAUUCGUAUAGAACUUGAUAGACUUUCAGAAGACUUCUGUAUAAUUUGUUAAUAAAACUUUCUUAAGCUUUCAUAGAACUUGAUAGGCUUUUAUUCCAGAAUUAUGUAGACAGUAUAUUUCAUUUUAUCCCCAUCCUUGUCAUUUAAAGAAAGAAACUUGAAUGUUUUCAAUCAAAUUUGUUUUUGUUACCAAAGCAAAAACAAAAAGUACUUGUUUGCGAAGGAAGAACAUAUGCACAGUUCAAAAUGAAAAGAAUAAGAAGCAAAGUACCUAUUGGACCAAUGAAUGCUGUGUCAACUAGAGAAGCAAUUGGAUCGGCUGUCAAAGCCAAUGCUACAGGCAAUGCAUCGAUGGUCCAAAUUGCAAUAAAAAAUAUUUUGUAUAAUGGUUCUUGCAGACAAAGACCACAUAAAUUCUGGACUGGUCCAGCUUGAAUAAUAAGGUUAGAUUAGCCGAUGGAUGAGAGUAAAAGCAAAGAAAGUUGAUGAAUUCAUCACCAAUUAUUUAAUAACUGUAACAUCCCACAUUGACCAACGGAGAGGGGGUGAUGUGCCUUAUAUGUACAUGCCCACUUCCAUCUAGCAUGAGUCCUUUUGAGAGCUCACUGGCUUCGGAGUCAUGGGAACUCUGAAGUUAAGCGAGUUGGGGCUAAAGCAAUCCCAGGAUGGGUGACCCACUGGGAAGUUGCUCAUGAGCUUUAGAAACAAAAAUCAUGAGGGCAUAAAGGGAGGCCCAAAUUGGAUAAUAUCGUGCUACGGCGGAGCCGAUCCCAGGAUGUGACAAUAACCAAUAGAGUAUUUAAACAUAAACAACAAUGUUUGAUAAACAAAACAAAUAGUCCAAAUAUUAUCCAAAAAACAAUUCUAAAACCAAUCAUUCCAAACAAACUAGUCAUUCCCAAAAACUCUCAAAAAACCCACUCAUUCCAAAUUAUAGGAUAUCCAAUUUGAGCGCUCCUCAGGAGACAUUUUCAAAAAUGCAUCCUUUUUUGUGUUACUAUGCAACAAAGAGAGCGCUUUAUAAUGAGCACGUUCAUCCAAAUUUGAGGUCUCCUUAAUGGCAUCCCACAUAUAACUCUGCUGCUCUCGCUCUUUUCCCCUUUUUGCCAAUAGGUUAUGGACCUCCCGGAAGUCGGUGACAAUUGAAUCAAUGCUAAGGCUAAUUCUUCCCAUAGCUUGUUGGGUGGUCACAUUUGAGAUGGCAUUCCCUUCCAAAUCUAUUCUAGUUCGUUUCCUCUAGUAACAAGCAUAAAUCCUAGUAACAAGCAUAAACCCUAAUCCCAACCUAUAACCUAAUAACAAGAAAAACACGAUGAAAAAAAAAUCAUGGAAAAAGAAAACCCAACGAGGUAUUGAUCAAAAAAAAAAAUAGGGAGCAUACCUUCACAGAUGGAGGAAGGAAGCUGUUUGUCUUCACAGAGAGAAAAGCUAGGGAAAGAGAAAAACGUCUGAUGAAAUACUUUGGGGGGAGGUUGGAUUUCUUUUGGUCUUUGAUAUUUAUAACUCUCCCCUUAAAACCUACAAAAAUUUAUCACUUAAUGAAAUCCUUCCAAAUAUAUGACCUUUCGAAUACACCUAGAUUUGAUUCAACUUUUUUAUAAUCCUAAUUGAAUACACCCAUAUUUGAGUGGACUUUUUAAAAGUUCAUAUAAGUCCGAAUUGAAUACACCCAGACUUGUAAAACCUCUUUUAAAGUUUGUAUAAAUCCAAAUUGAAUACACCCGGAUUUUUAAAAUAUUUUUUAAACGCUUUAUAAUCCUAAUUGGUACAUCCCCCUUAUUCUCAAAAGACUAUAUCACUUUACCUCUAUCUCUGUGAAAUGUAAAAAGUUGAAACUUUAAUGUCAAACCUCGACAAAAGAUGAACUUCCAUCAGUUGCGUUGAAUUUGGAUUUGUUGAACUAAAGUGGUUUUACUUUCUCUGUCAGUGUUUGAUGACUUAAUUUGGUAUUUACUUCUUUUUUUCCUUGGAAAUGUGUUCCACCAACGUGAGGAAGAAAAAUGUGCACAAAUUAAUAUAUUUAAUAAAAGCCCAAGAUUUCGGAAGCACAUAAUUUCUACAAAAAUCUAGAAAGUGUUCUACUUUACAAACUUCUUAUGUCUAUCAAUUUCUACUAAAAUUAAUUUCUCUGUGGUGCUCAGAUUCAUCAUAUGUGUGUCCUUAAUUUUAUUGGAAAUUAGAAGUUUCCAUAAUUUUUAUUUUUUGGGAAUUUUCUGAACCAAGAAAAAUCAAGUAAAAUUAAUAAAGCUUAAAUUGGAAAGGGAAAAUAUCUAGAGGACGCAUUGUAGGAUUUCUCAUGCCGAUAAUUGUACCCUCUAAAUAUAUAGGGACAUAUUUUUUUUGUUUUCAUGACAUGUGGUCCUAAAAUUAUUGUUCCUAGCGGGCUCUCCACCCCCUCUCAAAUUUACGUGGUCCAUUAUGAUUAACCAUAUAUUUUAUUGACCAUCCAGCUGUGAGGUUUUAUCCCAAAAACCUUAGGUACAUUUCUCAAUUAUGUCUGAUACAUCACAUCAUGCCACAAUUGUAUAUUCACAAUUAUGUCUGAUACAUCACAUCAUGCCACUUGCCUCAAAUGAAUUUAAGUGAGUGUGGCAGUGGGAAGUAAUUACUUCUAGGUGCCCCUCAUCAUUCGUCUAUAAAAUGGUGAAGCCAGUGGCUAUAAGAGCCAGCUCCAACUUUCUUUUAUUCGUCUAUAAAAUGGUGAAGCCAGUUGCCAAGUUAAUUUCAGUCCUAAUGGGGUUUCAUCUCCCACUCAUCUUUGCUAUUCUCAGUGUAAGCUCUGCAAUUUGAUUAACUUUUCCAUUCUCUCUCAUUGUACUCUAUAUAAACGAAAGUUUUGUGUUCCUAUAAUUCUCUUUGAUUUUAUUUAGUACGUACUUAAGUGUCGUCCACUAAUUAAUUACAGUUUGUGAGAUUUGAUUUUAAUUAGAGUUCGAAUUAAUGUUGCAGCUAGCAGUGGUUGCACUGGCAAACCAUGCUGCUCAACCAGCACCUCAACUUUACUGGAACUCCGUCCUGCCAAACACACAAAUGCCAAGAUCUAUCAGUGAACUUCUGCAUCCUGGUUUGUGUUGAGCUCUUUAGAAUCUUAGAUAUCUCUUCUACCUGCCAUUUUACUAAAAUAUGUUCGACCACAUAUUUAUCAGUUAACUACUGUCAUUACAUGAGUGACACUUAUUCACAAAUCGGCUGAUCACUUAUUUUCCAUUUUACAUGAGUGAUAUAUAAUUUGCAGACUCCACAAAUGAAGAAAAUAUCGUGAAUGCUGUUGGGAAUGGAAAGCGCAAACCUGAAAUUUUCCCAUUGAGAAAUAUAAAUUACGUUCAAAGCCAUUAUGGAGUGUUAAAUAGAAAUUACGUUCAAAGCCAUUAUAAAAAACGUCCUCCUCCACCUGAAAAUAUCCCAUUUGCAAAUCGAAAAAAGUACGCACUAGGUUCUCCUCCAUCUGACAAUCAACUACUCCAUUAUAAAGAGUUAGCUAUUUUCUUCUUCGAGAAGGACAUGCGCCCUGGCGCAACAAUGAAGUUCCAAUUCCCUAGAAAUUCAAACACGGCUACUUUCCUGCCACGCGAAAGUGCUCAAUCGAUCCCCUUCUCCUCUAACAAACUACCAGAAAUUUUCAACCAUUUUUCAGUGAAGCCAACAUCUGUGGAAGCCAAAACAAUUAAGCAAACAAUCGAAGAGUGUGAAGCUCCAGGCACUAAGGGAGAGGAAAAAUAUUGCGCCACAUCUUUAGAAUCAAUGGUUGAUUUUAGCACUUCGAAGCUUGGAACAAGAAACGUUGAAGCAGUCUCGACGGAGGUAUUGGAAAAAGGAGCCACCAUGUCCAUGCACAACUAUACAACAAUGCCGGGACUGAAGAAGUUGGCAGGUGACAAAGUCGUUGUGUGUCAUAAGGAGAACUAUCCCUAUGCUGUGUUUUUCUGCCAUGCAAUAAAACAAACAGCAGCUUAUGUUCUCUCCCUGAAAGGCGAUGAUGGGGAGAAGGUUAAAGCAGUAACCAUCUGCCAUCUAGACACAUCAGAAUGGAACCCAGAGCAUUUGUCCUUCCAAAUCCUCAACGUUAAGCCCGGAACCGUUCCCAUCUGCCAUUUCAUUUCCACUGAUGCUAUUGCCUGGGUUCCAAAACACAAAUUUGCAUGAUCAUCACUUAGCACUGUGGUGUAAGAUAUAUGAUGAGAUAAAGUUUUUGGUAUUAGUGGUCGGGUUGCCUGAAAAACACAGAUUACAGAAACUGCUUGAAAUUAACCCGAUCAUGUUUUCUCUUGUAAGACUUCAACUUGUACUCCUAAAGCAAGUUAUAUUUAUGAAGAGAUAUUAAUCUAUAUAUAUUUUAUGUAUAUAUAUAUAUAUAUAUAUAUGCUUUGGCUUUGUGGUUCUACCCAGUGUUUGAGUGUUGAAUUGUUACGUUGGAAUAGGCUGAUAAUGCGUGUAGUUAGAGAAGCCUUCAUUUAUAUCAAAGUCCUCAAACUAUCAAGAACUAAUGUAUCCAGAAACAUAUACCAAGACGCAAAACAACAUAUUUUCCAUGCUCUGUCUGUAACGCCAAAGCAAACUUCCUUUAUCACAUCAUUUAAAGGAUCAAAUUCCAGUACUAAUCUAAUCCAUCAUGUAAAGCAUACAAGUGCCUCCCUAAAUUUGUCCAUUGGAUAUAAAUGUUGAGAAAAUUAGAGUACACAACUCUAAUAUGAUAGUUGUACACAACUCUAAUAUCAUAAAGCAAACAAAAUUUCUAAGUUAGUUUGCUUUAUGAUAGUUGUUUUUUGAAGGGGUCCUUAGAUCCUAUCUCAAAAAGUUUGGCUUUUAUUAGGUUUAACUCUGGUUUUUAUCUCUACCCACUAACUUUUAUCUCUCAUUUUUAUUACCCAUUUUACCCUUUAAAAUAAAUAGGGCAAUAAACUAAAAAUUCUGAUUUAAUGCAUGUUUUACUCAUAAGAGAACUAAAAACUAAAAAUUCUAUACUCUAACACAAAAAAUGAAAACUAAAAACUAAAAUUGAAAUGGUUUCAAGCAAUUGCAUGUCAGGCGCUAUAUAUAAUGUAUUAGCCAUGGUUUGUUUAAUACGCGGUCAUUCGUCAUUUUCCCAUUCAAAAUAUUGAAAUUACGAACUACAUACCAUGAAAGAUAAGAAACUAAAAGCUUCAAGCAAAUAGAAAUGUGCUACAAACAUAGUAAUGAAGAUGUGGAAGCAUUAUCUCAGACGAAUGAUUCUGAAGUGGAAAAAACAAGAACAAAAAAGGAAGUGAGUUAAAUUUGCACCUGCUAUGUUCAAACGACAAAGUUGGUUUCCCUUUGGUCGAUUACAAGAGAAGCUCAAUGCAGCUUACUUGGUUCCUCUGGUAGAUGAAAAUAUAAUUUUUCUCCUAAUAAUAAGGGUAUAGUGCAAUCAAUGAUGGGCUGUAUAGAACAACUUUUUUGUUUUAUGUGUUUAUGUGAGACAUGUUUUGCCAGAUUGAAUUAAUGUCUUCUAGCCAUGUACCUUAUCUUUUUGCCGGGCCAUGAGUUGAAUGUAGAGGCAAAGUAUGGACUUGGGGUCAAGUUUGACUUGUAAAAUAAUUAGGAAUUGAAUGGCUCCUACGUUCAAUUAUUUUAAUUUUUUUUCCCGAGCCAUUCAAUUCCUAAUUAUUUAGAUUUUCGAUUUAGUGAGCAUCCACAAUCAUGCUCUCUAUUUUUAAGUUAAAUUUUAGUUAAAAACAUAUAAAAGUUAUUUAGGAGCUCUCUAUAAAAUUUAAACUUCAAUCGUUUUCUAUAGUUUAGGGAGUCAUAAAUGUCAUAACUCUUUUUUGAUUGGUCCAUCUCUAUUAAAAAAUAAAAUAAAAAAUAGUUAGCAUGAAAUAAAGGUUUGAAAUACUCAUUAAAUAAAGCAGCAUUAAAUUAUAGGGAGCCACUAAGAGUCCUUUCUCUCUCCUCAAGUUUAGGAGCUCCUAGAGGUCUCCCUAUUUUAAGAGGUGGAUAGGGAGUAUGGUUGGAAUUGUAUUUUUACAAUUCCUCCCUAAAAAUUUUCUAUGGAUAGGUGGUUUUAAGGAACCCAUUGUGGAUGCUCUGAUCUCAAAGAAAGAAAACCUCGAGUUUGCAAGCAAGUUUUCUACGUAUGUAUAUAUGAAAAACUGACAUUUAUGAAAAUAAUAAAUCCAUAUUUUUAUGUAAGCCAACUUUCUAAAUCCAUGUACUAUAUUUAUUAGGGAAAUAUUGGAGAAACUGAUUAUUUUGAAAAAUUAAAUGUGAAAAACUGAACAAAAAUUUGACAGGUUACAUAUUUCAACUCAUUCAGCAGCUUAGGUUGUGAAGACCUCAGAAGAGGCUAUGCAAUGAGCCUAGCUAGUGCACUGUUGAUCACUUCAGUGUUUACCGAUCUGUAAUUUUUCCAGAUUGGUUAUAUUUUCCUUUACAUAUUCUUAUAUUUUUCCCAGUUGGGGAGACUUAUAAAUAAACCCAAAAUGGGUACAAUAUCUAUACAGAAGGACAAAAUUAAAGUGUUUGGACAAUAAUCCCCUAUUCAUUUUGGGAUUGCCUAAGGAAUUCUUUUUCUGAUUUUCAAUGAUGCAAAGGACUGUUGUUUGAUGCUUGCCGUAUGGAGCUAAGAAAACUUGCUUUGAUAGUUUUGGACAGAUGCAAGCUACUGUUGUUGGUAGGGGUGGGCACGGUCCGGAUUGGUUCGGUUUUACUCUCAAACCACAGCUGAACCAAUAAGAAAAUAACGGUUCGGUUUGGUUCGGAUUAGCCUAAAAUCAUAAUGGAAACCGAACCAAUCCAAACCACUUGUAAUCGGUUUGGUUCGGAUUGGUUCGGCCGGUUUGUGCCUAACACAAAACCAUGCAUUUUUCAACCUGCUCUUACAUUAUAAUGCUAACAUUUUGCCAUUAUAUCAUUCCAUUCCAUUCCAUCAAAGGCUAAUACAACAUCAUUCCAUUUAUUCAAAGGUUGUCCAAUGUCUAGCAUGCAUCUAAGUUCACAAUUUCCAUCAAAACAAACAUAUACAUAAUUUGCAUUAACCAAGUAGCAUUACAUUUACUCAUUGCAUUCAUCACAAUUCAUAAGAGAUGAGAACGAAUCAAUUUUACUUUAACAUAUUAAACAAAUGCAUUCUUUGUAAUAGUUAAACAUUCUCACAUCAUGAAUAUCGGCAAGCUUAUAAAGCUGCUGCACCAACUUGCUAAUUGAUUCGUCUGUACCAGGAACAACAGUAGUAAUGCGAGAGAACCCCUCAACUUCUGCAUGGCCAACAGCUAAACUCUGGAAACGAGAAACCAGCUCAAUUAUAACAAAUGCCUAAAACUUCUACCUUAACAGAAGACAAAGGAGGAAAUAACAGCAGAAGGAAACCAAAUUUCUCAAUUUAAUAACUGAUAUUUCCAAAGGAUUCUUAAGUCUAAAAUUCGACCAAGACUUGAUUAACUAUUCCAAUGUCUAGCAUGCAUCUAAGUUUAUAACUUUGUUCCUUCUUUAACAAAAAGAACAAGGAGAAAAAGCUAAUAAUAAGGUAUCCUUCUUUAACAGGCAUCAAGCAUAUCACAUAAGCAACAUUUUAUAUACAUUAUUCUAUGAACAAAACUAAAUCAAAGCAAGGUAUGCUACAGUCUUUUUGUACAAUAAAAUAGAUUAACAUAUUUUAUAACCAUAAAAAUGAAAAAUUAGGCCUCAUAGAAAAUACCAUUUUAUUUUUCAACUCUCUAACUUUUUAUAUAACCAGUUAUUGGAGACAAUACAAAAAAUAAAGUAGUAGACAGAACUAGCAUAUUUUACAAACCCAGCUGAUGAUGACGAUCCACCACCAACAAUAUUCCCAUAAUCAAUCCUUGCAUAACCUGAUGGUCGAUGAUGGAACUUGGGUUUUGUAGAGAUGGAUUUCGCUGAGGACAAAUGGGUGGGUUUCGCCGAGUUCGAAUCAUGUUGGCUUGAGUUAGCGUCGAGGGAGAGGGAGAGGGAGAUGUAGCAGAGAGACAAAGAGAGAGGGAGAGGUAGCAGAGAGAGAUGGAGAAAUAAUGAGAGGGAGUUGCGGCUAGGGUUAAGAGACGAAGGAAGGGAGAUAGGAGAGAGGCUCUUCUGAGGGAGAGAGAAUGGUUAGAUAACUUAGAUGUGUCCGUGAGUUGUAGUUUUGGAGUCCAAUCAAGUGUUGCAGGGUACAUGGUACACUCUUAAAUAACCACUCAAACCUUGCCACAUGUAAACUAAAUUAAAUAAAUAAUAAAUUGAUUUAUAAUCGGUCCGGUUCGGUUUAGGACAGUUUUUAAAACUCUCAAACCACAGCUGAACCAAACCAAACCGGUUCGGUUCGAUUUUUCAAAAUGUUGACUUUUUCUUUGGUCAAAACCAAACCAAACCAAUCCAAUAUAAUCGGUUCGGCUGGAUUGACCUGAUCGGCCAGAUUGAUGCCCACCCCUAGUUGUUGGGAUGAUCUUUUCACGUGAAAUGAGGAUGACGAUACUUCUACACUACACAAUCCAACGAAUUCACAUUUCUAUUUCAGAUACAUGUAUAAACAGACAAGGCUUUAAAAUAUGGGAUGCUGCACUGUUGUUGCUGCUGCUGACACUGUUACUGUGUUGCUGCUACUGUUACUGCGCUGCUACUGGAAGAAGGACAAGGACUUCACAUGUUGCUUUCGUCCUUUGUGGAGGAGAGAGACCUAGGACUUGCAUGUCUUAGAUAUUUAAGAUAAGGGGCUUUCGUGCCAUUUUGAAAAUACUUUGGGUGUUUUUGAAAGCUGCUUGUUUCUUUUGGGUUUCUCACUAAAUUUCGCUAUUAGAAGGGAAAAUAAUAAUAAUAAAAAUACAGCUCUUAUUAGCAACAGGGUUACAAAUUCUUCUACAACACACCAACUGUUGUAAAAGUUUGAAGGUGGAGCCCACAGAGGAAGUUUCCUUGCAUCUUCCAGGAACUUUCCCUUCCCUGUAUUUAUCAAUUCAGGAAGUUUCCUUGCAUCUUCCAGGAACUUUCCCUUCCCUGUAUUUAUCAAUUGAGGAAGUUUCCUUGCAUCUUCCAGGAACUUUCCUUCCAUGUAUUUAUCAAUUCAGGAAGUUUCCUUGCAUCUUCCAGGAACCUUCCCUUCCCUGUAUUUUACCAAAACCUUAGCCUAUAAAUAGGCUUGCUCAUUCACUUGUAAUACACACCAAAAUGAAGAGAAGAAUGAGUGAGGAAAGAAAGAAAGGAAGAGAAGGAAGAAAGAGGGUGAGUAAGUAGAGAGAAAAAUAGAGUGGAGAGAAAUUAGUGAGCCACAUAUAUUGUAAACACUAAAGUUGUAGCCCUAUUAUUUUACAUAGUGGAAAAGUUACUACUGCUGCUCUCCGGGGACGUAGGCAUAGCCGAACCUCGUUAAAUACUGUGUCUCAUUUACUUUACGUGCAGCUCAAUAUUCAUACAUAUUCCAGGUUAUUUUUAUAACACGUUAUCAGCACGAGAAGCUCUCAGGUAUAAUUUUUGUGCUGCACUAUUAUCUAUACUACUAACCACUAACAAAAAUGGACCCUUGGUAAUACUAAACAUAUUAUCAGUGGGAGACCGUUACUAAUACUAACUUUUUCUUAUUUUAUUCGGUGGUGGUUUUAACCCCACAUUUAUUUACUGUAUGGUGUAGGUUUAUUACCCAUACAUGCACCUUUACUUUAUCGCAAAUUUAUUUUACCGCAUAUUUAUUUUAUUUACUGUAUGGUGUAGGUUUAUUACCCAUACAACAGUAUUUAUUUAAAAGGGUGGUGCGAGUUUAUCGUCCACGCCUUUGCUUUUAUUUAAAUGUAUGGAGCAGAAUUAGUGCCCAUACAAGCACAAUUUACUUUACCGCACAUUUAAUUUUAUUUAAAGUAUGGUGCGGGAUUAACGUCCAUACAGCAAGCAAUUUAAUUUAUGAAUUUAAUUUACCGCACAUUUACAUUUAUUUAAAAGGGUGGUGCGGGUUUAUCGUCCACGCCUUUACUUUUAUUUAAAUGUAUGGAGCAGAAUUAAUGCCCAUACAAGCACCUUAACUUUAUGAAUUUAAUUUACUGCACAUUUACAUUUAUUUAAAGUGUGGUGCGGGUUUAUCGUCCAUACCAGUAAUUUAUUUAUCAGCAAUUUAUUUUAUGGAUUAAUUGUUUAUUUAUCAGCAAUUUAUUUUAUGGAUUAAUUGUGCUGUAUGAUGAGUUUUUCCAGUAUGCAGAUCAGGACCAGAAGUUCCUUGAUCCUCAUCAUACAAUUACAUCAGGACUUGAAGAUCCUUGAUGAUGAUAUUAAAAUGAGAGCUGGCAGUCUCACCGGUACUGUAUUUGUAAACAUGUGAUUGGACUUAAAGGUCCUUGAUCCCUGACAUGUAAAUAAGGACCUAGAGUUCCUUAAUGAUGUAACAGUACCGUAUUGGUUCAUAGUGCCGUACACAUUGAUGAUAACUGUACUGGCAGAUGAAUAGAUACGUAUUCAUGACUUGAUGAAUAGUACUAUUCACAUGAAUAGUGACGUAUGCAUAAAUAUUAACCAUUUUGGGUAAACCGUCACUAUAUACAAAAGGGAACCUGCAGUUCCUUAAACUCAUGGAUGAGCAAUUAAAUGAGAUGCCAGAAGUUCCUCAAAAUAUGGACAAUUAUGUAAGGGCUUGAAGUCCCGAAAUAUGUACAGAAAAUUGUAAAAAUGUCCAUACCAUGAGAAUAUGUGGCUUUGGCCUGAAGUUCCAAAUUUAACAGUGUUGAGAACCUGAAGUUCCAACAAUUAAAUGGACAACCCUUGAGGUAUUAUUGCAAAUUGUGGUAUGCCACAUAUUUCUUUGGCAUAAGAAGAUGAUGAAUUUAAUAAAGUUCGAUUUUGUUAUAAUCGACACCUCAAGGAAGAAAUAUAUUUUGUGAAUUCCGGUUGUUAAGAAUACACCGCGAAAUGGAUAAUAUUAAUAUAAACCUCAAAUAAUGAAUUGAGACUCCCCACAUAUUUUGUUAUAUCUGGGCCGGAAGCCCAUGGAUCCAAAUAUAUGAGAGAUCCUAAACUUGAAGUUGUGGGUAUAUAGUAGUUAAUGCUCUUCACUACUAUAUUGCGAUAUUAUCAUGGCUUUUACUCAAUUCAUAUUUCAUGUCCAUUUGAAAAGGGCAAAUAAAUUCUGAGUUUGUGCCCAGGCCAUAAGUUCCGGGCUACCAUACGUUGAAAUAUGAAAUUUGGGAGAGUCGAUGUGGUUAUUUGAACCUAUAAGGCACAAGGUUCCAAAUCGUCAUUUUGAAAAGACGUAAAAACCAAAGGUGCAAGUUUAAGAAUGUGCGCAAUUAUUAUUACAGGAACAUACAACAGAUAGAUUUUUUCCACUUGCAAUGAAGGUGCAGGCCCUGUAAAAUCUAUAAAAUUACAUUAUGUUCUGGAAGCCUCUGAAGGAAGAGGACGGCGCCUCUUAAGCUUAGCCAUGAGCUUCUCAUGGUCUCCCAAAAUUCUUUCAUUGGAGACCUGCAGCAUGUCUAGCCUUCUCAGUGUAUCAACAGAGUACGAACUCACCAGUUUCAACAAGGAAUUAUUCUCUCCUUUAAGUUUCUCAACCUCCUGUUGAGACUCAUGAAGCAUUCUUUGGAGAGACGAAUUUUCAGUUGUUAAAUUCUCAACCUCGUUUGCUCUGGCACGCAAACGAUCAGCCAUGUUAGAAACAGAAACAGCACUCUGAAUGCUAAAAGCCAUUGAGUCAUCAAUAGCCUCUUCCUCUGAUCUCCCCGUCAACAACAUUUCAUCCAUUGGAGUAAUGAAAUUCCUAGCUACUAUGACAGCAGUAGCAUCAUUCAUCAUCACAGAAUCAUUAACUGUGAGAUGACGAUUUUUGGAUACAAAGGAUGGACGCCAAACUUGGGCGUCACUGGUAGUUGUGGGAGUAUCAUUUAAAUUGAAAUAAUUUGGGCAGGAAGAAGAGGAAGCCAUUUUUAAGAAGGUUUCGAAGAAAGCCUUAGGAAAACUAAAGUUUCAUAAAAUGAAGGAAGUUAAGUUGAAACGCAAUUGCUCCAAUCAAGUUUUGCAAAGGCAAUAUCUAUAGACGAAAAUAUGGCAAUAUCUUCAGGAUUCCAAUAUCUUCUCGAAUCCCCAUAUUAUCUUUUUCUUUCCCAGAGUCCAAAACUUCACGUGGCCUCUAAUAAUGCCUGUCGGCACUUUCGGCGUUUUUCAAAGUAUUAUUUUCAAAGCCGAUCUUGCUUUACGGAUUUCACGGAACUACUUUUUCAAAAGUAUCCCGAGAAUCUCGCAAUUUUCCUAUGGUUAAUUUGAAAUUCACCGGUUCUACCUAUUUAUUGUAUUUAUGUAUAAAUGUGUUACUAACGAAAUUUUCUUUGCAAAAGACAUCCAGUUUUCUCCAUACCUAGUGAUGCGAUAUCUACUUAUUUUUCUUAUCAGUGAGCACUUAAUAUGCCUGAGAAGCAAGACUAUCUCUGAUCAUACAUUCAGGAAGCAAGACUAUCCCUGAUCAUGUUUCCGCUACAUUAGGGAACUGUGAAGGUGACCUUAUGCUCCAAUCUCCUGAGGUCUUUCUAGACUAGGAGAAAUGAGAGCUUGUUGUUUGCUCCCACCAGCUUCCUUCCUUGAUUGCUUACCUUACCUUGCAAUCAAUAUCACAAUCUUUUUGCAUUUUUUCUCUUUUUAUAACUCUCUGUUCAUAAGAGAUUUUAUUUCUUUAGAAUGAACAUCUGAAGAAUGAAUCCAUGAAGUAAUCCUAACUAUGAGGGUUAUUUGUUUUGACAGAGGCAAAAGAGUUGUGAUUUUUGCUCUUGCAGGAUAUAACUAGAUCAUCAAGCGCUACAUUAUAUUUACUGGGCUGAUAUGAGCUUGAAUGAUACUUGAGAAAAGUUUCUCCCACCUAAGGAUGUAAGCAAUACUUGUGUUAUUUUAUGCUUAUAUACCUAUUUGAUAUUUUAUCUUGAAAGGUAACUAAAUGGGGAGAUAAGUCCGUUCCAAAAGAAUGACUUGUAUGUAUCCAUGAAUUAUUAAUGCAAAUUUUACAGAUUGCAAGUUGGAUACAUUGAUAAUACACUGCACAGAUUAAAGUCCCAUAAGAACAGAAUAUGGGUAUAGCAGUGAUCAAUAUGAUGCACGCCUAUUGCGUAGCAAAUGAUAUGGAUUGAAGUCCCGAAAGGACAAUCCUUUGACAUUUCAAUAUUGAUAUUAUGCACGCCUAAUGCGUAGCAAAUUAUAUGGGUUAAAGUCCCAUAAUAUGGGUUAAAGUCCCAUAAAUUAAUUGACAUGUAUGUAUUAAUCUGUGGCAUGCCUGCAGCAUGACAGAUAUAUGGGUUCUAAAUGUUCCAACUCCCUAAAUGGAGAUUAUCCACGCCCUACUAUAAAAUAACGCUCCAUUGGAGGUUAUAAUCCACAUUCUCACAUAAUAAAAGCCCCCUGCAGUGGCUUGGGUACCCAAAAGCAAAGAAAUGCUUAUAAUUGAUGCAUGCGCAUGCACAUGAGAAUGGUGGGAUCAUGAAUUGAUGAAUGACAAUUUUUGAUCAUGAAUUGAUGAAUGACAAUUUUUGGUUUUAGAGUAGCUACUCAAAUCAUCAAUGGGCUGUGUUGAUUGGAACCACGUUCAAUUAUUAAAUGUCGACAAUAUCAUUGGCCAAAAUGGAACGAGGUAAUUCCAUUAUAAAUGAGAAUGAACGUGAAAGAACAAACCCACAAUACGAACCCCAAAAUUUGUUAAUACUAAAAGUUAUACUUGGGUGUUCGGAAUAAAAGGAAAUAUAUCUACUUUGUAUGACACACUGUUUCUGGCAGAAACAAGGAAUGUUGGGUUUUCUCCAUAUUUACAGAUUCAAUUGUGCCCCCCUUAUUACACAAUUACGGAGACCAACAUAUUAUCUUUAAGGGUUAUUAAUGCACAGAGCAUAUCGCCAGAAGCGAUUUCCUAAAGAUGUAUAAAUAGCUGGGUAAAAGCUAUAUAAUGUGUCAUAAAGUUUAAUCCCUUUUAACCAAAAUCUGUUGAGAGGAUUGAUAUUGCAUAGAGCAAGUCCCUAAAGAACAUGUGCUUGAAGCACAAAAUUUGUACUCAAUAUUAAUAUGCAUAAAUUACCUCAGUGAGUACAUUGAUUAUAAUGUGAUUGCAACACAUUAAAGCUUCUGCAGAAUUCAUGAAAUAUUUGUCUCGAUCGAGCAUUAUGCCAACGAGAUUCUUGCUUAUACUAAGAAAGUAUUAAAGUAUUUUUAUGAGGAUUAUCCGUUGGACACUUUAAUGAUUUUCCGGAAGUAUAUUGGACCGGACAUCAUAUUUUCCAGAUAGGGCUCAACUCCAUCACCAUCAUUUUGGGAUGAUGUGAGGUAUAUUUGAUGCUAUCUAAGCAUAACACCAUAUAGGGGCAUAUUUUUUUAGUGAACUUAUAAAUAGCCCAAGUGUUCUAAGAUAUGCGGACUCAGGAAAUCUCUAUGGUCGCUUACUGGAAAAAGCUAGUCAUGAAGUUUUCAGGGGGAGAUAUUCAUCAGGGAGAGCAUGGUAUUAAUAAAGACCUUCAUACACUAUUGACUCACAGCAGCAGUGUCAACUAUGAUAUUCAGACAGAUGAUCAACAGUAUGGCUUAAAGAUAUUUUGCCAAGCAUCAGGGGGAGCGUGCUGUCAAUACAGACCCUUACCCACUGUACUCUUUUUCCUUCGUCCAGGUUUUUAUCCCACUGGGUUUUUCCUGGCAAGGUUUUAACGAGGCAGUGUCGCACGCGCGUCAAUAUACACAGAAUUUUAUGUUACACGUGAUUAUGUACUCUUUUUCCCUUCGACCAGUUUUUGUCCCACUGGGUUUUUACUGGCAAGGUUUUUAACGAGGCAUAUUCCAUAUCAUUUGUGGUCUCCAAGGGGGAGUGUUGUAAAAGUUUUAAGGUGGAGCCCACAGAGGAAGUUUCCUUGCAUCUUCCAGGAACUUUCCCUUCCCUGUAUUUAUCAAUUGAGGAAGUUUCCUUGCAUCUUCCAGGAACUUUCCUUCCGUGUAUUUAUCAAUUCAGGAAGUUUCCUUGCAUCUUCCAGGAACCUUCCCUUCCCUGUAUUUUACCAAAACCUUAGCCUAUAAAUAGGCUUGCUCAUUCACUUGUAAUACACACCAAAAUGAAGAGAAGAAUGAGUGAGGAAAGAAAGAAAGGAAGAGAAGGAAGAAAGAGGGUGAGUAAGUAGAGAGAAAAAUAGAGUGGAGAGAAAUUUCUCCAAGAGAGAAAAAUUAGUGAGCCACAUAUAUUGUAAACACUAAAGUUGUAGCCCUAUUAUUUUACAUAGUGGAAAAGUUACUACUGCUGCUCUCCGGGGACGUAGGCAUAGCCGAACCUCGUUAAAUACUGUGUCUCAUUUACUUUACGUGCAGCUCAAUAUUCAUACAUAUUCCAGGUUAUUUUUAUAACACCAACAUCAAUCUAGCCCUGAUCCACUCUUUUACAUACUUGAAAACAAAACAAAACACGAAAAACAAAAAACAACAGGGAGAAAAUGGCUCCGGAGAGACUUACUGCUAAUACUUGAUCAAUAACAGAGAUAAUAGAGCACACUGUUUGUAUGGCAGUGAGUAUCAGAAGAAUAAUAGCUGCCCAAGGUGUGUUGAAAUACUUUUGUCUCAAAUUUGCCUUCCAUAUGUUCGUGGUCUUCUCGCAAUACUCGUUUAGUUUGCCAGCAAGAUCACCAAAAUAGUAGUUUCCCUGGUUAAUCAUAAUGGAAACCUUACUGUUGUCACCUAGCGUGUUUACAACAAUUCCAUUGUCAACAAGCAACUCUACAUCCUUUGGGGUGUUUACAAAUUUAUCCAGGAUGAAAACAUAAUCGCUUAAUUAUUUAUUAACGCAAUGGCAUUGUUCAAAGGCAAUGAGAUUUCUAAGUGUAAGCUCUGUGUAAUCAUGUAUUUCAAUUUUUGGAAUUUCCAAGGUGUUUUUCAAGAACUGUAUAUCGAAUAAGUUCUUGCUUGAUUCAACGUUAAACUUAACUCCGGCCUGGUGUAGUUUUGUCAUGCCGGGUGUACUUUGGAGCCCUACAUUUUCUUUUAGGGUUGGAUCUGGCAGAUGUAAAGUUCUAAUAAAAUCAACAAAUUGUACAGGUUUUUUAGGAUCAGGAGGCAUAAAAGACUUACGGAAGGCUGGUGAGUUCUCCAAGUUUUCUAAACGCAGUGCCUGUUGGAAGAACCUGUAAGAGAGUUCAAUUAUUGAAGGCUCCCCAGUCUGGGCACCUGUAAGAUUGUAAAGAUCCUCGAGAAUGAAAAAUGGCAGCUGAUUUUCUAGCAUAAGCAUGUCAGGCAAUAUAUUUUGUAGCACCCAUGGUUUUUUAAAUAUCCAAGCAUUAUCAUCCGGCAAUUUUUCUUCCUGAAAUUUUUCUUCGGAUUUAUUCCUCAACAAUAGCUCAAUGACAAAGGCGGCAUCAACUAGAAUGAUAUUCACAAAAGCGGCAAUGUUAAACUUCUUAGUGUCUUCAUAAUAAUGACGGAGUUCAACUUCUCUCUCCUUUAGGUACCUGAGUUUGUGAUCUUCCAUGGCUUCUAAGUUUUUGCUGCCAUGGUGAAGUGGGCCUAUUGAGACUACUUGUGGUGUGUAGGCCUUUUGUUUUACGUUCCGUAGUCGCUCAGGCACCCUGUAGAUACUGCAGGCAGGGGACAGGGCACGGAAGUUUGUCAACUGAUUUUCCAUGGAAGUUGCUUGGUUUUCUAUGUCAAAAGAAGCUUCAUUGCUGCUUUCUUCCACUUUCUUCCUCCGCAUUAUGUGUUGUUCUGAUUGUAAGUGACGAGGAUGGUGAUGAUUCUAGACACCAUAAUCAACAAAUGUUUCAAUCAUAAUUGACAUUUCAAGAUGCUCCGACAAAAAAUUAGAAAACAUUCAUCACAAAAUGCGAACUCAUACAACAGAUGGGUUGAGAAGAUCCACACAUUGCAAUCAUACAAUCCAAUUGAACAGGGAUUACUCCCUAUUCUCCUCUCUCUCUAAAAAAGAUUUUCAUAUCGAUAACAUCUUAUUGCAAGGGACUUGUACAUCAAGUGGUGAAGAACAGAAAUUCAUAUUCUUUCAAUCAACAAAUUUCGAAGAAGUUUGUUUGUUUUAUUUUUGGGGGAAAAAAAUCUGAGCAUAUAUAGAUGCAUAUUAUACGUAGACCUAAGGUGAAAACAUACCAGAUUUUUACUCCAUUUUUCAUGAGGUUUAAGUUCUUGAUGUAUAUAUUUAUCUCAAGUGUAACAUCCCACAUUGAUCAACGGAGAGGGGGUGAUGUGCCUUAUAUGUACAUGCCAGCCUUCAUCUAGCACGAGGCUUUUUGGGAGCUUAUUGGCUUUGGAGUCAUAGGAACUCUGAAGUUAAGCGAGUUGGAGCUAGAGCAAUCCCAGGAUGGGUGACUCACUGGGAAGUUGCUUGUGAGUUCCCAGAAACAAAACCGUGAGGGCAGAGAGGAGGGCCCAAAGCGACCAAUAUCAUGCUACGGCGGAGCCGAUUCUGGGAUGUGAUAAUUUGGCAUCAGAGCUACUCUGCCGUGUGGUGUGAGUGUGCCGACGAGGACGCCGAACCCUUGAGGGGGGUGGAUUGUAACAUCCCACAUUGACCAACGAAGAAUGGGUGAUGUGCUUUAUAUGUAUAUGCUUGCCUAUAUCUAGCACGAGGCCUUUUGGCAGCUUACUGGCUUCCGAGUCAUAGGAACUCCGAAGUUAAGUGAGUUGGUGCUAGAGCAAUCCUAGAAUGGAUGACCUACUGGGAAGUUGCUCAUGAAUUCCCAGAAAAAAAAAGCUGUGAGGGCAGAUAGGGGGGCCCAAAACGGGCAAUAUCGUGCUACGGCAGAGCCGAUCUUGGGAUGUGACAUCAAGAAUUUAUAUCCUCCCUUUUCAGAUCUCAUGUUCCAGUCAAUACAUAACGAAACAUAAGAAACUAAAGUCUUGUUUAUACCCAUCCUCCCACCCACCCACGGCCAUCCACCCCUACCCCCUAUCUCCAUUAAAUCUACAAGUAGCUCAUCAAUUUCUCCACCAUCCCAAGUUCAAUAUACCACCCAACAACCAUCUUACCCAUCUUCUCAUUGAUCUUCCACCCAACAUCCAACACUAUCUUCAUAAACUCUUUAGCUUAAUCUCUCUGUUGCUUUUGUUUUUUGUUUUUUAGAAAUUAAAUUUUUUAGUUUAUUUUUUUGUUGGUACAAAUUCAAUGAUAAAGAACAUCGAACUCGUCGCAACAUCCUGUUCUAGAUCCAAGCUCUACCACCAUCACAACCCUCUCUUGACCUCCGACCAACCUUAACACCCAACUUCAAAUCUAGGUUGUUUGAAACCCAGCCCCCAACAACCCCCCCAAGUCAUCCCAUUGCAACUGACUUGUAGAUGAAGUAGUAAAGAACAAAAAGUCAUAUUCUUCCAAUCAAAACGUAUCAAGUCAAACAAAAUUUCUAGUUAGUUUGCUUUAUGAUAGUUGUUUUUUGAAGGGGUCCUUAGAUCCAAUCUCAAAAAGUUUGACUUUUAUUAUGUUUAACUCUAGUUUUUUGCAAUUUUUUUUUAUCUCUACCCACUAACUUUUAUCUCUCAUUUUUAUUACCCAUUUUACCCUUUAAAAUAAAUAUAGUAAUAAACUAAAAAUUCUGAUUUAAUGCAUGUUUUGCUCAUAAGAGAACUAAAACCUAAAAAUUCUAUACUCUUACACAAAAAAUAAAAAAUAAAAACUAAAAUUAAAAUGGUUAUCAAACAGACCCUUAUAUUACAAAAAACCUUAACUGACCACCUUAUAUGGCAACUGAUNNNNNNNNNNNNNNNNNNNNNNNNNNNNNNNNNNNNNNNNNNNNNNNNNNNNNNNNNNNNNNNNNNNNNNNNNNNNNNNNNNNNNNNNNNNNNNNNNNNNUAGCAUUCUAAAAAAAGUGGCCUCAUGGCAGCAUUCAUUAAUUGACAUGGCAUGACACAUCAGUUGCCACAUAAGGUGGUCAGUUAAGGUGGUCAAUGUUGUGUGUCCAAAUAGCAUUACUAAAAAAAAAUCAAAUAUUGAACUCAUCAUAAGAGAACACAGAAAAACCUCACUGCUUGCAACUCUUACACCACCACUACACGAACAGAACAACUGCUAAUUAAAAUGAGUCACAUGUCACAUGUCACAUGUGGUACUUAACUCUAAAAACUUAUUUAGAUUAUAUAUCCAUAUUUAUAUAUCCUACUCCUCGAUCAAAACAACCAUGAAACAUAAGUGACUUAAACCUCUAGGCAAAUGGACGGUAUAUAGCAAUUUAUAGAACAAUACAGUAAUCCAGAAGAAAUAUUAUGAAAUAAAAAAAAUAAAAAGUAAAAAAAGAGAAGGAAAGGAAUUCCCACCUGAUAUGUAUAUCUAUGAAAGGAAGGACCAAGUUUGUUUUGCCUUUGGUUAAUGACUAGAAAAGCUCACUUGUAUAUUGCUUUCUCCGGCCGUAGAUGCAAGAGAAAUUUUCUCUUAAUAAUAGCACAAUGAUCGGGUAAUCGUAAGAACAAGUUGAUUUAAAAUUCAGGUCAACUCAUAGAUUUCUUGCCUUUUCUAUUCUCCUUCCUUGGACACGAGCUGUUUAAUCUUGGAAUCUUCCCCCAUCAUGUUGGGCCAGUCUUCUUCUUGAGGAUUGUAUAGGCCCAGGAAAUGCUUGGAGGUAGUUUUUGUGUAUUGGGCCUUGAGACCCAACUUCACAAAAAGAAAACAGAUUUGACCAAAAAAACAAAUUUGAAGGACAUUGAAAUUGUACCUGUAUGAUAGGUUAAAACACUGUAAGGGAGGUAAAUAGUACGUUUACAGAGUUUAAGUGUAAUAAAGGAAUAAAAACAUGCCCAGAGCACUACUACAAUUUUUCCCUGUCCUGGCAACCCUUUGUGAUCGGUAAAAACACCAUUAUUGACGGAACUUCGUCAGUAAUUGCUUCUUGACGACUGCAGCGACGAAAAUGAGUAUAGUCAGUAAAAGUCCCGUCAGUGUUACUAUUACUGACCAACUUUUGCAACUUAUUCGUCAGUAGAGGUGUGUCUCUGACACAAGUCAUGAAGUGACUCUAAAUUAUUACUGACAAAACAAAUAGCCACUAUUAAACAAGCUUUUGUCAGGAUUAUUAUUUUAGGAUGGAGUACUAGUGGCAAAGAUUUGUCAAUAUUGUUUUCAACAAAAAAAAAAAUUCAGUCAAUUUGCUUCUGAGCUGAUGCGCCUUUAGAUAUCCUUUUCUGAAAUGUCUUUUGUUUUCUAAUAUAAUGGAUGUUUUUCUUUAAUAAAAAUUUAAUGGAUUCUGAAAAUGUAAUAACAAUUAUAAAUACUCAUAGAUUGAACCAUUCAACCCCCAUCCUUAUAAAUAUAAACUACCAAUGUCGAUUACAAUAGCCAAAUAUUACAAAGUCUGCCUACAUCAGUAGAGUUCAAAAACUUUAGGUGCCCUUACUAUACAAAAGUAUGCAAUUCCAAAUAUUCAACAAAUACACUACAAAAGCAUGCAUACCCCAAUAGGGUCCAAAAUACAACGUCAGCAACUAUAUAUACCAAAAAUGCAUAACACUAAGUAACUGCAUCUAUUCAAGUCCAUGAGUACCUUGAUCUGAUUCUAAAAAGUCUGUCUCACUUGGGUAUGCAUCCCCCCUCAGCAAUCCAGUUAACCCACCAAUAGGAGUAACUGACCUGGCUUGAUAAGGCAUUUGAUGGAACAUCUGCGGCGAGUAAUAUGACAUAUGGAAUGGGUUUGGCAGCUGCUGGUACAAUGGGUGAUGCGAAGCUGACGAGCACGAUAACAUCUGCCUCAUUUCCUCAAUCUCUUGCUGGUUAUGCUUCAGCAACUCUUGCGUCGCCUUCAAUUCAGAACGCCAAUGAUCCUGGUCAUGUUUGUACCUUUCUUGUAACUCUACAUACUGUGACUCAAGGUGAACAUAGUCGUGCCCUCGCAAUCUCUUGGAUGACCCUGCUUUCGUUUGAAUCCAAGGCACCUGAUGGGGUUUCACCCCAAGUCCUUCACCACGAACACUAUUAUUUGUCUCAGGACCCAUUGCCUCAACAUAAGCCCUUCUUCGUGUCUCUAAAUUAUCAGGACAUUCAUCUUCAACCAAUUCCUUCAACUUUUCCUGCAUUUCAGCCUAACAAAAACAAAAUAUAUAUCCUUCUCCAUCAAAUUGUGGUCAUCAUAGAACUAGCCCAAUAAACUCUACAAUGAUGAAUUGCAUUAUGUAAUAAAAAUUUAGGCCAAUUAGUCUUCUGGACCUCUACUGUUUUGUUUUUCAUAUGCUUAAACAAAUAAAAGAACAUAAAGAAUAGUGAACAAGAAAAAAAAACUACCUCCAAACAACUUUCCAUAUGCUUAAAAAAAAAAAAAAAAAAAAGUCAACCAAAACAAAAUAAGAGAAACAUCCUGGACUAUGGCUAACAAUUCCUCAUGAAAAUGAACUUAUAUAUAAUUAUUCCAAUAUAUAGUCCAUAUGCUUACAUAUUUCUGCUCAGCCACCAAGUUAACCCAUGAUCGAUCUUCGUCACGCCGUGUAUGCUUAUCUUGGAAAAACCAAAUAGGAUCGGGGUCUUCACCAUGUUUCUUAUUCUUAGCAUGCAAUCAAUAAAAUAAAAUAAGAUAAUCAAUUAGCUAACACGACCUCAUAUGCUCAAUAUUUGAAUAUAGUAAAGAGUAAACAUUCAAGUGCAUCAUCAAAACUGACAUAUUGUGCUUUGCUGCGAGCAUAAGACUUUGUUCUAGAUGUGUGAUUCAAUGUUUGUUUACUCCGAUUUUCAACAUUUCUUUUAGCUUGCUCCUUUUAUUAGCAAAAACAAAACAUACUUAAUCAUUGCACAGAUUAUAUAUACUGAGUGUUGUGUAAUAAUACGUACUGCAAUCUCAUCUUUUUCCCAAUGUUCAACCAACACCCUCCAUUGAUCUGGGUCUACACGAGAAUCCCCACAUUGCCACCGUCUUUUACUUCCUGUGAAAGGCUUAUAAUAAGCUUUCUUCAAAUCACUCUUGAAACUUCUCCACAAUUUUUCAAUAUUCUUCAUUGUUACAUCCUUGAAGACAUGAAUCAUAGGUUGUUGUUCAGGACGAAAUUCAAUGGUGCCCUGCAUCCACAAUAAGGUAGUCUUACAUCAAGUUGAAAUAUACCUAUUAAACUCAAUUUCAUGCAAUAAGUAUUCAAUAAUUUUAGGAAAACCAAACCCGUAGAGUGUCCCAGACAUCAAGUUUGCAAGAGUCUGGUACUUUUUCCCAUUUUAAAUACUUGAUCGGAAUUAGAUUGGCAUCCCGCGCCAAAAUACCCAUGUAUCUAGAAAAAUGGGGACUAUUGUCACUAAUAACUCUGCCAAAUGGAGAUAAAUCAACUGACUCUUUUUUGUUAUUUAGAAACCAGUUGCAUUUCCCUUGACCUCGACCUUGCUUCGCCUCCUUGCCUACAUGAAAAGUUAAUUUUAACUGAUCAAUACAACAAGAAAAUAAUAAGAAACUGUAAGGUAAUAAGUUUCUCACACAUUAUUCAAAUGAAAAAUUAGCAUAGCUAUUUGGAGAUGAUGUGAUCGUGAAACAUCCCAUAUUCAAUACAUUUGUAUAUGAUUAAAACAUACCAAUUUAUUAAAAGAAAAAGGAAAAGAAAACCAACAUACCAGUAGCACUUAUAGAACCAUCUCCCUCUAGACUAUCCCUAAAGUCAGCGUUGGGCCCUUCUUGUGAACUAUCUUGAGAACUGCUCAUCUAAAAAAUUUGAUAUGCAUAACAGUGAAGGGGUAACAAAUUAAUCAGACAUCAUUGGUAAAAGAAACUAUUACUUCAACAUUCUAAUACAAAACAAUCUACUAAAGAAAUUCUUGUACAAUAUUCUUAAAAUUACGUAGUCCAUUUAAGCUGACAGCUCAUCAAAAUACAUGAAAAAUUCAAUACUCCAUGUCAUCAUAAAGCUCAUCCUCGUUUUCAGUAGAGAGAUCGUCUGAAGACUGUUCAUCUUCUUCAUCCUCAUUUCCGGGCUCAUGCUCAUCUACCAUCUCAUCCAUAUCAACCCUAAUAUGAAAUUCCUCAUUGUCUAGCAGCUGAUCAUCAAGAUUCGGAAUGGCAUAAUUAUCAGUAGCACUUAAAAGGGUUAUCUAUAGUUGGAGCUAGAUCACUAUCUUCUAGCACAUCAAAAAAAUCUCUUGGUUGAGUUUGGGUUGGCACAUGCCAAUGACUGUCUUCUGGAUCUACAACAUAAAACACUUGUGUAGCUUGAGAAGCCAAUAUGAAAGUGUGUCUUUCGUUUGUCGCAACCGAUUGAAACUAACCAAAGGGAAACCAUACCCAUCAAACCUCAUCCCCCUAUCACUAGCAGUAUCAACCCAAUCACAGUUAAAUAAUGUAAUUUUCCGACCAUUAUCAUUCUGUUCUAUUUGACCCCCGUAAUUAAGUUCAUAAAUCUCUUUAAGAACACCAUAAUAAUCAACAUUGCCAAUUACUGGAUUGCGAUCUCUUGCGCUUGAGUAACUAGAUGUCUCUGCACAUUGAAAUACACCACUAUUCUGAUUCUUCUUUUUAUCGUCUACUGAUUUAAUCCGGAACCUACACCCAUGAAUUAUGUGAUUCUUAUACUUGUUCACAAAUCUACUAGGACCAAUUGAUAGCCAACGCAAGUCCUCAGAUAUUGACAGAUCAUGGGCUGUGUACAAUUUAGUAACCUAUAAUUUAAAACAACAACUAAAGUAAAUAACUUUAAUUAAAAAUAUGGUGCAGCAACAUAAAAUGAAUCAUAUUACAACUAAACAUACUUACAUGAUCCUUGAACCAAGUUGGAAAUAUCUUAUUUCUCAUCCCCUCAAUUUCCUGUAUGGUCUUCCGUCGAUUACUUUGUCUCAAUUCUUGGAAGCAUUUUCUGUUUUACAAUAUAAUAUAAUGACUUGUUAGUUAUUAAUUCAUAAUUGAGGAUUGAAAAAAAAAAAUAUCAACAACUUGCUUGUUUUUAUUCAUAAAUAUCUUACUCUAAAAAAGGGGAAACUUCAUCGCAAUUGAACAAGACCACUCUGCGACAUUGGUCCCAAACAUCUUUGUCAAGAUAUAUUUGUUCAGCUGAACCCUUAGAAUGACAUGAAGAGUCAAAAACUUUUAGCUCCCCAAUGACACCACGACCAAUACCAUCAGCAUUUCGACCCUUUCGAUUCCUUCGAGUCUCAACGUUGCUAAGAUACAUGGUACACAUAGCUAAUCCCUCGUCGACAAGAUAUCCUUGUUCCAUACUUCCUUCAGGAUAACUCUUAUUCUGAACAUAUUUCUUUAAUGUUUGUAGGUAUCUAAAGAUAUGGCAAAAUUGAACAUGUUAAUUUACAAUUAAAAUGGAAAACUAGAAAUAAUAAAUAAGAUUUGAACUAAUUACCUUUCAAUGGGAUACAUCCACCGGUAUGGGGCAGGCCCUGCGAUUGCAGCCUCAUCUGCCAAAUGCAUGAUUAAGUGUACCAUCACAACAAAGAAGGAAGGAGGGAAUAUCUUUUCCAUCUGGCAUAAUGUCACUGCAAUCCGAGGUUUUAAAGCCAUGUAUGACGCUUCAUAUUCCUUCUUACUACAUAACCGUCUAAAAAUUGCACUUAGCUCAAGCAAAACAAUGGUAACAGCUUUUGGUAAUACUCGUCGUAUUGCAAGGGGCAGCAGCUGUUGCAUUAUAAUAUGAUAGUCAUGACUUUUCAAUCCGUGUAUUUUUCUCUCAUUCACAUUAACACAUCUAGACAGAUUUGCAGAAUACCCAUCAGGAACUCUCACAUUUGCCAAGACUUCGCAAAACAUUGUUUUUUCCCUUUUCCUCAUGUCAAAAAGUGCUGGAUCAAAAACUUCCUUACCUUUCCCAUUUAUAUAAGGGUGCUGUUUUCUCCUUAUAUUCAAAAUUUGAAGGUCCUUACGAGCUUUUAUUCCAUCCUUUGUCUUCCCAGGAAUAUUUAACAGUGUACCUAAAAUGUUUUCACAAACAUUCUUUUCAAUAUGCAUUAGAUCAAGGUUAUGCCGUAUCAAAAGAUAUUGCCAAUAUGGUAACUCAAAGAAUAUGCUUUUCUUCUUCCACUGAACUUUGUUACUAUUUAUAUUCGUUGUGGGAUAGGUAUUUGUAUUCCUAAUGGGACAAGAACAUUUUUUGGGUUUUCCUUGCCCAACAAAAACAGCUGACUUCUUUUUGGGUUUUCGAAAUGUGAAUGUCAAACUUGACAAUUUUUCUAAACACUGUGAACCUGUCAAGGGAAUAGGUGGAAGAGCAUGUUCUUCCUUACCGUUAAAGGCUGCUUUAUCUCUUCGAAACCUAUGUUGUAUAGGUAGAAAUCUCCGAUGACCCAUAUAACACAUCUUACUACUAUUUGCCAAAUGCAUUGAGACUGUAUCAUCCAUGCAAUGCGGACACGCUUUCUUCCCCUUCGUGCUCCAUCCUGAAAGAAUUGCAUAUGCGGGAAAGUCAUUAAUCGUCCAUAACAAUGCAGCCUUCAUUGUAAAAGUUUGGUUGGCAAACACAUCAAACGUCUUAAUACCAACCUCCCACAACUCUUUCAACUCAUCGAUUAAAGGCUUCAAAUACACGUCAAUAUUAUUGCCAGGCCCAUCAGGACCAGGAAUUAUUAACGAUAACAAUAAAUUUGGUUGCUUCAUACACAUCCAUGGAGGCAAAUUAUAAACUGACAGUACAACAGGCCAUGUACUAUGGGGUUUGUUCAUAUUUGAAAAGGGAUUAAACCCAUCACUUGCAAGCCCCAAUCGCACGUUGCGUAUCUCCGAAGAAAAUUCAGGGUAUAAGGAAUCUAAAUGCUUCCAUGCACGAGAAUCUGAUGGGUGCCUCAUGAAUCCAUCUUUAGGACAUUCGGUUGCAUGCCAUCUCAUAUCUUCAGCGGUAUGCUUCGACAUAAACAAUCUUUGCAACCUUGGUUUUAAUGGAAAAUACCGAAGAACCUUGGUUGGAACCUUAGCUGAUGUGUUCUUACUCAAAGAACCUCCCACAAUAUUGACUUUGUACCUUGAGGCACCACAAAGUGCACACUCAGUCAAGUCUGAUGUAUCUUUCCAAAACAGCAUACAAUCAUUGGGGCAAACAUCAAUCCUCUUGACUGUAAGUCCCAACUCCCUAAUGAUUUUUUUAGCAUCAUAAUUAUUUUUUGGUAAACAAUUCCCCUCUGGCAACAAUUGUUUAACCAAUUGUAACAGCAUUGUAAAGACAUUAUCGCUUCCCUAAACAUUUAAUCUGGAACAGUCUUACAACAGAAUACAAUUUCUUAUAUUUACACCUAGGGUACAACUCCAUAUCUGCUUCUUCAAGUAACUUAUAAAAUAUUUCAGCCUCAGGUGUUUGGCCAUCAAAGAUAGGUGGCUCUGUCGAAGUCCCAACAGUUUCUCCAAUUAUUGGUUGCACAAAGGCUUCAUUGAGAAAAUCAUGAAUGUCAUCUAUACAAACUUCUUCAUUAUGAACUGAUUCUAUAUCCUCUUGGAAUGGUAAAUUUGUCAUGGGCUCCCCAUGAUGCCUCCAAGGGCCAUUCAUAUAUGUGGGAUCCAUUCCUUUUUCUAUAAGAUGAAGCUGGAUGAUGUUUCUUUCAUAGUGAUAACGGUUACAACAUUUUUUGCAAGGACAUAUGACCCUCUCUCCAAAACCCACUUUGGCAAAGACGUCAUCUAAAAACAUUCUCAUUCCGUCUGCGUAUUCCUUACAAUUUCUCCUUAAAUGUACCCAACUUUUAUCCAUAGUUCACCUAUAUUGAGUGCAAGGCACCAAAUACAAUUAUUCAGCACAGAUCAUCCCUCAUACUUAUUGUCUAUAAAUUCCUAUCAGGUGGGUCAAUUUAUUAUCCAUUAGAUGACCCUCAUGACCAUCUACAUCAAUUCACAAGAAAAACCAAAUUAAAAUAACAAAAACCUGAGUCUAAAGAAUAUAUUAACUAAGAAAUUGCACAUUCAUUCAACUGAAGAAAAGAACUAUAACACCAAACAACUAGACCCACUUAAUAGCUAAAGAAACUCACGUCAUAACAACAAAGUAUACAUAUUAAACAACAUAUCAACUCAUAGAUAAAAGCCCGAUAAUCUCAAUACUAUGAACAAUCUUAUUCAAAAAUAAUAAGAUAACAGCAACAUAAUAGAAAAAAGUAAAGGGAAACACACCUGGAUUCUAAGUUUCCAACAACAAUUCAACACUCCUGCAGUAGAUUAAUACAUACAUACCCACAUAUCAAACUUCACCAACAAAUAAUAAAAAAUUAAAACAAGAGCUUUGAAAAAUCAAAGGAUUCGUGUCACAUCCCGGAAUCGGCUCCGCCGUAGCACGAUAUUGUCCGCUUUGGGCCCCCCUCUCUGCCCGCACGGUUUUGUUUCUAGGAGCUCACGAGCAACUUCCCAGUAGGUCACCCAUCCUGGGAUUGCUCUAGCCCCCAACUCGCUUAACUUCGGAGUUCCUACGACUCCGAAGCCAGUGAGCUCCCAAAAGGCCUCGUGCUAGAUGGAUGCGGGCAUGCACAUAUAAGGCACAUCACCCCCUCUCCGUUGGUUGAUGUGGAAUCUUACAAUCCACCCCCCUUAAGGACCCGACGUCCUCGUCGGCACACUCGCACCACACGGCAGAGUGGCUCUGAUACCAAAUUGUCACAUCCCGGAAUCGGCUCCGCCGUAGCACGAUAUUGUCCGUUUUGGGCCCCCCUCUCUGCCCGCACGGUUUUGUUUCUAGGAGCUCACGAGCAACUUCCCAGUAGGUCACCCAUCCUGGGAUUGCUCUAGCCCCCAACUCGCUUAACUUCGGAGUUCCUACGACUCCGAAGCCAGUGAGCUCACCCCCUCUCCAUUGGUUGAUGUGGGAUCUUACAAUUCGUUUAUAUCUUGGAAUAAAAUCAGUAUUCUAAUUUUUAUAUCUAAUUGGAAGGAUUCAUGGGUCAUUACCUACACUAAAAUACUUGAAAAAAUAAAAUAAACAAACAAAAUAAGAACAAAAAUUUCACCAGAACAGAGGCACAAAAAUCUCACCAAAACAGAGGGCCUCUUUAAUGAAGGACAACCAAGUCAGCCCCAAUUGAAAAGAGCAAAGAACCCCCAGAUUUAAUCUCUCUCUCAAUCUGAAUCAGCAACCCCAAUUGAGAAAAGCAAGGAAAACCCCCCAAAUUUAAUCUCUCUCUCUCAAUCUGAAUUAGCAACCCCAAUUGAGAAGAGCAAGGAAAACCCCCCAAAUUUAAUCUCUAUCUCUCUCAAUCUGAAUGAGCAGACACGAAAAUCACUACCACACAUGACUCCAACUCCAUUAGCUAUGAGGAAGAAUACAAUUCAUUCUUCAAUGAAAAGAAGAGGGAAGAGAUGGCCGGUUUGGAGGAAGUAGAAAAGCUCAAGUAAACAAUUGAAGUUUUUUAUAUAUCAAUAGGAAAAUUUUGAAGUUAAAAAUUAUAUUUAAGAAUAGUAUUGGCAAUCGAACUCGUCAGAAAAAAAGUUGGCUUCCUGGUGUCUGAAAAUUUAGGCGCUUAUGUUUUCACUUCCCGCGUUAAAAGAGACUGGCGCAGUGUCUCGUCAGUAAAGGUAGUAAUGACAAAAGACUUUGUCAGUAUUAUUUACUAGUGAAAAAUCACUUUAUUUUGCUAGUAUUUGGUCUCAGUACUGACUAAGCUGCUCUUUCAUCAGUAUUAGUCCGUCAGUAUAAGCUAAAAUUGUAGUAGUGAGAGGAUUGAUAAGUGAUAUUAAUUCUUGAAUAUACAGAAUGUAAAAUAAAGGAACACGUAAAAAAUUAUUUUAUGUGGUAAAACUCCAUCUCUGGGGAAAAUCCACGGGACUUCUUAGUCCAAAACAAAUCCAUUAUAGAAUGAUGAUUACAAGAAGUACUCACACACUUAUCCUAGACACAUUCUAGAUAAUGUUUACUGACCUCUUCGUAACUCAACUUCUGUCUCGAGAUGAUCUUUCAACACUCCUUAUGUUGAACGCAAUAUUGGUCACGAUUUCUUCAAGCUCGUCAGAGUUCUUCCAACUCUCCUAAUAUUGAAUCCGAUACUAGUCACGAUUGAUUCAAGCUCAUCGUAGAAAAACCGUCACAAUGGUCUUGGUGCCCUCAACCGUAUGAGUCAUUAAACAUGCAAAUGAAUACAUAUAUGAAUGAUAAAAGUGUUUGAUAAAUCACUGAGUUAUGGAACACUUGAUGAUUUAUCUCAAAUAAAAACUCAGCUUUAAUGCUUUCUAAACAAAGAAGACGAAGGUCUUACUUUAUAGACUUUUUCUUUACAAGAAAGAAAAUAAGUUGGAAACCAAAUCUCCAAUUUCCAAGGCAAAAUCACAAAAGUAUCUUUCCUAUUCUAGAGAUUGGUCACAUGUAGUCCAACCAAUAGGAAAUGAGAUAUUUAAGAAAGGAAGAUUUUGAUCAAUAUCAAUAUCAAAUGAAUUCUUAUACGCCUAGUCAACUAUUAAGGGUAUCUUGACUCCUUGAUAUUUUGAUAUGAUUGAAACAUGAUUUCCAAGUUAGAAAAUUAAGGGGUUGUUAAAACAUGAAAGUAAUAGGAGAAACAAAUUUAUUUGAACCAAAAUUGCCCAAAAAGAAAACACUCCUAAAUAAACUUCAAUUCACUUUAGUAAAACAUGAUUGAAUCGUUCGUUAAAACAAUUCCCUAAUAUACAUGCAUGAUAAUGACAUCACUUACCCCUGAAUCAAAUUUGUUAAUGUAUGCAUUUUGAGUUUUUUUUUCUUUUGGCUUCCCUUGACAAUUUUGUAAUAGGAAAAUCAUUGUAGUUUCUCAAGCUCUAAGUUUAGAUUAAGAAUUACUUCUCUAGGUGUUCUUAUCUGCCUACAUUCUGAUGGAAAACAAUGCGUUUGACAAAGGUAAAUUCUGCAUUACACUACAUUGCAUUCACUAAAUUUCUUAAGAUUAUGACUAGUCAUCUUUCUUUCGUAUGACUAGUCAUCUUGCAUUCGUAUGACUAGUCAUCUUUCCUUCGUAUGACUAGUCAUCCUUUGUUUCAAUUAGGAUUUCCAGCUCACUGUUUCCAGCUGGGGCUUAAGCAUUUUUUUGUCCUUUUCUACGAAUUUCUCAGCUUCCAUGUGUCUAUUCUGACCUAGGAAUUUUUGGUAAAAGCCAUAGAAUUCCUCAUUUGGCAGCCGUCACUUUUGGGGACAAGUUGUGGAAAGUUUCAUAGCAAACUUUCGCUUCUUCUUCCUCAAGAGUAACCUUCAUAUUUUUCAUCUUUGAGUUCUCUAAAUUGUUUCUUUUUGAAAACUGCAUUUGAAAUAUGAAAACUUCAUCUUGCUAGAUCAAACACUCUAUCAUAUACAUCUAGGUCAGAUUCAAGAUUGAUUUCUUCAAGAGUAUGGUUUCUUGAAGAAAUUGGUCAUUUUCUCCAUGAAUCCAAAUUUCAUUUCUGUCUGAGUUAGAGCUUGCAAGCUGGUGCCAUGGGAUGAAUGAGCUGAAGAAGGAGCUGCCAUUGCCAUGAAGAACUGAGCUUCAAGCUUUGCUAAGUUGGAGAAGAAGAUUGCACAAAGGAGAUAUAGCAUCUUCCUAAAUAGACCUAGGAAUUUCUUGAGCUUGCUAGUGUUCUUUGUAAGAAUCUUUUUGCUUAGUGGAUUGCCUGGUCGGUUGAUGACCCCCAGUUUUUCCCAAUGGUGGGUUUCUGGGUGAACAAUAUCUGGUUUCCAUCUCUGUAGAUUUUUUGGGUUUGUGUUCUUGAUAGUUGACUAGUCAUCUGAAUUUGUGUGGUUGACUAGUCAUCUUUUUCUGCUGUUUGGUGUUUUCUUGAUUAUGUUGUCUUCACACACUUUUACCAUAGUUGUUGCUAGCACAAGGGAUGCCUAGAUUGAUGGGUCCUUCUGAGUGCCUAGGUUGUCACUAGUAAUUCUCUAGGCCUGCAGGUACAUCUUGGUAUGCUUUGUGUAUGUUAUUGUUUGGUUUAAUUCAUAUCUAACAGUUGACUAGUCAUAAGAGUAUUUGGUCAAGGUCUAGAGUGUGUGAAGUUUGUUGCGUUCUUGAUUGAAUAUCUUUUAAAUUUACCCUUCGUCACCUAAUUACCAAUUUGCAGACUCCACAAAUGAAGAAAAGAGCACAAAUAUCGUGAAUGCUAUUGGGAAUGGAAAGGGCAAACCUGUUCAAAAAGGGUAUGGAGGGGGCGUUAGACUUUACGUUCAAAAAGGGUAUGGAAAACGUCCUCCUCCAUCUGACAGUCAACUACUCCAUUAUAAAGACAUAGCUAUUUUCUUCUUCGAGAAAGACAUGCGCCCUGGCUCAACAAUGAAGUUCCAAUUCCCUAGAAAUUCAAACACGGCUACUUUCCUGCCACGCGAAAGUGCUCAAUCGAUCCCCUUCUCCUUUAACAAACUACCAGAAAUUUUCAACCAUUUUUCAGUGAAGCCAACAUCUGUGGAAGCCAAAACAAUUAAGCAAACAAUCGAAGAGUGUGAAGCUCCAGGCAUUAAGGGAGAUGAAAAAUAUUGCGCCACAUCUUUAGAAUCAAUGGUUGAUUUUAGCACUUCGAAGCUUGGAACAAGAAACGUUGAAGCAGUCUCGACGGAGGUAUUGGAAAAAGGAGCCACCAUGUCCAUGCACAACUAUACAACAAUGCCGGGACUGAAGAAGUUGGCAGGUGACAAAGUCGUUGUGUGUCAUAAGGAGAACUAUCCCUAUGCUAUGCUAUGUUUUUCUGCCAUGCAAUAAAACAAACAGCAGCUUAUGUUCUCUCCCUGAAAGCCGAUGAUGGGGAGAAGGUUAAAGCUGUAACCAUCUGCCAUCUAGACACAUCAGAAUGGAACCCAGAGCAUUUGUCCUUCCAAAUCCUCAACGUUAAGCCCGGAACCGUUCCUAUCUGCCAUUUCAUUUCCACUGAUGCUAUUGCCUGGGUUCCAAAACACAAAUCUGCAUGAUCAUCACUUAGCACUGUACGUAUAAUAAGCUUGGUUGGGUUGCACCCCUGUAUAAUUAUCUCCCUACUUAUUUCUGCCUCUUCAUCAUGUGGUGUAAGAUAUAUGAUGAAAUGAAGUUUUUGGGAUUAGUGGUCGGGUUGCCUGAAAAACACAGAUUAUAGAAACUGCUUGAAAUUAACCCGAUCAUGUUUUCUCUUGUAACGAUAUAGACUUCAACUUGUACUCAUAAUAAAGCAUGCUAUAUUUAUGAAGAGAUAUUAAUCUAUAUAUGCUUUGGCUUUGUGGUUUUACCCAGUGUUUGAAUGUUGAAUUGUUACGUUGGAAUAGGCUGCUAAUGCAUGUAGUUAGAGAAGCCUUCAUUUAUAUCAAAGUCCUCAAACUAUCAAGAACUAAUGUAUCCAGAAACACAUACCAAGACGCAAAACAACAUAUUUUCCAUGCUGUCUGUAACACCAAAGCAAACUUCCUUUAUCACAUCAUUUAAAGGAUCAAAUUCCAGUACUAAUCUAAUCCAUUAUGUAAAGCAUCAGGGACAGACUCAAGAUUUCAAAAUGGAGUGGGCUAGAUUUUAGGUCCGGCUAAACUUUAUAGGGAGACUUAUGAAAUUAAUCAUAAUAUUAUAUAAAUUUAAUUUAAAAACAUAUCAUUUUUAUUUUAUUUAUUUAAAGAGUCCAAUUUUACACCAACAAUGUCAUCAACAAUUGAUUAUAUAUGCUUAAAAUUAACAUUAGUUGACAACUCACAACUCAUAUUGCAACUUAUUUAGUAUAUGUGUUUUAUACUAACAAUAACAAAAGAAAAACACUUGACUGGGCUAUAGCCCAGUUUGUACACAUUGCAGGCCCGUCCUUAUAAAGCAUACAAGUGCCUCCCUAAAUUUGUCCGUUGGAUAUAUAUAUGUCACUUUUUAUUUUUUGAUAGAGAUAUAAAUGUUGAGAAAAUUAGAGUACACAACUCUAAUAUCAUAAAGCAAACAAAAUUUCUAAGUUAGUUUGCUUUAUGAUAGUUGUUUUUUGAAGGGGUCCUUAGAUCUAAUCUCAAAAAGUUUGGCUUUUAUUAGGUUUAACUCUGGUUUUUGCAAUUCUUUAUCUCGUAGUGGCAAUGUUCAAAUGCGAUGAGAUUUCUAAUUAAUACCUCUGUAUGAUCGCUUAUUUUCAAUCUUGGAAUUUCAAGAGUCCGGUCAGCAAAUCUAAUAAGGUAUUCGUUGAUCCCUCAUUCAACUUGAUCCCUGCCCUGUGUAGCUCUGUGAUGCUGGGUGUGUUUAUAGUUAUGAGUUUCCUGUCAUCAAUUUUUAGGGCUAUUCGUUAUAUGAGUCCCUGAACUUAGACUCGAUUUGCAUUUUAGUCCCUCAAUUUCCAAAAUCGUUUCAGUGGUCCUUCAACUUCAGUUUCGUUAGGACAAAUGGUCCUGCCAUCAAACGAUUAUAAAGUGGAAAAAACAAGAACAAAAAGGGAAGUGAGUUAAAUUUGCACCUACUAUGUUCAAACGACAAAGUUGGUUUCCCUUUGGUUGAUUACAAGAGAAGUGAAAGGACCCGCCCGAAUUUUCUCAAAAUCCGAGACAAACCCUUUGGAAUUCCUGACAUCACCCUGAUGCCAGGCCCACUUACUAAAAACCGAGACCUCCUGCCGAAAUUUCGGCAGAGUCUCCCCUAUAAAUUGGACGUUUCCCAAAAUUUAUACCUGCAUAAAAACGCAUUUAAUAUUCCCAACUGGCAGCAUGCACAAUAUAAUUUCAUGCAAUUCACACAAAUGGCCUUCGGCCUUUCAAUAAUUCAUAUCCAACUACCAAACCAUUCAAAUACCAAAUAUGACUAACAUUUAGUCUGCGGCUGCACCUAAUAACCCUAGGCUGCCUACGUACCCUCCUUGAGGGAUCAAGCCACACGUAGUUCUUCCCUAAAACCCAAUUCCACACUUGGGCGAUACCUUAUUUCAUUUCUCUGGAUUUCAUAUAAUCUCCCCAUACGCCGGUACAACCAACGCCACGUAUGGGGCCUGUCAACACGCCGGAUAACCUACGCCACGUGCGACCAUGCCAUACUAUCAUAAUAUCUCCCCAUACGCCGGUACAACCAACGCCACGUAUGGGGCUUGUCCCAACGCCGGAUAACCUACGCCACGCGGGACCUCAAUAUUCAUAUCACAAAUCUCCCCAUACACCGGUACAACCAACGCCACGUAUGGGGUCUGUCGACACGCCGGAUAACCUACGCCACGUGCGACCUCACACAAUAUCACAAUAUCUCCCCAUACGCCGUACAACCAACGCCACGUAUGGGGUUUGUCUCAACGCCGGAUAACUACGCCACGUGAGACCUGAAACAUCAUAUUACAAAUCUCCCCAUACGCCGGUACCACCAACGCCACGUAUGGGGCCUGUCCCAACGCCGGAUAACCUACGCCACGUGGGACCUAACUUUCACUUGGUGGUGCUUGUAGUGAAUCCAAAAUCCGGGGAGGUAUCUAAAGUAGUGCGUUUAGCACUCCAAACUGACACUCUAGACUCUGUUGUACCCUUGUACAACCAUAUAUAAUUAUAGUUAUAUAAAUUAAUUCUAAUAUUGUGUAACCCUCCACAAUAGUCUAGCUCCCGAUAAUCCCCCCCUUAGAAAGGUGAGAUUACUCCGGGAGACUCACGGUCAACCAAGGGUCAAACUACUCUAACCCUGGUCAACCGGACCUGCAGAACCCACUACCUCCAAUUUCCGAUCCGAAAGUCUCUAUGGGUUCUACCAGGUAUAGGACACUUGUCCUGCAAGUUUGGUUCAAAUCGGACGGUCGGAUUUCUCACGAUCGCACGAUCUGACGGUUAAUAUAAGAUAUAAAAUUAAAAUUAUUAUUCGGAACAUCCGGGGUUCCGAUUCAUGAUCCGUAAAUUCCUACACGAUCCUAGAAAUACCUAGAUUAACAUAUAUUAAAUUUGGGACCAUCCAACGGUCCCAACCUAUCGAACUCGGAUAACGCACACUAUGCGAUUAUCCGUUCGAUAGUCAAACGACGUCCGAAUUGAGAUCCGCGAAAUCCUACGCACUCGUGACAACCUAAGGAUCUCAUCGGAACACAUCGCUACAUUUUCUACAGUGCCCACGCACCGGCAGUGCGUGGGUGCCCAAAGCGAUAACGCUUCGCCGGAAAAUCUCAAAACCACGGCUCCAAACUCCUACCCUAGGUAUAACACCCUAUUUGGAGCCACUUUUGUUUUGGACCUACCCCAAAAAGUGGCCGGAAAUGGCCAAUCACGGCGGCCGAAGUUUCGGCCGAUUUUCAAUUCGAAAAUUGAGUUGCCUACGCUAAGAAUCGAUCUAAUCCUACCCAACCAUCAGCUAGAGCAGCUCGAGAGGUUCAAAAUCCAUACCUGGGUCGACGGAUUUGGUGGCCGGAGGAGGAGGAUCGACGGCGUUGAAGUUCCGGCGACAUCUGGGCGAAAAUCGCCAUUUUCCGGCGGCUGGAGCGGCGGCCGAUGGCGGGGAUGGGCUGGGUCGUGACGCCGAGGUCGAGCCGGUUCUUUUGACACCGGCCCCGUCCGCAGCCGCGGCCGGUGGCCGGAGUUACGAAGAGAGAGAGAGGAGAGAGAGAGAGGAGAGGCCGACGGGAGAGAGAGAGAGAGGAGUCUCGCAGGAGAGAGAGAGAGAGAGAGAGAGAGAGAGAGAGAGAGAGAGAGAGAGAGAGAGAGAGAGAGAGAGAGAGAGAAACCAGAUUUUAUAAAAAAAAUCCCAUUUCGAAAUAUUUACGAUUAUGCCACUGGACUUCUUUUGACCAUAUCUCUCUCGUUACAACUCCGAUUCGAGCCCACUACGUGUCUGUGAACUCGUCUCAGUACGACCUAUCCAAAAAUAUAAGUCACGGUCCCAAACUCUCUCCGGUUAAAAAUAUGACUAAAAUACCCUCAAAGCAGCUUACUUGGUUCCUCUAGUAGAUGGAAAUAUAAUUUUUCUAGCUAAAUUUCUCAAAUGGUCCUCAAACUUGUACGCGAUUUACAUUUUGGUCCAUCAAUUAAAUUAUUAGUCCAAAUGGUACAUAAACUCUAUUUUAAUCGCCCAUUUGAUCGAACCGUCUAAUUUUCUGUUAGAUUUAACCAAAUUUUAGGGUAAAUAUGACUUUUCAUAAUUAACAAAUAAAAUAGGAUUAAAAUAAUUAAAUACAAAAUUAGAAAAAAAAAAUGAAGAAAAGGAGGAAGAACAGAAGAGGAAGAAACCCAGAAGAAGAGGAAGCGGACAAGGUUAUUGCAAUGGCUUUCUUAAGUAAAAUUGGGAAUAUACUCAGAUGGACUGCAAAGAAGCAUAUCUGAUCUGAAUUAUCUCCUUUCAAACUAUCUAUCCAUCAAGCAGUAAGAUGCAUGUCAAACAUGGUGAGUUCAAAACUCUUAUUGGAGGUAUUUCGUACCAAACAGAUGAGCAGAGUCUGAAGGAAGCUUUUGCAAAAUAUGGUGAAGUUAUUAAUGCAAGAAUCAUCAGUGACCGUGAAACUGGUAGAUCUAGAGGAUUUGGGUUCAUCACUAGCGAGGAGGCAUCCAGUGCAAUCCAGGCCUUGGAUGGGCAUGAACUUCAUGGCCGUCGAGUAAGGGUGAAUUAUGCUACUGAUAGACCUCGCCCUAACUUCGGUGAUGGAGGUGGUUUUGAAACUGCUAGCACUGGAGGUGGUUUUGGCAAUAACAUCAAUUUGGGUGUUGCUGUUGCUGUUGGUGGUGCUCAUAACUUUGUUGGCGGUGCUGACAACAGCUUUGGCAGUGGUGGAGCUCAAUUGGGAGAGAACAAAGGUGGUUUCAGCUUGCAUGAUCCCUUGAAAGGAAAUGAUAAGGAUGAUGAUGAUGAUGCCGGCAACUUUCUCAAGAGGGCUUGAUAAUAUUUAGAUAAGAGGAGCGAUUUAGUUUGCUUCUAUGCAGAGCUACUAGUAGAUUGUCUUUUUGUUACAGCUGCAUGUCCCCCCUCCCCGUCUUUCUAAACUAUUAAUUUCAUUUGGCGGAAUUUUCUGUGAAUUUCAUGCACCUUUUAGUGUGCUUUGUCAACUAAGGACCUGGAUUGUGGGAAAAAAAGAAGCAAAAAAAGAAGAAACCAGGAAGAAGAAGAAGAAACCCAGAAGCAAAAGAAGAAGAAACCCAGAAGAAGAAGAGAGAGAGAGUUGGUGGAUGCAAUGACCAAGUUGCCCUCAUAUUUAACGGAAAUAUUGAUAGAAUGUAACGGUAGGAUCAAUGAAGCGAAUAAUAUAGAGUUGAUGUACCAUUUGGACUAAUAAUUUAAUUGAGGAACCAAAAUGUAAAUCGAGUAUAAGUUUGAGGACCAUUUGAGUAAUUUACCCUAAUUUUUCUCCUAAUAAUAAGGGUUUAGUGCAAUCAAUGAUGGGCUGUAUAGAACAACUUUUUUGUUUUAUAUGUUUAUGUGAGACAAGUUUUGCCAGAUUGAAUUAAUGUCUUCUAGCUAUGUACCUUAUCUUUUUGCCGGGCCAUGAGUUGAAUGUAGAGGCAGAGCAUGGACUUGGGGUCAAGUUUGACUUGUAAAAAAUUAGGAAUUGAAUGGCUAAUACGUUCAAUUAUUUAUUUAUUUAUUUAUUUUUGUCCGAGCCAUUCAAUUCCUAAUUAUUUAGAUUUUCAAUCCAGUGAGCAUCCACAAUCAUGCUCUCUAUUUUUAAGUUAAAUUUUAGCUAAAAACAUAUAAAAGUUAUUUUAGGAGCUCUCUAUAAAAUUUAAACUUCAAUCGUUUUCUCUAGUUUAGGGAGUCAUAAAUGCCAUAACUCUUUUUUGAUUGGUCUAUCUCUAUUAAAAAAUAAAAUAAAAAAUAAUUAGCAUUAAAUAAAGAUUUGAAAUACUCAUUAAAUAAAGCAACAUUAAAUUAUAGGGAGCCACUAGGAGUCCUUUCUCUCUCCUCAAGUUUAGGAGCUCCUAGAGGUCUCCCUAUUUUAAGAGGUGGAUAGGGAGUAUGGUUGGAAUUGUAUUUUUACAAUUCCUCCCUAAAAUUUGUCUAAGGAGGUGGUUUAGGGAACCCAUUGUGGAUGCUCUCAUCUCAAAGAAAGAAAACCUCAAGUUUGCAAGCAAGUUUUCUACGUAUGUAUAUAUGAAAAAAUGAUAUGAAAAUAAUAAAUCCAUAUUUUUAUGUAAGCCAACUUUCUAAAUCCAUGUACUAUAUUUAUUAGGGAAAUAUUGGAGAAACUGAUUAUUUUGAAAAAUUAAAUGUGAAAAACUGAACAAAAAUUUGACAGGUUACAUAUUUCAACUCAUUCAGCAGCUUAGGUUGUGAAGACCUAAGCAACAAAUCUGCUACUGGGGUGUUGGGGUUUUCUACGUCAUGUGGAGCUUCAUUGCUGCAUCCUUCCACUUCCAUUAUGUGUUGUUCUGAUUCUAAGUGAUGAGGGUAUUAUUGGCACCAUAAUAAACAAAUCAUUUCAAGAUGGUUCCUUCAAAAAUUUAGAAAACAUGCAUCACGAAAUUUUUUAGAAAACAUGCAUCAUGAAAAAAUUACGUGAACAAUAUACUUACACCAUGGGAUCACUCCCACAUAUUGUAACACCCCGACUCCAAAUUAAAUGAUUAUUUUAAUCGAUUUUUAUAAAAUUACGAAUUUACCCUUGGGAUAGGGGUAACUUGGUCACUUUCUUCUUCGGAAGGAUUUUUGGACCAUGAGUGGUAUUUCUGGGUAGUUGGUACCGAGACGAAUUCGUAGACAUGCGGUAGGCUUGAAUCGGGGUUGUAACGAAAAAGUUACGGGCAAAAUAGUGUCAGUGGCAAACUUGUAAAUAUUUCGAAAAGGGUUAGGGUAAAAAUCAGAUUUUUCCAGUUUUACCUCACUUUCUCUCUCUUCCUCCCGAUUCUCUCUCUCUCUCCCGCGUCUCUCUUCCUUCUCCGAUCUGCAGAUCGCAGAGCCGCCGCCACAGGCCACGGCUAGCCCCGAGACCGGACCCAAAACGAUCGGCCAAACCUCGCCGACGUCCCCCGACCCAUCUCCAGCCGCCAGCCGCCGCCUCGUCGCCGGAAACCACGGAUUUCAGGCCGAUUCUUGUCUGAGCUUCCAGUCGAUCGUUCUCUCUCCUCCGAGCACUAUUUCAGACGGGUGAGGUAUGGUUUCUCAUCCAAUUUUUGAGUUCUAGCUGAUGAUGGUAUAGGUUUUCAUUGAUUUUGAGUCUAGAAAACCGAUUAGGAAUCUAGGUUUUGGGCCGAAUUUCAAAAUGAAAUUCUGGCCAGUUGCCGGCCGAAUUGGAGCUUCUCGUAGUUGAAUGAAGUGAUCCUGACCUCGAGUAGAAGCUAGAGUAGGAAGGGUGAGCUCGGGUGUGGAGUUUUUCCGUCACCGGAAUUACUCUGCACACCCACGCGCUGCCGGCGCGUGUGGCGGUGCGUGGGCGAGUCUGGUGAGGAUGUAAAUUGACCCGAUGAGAUCCUUAGGUUGUCACGAGCGCAUAGGAAUUCGCGGAUCUCGAUUCGGAUGUCGUUUGGCUAUUGAAACGGAUUUUCGCAUAUUGUGCGUUAUCCGGGUUCGAUAGGUUCCGACCGUUAGAUCUUUCCCAAAUUAAAAUAUGUUGUUCUAGGUAUUCCUAGGACCGUAUGGGACUUCACGAAUUCUGAAUCGGAGCCCCGGAUGUUCCGAUUCAAAAAUGCAAAGUUUGCGGGUUAGCGAUAACCGUAAAAUCGUGAACGCUUCCUAAACCUGUAAUCGGACCUUAGGGUACCAUCUUCGACGUGCACGUAUGGGAAUUUGGGGAGUUAAGCAUUUAAUUUGUAAUUUCCGCUUAGACGUGGUUUUUAUAUUAAUUAACGGUUCGUAUUUCGAAAUAGGUAUUUCGACUGCACGCACGCAGCAAGCAGGACCUUCACGUGGUCAGGCAGCGAGGGAAUACUUGUGAGUGGACUUUGUUUUAAUCAUAUGCCUGGUUUUAAUUAAUGAAAGAUUUUGCAUAAUGUUUUAAUGGCUUCUGGAUUUUAUGUAUUAUAUGCAUGAAUUAAUUUCAAUGGGUGUAUAGCAAUUGGCAAUAUAUUAUGAGUUUGGCCUUUUGGGUUUUGAGAGUGUAUUUCAUGUAUAGAUUGGGGAAGUAUAUUUUGAUAUAUAUAUAUUCUUUUAGAGGAGAUAUUUGGGUUGUUGGAGAGUGAUAUGGAAGAAUGUGAUUAGAGAGGAGUUGUGGGAUUACACUACGUAAGUACCUUCCCCGGUUACUAGUCUCACUCGCGGCGUUGGAUGUUCCGGCGGGUGAGACACUUUCCGUAUGCGGCGCUGGAUGUUCCGGCGUACGGAAAGACUGUGUAUAGAGUUUAGGGUCAUCACCAUGGCGUUGGAUGUUCCGGUGUGUGAUGAUCCAGUCUGCGCGCGUAGGACAUAGUUUGAGAGCUACACAUGGCGUUGGAUGUUCCGGUGUGGGAGCUUUGGAGUUUCGUCCCCCGGUUGGACCGCUCAUCCCUAAACGCAGGAUAGCACCUGGAAAUCCUGCGGACUAGUCAAACGAUCCCCCAGUUGGAUUGUUUUCCCCGGUACCUAAGUGGUGUGAUGAGUAUAUCAUAUAGCUAUUUAUAGUUAUUUAUAUAUAUAUAUUUAUGUGUAUAUUUAUUGAAUAUGUAUAGUUGAGUGUGAAAGGAAUUGGAGUUUGUUUAAUAGUUGAUAGGAGUGGUGAGUUUGAGAGAAUGGGGUUCUUUUUGAAAGAGAUAACUGAUGUUUUUAGAUGAGUUUUACUGAAGCAUAUUUUGAGUAAUUUCUUAUUGAAUUGUGAACCUGCAUGACUUGAGCAUUAUUUUACAUGGUGGGGUUACUAUGUUGUUUUUAACUGCAAACCUGGUUUUUGUCCACUCACAUGUUUUCUGUUUUGCGCCCCCCCAGCCAGUAGUUGCUCUUGGAAGUGCAAGUGGUGUACGAAGCGGAAUCGGUGCAUCUUUCUAAUUAGGAAUUGUGUAAAUUCUUCUACUCAACUGUUCUUGUAAUCUAAAUUCAGUAGAUGCUCUGUAUUUGCCAUGGUAGAUUUUACUUGUGAGGCCGGAGGCCACUCUAGUAUGACUUAUGUAUGUAUGAAAGCAUGCUGCUGGUUGGGAUUAGUAUUACUGUGUGUGCAGGUUGAAUAAAUUUUGUUGGGUUUGUUUAAAUUGCAGGGGAGACUCUGCCAAAAUUUUGGUAGAAAGUCUCGAUUAUUUAGUAGUGGGCCCGGCAUCAGGAUGAUGUCGGGAUCAAGACGGGGUCCGCCUCGGUCAACGGGAAAUUCCGGGGCGGGUCUUGUCACAUAUUUGAACACAUAACACGUGUUCAAGGUUAUAUAUUUCAUUACCUUCACAAUAGGUACCAAACCGUACCAUGGGAACAUUCAUAUACGCACAACAUACUUAUAACAUACUUACACUCGUGUAUAUUUGAACACAAGAAGACGUGUGCACCACCGUGCACGGUUCACAUGAAGUAAGAAGAUGAAGAGGAAAUAAAGAAGAAUACAAAAGAAAAUGGAGAUGAGAAGAAAAAAAAAACACGAAUAAUGAAAAAUGAGUUGACAAUUAUAUAUGGUUGACAUUAGAUGUAAUAUUAUAUGUAAUAACUAAUGAUCUAAAAUAAACAUUUAAUCUAUUCACUCGUUUCGUGUUUACUCCUGUGAUGGAAGGGCAAAGUUCCCCAUUGCCUUGAAAACCAUUGACUGGUCAACAAGACAACUUUCUUUGGUGUGCGAGCGUGCCACUACUAGCAAUAAAAAACAUAGCAGACUUCUUUGAAAUAUAUAACUUGCGUCCUAAGUUACUAAUUUCUAAACAAGCGAUCGUGAAUUUGGGUGAGGAAUAUCUCCCAAGUAAGUUCUUUUCUUGCCUCAGACUGGUGAGGACUUCACAAUUUAUCUUAGUACAAGAUUGGUAGUUUUGGCCAGAAUAAAUGAUAAUAAAGUGGACUUUUUUAGGCAGAACUGCCUUUUACAAAACUAGAAAGGAAAAGAUCAACUCUAGAAAGACAAAAAAAUGGCUGAAAUUCCAUUUCUGCCUGGAUAGAAGCUUCUGAUCCGGGCUGGACUGGGUAUGUUUGUUCUGGACUGAAUUGUCAACAACUUCAACUACUAAGCUUCAGCUGUAAAUCGAUACCAAAGUUUGAGUUUGGCAGAGUUUUAAUAUAUUUCAAGCCCUGGAAGGCUUUUCGAACGGGCAGAACUGCAACUUCUUUGGUCUGAACGGGGCAGAAGUGGCUGGACUUAAGGAUUACUAAGCCGGAACUGCACUAUGGUACCUGUUCUGCUUGAUCCGGGCUCUCUAUAAAUUUGUUGAGGUUUCCAUAUUUGUGAAAACUCAAACUCGGCUUGUCUUGGCUUUUGCUGAACCAAAUUUGUAACGCGAGAAGUCUCGUUUUGAAUGACUUAUUUAUCUGAGUAUGAACUUGGAAGUUCGAUCUAUAGCUGGCUUCUUUUGUGGCUCGAAUGAGUUUUUGGUUGCUCUAGUUUGUUUUGAAGGUUCUCAAUGAUCAAGUGAUCAUUUUGAGUUUUUGCCUUUGGUUGAUUUUUGAUUGUUUGAUUGAUUGUUGAAAAAUGAGUGUGUUUUGCUCUGUUCACCCUCUCCUAUAUUUAUAAGAAAUGCUUUGGAGUAGGGUUUCUAAUUUUUUAGAAAUCGGCGGCAGAUUUUCUCAAAAGAUCUUUCAUUUUUUAAAAUGUAAAGAAAUAGGGGUUUUAUCAAUUCUGGUAGAUAAGCUCUCAAUGGUCAGUUUCUUUAAGUCAAUCACUUCUCUGUUUUUUGAAAGAAAACUUAAUCCCUCUUUAAUUCCAACUGCCCCUUGUGAGAGCUCAAACUGUGAUGGUUAGUUUGAUUUUCCAGUUUAAACAACUUCCUGUUUCAUGCUUUAUCUUUUUUUAGAAAACACAGUCUGCGUAUCCUGAAAGAUGGUGCCUUCUUUGGAGUAUAAACAAUAUCUCUGAAUAUAUAAAAGGGUUUUGAUCUUCUGGUGGCAGAGAUUUCAGAGACAUCCCUUCUUUUCGCCUGCCUCUGUCAACUCUUUAUUAACCUAGUUGAAAUUGUUGACUUUCCUAAAUCAGAGAAAAAGAUUCACUUUGGUAUGUUUCCUUUUGGGCUCCUUCUUCUCUUUUAAUAUGCCCAAACCCUUUUGUUUUUCCUGGAGCCAUGAGCUGAUUGCUCUUUUUUUCUUUUUUCGAGGCCCAAGUUUAUUUGCAGAGUCCAGACUGCUUGGGCCCUGUGGUUUGUCUUUGUUGUUUUUGGGCUGGGUGUGUCAAAUUAGGCCCAAACAAAGUCAAACAAUAAUUAAAAGAUUUGACAAUAUAAAAAUAUAUUGAGAACAAAAAAAGGCAAAAACUUUUGAAAAAUGGAAACAAUAAAUAUGAAUUGAGUCAUCAACUCACCAAGGUAAGUUUGCUGAUGUGUAAAAAUAGUCAAUGGACUACAUCGAAAAAUAAUUGGCUUACAUCAAAAAUUAAAAUCACGUGGUUUAUUCUUAAGAAACCUUAAUAUUUUUGGGUUCAUAUAUUUUUUGUAUUUUAAAAAAAAAGAAAAAAAAAAUCUGACCAUGUAUGUAUGAUGAUGAUAUGCAUGUUAUUUUUAGACCUAAGGUAAAACAAACAAACUUUUUACUCCAUUUUUCGUGAGGUUUAUCAAAAGAAUUAAACUGUUAUAUCCUCCAUUUUAGAUUUCAUGCUUCCAUUUAAAGAAAAGAAUAUCAACAACAAAAAAAGAAUAAAGUUACAACAUUGAUCAAUUCAAAUGUCCAACUAUCGGAUCAUGAGCCUCUGCACUUAGAGACUACGCAUUUACCCGUAUUUCGUUAAAUUUAGACCAUUAUAAUAAUCUAACCCCUUAGAAUGGGACACAUCAUCAAGUUUUUUUUCCUUUCACUAAACAGAAGAGUUAAGUUUUAUUUGUGGGUAACUAAACUCUUGUUUAGAGCAUGUUUUUUAUUUAUUUUUCUUUGUUCUGUGUAAAUUAUAAUAGGUUAGAUUAUUAUUUGUGGGUGACUAAAAUCUUGUUUAACAAUAAUAGUUAACGUUUGUUUAGAGAAGAAAAAAAAUUUGAUGAUGUGUCAUGUUCUAAAGGGUUAGAUUAUUAUAAUGGCCUAGAUUUAGCGAACUGUAGAUAAACGCGCAGUGUCUUAAUGCAGAGGCUCGAGAUCCCCAACUAUCAUUGAAACAUAAGAAACUAAAAUCUUCAAGAAAAUGCUAUCAAUUGAAAAAACAAUAAUUAAAAAACAAAAAAAGGAAGGGAAUUCGCAGCUGCUAUGCAAAAAAGAGCAAGUCGGUUCAAUGAUUUUUUCUUCUUCUUCUUUUUGUUAUGGAAAUGAAAAGCUAAAUGAUGGGCUAUAUAUGGGAAGAAGCUCAAUGAUUGAAUUAAUAUCUUCUAUCUACAUUCUACCCUCUUCCUCGCUACAUACACAAAUGGUGCACGUACAUGGACAUGGGUUGACAUGAAUAAGAACAGCGACGCGUACUUGUUUUUAUUUUUGGUUCUUUAGAUCCAGUUGCACGUACCAAAGAAAGAAAACCACAGGUAUGCAAUGCAAGCUCUUUUCCCAUGUUUUCCUCUGUUUUCUCCUAUUUUUCUCUCUUUUUUAAAAAAAAAAAAAAAGAUAUACGGAAGUGAUUAAAAUACUCCUCUAACUAAGCUUGUUUUGCGUUCGGUGGCCGACUGUAAAAGCUCUGCUCAAACCUAACGUACUAGGUAUUUAUUUUAUUGCUCUGUUCAGACCUAGUGAUUAAAAUGCACUUGCGAUUUUGUGUUUCAAUUCCCUCUCCCCUAAUAUUGCUUGUAUAAAAAUAAAAACUUUUAAAAAGACAUUAAUAUUGUAUUCUAUAUUCUAUAAAGUGUUGGACAUGUUUUAUAUUGUUGACAACCCCCUAAUAUUUUGGUGGUGCCCAGUUAUAUUCAAUUCGUAUGUAUUUAAUUUGCCACUUACAUUCUUGCCUUAAUACAUUUAGGCUUAUUUUUAUACAAAUUUCUCUAACAUAACUUUUGCACAUUCUUUUAGUCUCUAAUAUAUAUAUAUAUAUAUAUAUACAGAGAGCUUCCAUUGAGGGAUCCCUCAAAUAAACUUAUUUGAGGGACACUCCUUGUAGGCCCCACUCCGAAUUGUAUUUCACUAAUACAAACCGUCUAUUUUGUAGAUACUCAUUCAAAGAUCAUCUCUACAAAAAAUCACUUGAAUCCGAUAUCAUUUGACCACUCAAUUAAGUUAUUGAAAUUUUAGCAUUUUCUUGAAGCACCGUGUUCAUUGAUUUUGUAAGACACAAUUGGAUGUCGAAACGGUUUCCGAUUUGUCUAAUUUUUUGUAAGGAUGAUCUAUGAAUGAAAACCUAAAAAAUAGGUAGUUUGGAUCAUUGAGAAAAAAAUUGUAUGGUACCUUAAAGGGCGUCCCUCAAAUAAAAUUAUUUGAGGGAUCCCUCAAUAGAAGGGGACUGUAUAUAUAUAUAUAUAUAUAUUUUCUAAUAAAUAAUCUUACCCAUUUGAGUUAUCAGCUAUUUUCUUUUAGCCCGGAAAAUCGACAUUUUGACAGAGAGUUGAAAAGAACUCCCCAAUUUUAAUGUCAGCCACUUGAAAAAAAAAACAUAAAUUUAAUGACAACAAUUACAUUUAGCAAUGCAACCUAAAAACUCAACCUUUGCGCCCCUUUCACAACGUAGAUAGCAGAGUAAGGAUAUUCGGAUAAGAACCAAGACAUAAGCCAGAGAAACUACGAUAGCCAACCAGGGCCUUCAUUUCUUACCAUCUGAACAAUGCCACCAUUUUGUUUGGUAAGUAUUUAAUAACAUUUCUUGCUCUUCAUAAAGUAAUAUUAAAACGAAAUUUGCCUAAAUUUUUCUUACCAACAAUGCAUACGAAAAAAAAAAAGGAAGAUUCACUAUUAUACUCAAUAUAGGAGCCCAAAUUAUUUAUAAUUAAAAAAAAAACCUUACAUGAAAUGGACUUUAGAAACACACUCAAAACCUAUUUACAACAAAACAAAGACUUUUAACUUCUUUUAAAUUACAAAACUAUCAUUGAUUUCUUAAACAAACCCAACCCCAAUACCUCAUAAAAAAACCCAAAAUACUUGAUAAAGCAUCAAAGUAAUUUAAUAAUCAAAAUUAAAUUCAAUAGGACCAGCAGUUAUUUUUUGGGUUUUUUUUGUUUGUUUAUAGAAAUUAAAUGGUGUAGGAUCUAUCUAUAUUAUUAGUGCUAAGAAUGGAUAUGUGACUAAAUAAUUCCAAAAAAAAAUUAUAAUAAAUCUACAAUUUUUCUUUUUAUAAAAAAAUUCUACAAAAAUUUAUUAGAUUAAUAGGCACUACUAGAAAAUCUCCAUAUAAGCCACUAAUACACCCAUGACAGUUGUCCAAGCGUAGUGUUGUCAUUCAAUAUUCCCCACAGCAACCAGCAUCCAAUAAAGGGUUGCCUCUCUGUAUGUAGCUAUUUGAGAAUAUAAAAGAAAUAUUUUUUAUUCAACAUGGACGCAGAAACUGUUGCUAAACUGCAAACUUCUUAAAAUAUUUAUCUAACUUUCUAGAUCCAUGUACUGAGAUUUAUUAGGGAAAUAUUGUAGAAACUGAUUAUUUUGAAAUAUUAAAUGUGAAAAACUGAACAAAAAUUUGAUGGGUUACAUAUUUCAACUCAUUUCAGCAGCUUAGAUUUUGAAGACCUCAGAAGAGGCUAUGCAAUGAGCCUAGCUAGUGCACUGUUGAUCACUUCAGUGUUUACCGAUCUGUAAUUUUUCCAGAUUGGUUAUAUUUUCCUUUACAUAUUCUUAUAUUUUCCCAGUUGGGGAGACUUAUAAAUAAGGGAAAUAGCCCUAAAUGCCACCAAUUUUAUAAUUUUUUGUCAAAAUACCACCCCUCCCCAAAAUUUUUAAAACUACCACCUAUAAAUACAUCUUUAUUGUAAAUUAAUUGCACCCAUAUCACUUUUUCAGAAAUUGGGUUCUCCCUCAACUCUCUUGGCUCUGUCUCUCUCUUUAGCCUAGCUCUCUCUCUCUCUCCGACAUAGUCAUCUUCCUCCCUCAGCCAUCCAAGCUUAACUCCACAGUUCACAUCCACGAGGUACUGUUCACGUUCCUUUUCUUAGAAAUUUGGGGUUUUUGUGAAUUUGGUUUAUGAUGUAUGGAUUUGUAUGAAAUUGGUUUAGGGGUUUCUUCCAAAUUGGUUUGGUAAGAAGGUGAUGUUGUUGUUGCUGUCACUGACAGACUAUUUUUCCUGGGUUGUGGUUGGUGGGUGUUACUGCGAAUGCUUACAAGGUUGCUGAUUCUCCUUCUAAGGUCUCUCUUUCUCUCUAUUUCUACAAAUUCUAAGGUUUUUUUUUUUUUUUGGGUUACUUUUUUUUUUUUUUUUAUUUCUUUUGCUAAUUGUAAUUGGGCCUUUGUUGCAGAGGUGGAUUUGUUUUGUGCCCAAAAGAUUGUGACUUUGUUGAAAGUUCGUAAAUAGAAAAGGCAGCUGCCCCCUGCGGCUUGGAACGCUCAAUUCGGAGGUAUUAUGCCUUGAAUUUUUACAAAAGAAGAAUUGAAACUACCUUAUAGAAGGCAAAACAAAAAUAUAUAAGAGGAAAAAAGGAGAAAAUUUAUCUAAUUUCCCUUUUUUUAGUUGUAUUUUUNNNNNNNNNNNNNNNNNNNNNNNNNNNNNNNNNNNNNNNNNNNNNNNNNNNNNNNNNNNNNNNNNNNNNNNNNNNNNNNNNNNNNNNNNNNNNNNNNNNNNNNNNNNNNNNNNNNNNNNNNNNNNNNNNNNNNNNNNNNNNNNNNNNNNNNNNNNNNNNNNNNNNNNNNNNNNNNNNNNNNNNNNNNNNNNNNNNNNNNNNNNNNNNNNNNNNNNNNNNNNNNNNNNNNNNNNNNNNNNNNNNNNNNNNNNNNNNNNNNNNNNNNNNNNNNNNNNNNNNNNNGGGGGAAGGGACACCCUAUUUCGUUACAGGGUUUAUUGACUGCAUUCUUCCUUGUUCUAGAAGACCUCCUCAGUUCCAUUGAGCCGACAAACCUUAUGAAGUUGAAUGUGAAGUGUUACCUUGCAUCUACAUGUUUCAUCUUUUAACUUUAUUUUCAUGUUUCACACUGAUGCUUGUAGUUAUUUCUAGUUUUGCAUACAGAUUAGCAAAUAGGUUAUGCAUUUACUGUUUAGUCAUCUAAUGAUUUGAUAUCUAAUAUUUAGGCAUAUGGGAAUUUAUAGAUGUACCGAUUAUGCAUACAUAUAGGUUUUGUGCUUGUAUUAGGAAGUUAGAUUCUUGUGGUUCCUCUUCAAUGGCAUGAAUUUAAAUUGUUGUGCUUCAUGAUUAGGGUCUGAAGAACAACCAUGUAGUAAGAAAGUUGGAGAAACGUCAACAGAUUUGCACCCUUGACCAACAUAUUGAAGAGUAAUUUGGUGGUGGUCGUCUAUUGGCUUGUAUCUCAUCACGACCUAGAUAGUGGCUGUGCUGAUGGGUAUGUGACUUUAUUUGCCUAUGUCUGUUUCUAGUCAGCCGAUAUGUCAUUGGCAUAUUAGUGUAGUUACCAUAUUGCAAGGGCUGAAAUCUGGAUGAUAACAGCUUCUUUUUAUUGUUGUUUUAAAGUGAAGUAUGUAUGGAUCUUAUGAAAUUUUUACAGAAAUAUAUUGGAGGGCAAAUAAUUUUAUUUUAGUUUUUUUAUUCCCAAAUGAUACCCAAAACAUGUAAGCUUCACACUAUGUUAAUUUCUGCAGGAUGGGAAAACAUUGGACAAUGAGUUGGAGGUUGUUAAGGGAAUGAAGCUAGACAUGGGCUACAUAUCCCCUUAUUUCAUCACCAACCAGAACAAUUAGAAAUGUGUAAGUUUUGGUUUGAUUCAGGGAUGACUAUGUCUUGAAACUGUUAGAGGGCUGCUUGUUAAAGUUAGUAGCACCUCAAGUCCCUUUUUUAUUGAUGCUGAUUAUCUUCAAACUUGUGUAUGUGCUGAUAGGAAUUGGAAAAUCCUCUAAUCAUAAUCCAUGAGAAGAAAAUCUCAAGUAUUAAUGCUGUGGUUAAAGUAUUGGAGUUGGUCUUGCAGGUUAUCAUUUCUCUGGUUAGGUUCACUAGUUUCUUCUUUUUUAUCAUGAAUUGGUUGACAAACUUUUGCUCUUUUUCAAAAGCAAAGGUCUUUGCAUUUUGUUAUAUCUUUCAGAACCAAAGUUAUAAAAGAAAAUGGUUUUCCUCUUUGUUAAUUGAGAAUCAUCUGCAGUUAUGAUUUCAGAUCUAUAGAUAACUUGUUGUUGCUGAUAUUGCUACACGGGAGGAGAAUAGAACAGCUUGAAAAAUGUGCAAGAAGAGAGAGCUAACUCAUACACCGAAGAACAAAUUGGUGAAGUUAAGAUCAAAUUAGUAGAAUUUGUGAGCUCUCCAUUAUUUAUAAUUAUAGGUAGGAAGUAUGUAUGUAAUAGAGUAAAGAUUGGUUGACUAUGUAAUAACAAUUGAAUUUUCAAGUUUUAUGAAAGAAAUAAUUUUUGAGCAUAUAUAUUUGUUAAUAAAGCAUUAUAAUUGGUUUUCUAGUUAAAAUCGUUGUAUAGAAUCGUAGGAAACAAAAACCUAAAUAUAACAGCUUGGGAACUUAUUAGACGACAGAUUUAAAGAUAAUAAAAUGUAGUCUGAAUUGUUAGGGUUCGGUGGCGAUUUAUUUUGCAUGUCUAAAUUGUAGUCUGUAAUAUAUGUGUGUGUAUUGUAUGUAGAUUGACUUAAUAUUGCUAUCCUAUUGCAUGCGUAUUGUACUAAUAUUGCCUUUGUAUUGCAUACAUAUUGUAUGCAUAUUGCCACCCUAUUGCAUGUAUAUUGUGAUGUUAUUGCUGUUGUAUUGCCGUUAUAUUGCCCUAAUAUUGCCUCUCUAGUGUAUGUAUAUUGGCCUAAUAUUGCCAUUAUAUUGUAUGUAUAUUGACUAUGACUCAUCAAUGGGUUUACGGUUUAGGCCCUACUUCAUUCAAAAAGAAGACGACGACGAGAAAGAAACAAUGUGCCUUUCAAAAACAAGCAGUCAGGUGCAUUAUAAUUGCACCGUAAGACAUUGUAAGAAAUUAUUUUAAAAGAUAAUAACAACUAAAAAAUAAUUUACCAAAAAAGGAAGGUAUGAAUAAAUAUGCAAAUGCUUCGUCAUGGGUUGAAGAAAAGGAUGAUUACAUUUGGUGGUUUGAUUAUGUUUGGUGAUAUGAUAUGUUGUUCGUCUGAAUCUUCAUAUAUGUAAUUGUUAUGUUAAUACUUGACACAAAUUCAUCUCGUAAUCAUCCAAUUAUUAAAGCUAAGUAAAUGAAAUGAAACAAAAGAAGAAGCCCAAAAUAAACAGAAACAGCAAUUUCUAGCACCCAUUUAUCGCUUCUGUAUUACCACUGUAUCACCAACGUAUCACCAGCUUAGCGUUGAUGACCAUUAGUUCAAACAUUAUGUGAUCUAAUAGGGAUAACUAAUUUUUGGAACAACUAAUGAAUCUUCAAAAAGAUAAAGAACAACUAGUAAACUAAUGUAUGCAGUUUAACUUUGCACGGGUCAUAGUGCUCAACAUGAUAUUUGGCAACCAUCUCUACACUUGGUGUAUAUUGCAGGCUUCUAUGCAUUCCAAACCUUCAUUCUUCUGUGAUAAAACUGUUAAAUUACCAAGAUUUCUAACACAUGGAAGUAAACAAACGAAUCUGCACAUUUAUUUGUACAUACACACUGCGUAUUGCACAUCUGCGCAUCUAUUAAUCACCACACCAAUGUUUCAAAGAUUGAUUCAGAGGGCAAAAUGAUUGAUUACAUAUUUCAAAUUAGUCAUCUGCUCAUAAGAACUUGGCCCUAAAACUGUACUAAUGGUAAAUAUACUGACAUAAUAGCUAUUAAUGAAAAAUUCUAAACAAACGAGGGACUUAUUUUUCUAAUAUUGUAGUGGAAGCAUGUUAAGUGAUUUUCCACAUUUGUUCAUGGGGGUAAAGUAUAUCUUACCCCUUUCUAAACAUUAUGAGGUUUCAAAUUUCAAUAACAACAGAAUGCUAAGCAGAAAAGUAGAAUUGCUACAUAAAUUACUUAGAAGGAACAAAGUCAAAACUAAUUUGACAAAUCUUAAGAAAGCUGUAUGCUUCACUAAGUCAACUAACAGAUUCCCAGUGCAGGAAAUGAAAUAUACCUAUAUCACAUAAAUUGCAAAGAAAACCACAGAGACUAAAUGUUAACAAUGGAUACAAAAAUGAGUAGAAUUCAGUGGAAACGAACACAUCGUUUCAAACAAGUAAAUUGUUAUAUGUCCAUAAAGAGCAACUAUGUUUAUAUAUGGAGGUGUACGAAAUAGUUCAACUUCAAAAUGGAAACAGUUUAUGUGCCAUGUAAGGCAAUGAACAUAUAACAAGGUGAGUCUUCAACAAAUUAAAAGUAGACAAUUAUUUUCAAACAAUCUGACAGCUGCCCGAGAAAACUGAGGGAGUUAAGGCAUGAGAUGCAAACAUGAUAAACACUGUUAAGCACUCGGACGAACCCAUGCUAUAAUACAAGCCAACAGACAAUCACCACCACCAAAUUGCUCUUCAAUAUGUUGGUCAAUGGUGCAAAUCUGUUGAUGCUUCUCCAACUUUCUUACUACAUGGUUGUUCUUCAGACCCUAAUCAUGAAGCACAACAAUUUAAAUUCAUGCCAUUGAAGAGGAACCACAAGAAUCUAACUUCCUAAUACAAGCGCAAAACCUAUAUGUAUGCAUAAUCGGUACAUCUAUAAAUUCCCACAUGCCUAAAUAUUAGAUAUCAAAUCAUUAGAUGACUAAACAGUAAAUGCAUAACCUAUUUGCUAAUCUGUAUGCAAAACUAGAAAUAACUACAAGCAUCAGUGUGAAACAUGAAAAUAAAGUUAAAAGAUGAAACAUGUAGAUGCAAGGUAACACUUCACAUUCAACUUCAUAAGGUUUGUCGGCUCAAUGGAAUUGAGGAGGUCUUCCAGAACAAGGAAGAAUGCAGUCAAUAAACCCUGUAACGAAAUAGGGUGUUCNNNNNNNNNNNNNNNNNNNNNNNNNNNNNNNNNNNNNNNNNNNNNNNNNNNNNNNNNNNNNNNNNNNNNNNNNNNNNNNNNNNNNNNNNNNNNNNNNNNNGAUAUGAAGAAACAAAAUGAAUCUCCCACAAGCCUAACAGGCUAAUACCAUUAACAAGGUCUGAAAUUGACUCUAUAUCAUGUACAUAUAUAUAUAUAUAAACUCCAUCUUUACAUAUUGGAACUACAUCAAUGUAAACCAACUAGAUCGACCCUGCAUCCUGAACACCACCCCCCCUCCCAAAAAAAAGACCGAGAAAAAAAAAAUACAACUAAAAAAAGGGAAAUUAGAUAAAUUUUCUCCUUUUUUCCUCUUAUAUAUUUUUGUUUUGCCUUCUAUAGGGUAGUUCCAAUUCUUCUUUUGUAAAAAUUCAAGGCAUAAUACCUCCGAAUUGAGCGUUCCAAGCCGCAGGGGGCAGCUGCCUUUUCCAUUUACGAACUUUCAACAAAGUCACAAUCUUUUGGGCACAAAACAAAUCCACCUCUGCAACAAAGGCCCAAUUACAAUUAGCAAAAGAAAUCAAAAAAAAGUAACCCAAAAAAAAAAAAAAAAAACCUUAGAAUUUGAAGAAAUAGAGAGAAAGAGAGACCUUAGAAGGAGAAUCAGCAACCUUGUAAGCAUUCGCAGUAACACCCACCAACCACAACCCAGGAAAAAUAGUCUGUCAGCGACAGCAAAAACAACAUCACCUUCCUAUCAAACCAAUUUGGAAGAAACCCCUAAACCAAUUUCAUACAAAUCCAUACACCAUAAACCAAAUUCACAAAAACCCCAAAUUUCUAAGAAAAGGAACGUGAACAGUACCUCGUGGAUGUGAACUGUGGAGUUAAGCUUGGAUGGCUGAGGGAGGAAGAUGACUAUGUCGGAGAGAGAGAGAGAGAGCUAGGCUAAAGAGAGAGACAGAGCCAAGAGAGUUGAGGGAGAACCCAAUUUCUGAAAAAGUGAUAUGGGUGCAAUUAAUUUACAAUAAAGAUGUAUUUAUAGGUGGUAGUUUUAAAAUUUUUGGGGAAGGGUGGUAUUUUGACAAAAAAUUAUAAAAUUGGUGGCUUUUAGGGCUAUUUCCCUAUAAAUAAACCCAAAAUGGGUACAGUAUCUAUACAGAAGGACAAAAUUAAAGUGUUUGGACAAUAAUGCCCCUAUUCAUUUUGGGAUUGCCUAAGGAAUCCUUUUCCUGAUUUUCAAUGAUGCCAAAGGACUGUUGUUUGAUGCUUGCCGUAUGGAGCUAAGAAAACUUGCUUUGUGUUAUAAAAAUAACCUGGAAUAUGUACGAAUAUUGAGCUGCACGAAAAGUAGAUGAAACACAGCAUUUAACGAGGUUCGGCUAUGCCUACGUCCUCGGAGAGCAACAGCAGUAACUUUUUCACUAUAUGAAAUAAUAGGGCUACAACUUUAGAGUUUACAAUAUGUGAGGCUCACUGAAUUUUCUCUCUCUUUCUUCUUCUCUCUUUUCUUUCUUCUUUUUCUCUUCUCCCCUUUCUUUCUUUUCUCCGUUGGUCACACUCCCCUUUACAAUUGGUAUGCCUAUUUAUAGGCUAAUGUUUAGGCAAAAUACAGGGAAGGGAAGGUUCCUGGAAGAUGCAAGGAAACUUCCUGAAUUGAUAAUGUCACACCCCGGACCGACUCCGCCGUAGCACGAUAUUGUCCGCUUUGGGCCCUCCUCUCACUGCCCGCACGGUUUUGUUUCUGGGAGCUCACGAAGCAACUUCCCAGGGUGGUCACCCAUCCUGGGAUUGCUCCAGCCUCCCACUCGCUUAACUUCGGAGUUCUUACAACUCCGAAGCCAAUGAGCUCCCAAAAGGCCUCGUGCUAGAUGGAUGCGGGUGUGCCAUAUAAGGCACAUCACCCCCCUCUCCGUUGGUUUGAUGUGGGAUCUUACAAUCCACCCCCCUUAAGGGUCCGACGUCCUCGUCGGCACACUCGCACCACACGGCAGAGUGGCUCUGAUACCAAAUUGUCACACCCCGGACCGACUCCGCCGUAGCACGAUAUUGUCCGCUUUGGGCCCUCCUCUCACUGCCCGCACGGUUUUGUUUCUGGGAGCUCACGAAGCAACUUCCCAGGGUGGUCACCCAUCCUGGGAUUGCUCCAGCCUCCCACUCGCUUAACUUCGGAGUUCUUACAACUCCGAAGCCAGUGAGCUCCCAAAAGGCCUCGUGCUAGAUGGAUGCGGGUGUGCCAUAUAAGGCACAUCACCCCCCUCUCCGUUGGUUUGAUGUGGGAUCUUACAGAUAAAUACAGGGAAGGAAAGUUCCUGGAAGAUGCAAGGAAACUUCCUGAAUUGAUAAAUACAGGGAAGGGAAAGUUCCUGGAAGAUGCAAGGAAACUUCCUCUGUGGGCUCCACCUUCAAACUUUUACAACACUCCCCCUUGGAGACCACAAAUGAUAUGAAAUAUGCCUCGUUAAAAACCUUGCCAGUAAAAACCCAGUGGGACAAAAACUGGUCGAAGGGAAAAAGAGUACAUAAUCACGUGUAACAUAAAAUUCUGUGUAUAUUGACGCGCGUGCGACACUGCCUCGUUAAAACCUUGCCAGGAAAAAUCUAGUGGGAUAAAAACCUGGACGAAGGAAAAAGAGUACAGUGUGUAAGGGUCUGUAUUGACAGCACGCUCCUCCUGAUGCUUGGCAAAAUAUCUUUAAGCCAUACUGUUGAUCAUCUGUCUGAAUAUCAUAGUUGACACUGCUGCUGUGAGUCAAUAGUGUAUGAAGGUCUUUAUUAAUACCAUGCUCCCCCUGAUGAAUAUCUCCCCCUGAAAACUUCAUGACUAGCUUUUUCCAGUAAGCGACCAUAGAGAUUUCCUGAGUCCGCAUAUCUUAGAACACUUGGGCUAUUUAUAAGUUCACUAAAAAAAUAUGCCCGUAUAUGGUGUUAUGCUUAGAUAGCAUCAAAUAUACCUCACAUCAUCCCAAAAUGAUGGUGAUGGAGUUGAGCCCUAUCUGGAAAAUAUGAUGUCCGGUCCAAUAUACUUCCGGAAAAUCAUUAAAGUGUCCAACGGAUAAUCCUCAUAAAAAUACUUUAAUACUUUCUUAGUAUAAGCAAGAAUCUCGUUGGCAUAAUGCUCGAUCGAGACAAAUAUUUCAUGAAUUCUGCAGAAACUUUAAUGUGUUGCAAUCACAUUAUAAUCAAUGUACUCACUGAGGUAAUUUAUGCAUAUUAAUAUUGAGUACAAAUUUUGUGCUUCAAGCACAUGUCCUUUAAGGACUUGCUUUAUGCAAUAUCAAUCCUCUCAACGGAUUUUGUCUAAAAGGGAUUAAGCUUUAUGACACAUUAUAUAGCUUUUACCCAGCUAUUUAUACAUCUUUAGGAAAUCGCUUCUGGCGAUAUGCUCCGUGCAUUCAAUAACCCUUAAAGAUAAUAUGUUGGUCUCCGUAAUUGUGUAAUAAGGGGGGGCACAAUUGAAUCUGUAAAUAUGGAGAAAACCCAACAUUCCUUGUUUCUGCCAGAAACAGUGUGUCAUACAAAGUAGGUAUAUUCCCUUUUAUUCCGAACACCCAAGUAUAACUUUCAGUAUUAACAAAUUUUGGGGUUCGUAUUGUGGGUUUGUUCUUUCACGUUCAUUCUCAUUUAUAAUGGAAUUACCUCGUUCCAUUUUGGCCAGUGAUAUUGUCGACAUUUAAUAAUUGAACGUGGUUCCAAUCAACACAGCCCAUUGAUGAUUUGAGUAGCUACUCCAAAACCAAAAAUUGUCAUUCAUCAAUUCAUGAUCCCACCAUUCUCAUGUGCAUGCACAUGCAUCAAUUAUAAGCAUUUCUUUGCUUUUUGGUACCCAAGCCACUUCAGGGGGCUUUUAUUAUGUGAGAAUGUGGAUUAUAACCUCCAUCGGAGCGUUAUUUAGUAGUAGGGCGUGGAUAAUCUCCAUUUAGAGAGUUGGAACAUUGAGAACCCAUAUAUCUGUCAUGCUGCAGGCAUGCCACAGAUUAAUACAUACAUGUCAAUUAAUUUCUGGGACUUUAACCCAUAUUAUGGGACUUUAACCCAUAUAAUUUGCUACGCAUUAGGCGUGCAUAAUAUCAAUAUUGACAUGUCAAAGGAUUGUCCUUUCGGGACUUCAAUUCAUAUCAUUUGCUACGCAACAGGCGUGCACCCAUAUUGAUCACUGCUAUACCCAUAUUCUGUUCUUAUGGGACUUUAAUCUGUGCAGUGUAUUAUCAAUGUAUCCAUCUUACAAUCUGUAAAAUUUGCAUUAAUAAUUCAUGGAUACAUACAAGCCAUUCUUUUGGAACAGACUUAUCUCCCAAUUUGGUUACCUUUCAAGAUAAAAUAUCAAAUAGGUAUAUAAGCAUAAAAUAACACAAGUAUUGCUUACAUCCUUAGGUGGGAGAAACUUUUCUCAAGUAUCAUUCAAGCUCAUAUCAGCCCAGUAAAUAUAAUGUAGCGCUUGAUGAUCUAGUUAUAUCCUGCAAGAGCAAAAAUCACAACUCUUUUGCCUCUGUCAAAACAAAUAACCCUCAUAGUUAGGAUUACUUCAUGGAUUCAUUCUUCAUAUGUUCAUUCUAAAGAAAUAAAAUCUCUUAUGAACAGAGAGUUAUAAAAAGAGAAAAAAUGCAAAAAUAAUGUGAUAUUGAUUGCAAGAGAAGGUAAGCAAUCAGGGAAGGAAGCUGGUGGGAGCAGACAAUAAGCUCUCAUAUCUCCUAGUCUAGAAGGACUCCCGGAGAUUAGACCAUAAGAUCGCCUUCACAGUUUCCUGAUGUAGUGGAAACGUGAUCAGGGAUAGUCUUGCUUCCUGAAUGGAUGAUCAGAGAUAGUCUUGCUUCUCAGGCAUAUUGAGUGCUCACUGAUAAGAAAAAUAAGUAGAUAUCUCAUCACUAAGUAUGGAGUAAACUGGAUGUCUUCUGCAAAGGAAAAUUUCGUUUAGUAACACAUUUAUACACAAAUACAAUGAAUAGGUAGAACCGGUAAAUUUCAAAUUAACCAUAGGAAAAUUGCGAGAUUCUCGGGAUACUUUUGAAAAAGUAGCUCCGUGAAAUCCGUAAAGCAAGAUCGGCUUUGAAAAUAAUACUUUGAAAAACGCCGAAAGUGCCGACAUGCAUUAUUAGAGGCCACGUGAAGUUUUGGACUCUGGGAAAGAAAAAGAUAAUAUGGGGAUUCGAGAAGACAUUGGGGUCCUGAAAAGUUGCCACAUUUUCGUCUAUAGAUAUUGCCUUUGCAAACUGCGUUUCAACUCAACUUCCUUCAUUUUCCGAACCUUUAGUUUUUCUAAGACUUUCUUCGAAACCUUCUUAAAAAAAUGGCUUCCUCUUCUUCCUGCCCAAAUUAUUUCAAUUUAAAUGAUGCUCCCACAACAACCAGUGACGCCCAAGUUUGGCGUCCAUCCUUUGUAUCCAAAAAUCGUCAUCUCACAGUUAAUGAUUCUGUGAUGAUGAAUGAUGCUACUGCUGUCAUAGUAGCUAGGAAUUUCAUUACUCCAAUGGAUGAAAUGUUGUUGACAGGGAGAUCAGAGGAAGAGGCUAUUGAUGAAUCAAUGGCUUUUAGCAUUCAGAGUGCUGUUUCUGUUUCUAACAUGGCUGAUCGUUUGCGUGCCAGAGCAAACGAAGUUGAGAAUUUAACAACUGAAAAUUCGUCUCUCCAAAGAAUGCUUCAUGAGUCUCAACAGGAGGUUGAGAAACUUAAAGGAGAGAAUAAUGCCUUGUUGAAACUGGUGAGUUCGUACUCUGUUGAUACAUUGAGAAGGCUAGACAUGCUGCAGGUCUCGAAUGAAAGAAUUUUGGGAGACUAUGAGAAGCUCAUGGCUAAGCUUAAGAGGCGCCGUCAUCUUCCUUCAGAGGCUUCCAGGACAUAAUGUAAUUUUUAUAGAUUUUACAGGGCCUGCACCUUCAUUGCAGGAAAAAAUCUAUCUGUUGUAUGCCCCUUUUCUGUUAUAAUAAUUGCGCAUAUUCUUAAACUUGCACCUGUGGUUUUUACGUCUUUUCAAAAUGACGAUUUGGAACCUUGUGCCUUAUAGGUUCAAAUAACCACAUUGUCUCUCCCAAAUUUCAUAUUUUAUCGCAUGGUAGCCCGGAACUUUUGGCCUGGGCACAAACUCAGAAUUUAUUUGCCCUUUUCAAAUGGACAUGAAAUAUGAAUUGAGUAAAAGCCAUGAUAAUAUCGCAAUAUAGUAGUGAAGAGCAUUAACUACUAUAUACCCACAACUUCAAGUUCAGGAUCUCUCAUAUAUUUGGAUCCAUGGGCUUCCGGCCCAAAUAUAACAAAAUAUGUGGGGAGCCUCAAUUCAUUAUUUGAGGUUUAUAUUAAUAUUAUGCAUUUCGCGGUGUAUUCUUAACAACCGGAAUUCACAAAAUAUAUUUCUUCCUUGAGGUGUCGAUUAUAACAAAAUCGAACUUUAUUAAAUUCAUCAUCUUCUUAUGCCAAAGAAAUAUGUGGCAUACCACAAUUUGCAAUAAUACCUCAAGGGUUGUCCAUUUAAUUGUUGGAACUUCAGGUUCUCAACACUGUUAAAUUUGGAACUUCAGGCCAAAGCCACAUAUUCUCAUGGUAUGGACAUUUUUACAAUUUUCUGUACAUAUUUCGGGACUUCAAGCCCUUACAUAACUGUCCAUAUUUUGAGGAACUUCUGGCAUCUCAUUUAAUUGCUCAUCCAUGAGUUUAAGGAACUGCAGGUUCCCUUUUGUAUAUAGUGACGGUUUACCCAAAAUGGUUAAUAUUUAUGCAUACAUCACUAUUCAUGUGAAUAGUACUAUUCAUCAAGUCAUGAAUACGUAUCUAUUCAUCUGCCAGUACAGUUAUCAUCAAUGUGUACGGCACUAUGAACCAAUACGGUACUGUUACAUCAUUAAGGAACUCUAGGUCCUUAUUUACAUGUCAGGGAUUAAGAACCUUUAAGUCCAAUCACAUGUUUACAAAUACAGUACCGGUGAGACUGCCAGCUCUCAUUUUAAUAUCAUCAUCAAGGAUCUUCAAGUCCUGAUGUAAUUGUAUGAUGAGGAUCAAGGAACUUCUGGUCCUGAUCUGCAUACUGGAAAAACUAAUCAUACAGCACAAUUAAUCCAUAAAAUAAAUUGCUGAUAAAUAAAUUACUGGUAUGGACGAUAAACCCGCACCACACUUUAAAUAAAUGUAAAUGUGCGGUAAAUUAAAUUCAUAAAGUUAAGGUGCUUGUAUGGGCAUUAAUUCUGCUCCAUACAUUUAAAUAAAAGUAAAGGCGUGGACGAUAAACCCGCACCACCCUUUUAAAUAAAUGUAAAUGUGCGGUAAAUUAAAUUCAUAAAUUAAAUUGCUUGCUGUAUGGACGUUAAUCCCGCACCAUACUUUAAAUAAAAUUAAAUGUGCGGUAAAGUAAAUUGUGCUUGUAUGAGCACUAAUUCUGCUCCAUACAUUUAAAUAAAAGCAAUGGCGUGGACGAUAAACCCGCACCACCCUUUUAAAUAAAUACUGUUGUAUGGGUAAUAAACCUACACCAUACAGUAAAUAAAAUAAAUAUGCGGUAAAAUAAAUUUGCGAUAAAGUAAAGGUGCAUGUAUGGGUAAUAAACCUACACCAUACAGUAAAUAAAUGUGGGGUUAAAACCACCACCGAAUAAAAUAAGAAAAAGUUAGUAUUAGUAACGGUCUCCUACUGAUAAUAUGUUUAGUAUUACCAAGGGUCCAUUUUUGUUAGUGGUUAGUAGUAUAGAUAAUAGUGCAGCAUAAAAAUUAUACCUGAGAGCUUCUCGUGCUGAUAACGUGUUAUAAAAAUAACCUGGAAUAUGUACGAAUAUUGAGCUGCACGAAAAGUAGAUGAGACACAACAUUUAACGAGGUUCGGCUAUGCCUACGUCCUCGGAGAGCAACAGCAGUAACUUUUUCACUAUAUGAAAUAAUAGGGCUACAACUUUAGAGUUUACAAUAUGUGAGGCUCACUGAAUUUUCUCUCUCUUUCUUCUUCUCUCUUUUCUUUCUUCUUUUUCUCUUCUUUUCUUUCUUCUUUUCUCUUCUUCUUCUCUCUUCUUUUUCUCUUCUCCCCUUUCUUUCUUUUCUCCGUUGGUCACACUCCCCUUUACAAUUGGUAUGCCUAUUUAUAGGCUAAUGUUUAGGCAAAAUACAGGGAAGGGAAGGUUCCUGGAAGAUGCAAGGAAACUUCCUGAAUUGAUAAAUACAGGGAAGGGAAAGUUCCUGGAAGAUGCAAUGAAACUUCCUCUGUGGGCUCCACCUUCAAACUUUUACAACACUUUGAUAGUUUUGGACAGAUGCAAGCUACUGUUGUUGGGAUGAUCUUUUCACGUGAAAUGAGGAUGACGAUACUUCUACACUACACAAUCCAACGAAUUCACAUUUCUAUUUCAGAUACAUGUAUAAACAGACAAGGCUUUAAAAUAUGGGAUGCUGCACUGUUGUUGCUGCUGCUGACACUGUUACUGUGUUGCUGCUACUGUUACUGCACUGCUGCUUGAAGAAGGACAAGGACUUCACUUGUUGCUUUCGUCCUUUGUGGAGGAGAGAGACCUAGGACUUGCAUGUCUUAGAUAUUUAAGACAAGGGGCUUUCGUGCCAUUUUGAAAAUACUUUGGGUGUUUUUGAAAGCUGCUUGUUUCUUUUGAGUUUCUCACUAAAUUUCGCUUUAGAAGGGAAAAUAAUAAUAAUAUUAAUAGUACAGCACUUAUUAGCAACAGAGUUACAAACUUCUUCUACAACACACACCAACAUGAAUCUAGCCCUGAUCCACUCUUUACAUACUUGAAAACAAAACAAAACACGAAAAACAAAAAACAAGAUAGGGAGAAAAUGGCUACGGAGAGACUUACUGCUAAUAGUUGAUCAAUAACAGAGAUAAUAGCGCACACUAUUUGUAUGACAGUGAGUAUCAGAAGAAUAAUAGCUGCAAAGAGAGAAAUAGCUGCCCAAGGUGUGUUGAAAUACUUUUGUCUCAAAUUUGCCUUCCAUAUGUUCGUGGUCUUCUCUCAGUAACUCGUUUAGUUUGCCAGCAAGAUCACCAAAAUAGUAGUUUCCGUGGUUCAGAGCAACUUUACUGCAAAGCUUGUUAAUCAUAAUGGAAACCUUAUUGUUGUCACCUUGCAUGUUUACAACAAUUCUAUUCUCAACAAGCAACUCUACAUCCUUUGGAGUGUUUACAAAUUUAUCCAGGAUGAAAACAUAAUAGCUUAUGUAUUUAUCCACGCAAUGGCAUUGUUCAAAGGCAAUGAGAUUUCUAAGUGUAAGCUCUGUGUAAUUAUGUAUUUCAAUUUUUGGAAUUUCCAAGGUGUUUUUCUUGAACUGUAUAUCGAAUAAGUUCUUGCUUGAUCCGGCCUGGUGUAGUUUUGUCAUGCUGGGUGUCCUUUGGAGCCCUACAUUUUCUUUUAGGGUCGGAUCUGGCAGAUGUAAAGUUCUAAUAAAAUCAACAAAAUGUAAAGGUUUUUUAGGAUCAGGAGGCAUAAAAGACUUACGGAAGGCUGGUGAGUUCUCCAAGUUUUCUAAACGCAGUGCCUGUUGGAAGAACCUGUAAGAGAGUUCAAUUAUUGAAGGCUCCCCAGUCUGAGCACCUGUGAGAUUGUAAAGAUCCUCGAGAAUGAAAAAUGGCAGCUGAUUUCCAAGCAUAAGCAUGUCAGGCAAUAUAUUUUGUAGCACCCAUGGUUUUUUAAAUAUCCAAGCAUUAUCAUCCUGCAAUUUUUCUUCCUGAAAUUUUUCUUCGGAUUUAUUCCUCAACAAUAGCUCAAUGACAAAGGCGGCAUCAACUCGAAUGAUAUUCACAAAAGCAGCAAUGUUAAACUUCUUAGUGUCUUCAUAAUAAUGACGGAGUUCAACUUCUCUCUCCUUUAUUUUCUCGAAAUAAUCCUUCAAUUUUACAUUAGUCCAAUCAAGAAAACACUUUAGGUACCUGAGUUUGUGAUCUUCCAUGGCUUCUAGGUUUUUGCUGCCAUGGUGAAGUGGGCCUAUUGAGACUACUUGUGGUGUGUAGGCCUUUUGUUUUACGUUCCGUAGUCGCUCAGGCACCCUUUAGAUACAACAGGCAGGGGACAGGGCACGCAAGUUUGUCAACUGAUUUUCCAUGGAAGUUGCUUGGUUUUCUAUGUCAAAAGAAGCUUCAUUGCUGCUUUCUUCCACUUUCUUCCUCCUCAUUAUGUGUUGUUCUGAUUGUAAGUGACGAGGAUGGUGAUGAUUCUAGACAACAUAAUCAACAAAUGUUUCAAUCAUAAUUGACAUUUCAAGAUGCUCCGACAAAGAAUUAGAAAACAUUCAUCACAAAAUGCGAACUCAUACAAUAGAUGGGUUGAUGAUAUAACCAUUAUUUCGUACAUUUUUAUUAUCUUUCUCUUAGAUUCUUGCUAUGGUUCUUGAGUGAGUUUAGUCCAUUUUUACUUAGUUUUGUGUUUUACUAGGUUUGAAGAGUAAAGAUGGAAAAGCAAGCAAAAGGUGCAAUUUUGGUAUUGAAAUAUAAUGUGAAAUCCUAGGAGCAGAAUGUGUUGUGCGGAUCGGACAACUUUACAGAACAUACUGUACUUCCUCAGAGCGAACCAGAUGUUGAACCUUAUAUCAUUGGAAAGAUACGGAUGUUCGCCUUCUGUAGAAUUUCGCGGUUCAUGAUUCGGACGUGUGUGGAGAGAGUUGUGGCCAUUUUAGUACGGACAGUUCGGGCAGAAUGUGUUCUGCGGGUUUUGCAAAAUAAUCCAUUUGAAGUCCAAUCCUUGGAGUUUAAUUUGUGUCAAUUACAUUUGGGAAGUGUCUACAAGGAUGUGGAGUUAUUUUCUGAAGUCUGACCCUUUAUUUAGUAGGAUUAUGGAUGCCAACUCAUCAAAGACAAUGAAGCCAAACUAGGAAAACAUAGUUACCAAGUCAAAAGAGGAUUUGUUCCUUAUUUAAAGAAGACCAGAAAAUAGGGUUCUCUCAUGCUGGAAUUUGAAGGAGAGUUAAAGAGCCGCUGCCAUCGUCAAGUUCUCAAGCAUCGUCAUAAUCCAUAAGUUCUAUUUUAUGUUUUCUAGUUUUUCAAUUAUGUUUUCUUUGAACAUGAGUAACUAAAUCAUUCUCUAGGGCAAGGAUGACGCCCGAGCAUGGAUAGUUAUGAUUUUUAAUGCUAUUUAAUGAAUUCCAAGUUUCUUUUAGAUGAAUGUUUAAUCACUAUUUUAAUUGUUGCUAUUUGUUUAAGUUCUUUGAUUGAUCACCUUAUGACAUGACCCGCCCCGAAUUUUUCGAAACACGAGACGAAUCUUGUGGAAUUCCCGACCACACCCCAAUGCCGGGCCCACUUACUAAAGACCGGGACUUUCUGCCGAAAUUUCGGCAGAGUCUCUCCUGUAAAUUGAACAUUUCCCACAAUUUCAACCUGCAUAAAACACAUUUUAUAUUACCCAACUGGCAGCAUGCACAAUGUAAUAACAUGCAAUUCACAUAAACGGCCUUUCGACCUUCCGAUAAUCCACAACAAACCACCAAGCACGCUAUCAAAUCAAUUCAUACCUUAAACAAGGCAAACAAUAAAUUCAAUCACACUUAAGAAUGUCAAAGCAAUCCACUACAUUUAAUUUUUCUCAACACCCAACAUACGAGGUUUUAACAUCCUAACACAAUCACAUCUAUGUCUGCGGUUGCACCUAAUAACCUUAGGCUGCCUAUGUACCCUCACUGAGAGAUCAAGCCACACGUAGUUCUUCCUACUAAAUUCCGAUUUCCAAACACAUACAAUACCUUUAAUCAUCUCUAUGAUAAUCACAUACUCUCCCCACACGCCGGAAAUUCCAACGCCACGUAUGGGGUCUGUCAUCACGCCGAAAAAUCCUACGCCUCGUGUGACCUAACCAUCAUAUCAUCUCCCCAUACGCCGAAAAUUAUAACGCCACGUACGGGGUCUGUCAUCCUGCCGGAAAAUCCUACGCCAUGGGUGACCUGACAAUCACAUAAUCUCCCCAUAUGCCAGAAAUUCCAACGCCACGUAUGGAGUCUGUCUCAACGCCGGAAAAUCCUACGCCACGCGAGACCUAACAAUCACAUAAUCUCCCCAUAUGCCAGAAAUUCCAACGCCACAUAUGGGGUCUGUCAGCACGCCGGAUAACCUACACCACGUAGGACCUAACAAUCAUAGCAUUUCCCCGUAUGCCAGAAAUUCCAACGCCACGUAUGGGGUUUGUCCUCAUGCCGGAUAACUUACGCCACGUGGGACCUAACAAUCACAUAAUCUUCCCAUAUGCCGGAAAUUCAACACCUCAUAUGGGGUCUGUCAGCACGCUGGAUAACCUACGCCACGUGUGACCUAACAAUCAUAGCAUAUCUCCAUACGCUGGAAAUUUCAACGCCACGUAUGGGGUCUGUCAUCAUGUUGGAUAACCUACGCCACGUAGGACCUAACAAUCACAAGGUGGUACUUAGGGUAGUGCGUAUAGCACUGACAGAAAAUCACAAAAGUAUCUUUCCUAUUCUAGAGAUUGGUCACAUGUAGUCCAACCAAUAGGAAAUGAGAUAUUUAAGAAAUGAAGAGUUUGAUCAAUAUCAAUAUCAAAUGAAUUCUUAUACGCCUAGUCAACUAUUAAGCGUAUCUUGACUUCUUGAUAUUGUGAUAUGAUUGAAACAUGAUUUCCAUGUUAGAAAAUUAAAGGGAUGUUAAAACAUGAAAGUAAUAGGAGAAUCAAAUUGAUUUGGGCCAAAAUUGCCUAAAAAGAAAACACUUCUAAAUACACUCAAUUCACUUUUAAAAACAGUAAAACAUGAUUGAAUCGUUCUUUAAAACAAUUCCCUAAUAUACAUGCAUGAUAAUGACAUCACUUACCUCUGAACCAAAUGCCUUUCACGGGUCAAGCCACAAGUCUGUGUUUUGGGGAUUGCUAAGCUGCAUCAAUCCUGCCAAUGUCAGUUCUGCCCCUAUGCUCUCUCAAAGCAUGUUUACAACCUAUGCUAACAUAUACUAGAGUUUAUGCUAGUAUCGAGAAAAUGCAAACACUAAUUUUGUAACACGUAGAAUUGUUAGAGAUUGGAAGUUUUUAUCAUUUUUUUCUUCCAGUCUCUCCACCACUCACUAAUACAGAUUACUCAUGUGAUAAAUUUACAAAACCUAUUUCUCUACUCUCACAAAGACUAUACUUCUUCUCAAAAGACUAUAUCACUUUACCUCUAUCUCUGUGAAAUGUAAAAAGUUGAAACUUUAAUGUCAAACCUCGACAAAAGAUGAAUUUCCAUCAGUUACGUUGAAUUUGGAUUUGUUGAACUUAAGCGAUUUUACUUUCUCUGUUAGUAUUUGAUGACUUAAUUUGGUAUUUACUUCUUCUUCUUUUUUUCCUUGGAAAUGUGUUCCACCAACGUGAGGAAGAAAAAUAUGCACAAAAUAAUAUAUUUAAUAGAAGCCCAAGAUUUCGGAAGCACAUAAUUUUUUCAAAAAUCUACAAAGUGUUCUACUUUACAAACUUCUUAUGUCUACCAAUUUCUACUAAAAUUAAUUUCUUUGCGGUGCUCAGAUUCAUCAUGUGUGUGUCCUCAAUUUUAGUGGAAAUUGGAAGUUUCCAUCAUUUUUGUUUUCUGGGAAUUUUCUGAACCAAGGAAAAUCAAGCAAAAUUAAUAAAGCAUAAAAUGAAAAGGGAAAAUAUCUAGAGGAUGCAUUGUAGGAUUGCUCAUGCCAAUAAUUGUACCCUCUAAAUAUAUUGGGACAUAUUUUUUUUUGUUUUCAUGACAUAUGGUCCUAAAAUUAUUGUUCCUAGCGGGCUCUCCACCCCUCUCAAUUGAAAACCUAUUGUGUAAAUCUUCAAUCCUGAACGAUGAACGAUGCACCUAAAACACAUGUUGCAAUACACAUCCACCCAUUCUCAGGCCAAUUAUUGUUCCUAGCGGGCUCUCCACCCCCUCUCAAAUUUAAGUGGUCCAUUAUGAUUAAUCAUGUAUUUUAUGGACCAUCCAGCUGUGAGGUUUUAUCUCAAAAACCUUCGGUACCUUUCUCCCACAUGCCACAAUGGUAUAUUCACAAUUACGUCUGAUACCUCACAUCAUGCCACUUGCCUCAAUUGAAUUUAAGUGGGUGGAGUGUUACUUCUGGGUACCCCUCAUCAUUCGUCUAUAAAAUGGUGAAGCCAGUUGCUACUGUUACCAUAAGAGCCAGCUCCGACUUUCUUUAAUUUCUUGUUUCGUAUCCACUAGCUACAUCUGUUGCCAAGUUAAUUUCAGUCCUAAUGGGGUUUCAUCUCCCACUCAUCUUUGCUAUUCUCAGUGUAAGCUCUGCAAUUUGAUUAAGAUUUCCAUUCUCUCUCAUUGUACUCUAUAUAAACGAAAGUUUUGUGUUCCUACAAUUCUCUCCGAUUUUAUUUAGUAUGUACUUAAGUGUCGUACGUCCACUAAUUAAUUACACUUUGUGAGAUUUGAUUUUAAUUAGAGUUCGAAUUAAUGUUGCAGCUAGCAGCAGUGGGAAACCAUGCUGCUCAACCAGCACCUCAACUUUACUGGAACUCCGUCCUGCCAAACACACAGAUGCCAAGAUCUAUCAGUGUACUUCUGCAUCCUGGUUUGUGUUGAGCACUUUAGAAUCUUAGAUAUCUUUUCUACCUGCCAUUUUACUAAAAUUUGUUCGACCACAUAUUUAUCAGUUAACUACUGUCAUUACAAAUCGGCUGAUCACUUAUUUUGCAUUAUGACGUUGAUAUAUAAUUUGCAGACUCCACAAAUGAAGAAAAGAGCACAUAUAUGAAUGCUGUUGGGAAUGGAAAGGGCAAACCUGAAAUUUUCCCAUUGGGCAUUAGACGUUACGUUCAAAAACGGUAUGGAGGGGGCAUUAGACGUUACAAUCAAGAACGGUAUGGAAAAGGUCCUCCUCCAUCUGACAAUCAACUACUCCAUUAUAAAGACUUGGCUAUUUUCUUCUUCGAGAAGGACAUGCGCCCUGGCGCAACAAUGAAGUUCCAAUUCCCUAGAAAUUCAAACACGGCUACUUUCCUGCCACGCGAAAGUGCUCAAUCGAUCCCCUUCUCCUCUAACAAACUAUCAGAAAUUUUCAACCAUUUUUCAGUGAAGCCAACAUCUGUGGAAGCCAAAACAAUUAAGCAAACAAUCCAAGAGUGUGAAGCUCCAGGCCUUAAGGGAGAGGAAAAAUAUUGCGCCACAUCUUUAGAAUCAAUGGUUGAUUUUAGCACUUCGAAGCUUGGAACAAGAAACGUUGAAGCAAUCUCGACGGAGGUAUUGGAAAGAGGAGCCACCAUGUCCAUGCACAACUAUACAACAAUGCCGGGACUGAAGAAGUUGGCAGGUGACAAAGUCGUUGUGUGUCAUAAGGAGAACUAUCCCUAUGCUGUGUUUUUCUGCCAUGCAAUAAAACAAACAGCAGCAUAUGUUCUCUCCCUGAAAGGCGAUGAUGGGGAGAAGGUUAAAGCAGUAACCAUCUGCCAUCUAGACACAUCAGAAUGGAACCCAGAGCAUUUGUCCUUCCAAAUCCUCAACGUUAAGCCCGGAACAAUUCCCAUCUGCCAUUUCAUUUCCACUGAUGGUAUUGUCUGGGUUCCAAAACACAAAUCUGCAUGAUCAUCACUUAGCACUGUACGUAUAAUAAGCUUGGUUGGGUUGCACCCUAGGCCUGUAUAAUUAACUCCCUACUUAUUUCUGCCUCUUUAGCACUGUACAUAUAUAGACUUCAACUUGUACUCGUAUAGCAUGCUGGAAAAAAAAAGGACCAAUAGGGAGAAAAUGGUGAACUAAGGAGAGACUAAUACUUCUGGUUCUUAGAAGGCAUAACAGAAAUAAUAGAGCACACUGCUUGAAUGCAAGUCAAUAUUGUUAGAAAAUUAGGAGAUUUACUUCCUAAUAUAUUAUGAUUCUAUUUAUUUCCUUUUGUAUUGAUAUUAUGUAAUUAGGACUUUAUCUUAGUUUCCUAGUAUAACCCUACUAGGGUUUGUACUCUUGUAUUAUAAAUACCUCCUUUUGGAGAAUGAAGUAUAAUCUGAAAAUAUUCUAUCCACUUUGUUUGACAUGGUAUCAGAGCAAACUUUUCUAGUGACCUGUGUGUUGUGCCAACCCGUAUUCUAGCCCCAUAUUUUUUCUCUACCUAUGCCGUGUGUGCCCCCCCUCUGGGUUUGUGGGUUGUGUUGUCGUGUUGGUGUCAUUCCUAUCUUCGUGCAUCUGCCGUAUUUGAGCCUUUGCUGUGUUCCGCUGUGUACUCUGUUGUGUUCAUACCUCUAUUGUGUUCGUGCCUGUCUUCGUGCAUCUGCUGUAUUUGUGUCUCUAUUGUGUUCCAUUGUACAAUCUGCCGUGAUCUGUUGAAUUUAUGAUGUAAUCAUAGGUGAUAACUCAUUUGUUGGUGUUGUUGUUGCUGUUUCUGGAAAUUUAUGUGAUUCAGACUCUAUUCCAUUUACUGGCUACAAUACUUAGAUAAUUGAUACUGGUACUUAUGAUCAUAUUGACAGGACUCGCCCCGAAUUUCCUGAAACCCGAGACGAAUUCUGUGGAAAUUCCUGACAUCACCCCGAUGUCGGGCCCACUUCUAAAACUAUAUCCUUUUUCCCCAAAAGGAAUAAAGGCAUAAGACUUUCUACCGAAAUUUCGGUAGAGUCUCCUAUGUAAAUUGAACAUUGCCCAAAAUUUUAACCUGCAUAAAACACAUUUUAUAUUACCCAACUGGCAGCAUGCAUAAAGUAAUAACAUGCAAUUCACAUAAACGGCCUUCGGCCUUCCGAUAAUUGGCAACAAACCACCAAGUACGCUAUCAAAUCAAUUUAUACCUUAAACAAGGCAAACAAUAAAUUCAAUCACACUUAAGAAUGUCAAAGCAAUCCACUACAUUUAAUUUUCUCAACAGCCAACAUACGAGGUUUUAACCUCCUAACACAAACACACUUCGUUCUCACUCAAAUAGCAGGACCAACUUCAAGGUCCGCAUCAUACUCAAUAAUACACAAGUAAAGUUUAAACCGCGGCUGCACCUAGGCACUACCCUAGGCUGCCUACGUACCCUUAUUGAGGGAUCAAGCCACACGUAGUUCUUCCUACUAAAUCCUGAUUUCCAAACACAUACAAUAAUACCUUUAUUCAUCUCUCUGUUAAUCACAUAAUCUUCCCAUACGCCGGAAAUUCCAACUCUACGUAUGGGGUCUGUCAUCACGCCGGAAAAUCCUACGCCACGUGUGACCUAACCAUCAUAUCAUCUCCCUAUACGUCAGAAAUUCCAACACCACGUAUGAGGUCUGUCAUCCAGUCGGAAAAUCCUACGCCACGGGUGACUUGACAAUCACAUAAUCUCUCCAUACACCAGAAAUUCCAACGCCACAUAUAGGGUCUGUCUCAAUGUCGGAAAAUCCUAUGCCACGCGAGACCUAACAAUCACAUAAUCUCCCCAUACGCUGGAAAUUCCAACGCCACGAAUGGAGUCUGUCUCAACGCUGGAAAAUCCUAUGCCACUCGAGACCUAACAAUCACAUAAUCUCCCCAUAUGCCGGAAAUUCCAACGCUACAUAUGGGGUCUGUCAGCAUGCCGGAUAACCUACGCCACGUGUGACUUAACAAUGAUAACAUCUCCCCAUACGCCGGAAAUUCCAACGCCACGUAUGAGGUCUGUCCUCACGCCGGAUAACCUACACCAUAUGGAACCUAACAAUCAUAGGGUGGUACUUAGGGUAGUGCGUAUAGCACUUCAAACCGACAUUCAAAACUCUAUUUAUACCUUUAUAAAUUUAUAUAAAAAUAUAUAUAUUAAGUUCUAAAGUUGUAUAAGCCUCAACCACAAUCUAGCAUCCGAUAAUCCCCCCCAAUUUAAAACAAUAAAUUAAUAUCAUAAACCCACAUAAUCAACAUAACUUAACAACGCUCAAGACCUGUCACUAGUGUCAUUGUAAUCCUCCUAGGAAGGUAAAACUACUUCGGAAGAGUCACGGUCAACUAAGGGUCAAACUACCCAAACUUGGUCAAAUGGGCCCACGGGCCCCACGACCUUCAAAUUCCGAUUCCAACCUACCGAAAUUUCUUAUGGGUUCUACAAGGUUUAGGACACUCGUCUUGCAAGUUUGGUCCAGAUCAGACGGUCGGAUCGCUCACGAUCGCACGAUCGGACGGUUACUAUAAACCUAGCCCUAGGGUUGGUAUUUUCGGAGUAUCCAGGACUCCGUUUUACGAUCCGUCGAAUCCUAUACGAUCUUGAGGAUGUCCAAACUAACAUAUAAUAAAUCUAUGACUAUCCAACGGCUCAAACCUAUUGAACCCAGAUAACGCACAAUAUGCGAAAUCUGUUCAAUAGUCAAACGACGUCCGAAUUGAGAUCCGCGAAAACCUACGCACUCGUGACAACUUGAGGACCUCAUUAGGACAAACUGUAGCUUCACCACCUUUGUCCACGCGCCUGCAGCGCAUGGGUGUGUAGAGUAAAUUCCGAUGAUGGAAAAACUCUACACCACCGCUCACCCUUCCUAUCCUAAAUACUACUCGAGGCAAGGAUCACUUCAUUCAACUACGGGGAGGUCCCAUUUGGACGGCAACUGGCCCAAAUUUCACUUUGAAAUCCGGCCAAAACCUAGGUUUUCAAAUCGGUUUUCUAGACAUCAAAUCGAUCCAAUCCUAUCCCAUAGACAGCUAGAGCUCAGAAAAUAGAUGACAAACCAUACCUCACCCGACGGAAUUGGUGGCUGGAGGAGAAAGAUUGAGCGAUGAGAAGUUCUGUCAAAACCGACUCGUUUUCGACUGAUUCCAGCGAGCACAGUUGACGAUGAUGGCUAAGACUAGUCGGGAAAAGACAAGGGAGAGGUGGUGAUUCGAACGGGACCGGUCUCGAGGCCAGUCGUUGACUGUGGAGGCUGCAAUAGCCUUGAAGGGUGGCGGCUGUAAAAACGAAGGGGAGGGGGGCUGUUCACGAUGGAGGAGAGAGAGAGAUAGAUAGAUAGAUAGAGAAAAAUCUGAAUUUUAUAAAAAUUCCAUUUUGAAAUAAUUACGAUUGUGCCACUGAGUUUCUUUUGACCGUAACUUCCUCGUUACAACUCCAAAUCAAGCCCACUAUGUAUCUAUGAACUCAUCUCGUCGAGCUCUACGCAACGGUAGAGCUGAAAUUCUCAAAUUUCUUCCUGAUCAAAAAGUCAACUUUAAACCCAAUAAAAUAUUCUAUGGGUAUAAUGGUCUUUUAUCUACAUAAAUUAAUAAUUUCCAAUUUAUUUAGGACCGGGUCGUUACACAUAUGACUUAUGAUGCUAUAUUUUUUUAUGAGUUGUCUAGUAAUACUCGUGACCCAUACAUAACUAGUGCUAAUGGCUUGCCCUAUCCAAUUACUGGCGAGGGCAUAAUCUCUCACUCCUACUCUGUCCUUGUCUCGUGUGUUACUCGUUCCCAAUAUCCAUUGUAACUUGUUGUUUGUUGGCCGAUUACUUGAUACACUUAAUGCUUAUGCUACUUUCUAUCCUACACAUUGCUCUUUUCAGGAUCUCAAGACUUGCGAGACGAUUGGGCAUAGUAAACGGAUAGGGGGCUUAUAUUAUUUGACAUUGUCUUCUGCACCAAUUCGUGGUUGUGUCAUUCAUACUGUUCAAAGUUGUAGUGUCAAGGACAAAUAACAAAUUUGGUUAUGGCAUCGUCGCUUGGGACACUCGUCGUUCGGCUAUCUUAAGCGUCUGUUUCCAUCUUUAUUCCGCUCUUGUGACGAGUCCAGUUUUAAGUGUGAGACAUGUAUUUUGGCCAAGAGUCAUCGCACUGUGUUUCUUUUAAGUGACAGUAAAGCUGCAAAACCUUUUGAUUUAGUAUAUUCGGAUGUAUAGGGACCUGCUCGUGUGACUUCUAAUGGUUUCUAUUGGUCUAUUACUUUUAUUGAUGACUGCACUCUCCCCAUAGUCCGGAAUUACCAACGCCACGUAUGGAGCCUGUACGCACGCCGAAAAAUCCUACGCCACGUGGGACCUCAUCAUCAUAUCACAUAGUCUCCCCAUACGCCGGAACUACUAAAGCCACGUAUGGGAUUCGUCUCAACGCCGGAAAAUCCUACGCCACGUGAGACCUUACAAUCACAGGAUGGUACUUACACAAUGUAAUCAAACCAUCUUUAUCUCUUUAAUAUAUAUAUAUAUAUUCCCAAUUUCCCCAAGUUUAAAACAAUAAACUAGUUCCUUAAACCCACUAAUUAACAUAACUCAACUAAUGAUCAAGACCUAUUGAAAGGACUCGCCCCGAAUUUUCUCAAAACCUGAGACGAACCCUUUGGAAGUCCUGACAUCACCUCGAUGCCAGGCCCACUUACUAAAAACCGAGACUUCCUGCCGAAAUUUCGGCAGAGUCUCCCCUAUAAUUUGGACAUUUUCCAAAAUUUAUACCUGCAUGAAAAUGCAUUUAAUAUUCCCAAUUGGCAGCAUGCACAAUAUAAUUUCAUGCAAUUCACAUAAAUGGCCUUCGGCUUUCCAAUAAUUCUUAACCAGUUACCAAACAAUUCAAAUACCAAUUAUGACUAACAUUUAGUCUACGGCUGCGCCUAAUAACCUUAGGCUGCCUACGUACCCUCCUUGAGGGAUCAAGCCACACGUAGUUCUUCCAUAAAACUCAAUUCCACACAUAGGUGAUACCUUAUUUCAUCUCUCUGUAUUUCACAUAAUCUCCCCAUACGCCGGUACAACCAACGCCACGUAUAGGGCCUGUCAACACGCCGGAUAACCUACGCCACGUGCGACCAUGCCAUACUAUCAUCAUAUCUCCCCAUACGCCGGUACAACCAAUACCACGUAUGGGGUCUGUCUCAACGCCGGAUAACCUACGCCACGCGAGACCUGCACAUCAUAUCACAUAACUCCCCAUACGCCGGUACAACCAACGCCACGUAUGGGGCCUGUCCCAACGCCGGAUAACCUACGCCACGCGGGACCUCAACAUCAUAUCACAAAUCUCCCUAUACGCCGGUACAACCAACGCCACGUAUGGGGUCUGUCGACACGCCGGAUAACCUACGCCACGUGCGACCUCAACACAAUAUCACAAUAGCUCCCCAUACGCCGGUACAACCAACGCCACGUAUGGGGCCUGUCUCAACGCCGGAUAACCUACGCCACGUGAGACCUAACUUUCACUUGGUGGUGCUUGUAGUGAAUCCAACAUCCAGGGAGGUACCUAAAGUAGUGCGUAUAGCACUCCAAACUGACAUUCUAGACUCUGUUGUACCCAUGUACAACCAUAUAUAAUUAUAGUUAUAUAAAUUAAUUCUAAUAUUGUGUAACCUUCCACAUUCAUCUAGCACCCGAUAAUCCCCCUUAGAAAGGUGAGAUUACUCCGGGAGACUCACGGUCAACCAAGGGUCAAACUACUCUAACUCUGGUCAACCGGACCUGCAGAACCCACGACCCCCAAUUUCCGAUCCGAAAGUCUCUAUGGGUUCUACCAGGUAUAGGACACUUGUCCUGCAAGUUUGGUUCAGAUCGGACGGUCGAAUUUCUCACGAUCGCACGAUCUGACAAUUAAUAUAAAAUAUAAACUUUAAAAUUAUUAAUCGAAACAUCCGGGGCUCCGAUUCACGAUCCGUGAAUUCCUACACGAUCCUAGAAUUACCUAGAUUAACAUAUAUUAAAUUUGGGACCAUCCGACGGUCCCAACCUGUCGAACCCGGAUAACGUACAAUAUACGAUCGUCCGUUCGAUAGUCAAACGACGUCCGAAUUGAGAUCCGCGAAAUCCUAUGCACUCGUGACAACCUAAGGAUCUCAUCGGAAUACAGUGCUACUUUUUCUACAGUGCCCAAAGCGAUAACGCUUCGCCGGAAAAUCUCAACAUCACGGCUCCAAAAUUCCUACUCUAGGUAUAACACCCUAUUUGGAGCCACUUUUGUUCUUGGACCUACCCCAAAAAGUGGCCGAAAAUGGCCGAUCACGGCAGCCGAAGUUUCGGCCGAUUUUCAAUUCGAAAAUCGAGUUGUCUACGCUAAGAAUCGAUCUAAUCCUACCCAACCAUCAGCUAGAGUAGCUCGAGAGGUUCAAAAUCCAUACCUGGGUCGACGGAAUUGGUGGCCGGAGGAGGGAGAUCGGCGGCUUUGAAGUUUGGACGACGUCGGCCGCUUCAUCUCCAGAUUCCGGCGAAUCCGCGGCGGCUGGCGGCGGGAGGUGGCUGGGGUAGGAAGAGGACGACGGCCCGGUCAUUUUGGUACCGGUCCCGUCGUCAUUGGUGGCCGGAGGAGAGCACGGCCGGCCAAAACGUGGCCGGCGGUCGUCGCGCGCGAGAGAGGAGAGAGAGAGAUCGCGCGGAGGAGAGAGAGAGAGAGAGAGAGAGAGAGAGAGAGAAAACCAGAUUUUUAUAAAAAAAAGUCCCAUUUUGAAAUAUUUACGAUGUGCCACUGGGCUUCUUUUGACCAUAUCUCUCUCGUUACAACUCCGAUUCAAGCCCACUACGUGUCUAUGAACUCGUCUCAGUACGACCUAUCCAAAAAUACAAGUCACGGUCCCAAACUCUCUCCGGUUAAAAAUAUGACUAAAAUACCCUUAAAUAAUGAAAUAAUUAAAUAAGGGUUAAAUUUGGGGUCGGGGUGUUACAUCUAUCACCAGGAUCAUUAUAAUCCUCCGAGGGAGGUGAAACUACCUCGGAAGACUCACGGUCAACCAAGGGUCAAACUACCCAAAUUUAGUCAAACGGGCCCACGAGACCCGCGACCUCCCGAUCUGAAAGUUCCUAUGUGUUCUACAAGGUUUAGGACACUCGUCAUGCAAGUUUGGUCCAGAUCGGACGAUCAGAUAGCUCACGAUCGGACGGUUAUUAUAAACAUAAACUUUAAGUUAUUAAAUCGGAACAUCCGGGGCAAAGAUUCACGAUCCGUGAAUUCCUACACGAUCCUAGAAUUGCCUAGAUUAACAUAUAUUAAUUUUAAGACUAUCCAACGGUCUGAACAUGUCAAACCCGGAUAACGCCUAAUAUGCGAUAUGCGAUAUCCGAUCGAUGAUCAAACAAUAAUCAAAUUCAAAUUCGAGCAUACCGUCACGCUCGAGACGACGAGAGGGUUAUUUUAGAACUCUAAGACAAGCCACCACAUGGCCCACGCGCUGACAGCGCGUGGUUGUCUAGAGAAAUUUCCAGCGGCGGGAAAAACUCCAAACCGCCAGCCAAGACUCCCAGGUUAGGUAAAUCACAUGUAGUGGAACAACUUUUGUUCUUGGACCUACCCCAAAAAGUCGACGGAAGUGGCCGUCGGAGGCCGAAACUGGCCUAAACUUCUAUCGCUUAAUUGACAACCAAAAUGCAGCAAUUGAUCCUAAAUAACCCAACCAGCAGCUAGAUCAGAUUGAGGGGAUGGAAAAGCAUACCUAGAUCGCAUGAUUUGGUUACCGAAAACGUCCGAACGAGCUUCCGAAAAAUCCGCAAAAAACCUUUCGGAUUUCUGCAAUUUCCGGCCAGCACCAGCAGUUCCAGCAGCUGAGGUUGGUCGGAAAAGGAAGAGGAGGUGGCAGCGGUUUGAACAGGUCCGGCCUCGUUGCCGGUGGUGAUCCGUGGUGGCAACUGUGGCUCUUGGAAGCCACGGCUGUGCAGAAAAAUGAAGGGGGAGGGGGCUGCGCGCGUGGGGAGAGAGAGAAAGUGAGAGAGAAUCAGAUUUAUCAAACCUUUUUUUGCCAAAAGUACGAGUAUGCCACUAAGGGUAAUUUGAUCGUAUCUUCUUCGUUACAACUCCGAUUCGAGCCCAUUACGUGUCUACGAACUCAUCUCGCUGUGCUUUACACAACGGUACGGUUGAAAUUCCCAAAUUCCUUCCCAGUCAAAAAGUCAACUUUAAACCUAAUAAAAUAUUCUAUGGGCAAAAUGGUAUUUUCUCUGAAUAAAUUAGUGUUUACUAAUUUAUUUAGGACCGGGUCGUUACAAUACCCAAAAAUUUCCUGUGUCAGAAUCAACACAUGGCAGCAGAGAAAGAAAGGGGAAUAGGACAAAAUAGUUGGUUAUCCAGCUGGAAAUCCUACAGAGCAAGGAUGACUAGUUAUACGAGAAACAGAUGACUAGUCAUCAUUUUAUGAAAUCAAUUUAAUGCAAUGUGAUGGAAUGCACAAUUUACCUUUGUCAAUUUGCUUGAACCUCUAUACGAUAGUUGUUAGUUAAGAACACCUAGAGAAACUAUUCUUAAUCUAAACUUGAGCUUGAUAAAAAUAAUAAAAAUCUUAUUACAAGAUUAUCAAGGAAAGUGUUGUGUCUACCCAAGUGCAAGUAGUCACACGUAGUAAUAAUCUUGGAAGUCCAAGUAUCGUAUCCUCAAGGAGCAGGUAGGCAAAUAUCUGCACACAAAGAAAUAAUUAAACAUACCACAAUAAAAGUGACAAGCAAAAUGGAAAAGUUAUUUAUUUGAUUGUUGUGAAAAUUGAAUUUAAAAAUGAAAUAUCAAUAAUGGAAAUGCUAAGGCAUCAAGGUUCAAUUCUUUAAACAAAAUAUGUUUCAUGCUCUUUACUCCAGAUUAUAACUCGAUUAAAAUCAUCAUCGAGAAACUUUAACCGGAAGAUAAAGAAAUUAAAACCAAUUUAAUUUUUCAAUGUAAUCUUUUAUUAAUGAUUGUUCAGAAAAUGGAAUUGCUUAAUAUCUACUCUUUUAAUUUAAAAGCAUGCCAAGUCAGUUCUUAACAAUGAGAAAAAUAAAAUUGAACUCAUGAAAAGGUAAUAGCACUUAACAUCAAUCAAAAUAAAAGGAUAUGAAAAUAUUGAACAACCAAAAAUAAAAGAAUUUAGCAAUUCAUACCGUAUAUUGGAUUAAAGAACAAUUCACAAACUUACUUAAAGAACAUUCCCUUUAGCCUUAGCUAGAGUUCUAGCAACUCAAUUACAAAGGAAAACAUAAACUAAAUGGAUAAAGAAAUCAGUCAUAGUGGUGCCCUUGCCAAAGAAGUUGAUGGGUAAUUUAUAGUGAAUGAGGUGAGUGGGAAGUUAAUACAUGGGUAAUGAAGGGUUUAAGUAAGGGAUUAAUUGGAUUAAACAUUGGUUGAUGGUGGAGAGUUAGUGGAAAAGAAAUAACGGUGAGGUAAAUAGGCGUUAAAUGGCUAUGAAUGACAUGAAAUAGGCUCUUUAGCUUCAACGGUUGUGUCUUCUCUUCUCCCUCUUUACUUCUCUUUAUAAUCACAAUAAUCCAACAAUCAAUUCUUCAAUAAAAUCCGCCAGCAAUUCUCUUCACACCUAGCUUGAACUUGGACAAAUGUAUGUCUUCAUCUUUUGGCUUUCUAACUUCCUACCGAAGAUAAAUUCACCUAAUAAGUUCACCAAAUUAAUAUAGAAAAUUCAUAAAUCCAGUUGAUGAGAAUAAAAUGUAACAAUAAGUGAAAUUAUAUUUAUUAAGUCAAAAUUAUAUCAUAAAGUCUCCAAAAUAAUAUUAAAAAUAUAUAAUUUAAGACUCUCAUCACAAAGCCAAAAGAAAAACUCAAAAUGCAUACAUUAACAGUUUUGCCAUAUUGAAUUAAUGUCUUCUAGCUAUGUACCUUAUCUUUUUGCCGGGCCAUGAGUUGAAUGUAGAGGCAGAGCAUGGACUUGGGUCAAGUUUGACUUGUAAAAUAAUUAGGAAUUGAAUGGCUCCUACGUUCAAUUAUUUUAUUAUUAUUAUUAUUUUUUGUCCGAGCCAUUCAAUUCCUAAUUAUUUAGAUUUUUGAUCUAGUUAGCAUCCACAAUCAUGCUCUCUAUUUUUUUUUUUUGGUCAUAAAUGCCAUAACUCUUUUUUUAUUGGUCCAUCUCUAUUAAAAAAUAAAAUAAAAAAUAGUUAGCAUUAAAUAAAGGUUUGAAAUUCUCAUUAAAUAAAGCAGCAUUAAAUUAUAGGGAGCAACUAGGAGUCAUUUCUCUCUCCUCAAGUUUAGGAGCUCCUACAGGUCUCCCUAUUUUAGGAGGUAGAUAGGGAGCAUUGUUGGAGUUGUAUUUUUACAAUUUCUCCCUAAAAUUUGUCUAAGGAUGUGGUUUAGGGAGCCCAUUGUGGAUGCUCUCAUCUCAAGGAAAGAAAACCCCAAGUUUGCAAGUAAUUUUUCUACGUAUGUAUAUAUGAAAAACUGACAUUUAUGAAAAUAAUAAACCCAUAUUUUUAUGUAAGCCAACUUUCUAAAUUCAUGUACUGAUAUUUAUUAGGGAAAUAUUGGAGAAACUGAUUAUUUUGAAAAAUUAAAUGUGAAAAACUGAACAAAAUUUUGACGGGUUACAUAUGUCAACUCAUUCAGCAGCUUAGGUUGUGAAGACCUAAGCAACAACCCUAGUGCACUGUCGAUCACUUCAGUGUCUACCGAUUUUCCUUUCCAUAUUGUUAGAUUAUUCCCUGCUGUAACACUUGCAUUUAGAAAAUAAUAGUACAGCUCUUAUUAGCAACAGUUUUACACACUUGCAUGAAUCUCACUAUGUUAAAGCAAUCACAUAGCACACCUUUAUUGAAAACAAAGCUAGCCCUGAUCCACUCCUUUACAUACUUAAAAACAAAACAAAACGAAAAAAAGAUAGGGAGAAAAUGGCUACGGACUUACUGCCGACAAAAAGAGAUAAUAGCGAACACUGUUUGUAUGACAGUGAGUAUGAGAAGAGUAACCGCUGCAAAGAGAGAAAAAGCUGCCCAGGCCCAGGGUGAGUUGAAAUACUUUUGGCUCAAAUAUGCCAACCAUCUGUUCCUGCACUUCUUGCAGUACUUGUUUAGAUUGUCAGCAAGACCACCAAAAUAGAAAUUUUGCUGGUCCGGAGCAACCCCCUUGCAAAGUUGGUUAAUCAUAGUAGAAACCUUAUUGUUGUCACCUAGUGUGUUUACAACAAUUUCACUCUCAACAAGUAAAUCUACAUCCCUUUUGGUUUUUACAAAUUUAUCCAGGAGGAAAACAUAAUCGCUUAAGUAAUUGUCUGUGCAAUGGCAUUGUUCAAAGGCAAUGAGAUUUCUGAGUAUAAGCUCUGUGUCAUCACGUAUUUCUAGUUUUGGAAUUUUCAGAGUUCCAUUAUGGAACUGUAUCGCGAAUAAGUCGUUGCUUGACUCCAGACGACUUGAUUCCGGACGAAACUUAACUCUGGCCUGGUGUAGUUUUGUCACGCUGGGUAUACAUGGGAGUUCUCCAGCUUCUGAGGUACCGGUAUCCAAAUAUUGCACAUGUAAAGUUCUAAUAAAAUCAACAAAAUGUAAAGGUGGUUCAGUCCCCUCCACUUCGUCUUCCGACCUCUGUAAACCCACUACCUUUUUGAAGAAAUGGUAAGAGAGCUUAAUCAUUGAAGGCCUCUCAGUCUCAGAAUUCUUAACUCUGACUUUGCUUGCAUCGAAAAGAUCCUCAAGAAUGAAAAAUGGCAGCUAAUUUUCGGGCAAAAGCAUGUCGGGCACUAUAUUUGUUAACAUUUAUGGUUUUUUAAAUAUCCAGUCAUUAUAUCGUCUCGCAAUUCUUGGAAAUGGUACCUCAACAAUAGCUCAAUGACAAAGGCAGCAUCAACUAGAAUGAUACUUACAAACUUGUCGCUACUCUUGAAGUGCUGAGCGUUUCCAUAACGACCACGGAGUUCAUCUUCUUGGGCCUUUAUUUUCUCUGCAUAAUCCUUCAAGCUAACCUUAUUAUUCCGAUGAAGAAAAUUUUGUAGGUACCUCGGUUUGUACUCUUCCAUGGCUUCUAAUUCUUUGUUGUCAUGGUGAAUUGGGCCUAUUGAGACUACUUCCGGGGUGUAAGCGUUAUUUCUGCCCCGUAGUCACGAAGGAACCCUGUAGAUACAGCACUCAUCAGAGGGCCUAUUGAGACAAACUAUCCAACCGCCGCUUCAAAUCUGCUACUGGGGUUUUGUGGUUUUCUACGCCAUGUGGAGCUCCAUUGCUGCAUCCUUCCACUUCUAUUAUGUGUUGUUCUGAUUGUAAGUGAUGAGGGUUAUUGGCACCAGGGGCGGAUCUAGCCCUUUUUUGGCUAGGCAGCCACCCAGUCGAGAAUUUUCAUAAAAACAAAAUAGGUACGUAUUGUUGUAAAUGUAUGAGUUGGUGGAUGACCACCAUACCUCUUAGCAUUCACCUUUUCUAAUUCUAUGUAACUAUACACUAAAUGCCAUAGUUAUGGACUUGUAACUUAUGAGUUGUUAAUGUUUUCUUACGUGUAAGCCUAUAAAUAAGAGGGCUAUCUUGGCAUAUGUGUUCGUCACUAACUAUAUAAUUUAAGUUGUUUUCAGUGACUAAUUUAAAUAAUUGUCAGAAAAUUUGGUCAUUAAAAAUUAAAAAAUAAGGGUCAAUUAUUUUAGUGACCAUGAAGUAUUAUUAGUCAUUAAAUUCAUUGUAUUUGUGACCAUUAUUUAUGUGGAAUUGGUCACUACUGACCUUUUUUCUUGUAGUGUACAUUCUUGCCUUAAUACAGUUAGGCUUAUUUUUAUACUAAUUUCUCUAACAUAACUUUUGCACAUUCUUUUUAUAUUAUAAUAAAUAAUCUUACCCAGUUGAGUUAUAAACCAUUUUCUUUUAGCACGGAAAAUCGACAUUUUGACAGAGAGUUGAAAAGCACUCCCCAAUUUUAAUGUCAACCACUUGGAAAAAAAAAACAUAAAUUUAAUGACAACAAUUACAUUUAGCAAUGCAACCUAAAAACUCAACCUUUGCGCUCCUUUCACCACGCAGAUAGCAGGGUGAGGAUAUUCGAAUAAGAACGAAGACAGAAGCUAAAGGAAUUGCGAUAGCUAACCAUAGUCUGCAUUUCUUACCAUCUGAACAAUGCCACCAUUUUGUUUGGUAAGUAUUUAAUAACAUUUCUUGCUCUACAUAAAGUAAUAUUAAAGCGAAAUUUCCCUAAAUUUUUCUUACCAACAAUCCAUACCCAAGAAAAGGGGAGAUUCACUAUUAUACUCAAUAUAGGAGCCCAACUUAUUUAUAAUAAUUAUAAAAAAAAACCCUCUAUGAAAUGGACUUUAGAAACACACCUAAAACCUAUUUACAACAAAACAAAAAGACUUUUAACUUUUUUUAAAUUACAAAACUGUCAUUGAUUUCUUAAACAAACCCAACCCCAAAACCUCAUAAAAAAGCCCAAAUACUCAAUAAAGCAGCAAAGUAAUUUAAUAAUAAAAAUUAAAUUCAAUAGAGUCAGCUGUUAUUUUUUGGGUUAUUUUUUAUUUGUUUAUAGAAAUUAAAGAGUGCUGCUAAAAGAACCCUAACAUUAACUAAAUACACCAAAUGAUCUAAGUACACCCUAAUAUUUUAAUUAAAAUACAAAAUUAACUAAGUACACCUUAUUUAACUACCAAAAUUACCCGUGUUACACCCUAAUACACUCUAUCACUGUUCACCCGUUUAGUUUUUGCUCCUGUGAUGGAAGGGUAAAGUUCCCCACUGCCUUGGAAACCAUUGACUGGUCAACAAGUCAGCUUUCUUUGCUAUGUGAGCGUGCCACUGUUAGCAAUGAAAAUCCUAACAGACUUCUUAAAAUGGAUACUUGCGCCCAAGUUACUGAUUUCUAAACAGUGAUUGUGAUUUGGGUGAGGAAUAUCUCCAAGUAAGUUCUUUUCCUGCAUCAGGCUGGUGAAGACUUUAUAAUUUUCACAGUAUAAAUUGGUAGUUCUUGCCAGAAUAGAUGAUAUAAAGUGGACGGUUUUUAGGCAGAACUGCGUUUUACAAAAUUAAGAAGGAAAAAUCAACUCUAAAAAGACAAAAAGAUGGCUGGAAUCCCACUUCUGCCUGGGUAGAAACUUCAGAUCCGGGCUGGACCGAAUACAUUCAUGAUGGACUGAGCUGUUAACAACUUCAAUUGCUUAGCUUUAGCUGUAAAUCGAUACCAAAGUUCAAUUUUGGCAGAGCUUUAAUCUACUUCAAGCCUUGGAAGGCUUUUGAGCGGGCAGAACUGCCGUCUCUUCUGGCUAAAAGAGGCAGAAAUGGCUGAAUUUGAGGUUUACUGAGCUGGAACUGCACUGUUGUACCUGUUCUGCUUGGUCAGGGCUUUCCAUAAAUUUGUUGAGGUUUUCAUAUUUGUGAAAAACUCAAACUCUGCUUGUUUUGGCUUUUGCUGAACCAAAUUUGUAACGAGAGAAGUCUUGUUUUGAAUGACUUUUCUCUAAGUUUGAGCUUUUGAAAUUCUAGGAGAGAGAGAGAGAGAGAGCUUUUGAUUGCUCCAGUUUGUUUGAAGGUUCUCAAUGAUCAAGUGAUCAUUUUGAGUUUUUGCCUUUAGCUUAUUUUUGGUUGUUUGUUUGAUUAUCCUUUGCUCUAUUCACCUUCUCCUAUAUUUAUAAGAAAUGCUUUGAAGUAGGGUUUCUUUCUUUUAAUAAUGGGCGGCCAAAAUUCUCAAAAGGUCUUUCAUUUUUUUAAAUACGAAGAAAAAGGGGUUUUCUCAAUUUUGGCAAAUAAGUUCUCAACAGUCAAUUCCAUUGAAAGAGAACCUGACUUUUCUUUAAUUCCCAACUGCCCUUGUGAGAGCUCAAUCGUGAUGGUCAGUUUGCUUCUCCAUUUUGAACAACUUCCUGUUUCCUGUUUAUCUUUUUAGAAAAUACAAUCUGGGUAUCCCUUGAAAGAUGGUGCCUUUUUUGGAGUAGAAACAAUGUCUCUAAAUAUAAAAGGGUUUUUUUUUUAUCUUUUGGUGGCAAAGAUUUCAAAGACGUCCCUUCUUUUCGCCUGCCUCUGUCAACUUUUUAUCAACCCAGUUGAAAUUGUUGACUUUCCUAAAUCAAAAAAAGAGAUUCACGUGGGUCUGUUCCUUUUGGCUCCUUCCUCUCUUUUAAUCAUGCCUAACCUCUUUUGAUUUUACUGGAGCCAUGGGCUGAUUGCUUCUCUUUUCGAGGCCCAAGUUUAUUUGCAGAGCCCAAACUGCUUGGGCCCUGUGGUUUUGUCUUUGUUGUUUUUGGGCUUUUUAGGCUGGACGUGCCAAAAUUAGGCCCAAACAAUGUCCCCUAAGUUUGAAUCGUUUCUAGAACGGUUCGAGAUUUAAUGAUUUUGGCCAUUAAUUCGUGCGCGCCAACUUCUUUCGUUUAAUGCACGUCUGCCUACCACGAGCUAGACUUCAUGGGAAACUGUUUUGUUACUAGCUAGUUACUUAGCUAGUUAUUAUCAUAUGGCGUCUCGUCUUCCUCUUCCCACGAUUUCAAGCCCCUUUUUUAAGAAAUUCGAAACUCCAACUUCUGUUUAUUUCAAAAACUAGCUUCUUUUUAGACCUCGACAAUUCUUAGUUUUCCCCAGAAUUCUCACUUUUUCUUCGACCAGACUCUGCCUUUCUUAUCAUUUCCUUUCCUAGUUCAACACUUCUGAUCAUGUCUUCUCCCAAGACUCGUGCUCAAGGUUGGUCCUCCUCAGUUCCUCCUAAUUACAUCACUGGGACUGGGAUUGACAAUCACGCGAUAGAGGUUAGAAGCAAACUGAUAGGACCCGCCCCGAAUUUUCCAAAACCCAAGGCGAAUCCUGUGAAAUUUCCGACAUCACCCCGAUGCCGGGCCCACUUACUAAACACCGAGACUUUCUGCCGAAAUUUCGGCAGAGUCUCCCCUAUAAAUUGGACAUUUCCCAAAAUUUCAACCUGCAUAAAAACACAUUUAAUAUUCCCAACGGGCAGCAUGCACAAAAUAAUUUCAUCCAAUUCACAUAACGGCCUUCGGCCUUUCAAUAAUUUUCAACAAACUACCAAGCACACUAACAAAUCAAUUCAUGCCUCAAACAAGGCAACCAAUAAAUUCAAAUAUGCAUUAUGACUACCAAAUUUCGACAUGCAUCAUUUUGCUUUUCCAAUCUCAAUAGAUGAGGUUUUAACCUCCUAACACAAUCACAUCUAUGUUCGCGGCUGCACCUAAUAACCUUAGGCUGCCUACGUACCCUCACUGAGGGAUCAAGACACACGUAGUUCUUCCUUAAACCCAAUUCCACACAUAGGCAAUACCUUUAUUCAUUUCUCUGUAUUUCACAUAAUCUCCUCAUACGCCUGUACUACCAACGCCACGUAUGGGGUCUGUCAACACACUGGGUAACCUACGCCACGUGCGACCUCACCAUAUUAUCACAUAAUCUCCCCAUACGCCUGUACUACCAACGCCACGUAUGGGGCCUAUCGACACGUUGGAUAACCUAUGCCACGUGCGACCUCAACAUAAUAUCACAUAAUCUCCCCAUACGUCAAUACAACCAACGCCACGUAUGGGGUCUGUCUCAACGCCGGAUAACCUACGCCACGCGAGACCUGAACAUCAUAUCACAAUAGCUUGCCAUACGCUGGUACAACCAACGCCACAUAUGGGAUCUGUCGACACGCCGGAUAACCUACCCCACGUACGACCUCAAUAUAAUAUCACAUAAUCUCCCCAUACGCCGGUACAACCAACGCCACGUAUGGGGUCUGUGUUAAAGCCGGAUAACCUACGCCACGCGAGACCUGAACAUCAUAUCACAAUAUCUCUCCAUACUCCAGUACAACCAACGCCACGUAUGGGGUAUGUGGACACGCCGGAUAACCUACGCCACGUGCGACCUCGAUAUAUUGUCAGGUAAUCUCCCCAUAUGCCGGUACUAUCAAUGCCACGUAUGGGACCUGUCCGCAAGCCGGAUAACCUACGCCACGUGGGACCUAACUUUCACAGGGUGGUACUUGUAGUGUAACCAAAAUCCGGAAAGGUGCCUAGGGUAGUGCGUAUAGCACUUCAAACUGACAUUCUAGACUCUUUAUACCUUUACAAACAUAUAUAAACAUAUAUAAUUUAAUUCUAAUUGUGUAAACCUCAACAAUAGUCUAGCACCCAAUAAUCCCCCUAGGAAGGUGAGACUACUCCGAAAGACUCACGGUCGACCAAGGGUCAAACUACCCUAACAUUGGUCAAACAGGCCCACGGGGCCCACGACCUCCAAAUUCUGAUCCGAAAGUUCCUAUGAGUUCUCCGAGUUAUAGGACACUCGUCCUGCAAGUUUAGUCCAGAUCGGACGAUCAGAUCGCUCACGAUCGCACGAUCUGACGGUUAAUAUAAAACAUAAACUUUAAAUUAAUAAAUCAAAACAUCCGGCACUCCGAUUCACGAUCCGUGAAUUCCUACACGAUCCUAGAAAUACCUAGAUUAACAUAUAUUAAAUUCAAGACCAUCCAACGGUCCCAACCUAUCGAACCCAGAUAACGCGCAAUAGGCGGUAUCCGUUCGAUAUUUCCCUUUAAUAAUUUAAAUAAGGGAUUUAAUUUGGAGUCGGGGUGUUACAAUCUACCCUCCUUAUAAAAAUUUCAUCCUCGAAAUUUCAUACCUGCUAGAAGAGGAAUCUGCCAGAACUGACUUUAGGAAGAAGUUCCUGAGUGUCACUCUGCCAAGAGAUCUGCCCCACGGAGGUGGGAAGCCUCCAAACUAUCAUUUGGGAGCAGAAGUCUAUCAUCGCAACUUCUGUGCAAGGCAACUUGGCUGCCCCAGCUUAUUCCACUAAAAUCAUACAGAAGCUGCAAUCGGGCCACUUCCUUGAGAGAUGCGGAUGAUCUGGAAGUGCACAAAGAUGCUAGAUGUGCAGUAAACAAGAUAAAUAACAGCGCAGAUGCCCUCUAUCCAGCCUGGGAACUGAACUCCUGCAGUUCUGCCGAUUUUGACGCUUGGUGGAAAUCCAGGUUUCAUGGUCUGCCAGCCUCCAUUGCUGCACUCAAGGUGAUUUUUGAGGGCUGGGACUCCUGGACUGUCUACGCGGAGGUGGAUGCCAAGAACUUCAUGGUGCAGACCAUCAAAGACAUUAAUGCCCAGGGUAUAGAAGGUAACUUUCAAUUCUGUCUGUCUUGCCUAUUCUGUCUCUUAGUGAUGAUGCCUAACAGUUUUGUUCUGUAUAUAUCAGACCCUUAUUUGACAGAAAACAUAGGUGGACAGUCUGUCCAAGCUGGAGAUGUGAUUGGUAAGUUUUUCACUAUUCUGUUCCUUUCAUUAUUUUCUUGCUUGAUUGACUUCUGACUUUGUCUAUUUCUUGUGUAGUCAUUGCUGUCAUUGCUGCUGGGACUUGGAGCUUCCCUCUGGAGAUGAAGAGGAUCUAGCUGCUGAGGCUAUUCCUUUUGGCAGAACAUCCAGCUGCUGAGGCCAUUCUUUCUAGCAGAAGGAAGAGAAAGGAAAUUUCUUCUGCCCAGCACAGUGCUGCUCAGCCUGCGACUUCAGGUAAGUUCUGACAGUUUGAGCUUUUCGUAAUUCUAUUUUGUCCUAUUCUGCCUUAUGUUCUAAUGGUUUAUUGUCUGCUUAUUGUAGCUGAAAGUUCCUCUCCUCCUCCUACUAAGUCAAAAAGACUUAAAAAGAGGACUGUGGUGGAAUAUAUGGCCAUGGAGGAGUCUGCAGCAGUUCCCACCAACACUUCUGGGACGGAUGAAGAGCUGAGAGAGGCCUUCAAGACAGUGGAAUAGGAGAAAGAGCUAGAAGAAACAGAAGAAGAACCUCAAGAAAAGGCAAAAGAAAUGGAAGAAAAUGUGAGUAUUGUUUUCUGGCUAUGUCAGCUUUUCUUUUGUUUCUUCAUUUCCUCUGUUCUGACUUCUGUCUAUGUAUAGAAGGAAAUCCCCGCUGAAGUGAUUGCAUAGAGCAUUGCUUUGGCGCAGAGGCAGCAGGAGAAUCAAAGGGCAGAGCUGACCAGCUCGGAGUUGGCCCUUUUUGAAGACGCAGAGGCAGAACACUCAACUGUUGUUCCAGCAGCUGAGGAGCAGGUGGAGCAGUCUGCAUCAGAGCCUGUGGAGCGAGCAGAACUACCUGUUGCAGUCCCAGCACCUGGAGUGGAAGUGGCUGCUGUUGUUCCCGAAGUUGUGGUAAUUUUUAUUCUACUUCUGUCCACCUGUUUCCUGCAAUUCUGUUCUGUCUGUGCUUCCUUAUCUAUUAGUCUUUUCAGGUAGAAGUGCCUAGGCCUGCUGGGGUUUUGGCAGUGGUGACCAGCCCCUUGAAGCCUCUCAUCGUUGCUGUAAGUGUUAAUGCAUUCCUGGGCUUUUUCUUUUCUGUCUCUGCCUAGUUCCUACUCUUGUUCUUUUCUGCAUAUGCCUAUCCAUUCCCUUCCAAGUUCAUCUGCCACAGCUUCCUAUGCUGAUUCGGAGCUGGCAGAAUUUGAGGCUCUGGAUCUGAACGCCCAGCUAGACAAGCUGAACCCUAAACCCUUGAGAAACUCAGCUCCACUCCUUGCAAGGCAAAGUCCAAGGCAGUGGAGGAGGCUAUGGAGAGACUGAAGAUCUGGCAAUCAACUGAUCUGGAGCUGGAUAAGGACAGGGAAGCUGUUGACCAAUUGAUGAAGGAUCUGGACCUUCUGCACAGACAGAACAUGGCCCCCAAACCCAUACUUGAGAUGAGCCUUGGCUUGGGAAGAGAUGUGCUCAACCUCCACGACCGUUACGAGGAUCUCAAGCCCACCUUCAAGACCUCUGAGUUCUGCAAAGCCACCCAUAAAGCCAACUUGGCUGACUAUGCAAAGCAGAAGGCAGAACUGGACCAGAUGGUUGCAGGAUACAAGGAAGCCAAAGCCACUAUAGACAAGUUGGAGAAGCAGAUUGAAGAGCUUCAAAAACAAUUGGCAGAGUGCAGAGAGGUGCAGAGCAGGCUCGGGGCUAGACUGAGCUCUAAGACCAAGGCCACCUUCCUUGUGUAGAAUAUGGUUUCAGCUUCUAGGCCAGCUUUGGAAAUUGCAGAGGCUUCAAUCCACCAGGGGUGCUACUUCAGAAGGAACUCUCCAUUAAAAAGGCCAACUUGCAAGAAACCCUUAGGAAAUUAGGGUUUUAGAUUCUAGUUUUUUUUUAAAGAAAUGUAAUAAAUAAUUUAGCCAUAAAAAGUGGCUAUAUUUAAAUAAAAGUUCAUUUAUUUUUGUGGGAAUUCCAAAUUCUUUCGACAAAAAGAAAAGAGAGAAAAAGUAAUUUAAAGCAUACUUAACAAAUUACAACGAAAAUGAAAGUGAUCAGAAAUUCAAACAACAGUUUUAUCUUGCUGUCUCUCUAUUCCGGGAUCUGUCUGUACCGCCUGUGAAUCCCACAUAGUUGGAUAGAACUUUUUUAACCAUUUGUCAUUAAUUGGUGCAGUAUGGACAUCUCCAUCUCGAUCAUGUAAUCUGUAUGCCCCCAUUCCAAGGAUCUGAUUAAUUAUGAAAGGACCUUCCCAUGUAGGUGACCAUUUUCCAUAACCAUCUAUAUGCGUUCCAAGGGGCAGAACUGCUUUCUAGACUAUUUCCCCCUCUUCAAAACUCUUGUUCUUGACUCUUUUGUUGUAAGCCCUUGAUACAGCUUCCUUUCCUGCUAAGAGUUUGUUGAGGGUAUCGAUCCUGCUUGUAUCCAAUCCUUCCAGUUCUAGCAUCAUAGCUUGAGAGUAGUCUUCUCCAACCAAACUGUGUUGAUGAGCAAUUCUGAGGGAUUGGACUGCUAUCUCCAUAGGCAGAAUUGCAUCGUGGCCAUAGGUGGUCAUGCCAGUUGCUUCUCUUCUUGAAGUUCUAUAUGCCCACAGAGUUUCUGACAACUUCUCAUGCUACUAUUUUGGAUUUUUCUCAAGCAUUUUUCUGAUAAUGUUGAUGAUCACCUUGUUACUUGAUUCUGCCUGCCCAUUAGCUUGGGCAUAAUAAGGGGUGGAUUGAAGCAGUUUGAAUUUAAAUGCUCCUGCCAUUUCCAACAUUUCUCCAGAUAUGAAAGAAGAUCCCCUAUCAGUUGUGAUUGAUUCUGGAAUGCCAAACCUUUGUAUAAUCUGCUCUUCUAUGAAAGUGAUGAUUUCUUGAGAUGCUGUGGACUUAACAGGCUUGGCUUCCACCCAUUUGGUAAAAUAAUCUGUAGCUACAAUAAUAAAACAGUGUUGUUUGCUACUGGCUGGAUAAAUCUUACCAAUGAGAUCCAUUGCCCAUCCUCUGAAAGGCCAUAGUUUUACUACUAGAUUCAUGGGAACUGAAAGAGCCUGCUGGAUUAGCCGAGCCAUUUCCUUUUAUGCUACCGAUUUCUUUUAUGCUACUGAGCCGGGCAAAACCAAUAAAAUAAAGAAAGGCAACGAAUUUAUUAACCGAGUAUAAAGGAGAGAGAGGGAUUCGAACCCUCGAUAGUUCUUUGUUUCGAACUAUACCGGUUUUCAAGACCGGAGCUAUCAACAACUCGGCCAUCUCUCCGAAAUAAAAUUUAUAUUUUAUUCCACCUAAUAGAACAUGGACAUAUGAGUUGAUACGAUUACUAUCUAUAGAAAGAUAUCAGGUGUGAGUCUAUAGGUCUAUCUAUCUGUAUAUAUAUAUAUAAUAUAGAUGCAUGAUCCAGCAAGCAUGCCCCUGAAGUUGACUUACGCUCAAAUGUAGAAGAAUCAGCCAUGGCAAAUAGGUAGCUGAAUUGCAGCGGAAUAGAUGAGCAACGGUGUCACUCCCCCUCAUAUCCAACGAUGUAUAAGAGUCGAGAUUUGGAGAAAGCAAUACCGAAAAAUAAAGUUGCAGAACUCAAAUAAAGUUGCAUCUAUCUCCCCAUCAAAUCCGACACUGGUAAAGGGUCGAGAUUUGAAAGAGGAGAAAUUGAAAUAAUAGUAAAGAGACUCAAACAUGCAGUCUCAUGGCAGAAACAAAUGCAAGAGGGGAAGAUGGUAGCAUACGGUUGUCCCAUGAAGAAAAAACUUUAGAAAAGGAGAAUAGUAAGGGAGGAAACCCAGCAAAUCAUGAACAGAGACAAAGACAAAGAUAAGGUACUCAAACUGAGAAGCGGAAAGGCAACUCAAGAGAGCAACCGAAGAAGACAGAGGCCCGCAGAACAGUCAAAGGAAAGGCUCGGCGAGUGGUGACGAUGCUCGCGGAGGAAAGCAACGGCUCGGUGAGCAGUGACGAGGCUCACGGAGUAAAGAGACUUGUUAUGAAGUUUCAAAGAUAGAGAAGCUGAGACAUCAAGAAAGACCAUCUGGCAUACAAAGAUGAAAAAUAAAAUUUUUGGAACAGUAGCAAAGAAGCAUGUGAAGGCUAGGUGCGGUGAAAACACAUAUGAAAGGAUGAACAAAAGAAGAUGACUAUACAAGAUGAAGACCCAUGAUGGGUUAGAAAUGAGGAGUGCCAACGACUCUCAAUUUGGCAGAGGCUAUCACAGGUUAGGAACCUGGCUCUGAUACCAUGUCAAACAAAGUAGGGUAAAUAUUCAGUUAUGCUCAGAUAUGCUCAUAUUAUUAUUCUUCUCCAAUAUGGAGAUAUUUAUACAAGUACAAAGAUGUGUUAACCCUAAAUAAAAUAGAAAAUAUAUCUAAAUUACAAUUGGAAGUAAAUCUCUAUUACAAUAUGAGUAAAUAAUAAUUGAUAAGUAACCAAAAUUCUAAUGAAAUAAGGAACUAAAAUCCUAAGUAAGUAAGGACUCGCCAACGAAUAAUAGUACAACUCUUAUUAGCAACAGGUUACAAACUUCUUCUACAACACACCAACAUGAAUCUAGCCCUGAUCAAUUCUUUUACAUACUUGAAAACAAAACAAAACACGAAAAACAAAAAACAAGAAACAAGAUAGGGAGAAAAUGGCUACGGAGAGACUUACCGCUAAUACUUGAUCAAUAACAGAGAUAAUAGAGCACACUGUUUGUAUGACAAUGAGUAUCAGAAGAAUAAUAGCUGCAAAGAGAGAAAUAGCUGCCCAAGGUGUGUUGAAAUACUUUUGUCUCAAAUUUGCCUUCCGUCUGUUCGUGGUCUUCUUGCAGUACUCGUUUAGUUUGCCAGCAAGAUCACCAAAAUAGUAGUUUCCGUGGUUCGGAGCAACUUUACUGCAAAGCUUGUUAAUCAUAAUGGAAACCUUAUUGUUGUCACCUAGCGUGUUUACAACAAUUCCAUUGUCAACAAGCAACUCUACAUCCUUUGGGGUGUUUACAAAUUUAUCCAGGAUGAAAACAUAAUCGCUUAUGUAUUUAUCCACGCAAUUGCCUUGUUCAAAGGCAAUGAGAUUUCUAUGUGUAAGCUGUGUAAUCAUGUAUUUCAAUUUUUGGAAUUUCCAAGGUGUUUUUCUUGAACUGUAUAUCGAAUAAGUUCUUGCUUGAUCCCACGUUAAACUUAACUCCGGCCUGGUGUAGUUUUGUCAUGCUGGGUGUACUUUGGAGCCCUCCAUUUUUUUUUCUUUUGGCAGAUGUAAAGUUCUAAUAAAAUCAACAAAAUGUAAAGGUUUUUUAGGAUCAGGAGGCAUAAAAGACUUACGGAAGGCUGGUGAGUUCUCCAAGUUUUCUAAACGCAGUGCCUGUUGGAAGAACUUGUAAGAGAGUUCAAUUAUUGAAGGCUCCCCAGUCUGAGCACCUGUGAGAUUGUAAAGAUCCUUGAGAAUGAAAAAUGGCAGCUGAUUUACGAGCAUAAGCAUGUCAGGCAAUAUAUUUUGUAGCACCCAUGGUUUUUUAAAUAUCCAAGCAUUAUCAUCCUGCAAUUUUUCUUCCUGAAAUUUUUCUUCGGAUUUAUUCCUCAACAAUAGCUCAAUGACAAAGGCGGCAUCAACUAGACUGAUAUUCACAAAAGCAGCAAUGUUAAACUUCUUAGGGCUAGUUUGGCGUUGCUGUGUUUUAAAAAAAAAUAUGCUUCUGCUGUGCUGUGAAAAUAAUCAGCUGUGAAAAAAAGCUACUAAGCGUUUGGUAAACUGUUUUUGAAAAACUGUUGUGAGUAGUCAAAGUGUUUGGUAAAUUUUUAUCAGAAGUGUUUUUAGUGUGUAUAAUGACCAAAAAGGACAUGAUGAUGAAAUUGUUUGUUAUUUUCUUCAUUCUUUUUCUACUUUUUUUUUUAAAAAAAAAACCCAAUUUCACUACAUAAAUUUUUAUUCUUUUUUAAUUCACACCUUUUUAUCAAAAAAUUUAAUCUACAAUUAACAUACAUAUUUUACCAUAAAUUAUAAAUUACUAUUAUAACAAAAGUAAUUCUAAAUAUUGUUAUAUUAAUAUGGGCUUCGGACAUGACAAAAAUACAAAAAUUGUUCAAUUUUAAAAUGCCCCAAUAGAUCACUACAAUAUAAAAGAAGCUAAUUAGAUGCAUUCAUUAAACUUGUAGCGAUGCUAUUUCUUAAUGCAUUCAUUAGCUUCUUUUUUUGGUUUCCAAUGGUUCUCUAACAAUUUUAACUAAAAAAACAACCAUAAUGCUUUGUGAACAAUAAAUUCAAGUCCAAAUCUACUAAUGCCCACACCAUACAUAUAUACAUAAUUGUUUCUUUCAUAAAACUUGAAGAUUCAAUAGUAAUUACACAGUUUACCAAUCUUGAUUCCAACUAUAUCCAUAAAAUUAAACUAUAAUUAGAAACAGAGGAGCUACAUGUGAUUACUUAUAAAUGUUGCCCACUCUCAUCAUCAUCUUCUUCCUCCUCUGUACUUUGCCUUUCACAAAUGGACAAGACCAGAUGGUAACGUACACGACAUGGUCCACAUAUAGAUAAAUUUUGGGUUCACUGGAGAACAUAAAAGAGUUUUUACACGAAUACAAAGUUAGUUAAGUAGUGAAUAAGGUAAAACUAUUCUGUACAAUUCUAGCUGAUGCAGUCCAAAAAGAAUAUAUGUCUAAUAACUUAAAUAACAAUAAAGAGAAACAAAAACCUCAUGAAAAAUGCUAGAGUAAAAGUUACAUAACUGAAUCGAUGGACAGAGAACUCCACAGGCAGAGAAACAGCAACAAAAAUUGUCAAAACAGUAGCAAGACCAUGUUGGAGUCAAGGCCAAAGAUCAUAUUUCCUGUGUAUCUUCUUCCAUUCUGAAUUAUUCUCGUAUUCAAAUACUGUAACUCUAUUUCAAGUGCACCCCAAAAUACUUAUCUAAGGCCAGUACAUAGGACUUCAUAAAGGGUGCCAUAAAAAAUAUUGCCCCUUAAUUGAUAAACAGAACCAAGAUCCCAAUGGCACACCAAAACUAUACCAACCACACCUACAUAAUAUGGACAGAAAAUCCUGUUGUUCUGACCUCUAACCACACCAAUGACAUUCAUUAGGAAAAUACAAAAGAUGGGUACCCUGCAUUUCUAACAUUUAAGAUAAAAUUCACUGCCAGCUAAUCACAAAUUUGAAAAGAUGGCAAGAAAAUUGGCUAUGCUUUAACAAAAACCAGAGCAGUCCUUGCAUAGACCUGACUUUUUGCUCCAAGCUUUAGCAGAUCACUUACUGGUAGAGAGCAGAGAACAUGUAUGUGAAUAUCUGAAGUUGGAAGGGUAAGCCAUCACAAACACCAAGAGAUCUGAUUCUCAUCUCUUGUUACAACAACAAAUCACAAACACCAAUACAUCUGAUUCAGAAUCUCAUAAACAAUGGAGGAACAAACACAUAUUCACACACAUAUAAAUCCCUAAACCGAAAAAAAAAAAAAAAAAAAAAAAAAAAAAAAAAAAAAAAAACAUGAAAGUAAUAGGAGAAUCAAAUUGAUUUGGGCCAAAAUUGCCUAAAAAGAAAACACUCCUAAAUAAACUUCAAUUCACUUUUAAAAACAGUAAAACGUGAUUGAAUCGUUCUUUAAAACAAUUCCCUAAUAUACAUGCAUGAUAAUGACAUCAUUUACCCCUAAAUCAAAUGCCUUUCACUGGUUAAGCCACAAGUCUGUGUUUUGGGGAUUGCUGAGCUGCAUCAAUCCUGCCAAUGUCAAUUCUGCCCCUAGGCUCUCUCAAAGUGCAUUUACAACCUAUGCUAACAUAUACUAGAGUUUGUGCUAGUAUCUAGAAAAUGCCAACACUAAUUUCGUAACACGUAGAAAUUGUUACAUAUUGGAAGUUUUUAUCAUUUUUUCUUCCAGUCUCUCCACCACUCACUAAUACAGAUUACUCAUGUGAUGAGUUUACAAAACCUAUUUCUCUACUCCCACAAAGACCAUACUUUUUCUCAAAAGACUAUAUCACUUUAUCUCUAUCUUUGUGAAAUGUAAAAAGUUGAAACUUUAAUGUCAAAUCUCGACAAAAGAUGAACUUCCAUCAAUUACAUUGAAUUUGAAUUUGUUGAACUUAAGUGGUUUUACUUUCUCUGUCAGCGUUUGAUGACUUGAUUUGUUAUUUACUUCUUCUUUUUUCCUUGGAAAUGUGUUCCAUCAACGUGAGGAAGAAAAAUAUGCACAAAUUAAUAUAUUUAAUAGAAGCACAAAUUAAUAUUUACAAAAAUAUGCACAAAUCAAGUAAAAUUAAUAAAGCAUAAAUUGGAAAGGGAAAAUAUGUAGAGGAUGCAUUGUAGGAUUGCUCAUGCCAAUAAUUGUACCCUCUAAAUAUAUAGGGACAUAAUUUUUUUUGUUUUCAUGACAUGUGGUCCUCAAAUUAUUGUUCUUAGCGGACUCUCCACCCCUCUCGAUUGAAAGCCUAUUGUGUAAAUCUUCAAUCCUGAAUGAUCCACCUAAAACUCAUGUUGCAAUACACAUCCACCCAUUCUCAGGCCAAUUAUUACUCCUAGUGGGCUCUCCACCCCCUCUCAAAUUUAAGUGGUCCAUUAUUAUUAACCAUAUAUUUUAUGGACCAGCUAGCUGUGAGGUUUUAUCUCAAAAACCUUUCUCUCACAUGCCACAAUUUAUGUCUGAUACAUCACAUCAUGCCAGUUGUCUCAAAUGAAUUUAAGUGAGUGAGGCAGUGUUACUUCUGGGUACCCCUCAUCGUUCGUGUAUAAAAUGGUGAAGCCAGUUGCUACUGUUACCAUAAGAGCCAGCUCCGACUUUCAAAAUAAAAAUUCCAACAAUGAUCUUAGUGCCUUCAAACGCAUGAGUUACUGAACAUGCAAAUAAAUACACUAUGAAUAAUAAAAGUGUUUGAUAAAUCACCAAAUUAUGGAACACUUGAUGAUUUAUCUCAAAUAAAAAUUCCAAGGCUUAUUUUAUAGAAUUUUUCUUUAUUACAAGAAAGAAAACAUGUUGAAAACCAAAUCUCCAAUUUCCAAGGCUUGACAGAAAAUCAAAAAAAUAUCUUUCCUAUUCUAGAGAUUGGUCACAUGUAGUUCAGAAAAUCAAAAAAAUAUCUUUCCUAUUCUAGAGAUUGGUCACAUGUAGUUCAACCAAUAGGAAAUGAGAUAUUUAAGAAAGCAAGAUUUUGAUCAAUAUCAAUAUCAAAUGAAUUCUUAUACGCCUAGUCAACUAUUAAGGGUAUCUUGACUCUUUGAUAUUGUGAUAUGAUUGAAACAUGAUUUCCAUGUUAGAAAAUUAAGGGGAUGUUAAAACAUGAAAGUAAUAGGAGAAUCAAAUUGAUUUGGACUAAAAUUGCCUAAAAAGAAAACACUCCUAAAUAAACUUCAAUUCACUUUUAAAAAUCGUAAAACAUGAUUGAAUCGUUUUUUUAAAACAAUUCCCUAAUAUACAUGCAUGAUAAUGACAUCACUUACCCCUAAAUCAAAUUGUCACGCCCCGGACCUGGGGGUCAGUGGAAAUCCCGCGCCCGGUGCGUGAGAAAAUAAAAAGUAAAAUAAAAUAAAAAGAAAGCCGAAACAAGGGUUUAAAAUAAACUUCUCUUAUAAAAAUAACUCUAAAAUCUUAUAACUUUACAAGAAAUAAAUAAAGCUCUAUCAUUCUUAUCUAAUUCAGACUCAACUGGUUUAGUCCUUGUCUUGCCCACUAAUUCAUCUGAAAAAUUAAGAGUGUUGCUAAACGAACCCUAAAAUUAAUUGAGUACACCAUACUACCAAACAAUUUAUUGAAUUUGUCAAGGUUUUGUUUCUGGGAACUCACGAGCAACUUUCCAGUGGGUUACCCAUCCUAGGAUUGCUCUAGCCCACAACUCGCUUAACUUCGGAGUUCCUACGACUCCGAAGCCAGUGAGCUCCCAAAAGGCCUCGUGCUAGAUGGAUGCGGGUGUGCACAUAUAAGGCACAUCACCACCUCUCCGUUGAUUGAUGUGGGAUCUUACAAAAUUACUAAUUUAUUCUAAUAUAAAAUGAUCAAAAAAGAUAAAAUAAUAUUGGUAUCUAUUGCUUUGAAUCCAUGCCUUCAAACAAAUUGACUUAAUUUUUAACAAACAACACGGAGUCCAGGAGAAGUGUAUUGAUCCAAGUUGAUUUUUGUAUGCAUAAAACUUAAACAAUCAAUAACACAAAGCAGUUCAUGCUGAAAUAUUGGAAACCCACACCCAAAGAGUUCUCCGCUGCGAGGUUGAAGGCAGGAGAGAUGGGUGACAGAUUUUACUUCCACUGCGAAGUUGGAGGCUAGGAGAGUCUGUGACUGCCAUGGUUGAGGGAGAAGAUGCGUUCAAAAUGCCUAUUGAUAUUUUACAUUAUUUUCUAUACAAGUUAACAGUGUUUGUGUAUUGUUAAAGGUGGAGAGACGUGUCAAAAUUUUAGACAAAGGACAGGAGGAGAUAGGGAAUUUGGGGACAGCAGAUCUCAACUCCCUUGAGACCCUAUUCUCUACGCCACCCCUCCCCCUCAACAACCCUAGUCACCAUUUCUCCUUCAACUCCAACGGCAACUCAUUAAAACCCAAUUCUCAAAUGCAACAAUCUAAUCCCAAUCCCAAUUCAGAUGUUUCUAAAAAACCAAUGGUUGUCGUGGUGGAGAACUGCAAUUCCAGGUGGUGGUGGUACCACAUGGGAGAGAGAAAAAAGAAGAAGAAGAAGCAGCAGAGAGAGAGUUUUUUAUUAUAUUAUUAUUUUACUGUAAUUUUUUAAUUUAAAAAAUUAAAAAAAUUAAAAAUUAAAGAGGAUGUACCAUGGGUAUUUUUGGUAGUUAAAUAGGGUGUACUUAGUUAAUUUUCAAUUUAAUUUAAACAUUAGAGUGUACUCAGUUAAUUUUAGGGUUCAUUUAGCAGCACUCAAAAUUAAACAAGGUAAGGGAUGAGCAAGUAGGGACAUGAGACCUUGCCACAGUAGAUUGAUAUAACUAAAUAUUAUCAUAAACAUCGAAAUAUAUAAAUAUUAUUAUGAUAGGAUUCAUAAUAAUUAAUAUAAAAGUAUAACAACAAGAUUUACAUUUAUGUACCAAGAUAAUUACACAUAUAAAUAUAACCAAUAUAUAUUUUUAUAUAUUUUAAAAUACAAGUCUUUACGUAAAUGCCCUUCACGGGUCAAGCCACAAGUCUGUGUUUUGGGGAUUGCUUAGCUGCAUCAAUCCUGCCAAUGUCAAUUUUGCCCCUGGGCUCUCUCAAAGUACGUUUAAAACCUAUGCUAACAUAUACUAGAGUUUAUGCUGUAUCUAGAAAAUGCCAACACUAAUUUCGUAACACGUAGAAAUUGUUAGAGAUUGGAAGUUUUUAUCAUUUUUUCUUCCAGUCUCUCCACCACUUAUUAAUACAGAUUACUCAUGUGAUGAGUUUACAAAACCUAUUUCUCUACUCUAGCAAAGACUAUACUUCUUCUCAAAAGACUAGAUCACUUUACCUCUAUCUCUGUGAAAUGUAAAAAGUUGAAACUUUAAUGUCAAACCUCGACAAAGUGUUCUACUUUACAAACUUCUUGUGUCUACCAAUUUCUACUAAAAUUAAUUUCUCUACGGUGCUCAGAUUCAUCAUAUGUGUGUCCUUAAUUUUAGUGGAAAUUGGAAGUUUCCAUAAUUUUUGCUUUAAGUCACUCUUCUGAAGGAAGUUGAGGUUCCACUCCAUAAUCCAAAAUGUCAGGUUGACUUAUGGCAAACAAUGUAAAUAUGUAGGAGUACUAUGACCUUUUAUAGCAUUUUUAGUUUGAAUUUGGGUUUUAUACAUAGAUUUCGAAAUUAAUAGGUUGAUGCCUAGGAAAUAGAAAUUGUAAGGGCCUAUAUUAGACUAGCCCUCUUAAAAAAUAUAUUAAUUAAUGAAUAUUUGUUCUUCUUGUUGUUUUGAAGUAGUGGUGGGAGGCAUACCAACAAAAAAAAAAAUAUAGUGAAGGCUUAUAAGAGCAUUUACAAUCAUGCUCCCUAUUUUUUAGUUAAAAUUUAGCUAAAAAUAGAAAAAAGUUAUUAUAGGAGCUCUUUAUAAAAUUUGAACUCCAAUCAUACUCCCUAGUUUAGGGAGUCAAAAAUACUAUAGUUAUUUUUUAAUUCAAUUUGAUUUUGGUUAAUCUCUAUAAAUAAAUAAAAAUAUGAAAAAAUAGUUAACAUUAAUUAAAAGUUUAAACUAUGCAUAAAACAAAGAAACAUUAAAUUAUAGGGAGCCACUAUGAGUCGUUACUCUCUCCUCAGAUUUAGGAGCUCCUAGAGGUCUCCCUAUUUUAUGAGGUGGAUAAGGAGCAUGGUUGGAGUUGUAUUUCUUCAAUUUCCUCCCUAAAAUUUGUCUAAGGAUGUGGUUUAGGGAACCCAUUGUGAAUGCUCUAACUCUGGUAAAACACGAGUGACAUGGACAACAUAUGUUACGUCGUACAGAAGAUUUUUGGGUUUCUUUAAUUGGUUAAGUAGCAUCCACAAUGAGCUUCCUAAAUCAUCUCCUUAGACAAAUUUUAGGGAGGAAUUGGAAAAGUACAAUUCCAACUAUGCUCCCUAUCCACCAACUAAAAUAGGGAGACCUCUAAGAGCUCCUAAAUCUGAUGAGAGGGAAAGGACUCUUAAUGACUCCUUAUAAUUUAAUGUUGCUUUACUUUAUGCAUAUUUUGAACUUUUAAUUAAAUCAAAUUAUUAUUUUUAUAUUAUUUUGUAUACAGACGGGUUAAUUAUAUUAAAUUAAAAAAUAAUUAAAAUAUUAAUGACUCUCUAAACUAGGAAGCAUAAUUGUAGAUCAUCUUAUAUACCUUAAUUUGAAGAUUCUUUAUUUGGGUUUCUUUCAAGACUUAUCACCUUAGCCACACCACCUACACGUCUGCAAGCUUCCGUAAUCUAACAAGGAAGGGGAGGCUGCGCAAUACUUAUCACCUUAGCCACACCACCUACACCACAAGACCAAUAUGUGUAGUCCAGCAGGCUUUCCAAUUUUAAUAUAUAUUAUAAAAUAAAAUAAAAAUCAAUCUAUUAUCAUAUAUAUUAUAAAAUAAAGAUUAUUGCUCCAUCCUCCAUGCACUUGCAUGCCCUCUUACAAAGUGUGAAGUAGAUUUUGUGUGCUCCAAGUCAUUGACGAGAGCUGUAACAUGGUUAGCUGGAUUUAUAAGAUCUUUUCUUUUCUGGGAAUUUUCUGAAUUAAGAAAAAUCAAGUAAAAUUAAUAAAGCAUAAAUUAGAAAGGGAAAAUAUCUAGAGGAUGCAUUGUAGGAUUGCACAUGCCAAUAAUUGUAUCCUCUAAAUAUAUAGCGACACAUUUUUUUUGUUUUCAUGACUUGUGGUCCUAAAAUUAUUGUUCCUAGCGGGCUUUUCACCCUCUCUCGAUUGAAAAUCAAUUGUGUAAAUCUUCAAUCUUGAAUGAUGCACCUAAAACUCAAGUGUCCCAGGCCAAUUAUUGCUCUCAUACCACUUGUUGUAAUAAACAUUCACCCAUUCUAAAGGAAAGAUAACCAUCGAUAUUAUCUGAAAUUUAACCACUUAAGUUCAUUAUGAUUAACUAUGUAUCUUAUGGACCAAUCCAAUCGUAAGGUUUUAUACUCAAUUAGAUCGACCAAUACAAAGUUCACACUGGAUUAAAAAGGGCUAUCGGUAGGGGAGUGUUCGGCACCCUUUACUGUGGAGCGCAACACAAGACCCCUUGCAUGCCCUCACUAAGUUGAGCCCAACUAUUUUUGAGCAUUAACAAUAUAUAUAGAUUGAAAAAAUAAAAUAAAAAUCAAUCUAUUAUCAUAUAUAUUAUAAAAUACAUAUUAUUGCUCCAUCCUCCAUACACUUGCAUGCCCUCUUACAAAGUGUGAAGUAGAUUUUUUGUGCUCCAACUCAUUGACUAGGGCUGAAACAUGGUUAGUUGGAUUUAUAAGAUCUUUUGUUUUUUGGGAAUUUUCUGAAGCACGGAAAAUCAAAUAAAAUUAAUAAAGCAGAAACUGUACCCUUUAAUUAUAUAUGGACAUAUGUUUUUUUGUUUUCAAGUCUUAGAUGACAUGGGGACCCCUCUCAAAUUUAAGUGGUCCAUUAUUGUUAACCACAUAUUUUAUGGACCAUCCAGCUUCGGUACAUUUCUCCCACAUGCCACAAUUGUAUAUUCACAAUUACGUCUGAUACAUCACAUCAUGCCACUUGCCUCACAUGCCACAAUUGUAUAUUCACAAUUACUUCUGGGUACCCCUCAUCAGUCGUCUAUAAAAUGGUGAAGCCAGUUGCUACUGUUACCAUAAGAGCCAGCUCCGACUUUCUUUAAUUUCUUGCUACAUCUGUUGCUAAGUUAAUUUCAGUCCUAAUGGGGUUUCAUCUCCCACUCAUCUUUGCUAUUCUCAGUGUAAGCUCUGCAAUUUGAUUAACUUUUCCAUUCUCUCUCAUUGUACUCUAUAUAUAUAAAUGAAAGUUUUGUGUUCCUAUAAUUCUCUCCGAUUUUAUUUAGUACGUACUUAAGUGUCGUCCACUAAUUAAUUACACUUUGUGAGAUUUGAUUUUAAUUAGAGUUCGAAUUAAUGUUGCAGCUAGCAGCGGUUGCACUGGCAAACAAUGCUGCUCAACCAGCACCUCAACUUUACUGGAACUCCGUCCUGCCAAACACACAGAUGCCAAGAUCUAUCAGUGAACUUCUGCAUCCUGGUUUGUGUUCAGCUCUUUAUAAUCUUAGAUAUCUCUUCUACCUGCCAUUUUACUAAACUAUGUUCGACCACAUAUUUAUCAGUUAACUACUGUCAUUACAAGAAUGACACUUAUUUUCCAAUAUAAUUUGCAGACUCCACAAAUGAAGAAAAGAGCAAACCUGAAAUUUUCCCAUUGCAGGGCAAUAGAGUUUACACUCAAAGCCAUUAUAAAAAACGUCCUCCUCCUCCAUCUGACGAGGGCAAACCUGAAAAUUUCCCAUUGCAGGGCAAUAGAGUUUACACUCAAAGCCAUUAUAAAAAACGUCCUCCUCCUCCAUCUGACGAGGGCAAACCUGAAAAUUUCCCAUUGGCCAAUAGCUUUUACACUCAAACCCAUUAUAAAAAACGUCCUCCUCCUCCAUCUGACGAGGGCAAACCUGAAAAUUUCCCAUUGGCCAAUAGCUUUUACACUCAAAGCCAUUAUAAAAAACGUCCUCCUCCUCCAUCUGACGAGGGCAAACCUGAAAAUUUCCCAUUGGGCAAUAGCCAUUACACUCAAAGCCAUUAUAAAAAACGUCCUCCUCCUCCAUCUGACGAGGGCAAACCUGAAAAUAUCCCAUUGGCACGUUCAGGUUACCAACGAAAAAAUUAUGGAGCAAGUCCUCCUCCAUCUGACAGUCAACUAAAGCAUUAUAAAGACUUAGCUAUUUUCUUCUUCGAGAAGGACAUGCGCCCGGGCACAACUAUGAAGUUCCAAUUCCCUAGAAAUUCAAACACGGCUACUUUCCUGCCACGCGAAAGUGCUCAAUCGAUCCCCUUCUCCUCUAAGAAACUACCAGAAAUUUUCAACCAUUUUUCAGUGAAGCCAACAUCUGAGGAAGCCAAAACAAUUAAGCAAACAAUCGAAGAGUGUGAAGCUCCAGGCCUUAAGGGAGAGGAAAAAUAUUGCGCCACAUCUUUAGAAUCAAUGGUUGAUUUUAGCACUUCGAAGCUUGGAACAAGAAACGUUGAAGCAAUCUCAACGCAGGUAUUGGAAGAAGGAGCCACCAAGUACAUGCACAACUAUACAACAAUCCCGGGACUGAAGAAGUUGGUAGGUGACAAAGUCGUUGUGUGUCAUAAGGAGAACUAUCCCUAUGCUGUGUUUCUCUGCCAUGCAAUAAAACAAACAGAAGCUUAUGUUCUCUCCCUGAAAGCCGAUGAUGGGAUGAAGGUGAAAGCAGUAACCAUCUGCCAUCUAGACACAUCAGAAUGGGACCCAGAGCAUUUGUCCUUCCAAAUCCUCAACGUUAAGCCCGGAACCACUCCCAUCUGCCAUUUCCUUUCCACUGAUGCUAUUGCCUGGGUUCCAAAACACAAAUCUGCAUGAUCAUCACUUAGCACUGUACGUAUAAUAAGCUUGGUCGGGUUGCACCCUAGGCCUGCAUAAUUAUCUCCCUACUUAUUUCUGCCUCUUCAUCAUGCGGUGUAAGAUAUAUGAUGAGAUGAAGUUUUCUCUUGUAACUAUGUAGACUACUUCAACUUGUACUCAUAAUAAAGCACGCUGUUGGGGGGUUCUACUUAAUUUCGUUCUCUCCAAUGUUUGAGUGUUGAAUUGUUACGUUGGAAUAGGCUGCUAAUGCAUGUAGUUAGAGAAGCCUUCAUUUAUAUCAAAGUCCUCAAACUAUCAAGAAUUAAUGUAUCCAGAAACAUAUACCAAGACGCAAAACAACAUAUUUUCCAUUCUCUGUCUGUAACACCAAGGCAAACUUCCUUUAUCACAUCAUUUAAAGGAUCAAAUUCCAGUACUAAUCUAAUCCAUCAUGUAAAGCAUACAAGUGCCUACCUAAAUUUGUCCAUUGGAUAUAUAUGUCACUUUUUAUUUUUUGAUAGAGAUAUAAAUGUUGAGAAAAUUAGAGUACACAACUCCAAUAUAGACUUGUUGGAGACAAAACAAGUAAACAAAUUACUUGUAUUAGACUCACAAAAUAUUACAACAAGACAACUCUCAAAGAAAAGACAAACUCUCACACUUCUCACAAGGACUACUUAACUUUAUAGCUUAUUGCAUAUAGCAUAUGCAAACACAAUUAGAACAUACCUACGUACACUAUGGGAACACUCGUGUAUAUUUGAACACAAGAAAACAUGUGCGCACCGUGCACGGUUCACAUGAAGUAAGAAAUGAAGAGGAAAUAAAGAAGAAGAAUACAAAAGAAAAUGGAGAUGAGAAAAAAAAAACACGAAUAAUGAAAAAUGAAUUGACAAUUAUAUAUGGUUGACAUUAGAUCUAAUAUUAUAUGUAAUAACUAAUGAUCUAAAAUAAACAUUAAAUCAAACAAUAAUUAAAAGAUUUGACAAUAUAAAAAUUUACACGUCAGCAAACUCACCAUGGUAAGUUUGCUGACGUGUAAAAAUUGUGAAUGGACUACAUCGAAAAAUAAUUGGCUUACAUCAAAAAUUAAAAUCACGUGGGUUAUUCCUAAGAAACCUUAAUAUUUUUAGGUUUAUAUAUUUUUUGUAUUUAAAAAAAAAAAAAAAAAGAGAAAUCUGACCAUGUAUGUAUGAUGAUGAUAUGCAUGUUAUUUUUAGACCUAAGGUAAAACAGACAAACUUUUUACUCCAUUUUUCAUGAGGUUUAUCACAAUAAUUAAACUGUUAUAUCCUCCAUUUUAGAUCUCAUGCUUCCAUUUAAAGAAAAGAAUAUCAACAACAAAAAAAGAAUAAAGUUACAACAUUGAUCAAUUCAAAUGUCCAACUACCGGAUCAUGAGCCCUUGCACUUAGCGAUAUGCAGAUAAAUGCGUAGUGUCUUAAUGCAGAAGCUCGGGAUCCCCAAUUACCAUUGAAACAUAAGAAACUAAAAUCUGCAAGAAAAUGCUAUCAAUUGAAAAAACAAUAAUUAAAAAACAAAAAAAGGAAGGGAAUUCGCACCCGCUAUGCAAAAAAGAGCAAGUCGGUUCAAUGAUUUUUUUCUUCUUCUUUUUGUUAUGGAAAUGAAAAGCUCAAUGAUGGGCUAUAUAUAGGAAGAAGCUCAAUGAUUGAAUUAUUAUCUUCUAUCUACAUUCUACCCUCUUCCUCGCUACAUACACAAAUGGUGCACACCAGUAACUAAGCUUGUUUUGGGUUUGGUGGCCCACUGUAAAAGCUCAAUGGAGAUGGUUUGAGGUAGAAUUUUCUCCUAUUUCAAUAGGACAAUGAUGAGAUCUAUGUAACAACAAAUUUCUUUAAUAAUGAUAACUAAAAAAAGUGUGAUUCAUUGAAUAUUUGCGGGGUUUUGUUCUAAGUCAACACCUCAAAUUCCUUUUACACCAUCAAAUUCAAAAAGUUUUAUUCAACCAUCUCGACCUUAUGCUAAAAAUUUAUUUUGUUCAUACUUAACGUACUAGGUAUUUAUUUUAUACCAACGAGUACGAUGGUCCAUAUAAGUAUUCUAAUCAUUCACUCCAGUUGCAGGCCCCAAUAAUUUAGAAGGGCCGAAGGUCUUUCUUUUUUUCUUUUUUCUUUUUUGAGAAAUUCUAUGAUUGCAUUCAUAAUUCAGGCAAAAAAGUCACUAGCCACAAAAGGGCCAGUACAACAACGGAGCGGUCUAAUAUCAAAAUUAAGACAAUCUAGUGUGUCUCCACUAACGAUCAGGCGAGCCGAUGGUCUUUCAUUGGAUGAAAGCUUCUAUCUACCGACCCCACUAUAUGAACUAUGCAAUGGUGAUGAUGUUACAUUGCAAAAAAUAAAAAGUCAAGGUUUCUUAUUAAUGUUAAUGAAGGCAUAGCAAAAAAUUUAUAGCUCCAAUGGUUCAAAGCAGUUACCCAUGCACUUGAGAUUCUGUGUUUGAAUGCCCUCUCCCCUAAUAUUGCUUGUAUAAAAAUAAAAACUUCUAAAAAGACAUUAAUAUUGUAUUCUAUAUUCUAUAAAGUGUUGGACAUGUCUUAUAUUGUUGACAACCCCCUAACACUUUGGUGGUGCCUAGUUAUAUUCAAUUCGUAUGUAUUUAAUUUGCCACUUACAUUCUUUCCUUAAUACAUUUAGGCUUAUUUUUAUACUAAUUUCUCUAACAUAACUUUUGCACAUUCUUUUAGUCUCUAAUAUAUAUAUUUUCUAAUAAAUAAUCAAGAUCUAAUAAAUAAUCUUACUCACUUGAGUUAUAAACUAUUUUCUUUUAGCACAGAAAAUCGACAUUUUGACAGAGAGUUGAAAACGACUCCCCAAUUUUAAUGUCAACCACUUGAAAAAAAAAACAUAAAUUUAAUGAAAACAAUUACAUUUAGCAAUGCAACCUAAAAACUCAACCUUUGCGCCCCUUUCACAACGUAGAUAGCAAGGUGAGGAUAUUCGGAUAAGAACCAAGACAGAAGCCAAAGGAACUGCGAUAGCCAACCAGAGUCUCCAUUUCUUACCAUUUGAACAACGCCACCAUUUUGUUUGGUAAGUAUUUAAUAACAUUUCUUGCUCUACAUAAAGUAAUAUUAAAACGGAAUUUGCCUAAAUUUUUCUUACCAGCAAUCCAUAUGGACAAAAAUAAAAUAAAAUAAAUAAAUUUACAAUUAUACUCAAUAUAGGAGCCCAAAUUAUUUAUAAUUAAAAAAACUUAUAUGAAAUGGACUUUAGAAACACACUUAAAACCUAUUUACAACAAAACAAAAAAACGUUUAACUUCUUUUAAAUUACAAAACUAUCAUUGAUUUCUUAAACAAACCCAACCCAAAAACUUCAUUAAAAAAAAAAAGCUCAAAAUAUUAGACUCACAAAAUAUUACAACAAGACAACUCUCAAAAAAAAGACAAACUCUCACACUUCUCACAAGGACUACUUAACUUUAUAGCUUAUUGCAUAUAGCAUAUGCAAACACAAUUAGAACAUACCUACGUACACUAUGGGAACACUCGUGUAUAUUUGAACACAAGAAAACAUGUGCACCGUGCACGGUUCACAUGAAGUAAGAAAUGAAGAGGAAAUAAAGAAGAAGAAUACAAAAGAAAAUGGAGAUGAGGAAAAAAAAAACACGAAUAAAUGAAAAAUGAAUUGACAAUUAUAUGUGGUUGACAUUAGAUCUAAUAUUAUAUGUAACAACUAUUGAUCUAAAAUAAACAUUAAAUCAAACAAUAAUUAAAAGAUUUGACAAUAUAAAAAUUUAUUGAGGACAAAAAAAGGCAAAAACUUAUGAAAAAUGGAAACAAUAAAUAUGAACUGAGUCAUCAACUCACCAUGGUAAGUUUGCUGACGUAUAAAAAUAGUCAAUGGACUACAUCGAAAAGUAAUUGGCUUACAUCAAAAAUUAAAAUCACGUGGUCUACCUACUAUAUAGGAUGAAAAAAUUAGGUGAACAAUAUACUUACACCAUGGGAACACUCCUAUAUAUUUGAACACAUGAACACGUGUUCAAGGUUAUAUAUUUCAUUACCUUCACAAUAGGUACCAAACCGUACCAUGCGAACAUUCAUAUACGCACAACAUACUUAUAACAUACCUACACUAUGGGAACACUCGUGUAUAUUUGAAAACAAGAAGACCUGUGCACCACCGUGCACGGUUCACAUGAAGUAAGAAGAUGAAGAGGAAAUAAAGAAGAAGAAUACAAAAGAAAAUGGAGAUGAGAAGAAGAAAAAAAAACACGAAUAAUGAAAAAUGAAUUGACAAUUAUAUAUGGUUGACAUUAGAUCUAAUAUUAUAUGUAACAACUAAUGAUCUAAAAUAAACAUUAAAUUAAACAAUAAUUAAAAGAUUUGACAAUAUAAAAAUUUACACGUCAGCAAACCCACCAUGGUAAGUUUGCUGACGUGUAAAAAUAGUCAAUGGACUAUAUCGAAAAAUAAUUGGCUUACAUCAAAAAUUAAAAUCACGUGGGUUAUUCCUAAGAAACCUUAAUAUUUUUGGGUUUAUAUAUUUUUUGUAUUUUUUUUUUAAAAAAAGAAAAGAAAUCUGACCAUGUAUGUAUGAUGAUUGUUGGUAAAUUUUAACAACAAUAUUAAAACCUUGCAAGUGCACAAAUCAAAUGAUAGUAUAGUAAGCAAGCAAGGGUCGAUCCCACAGAGAUUGUGAUCUAAAGAGAUGUUUAUCAAUGUCACGCAAUGAAAAUCAAAACAAAGGACUUCCAAACACAAGCCAACACCAAGGGGGGUUUUGAUUUGUUUUUGUGAAUCAAACAAAAUAAGGAAAAGGAAACAAAAGAGAAUUUAAAUUAGAGUUUAAGAGAAAUUGGUUUAAAAACAAUCAAGAACAAUAGCUAGGACUUACUAUCCACCUCCAAACAAUCAAUCAAUCCAUAAACAACAAUAGAUAAUCAAUUUCUAGCAAGCAUAUGAUGACGACACUCACAACAAGAUCAUGGCAUUUGACUCGAGUUGUAUGAUUCUCUCUUAAGUGUAUGUAAAGUGUAUGGCAUUUACAUCAAUACGUGUAUUCUUAAUUAAAAUCUAGUAUGACAUUUACUCAAAUUAACAAUCAAGAAUCCAUUAAGAUCAAAGAGAAUAUGAGUGUCACAAAAACCCUAAAACAUGACAUUUGUUAUUAGGAAUUCAAGAAUCGAUUUCUCAUAACUAGUUCUUAACCCAAUUAUUCGUUGCAAACAAGAACACAUUCAAUAUGGCAAUUGACCUAUGUUCUACAACAAUUUAAUUCCAAUACAUGCUUCUAAGUUAGCUACUCAAAGAAACAAAAUACCAGAAUUCACAUAACAUAGAGAAACCGAAAUCAUCACGCUUGUAGAAACUAAAAAUCCAUUAAACUUGUUUAUAAAAUUGAAAUCAUGUCUAGGGCUUCAAGAUUAAGCCCUAACUAACAAGAAAUUAGUUACUCAUGGUCUUGGAUGAACUCAAAAAUAAAUACAUAAGAACUGAAAAUUAAAAGAAGGAAGGAAAAGAAAGAACUCGUUCGCAGCUUUCUCCUCUUGCGCAGUUGACCUCUUUAGGACGUGAAUCCUUUUUAUCAGGCCUUGGCUCGUCUUUUAUAUCACUUAUAUCAGAGUUCUAAACCCUAAAAUUGACUGAAAAGUCGUCCAAGAAGUCUUGAUAAACAAGGAAUCCAAAUAGGAAAGUAAAAAUCACAAUUCCUAACUCCACUGGGAUAUACAGCUCAGCCCAAUGUUCACACGAUUUGGGGAUCUUCGACCUUGUAGAAAAAUUAUUAAAAAUAUAUUUUAGAAAGAUAAAUGUCUUAUCUUUCCAACAUAUAUAGCACGUAACUUGAAAAAUUUGGAAAGGCUUCCGUUUCUUCACAUUCACGUAACAUGUACGAAACUGUCCUGUCUGCACGUGGGCUAACUUUACUUGUAAUACUGUACCAAUUGGCUCGGUAGAAAAUUCUAGAAAAAUAAUAGAUUGAACUUCAAGAUGUUAGCUUUCAUCUCCAAUUGGUCUUGUGCUAAAAUUCCUCCGAAAAGUUGAUUUUCCCUUAAAAACCUUCUAAGAGCGCAGAAAAGCUGAAAAUCAGAAGAAUAAAGUAAUAAGCCCUUUUUAAAUCUAAUUCUCUUACAAAACCAAAGUAAAAAGAGUACAUAAAUGAGUAUAUUUAUGGACUUAUCAAUGAUGAUAUGCAUGUUAUUUUUAGACCUAAGGUAAAACAGACAAACUUUUUACUCCAUUUUUCAUGAGGUUUAUCACAAUAAUUAAACUGUUAUGUCCUCCAUUUUAGAUCUCAUGCUUCCAUUUAAAGAAAAGAAUAUCAACAACAAAAAAAAUAAUAAAGUUACAACAUUGAUCAAUUCAAAUGUCCAACUACCAGAUCAUGAGGCCCUACACUUAUAGACUACGCAUUUUCUCGUAUUUUGCAAAAUUUAGACCAUUAUAAUAAUCUAACCCCUUCAAAUGUGAAACAUCAUCAAGUUUUUUUUCCUUCACUAAACAGAAGAGUUAAGUUUUAUUUGUGGGUAACUAAACUCUUGUUUAGAGCAUGUUUUUUAUUAUUUUUUUCUUUCUUCUGUGUAAAGUAUAAUGGGUUAGAUUAUUAAUUGUGGGUGACUAAAAUCUUGUUUAACAACAAUAGUUAACGUUUGUUUAGAGAAGAAAAAAAACUUGAUGAUGUGCCAUGUUCUAAAGGAUUAGAUUAUUAUAAUGGCCUAGAUUUAGCGAUAUGCAAAUAAAUGCGUAGUGUCUUAAUGCAGAGGCUCGGGAUCCCCUACUACCAUUGAAACAUAAGAAACUCAAAUCUUCACGAAAAUGCUAUCAAUUGAAAAAACAAUAAUUAAAAAACAAAAAAAGGAAGGGAAUUUGCACCUGCUAUGCAAAAAAGAGCAAGUCGGUUCAAUGAUUUUUUUUCUUCUUCUUUUUGUUAUGGAAAUGAAAAGCUCAAUGAUAGGCUAUAUAUAGGAAGAAAAAAAUGGUGCACACCAGUAACUAAGCUUGUUUUGCGUUUGGUGGCCCACUGUAAAAGCUCAAUGGAUGUAACACCCCGACUCCAAAUUAAAUUCCCUAUCUAAAUUAUUUAAUUUAAUUAAAUAUGGAAUUUCCAAUUUACCCUUGGGGUAGGGGUAUUUUGGUAAUUCUCUUAUCCAGAGAGAUUUUGGAGCAACAAGUGGUAUUUUUAGGUAGAUCAUACUUAGACGAGUCCGUAGAUACGUAGUGGGCUCGAUUCGGAGUUGUAAUGAAGAAGUUACGAUCAAAACAAGUUUUUUUUUUUUUUUUUGGAGAAAUUCUAUAUGAUUGCAUUCAUAAUUCAGCCAAAAAAGCCACUAGCCACAAAUGGUCAAUACAAACUAGCAACAAAAGGGCCAUUACAAUAACGGAGCGGUCUAAUAUCAAAAUUAAGAAAAUCAGGUAUGUCUCCACUAACGAUCAGGCAAGAUCGAAGAAACUCUGGCAUAGGCAUCCCAACUAAGAUUGCAAACUUAGAAUAAUAAAAAAGAGAUAAAGCUUGAAAAAACCAAGCCAUAACAAUACAAAUAAAACUCUCACCAAGGAUAGAUGAAAAGCUGUCACAAAGGAGAAAUGAAAAACUCUCACAAAAGGAGAGGUGAAAACUACACAGACAACCCAAAGAGUCUCUGCAACUUAUUCCAAACAUAAAGAAAAUGCAAAAAAGAUGGUGGUGGAGAUCCGACGCCGAAAUGCAGGUGAAGAUCCAACGUUGAGCCGCAGCCGCCUAUAAUGGUUGGAUGAAAAUCCUAACAAAACUAAGAAAAUAGGGACAACCAUUUAUCUUUGAAAAUGGGGGAAGAGGUGAAAGGAGGAAGAAAGGAAGAGAAGAGGGGAGAGGAGGGAAGAACAAUGGCUUUCUCCCCCUUCAAAGUGGAAAAGGCUCUAAGAGUGUUUUUUGGGAGAAAGGGGGCACGAUCAAAACAAGUUUAAUAGCACAAUCAUAAUUAUUUCGAAGUUGGUUUUUAAUAAAUCAGAAAACACACACACACACACACACACACACACACACACUCUCUCUCUCUCUCUCUCUCUCUCUCUCUCUCUCUCUCUCUCUCUCUCCCGUGCGAUUCUUCCUCCCUCGUCAAACAGCAGCGGUGGUUUUUUCCACCGCCACUGCCACACGCCACCAUACGAGGUGGCACCGGUCCCAAAAGGACACCCAGCUCAUCCUCUUCCAACCCCAGCCAAGCCACGCCGCCAGCAGCAACGAGAUUUGCUGGAAACCGCAGAAAAUCCUGCCGGUUUUUCCUAAACUUCAAACCUCUCGUUCUCUCUCAUUUCUCCACCGAUUUGGAUGUAUAGGGUAUGGAUUUCCACCUAUUUUUCAUGAUCUAGCUGAUGGUAAGGUAGGAUUUCAUUAAUUUUGAGCUUAGGUUAGUUGAUUCUCUAUUUGAAAUUCUGCCGGUUUUGGGAUCGCGUUUUCGGCCAUUUCCGGUCACUUUUUGGGGUAGGCCCAAGAACAAAAGUAACUCCAAAUGGGGUUUUACACCUAGGGUAGGAGUCUGGGCCUGAUAUUUUGAGGUUUUUUCGGCAAGUGUUAUCGCUUUAGACACCCACGCACUGCCCGUGCGUGGGCACUGUAGCAAAGGUGCAUUUUUACCCCAAUGUGUUCCCCUACUUGUCACGAGUUCGUGGGUGUGCUCGGAUUCCAAUUCGUAUAUCGUUUGACUAUCGAACAGAUUUACGCCUAUUGUGUGUCAUCCGGGUUCAAUUUGUUCGGACCGUUGGAUCGAGUUCAAAUUAAUAUAUGUUGAUCUAGGCACUCCUAGGAUCGUGUAGGAAUUCACGGAUCGUGAAUCGAAGCCCCGGAUGUUCCUAUUCAAUAACUUAAAAUUUGUGUUAAACGAUAACCGUCCGAUCGUGCAAUCGCGAGCGAUCCGACUGCUCGAUCGAGACCAAACUCUUGGGAUGUGUUUAGGAAACUCUGUUGGACCUUUAGGAACUUUUGGAUUGUAAUUGGGAGGUUGUGGGCCCCGUGGGCCAGGUUGAUUAUCGGUUGACUAAUUUGACUAGUGGGACCGGAUAGUUGACCACGAGUCUUUGGAGAACAUUUUGUCUCUUGUUAAGUACUAAGAUGGCCUUAGGGUUUUACAAGGACGUGCACCCCCUGUGAGUCCUGAGAGUUAGGAUUUUGAAUUAAAGUUCAGUGUUGGAUUUGAGUAUUCAGUUAAUCUUGGUAUUCUCUCAAAUAGGUUCUUUGGCGCUAGGAAUCGUUCUUGACAAAACCGCGGAGGGUUGAAUGCGCUUUGGACCGUGUGUGAGUAGACAUUUAUUUUCUAAAUGGUUUUAUGAAACUCUUGGAUUGUGAUUAUAAUUUGUGUUGUUUUAUGGAUUUGAUGAUUUAUGGUUAUUAGUUUUCUAAUAGAAUAUUAUGCAUAUUCGAAUUUAGUUUGAAAACUAUUUUGAAAGAAUUAUAAAUGGUUUGAAUCAAAUAAUGAAAUUGGGGUUUUAUCUCGGUUUUAAAGAGAAUUUUGAUUAAUUAAUUAAUUAUAAUGCAUACUUGGAACUUUAUUUGGUUUUGAAAGAUUUGUGUUUUAUUUGAGAUAACUAAGAAGGGAUUUGAGAAACAGUGUGGUAAAUAGGGAUUUGUGGAAAAAAGAAAAGAAAAAAAAAAGGGCUUUUAUGAUUAAGUGUUGGAAUUGGAUUUCAAACCCACCCUAGAAACCUAUCCCUGGUUGCCUACAAAAUGUAUGAGAUGCCUUGGGAAUAAAUGAGUUGCCUCGGAAAAGAUAAAAAUGGUUGCCUUUGGAAAAAGUGUAAUAAGUUUCCUUCGGAAAUUAUGGUUGCCUUCGGUUAAGUCUGUGCACAUAACUAAGAUUGUCUAUACCUACAUAGAGACUACUCUGUAGGUAUCCGGCCAGAGUAUAUUGUCUGUACCUGUGUUGACUAUGCAGGUGUCCGGCCAGUGAUUUGCCUGUACCUACAUAGAGAUUACUUUGUAGGUGUCCGGCCAGUAUUUUGCCUGUACCUGCUUAUGUGGUUGUUCGGCCAGGAUUUUCCCACUACACCUAUCUGAUUGUCUAUAUAGGUGGUUGAUGUAACACCCAGACUCCAAAUUUAACUCUUAUUUAAAUUAUUUAAUUAUUUAAGGGGAAUUACAAAUUUACCCUUGAGAUAAGGGCAUUUUGGUUAUAUUCUUAACCGGAGAGAGUUUGGGGUAGGUCCAAGAACAAAAGUGGCUCCAAAUAGGGUGUUAUACCUAGGGUAGGAGUUUGGAGCCGUGGUUUUGAGAUUUUCCGGCGAAGCUUUAUCGCUUUGGGCACCCACGCGCUGCCGGUGAGUGCGGCGGCGCAUGGGCACUGUAGAAAAAGUGGCAUUGUGUCUCGAUGAGAUCCUUAGGUUGUCACGAGUGCGUAGGAUUUCGCGGAUCUCAAUUUGGACGUCGUUUGACUAUCGAACGAAUAUCGCCUAUUGUGCGUUAUCCGGGUUCGAUAGGUUGGGACCGUUGGAUGGUCCCAAAUUUAAUACAUGUUAAUCUAGGUAUUUCUAGGAUCGUGUAGGAAUUCACGGAUUGUGAAUCGGAGCCCUGGAUGUUCCAAAUAAGAAUUUUAAGUUUAUAUUUUAUAUUAACCGUCAGAUCGUGCGAUCGUGAGCGAUCCGACCGUCAGAUCGUGCGAUCGUGAGUGAUCCGACCGUCCGAUAUGAACCAAACUUGCAGGACGAGUGUCCUAUACCUUGUAAAACCCAUAGGGACUUUCGGAUCGGAAAUUGGAGGUCGUGGGCUCCGCAGGUCCGUUUGACCAGGGUUAAGGUAGUUUGACCCUUGGUUGACUGUGAGUCUCCCGGAGUAAAUCUCACCUACUUUUCAUGCUCUAGCUGCCUGUUGGGUAAGAUUGGAUCGAUUCUUAGCGUAGCCAAUUCGAUUUUCGAAUUGAAAUUCGGCCGAUUUUGGGAUCGCGAUUCCGGCCACUUCCGGUCAGUUUUUGGGAAAUGUCCAAUUUAUAGAGGAGACUCUGCCAAAAUUUCGGCAGGAAGUCUCGGUCUUUAGUAAGUGGGCCUGGCAUCGGGAUGAUGUCGGGAAUUCCAAAGGGUUUGCCUCGGGUUCUGAAAAAUUCGGGGCGGGUCCUUUCAGUUGAUCAGUUUUCCCCUAUUCUCGGUUACCUCAGUAUAUUGUCUGUACUUGUAUCACAAAUGCGAGUGUCCGGCCAGUGAUUUUUUCCCAGGAUGUUCCCCUGCCACCCUGCCGAUUUAUUACACAGGGUAGGCCAGUUAUUUUCCCCAUAGGUGUACUUGCAUGGAGAGAUUUCGUAUAACUUGGUUUGAGAUUGGAUUUUUGGAUGAUUUGUGUUUGAGCUUGCUUGAUUUAUUGGAUUCAAAUGAUGUUUUGAAACUGGAUUUUUAUGAAAUUAUAUUUUGAGUUGUAUUGGAUUUAAAUGUUAUUUGAAGUACAAAUUUGGGUCAAUGAUAUUUUAUUUACUAGAGUUUAUUUUACUUGCACAUGUAUUGAUUAUAUUUUGUUCCUGUAUAUAUACUUAUGUGUAUUAAUGAGUUUUCCAAAGGUUUGCAAAAACAGAGGGGUUAGUAUGUUCUGUAUAAUUACUUUCAAGAAAAACUUUCUUUUUGUCUACUCAUGCUUUUACUGUUUUGUGCCCCCAUGAAGUAGAUAGCUCAGCGUUCGGACAUCUACAUAAGCUACUCCGACGUCGGUGAAGUCCUUAUAAUUCUAAGUAUGAGACUUCAUCUUUCGUUCUCAUGGUUCAUUUGGAAAAUAAUUUUGUAAAUUCAACUUCUGUAGUUGCUCUGAUAUUUCCCACUUAGGAUUGAAAUUGAGGCCGGAGGCCAUGUGAAUUUUAUGUGUGCCUUAACUUGUGUGUGCUGCCUGUUGAGAUUAUUAGAUUGUCGGUAAUUGCAGGUGUUAAUUUGGAGAAAGUCCAUUUUAGAGAGGAGACUUUACCGAAAAUUUCGGUAGAAGUCUCGACCCUUUUAUCUUAAAAGUUUGGGUGAAAGGUGUAAAUUUAGUAGUGGGUCCGGCAUCUCUUAGGUGUCGGUCAGAUAGCAGGAUUCGACACGAGUUCCAAUGGGAAAUUCGGGUCGGGUCCUGUUAAUGGAGAUGGUUUGAGGUAGAAUUUUCUCCUAUUUCAAUUGGACAAUGAUGAGCUCUAUGUAACAACAAAUUUCUUUAAUAAUGAUAACUAAAAAAAGUGUGAUUCAUUGAAUAUUUGAGGGGUUUUGUUCUAAGUUAACACAUCAAAUUCCUUUUACACCAUCAAAUUCAAAAAAUUUAUUCAACCAUCUCGACCUUAUGCUAAAAAUUUAUUUUGUUCAAACGUAACGUACUAGGUAUUUAUUUUAUAUCAACGAGUACGAUGGUCCAUAUAAGUAUUCUAAUCAUUCACUCCAGUUGCAGGCCCUAAUAAUUUAGAAGGGCUGAUGGUCUUUUUUUUUUUUUUUUUUUUUGGUUGAGAAAUUCUAUGAUUGCAUUCAUAAUUCAGCCAAAAAAGUCACUAGCCAAAAAAGGUUGUUACAAUAACAGAGCGGUCUAAUAUCAAAAUUAAGACAAUCUGGUAUGCCUCCACUAACAAUCAAGCGGGCCAAUGAUCUUUCAUUUGAUGAAAGCUUCUAUCUACCGACCCCGCUAUAUGAACUAUGCAAUGGUGAUGGUGUUACAUUGCUAAAAACAAAAAGUCAAGGUUUCUUAUUAAUGUUAAUGAAGGCAUAGCAAAAAAUUUGUAGCUCCAAUAGUUCAGAGCAGUUACCCAUGCACUUGAAAUUCUGUGUUUGAAUGCCCUCUCCCCUAAUAUUGCUUGUAUAAAAAUAAAAACUUCUAAAAAGACAUUAAUAUUGUAUUCUAUAUUCUAUAAAGUGUUGGACAUGUUUUACAUUGUUGACAACCCCUUAACAUUUUGGUGGUGCCUAGUUAUAUUCAAUUCGUAUGUAUUUAAUUUGCCACUUACAUUCUUUCCUUAAUACAUUUAGGCUUAUUUUUAUACUAAUUUCUCUAACAUAACUUUUGCACAUUCUUUUAGUCUCUAAUAUAUAUAUUUUUUAAUAAAUAAUCUUACCCACUUGAGUUAUAAACUAUUUUCUUUUAGCACAGAAAAUUGACAUUUUGACAAAGAGUUGAAAACCACUCCCCAAUUUUAAUGUCAACCACUUGAAAAAAAAAACAUAAAUUUAAUGAAAACAAUUACAUUUAGCAAUGCAACCUAAAAACUCAACCUUUGCCCCCCUUUCGCAACCCAGAUAGCAGGGUGAGGAUAUUCGGAUAAGAACCAAGACAGAAGCCAAAGGAACUGCGAUAGCCAACCAGAGGCUCCAUUUCUUACCAUCUGAACAACGCCACCAUUUUGUUUGGUAAGUAUUUAAUAACAUUUCUUGCUCUACAUAAAGUAAUAUUAAAACGAAAUUUGCCUAAAUUUUUCUUACCAGCAAUCCAUAUGGAAAAAGAAAAAAAGAAAAAAGAAAAAUACAAUUAUACUCAAUAUAGGAGCCCAAAUUAUUUAUAGUUAAAAAAUCCCUAUAUGAAAUGAACUUUAGAAACACACUCAAAACCUAUUUACAACAAAACAAAAAGACUUUUAACUUCUUUUAAAUUACAAAACUAUCAUUGAUUUCUUAAACAAACCCAACCCCAAAACCUCAUAAAUAAAAAAAGCUCAAAAUACUCAAUAAAACAUCAAAGUAAUUUAAUAAUUAAAAUUAAAUUCAAUAGGGACAUCUGUUAUUUUUUGGGUUUUUUUGUUUGUUUAUAGAAAUUAAAUGAUGUAGAAUCUAUCUAUAUUAUUAGUGCUAAGAAUGGAUAUGUGACUAUAUAACUCAAAAAAAAUUUAUAGUAAAUCUACAAUUUUUUUUUAAACAAAAAUCUAUAGAAUCUUUUAUUAGAUCAAUAAUCAAUAGUCACUACUAGAAAAUCUUCAUAUAAGCCACUAAUACACCCGUAACUUAUACAAAUGUGAGCUACUGACAAACCUGUAGCCAAAGAGUAUUGGCCACCUACCACACGACAGUGGUCCAAGCAUAAUGUUGUCAUUCAUUAUUCCCCACAGCAACCAGCAUCCAAUAAAGGGCUGGGCCCCACCCAUAUUCCACCUCUCUUUGUGAAUAUAAAAGAAAUAUUUUUUAUUCAACAUGGACGCAGAAACUGUUGCUAAACUGCAAACUUCUUAAAAUAUUUGUCUCACUUUCUAGAUCCAUGUACUGAGAUUUAUUAGGGAAAUAUUGUAGAAACUGAUUAUUUUGAAAUAUUAAAUGUGAAAAACUGAACAAAAAUUUGAUGGAUUACAUAUUUCAACUCAUUUCAGCAGCUUAGAUUUUGAAGACCUCUGAAGAGGCUAUGCAAUGAGCCUGGCUAUAGUACACUGUUGAUCACUUCAGUGUCUACCGAUCUGUAAUUUUUCCAGAUUGGUUAUAUUUUCCUUUACAUAUGUAUGCUUAUAUUAUUCCCAGCUGUAAGUGUUUUAGCAACAGGGUUACAAACUUCUUCUACAACACACCAACAUGAAUCUAGCCCUGAUCCACUCUUCACAUACUUGAAAACAAAACAAAACACGAAAAACAAAAAACAAGAUAGGGAGAAAAUGGCCUUGAUCAAUAACAGAGAUAAUAGAGUACACUGUUUAGGGUGAGUAUCAGAAGAAUAAUAGCCGCAAAGAGAGAAAUAGCUGCCCAAGGUGUGUUGAAAUACUUUUGUCUCAAAUUUGCCUUCCAUCUGUUCGUGGUCUUCUUGCAGUACUCGUUUAGUUUGCCAGCAAGAUCACCAAAAUAGUAGUUUUCGGAGCAACUUUACUGCAAAGCUUGUUAAUCAUAAUGGAAACCUGAUUGUUGUCACCUAGCGUGUUUACAACAAUUCCAUUGUCAACAAGCAACUCUACAUCCUUUGGGGUGUUUACAAAUUUAUCCAGGAUGAAAACAUAAUCGCUUAUGUAUUUAUCCACGCAAUGGCAUUGUUCAAAGGCAAUGAGAUUUCUAUGUGUAAGCUCUGUGUAAUCAUGUAUUUCAAUUUUUGGAAUUUCCAAGGUGUUUUUCUUGAACUGUAUAUCGAAUAAGUUCUUGCUUGAUCCCACGUUAAACUUAACUCCGGCCUGGUGUAGUUUUGUCAUGCUGGGUGUACUUUGGAGCCCUACAUUUUCUUUUAGGGUCGGAUCUGGCAGAUGUAAAGGUUUUUUAGGAUCAGGUGGCAUAAAAGACUUACGGAAGGCUGGUGAGUUCUCCAAGUUUUUUCUAAACGGAAGAACCUGUAAGAGAGUUCAAUUAUUGAAGGCUCCCCAGUCUGAGCAGCUGUGAGAUUGUAAAGAUCCUCGAGAAUGAAAAAUGGCAGCUGAUUUUCGAGCAUAAGCAUGUCAGGCAAUAUAUUUUGUGGCACCCAUGGUUUUUUAAAUAUCCAAGCAUUAUCAUCCUGCAAUUUUUCUUCCUGAAAUUUUUCUUCGGAUUUAUUCCUCAACAAUAGCUCAAUGACAAAGGCGGCGUCAACUAGAAUGAUAUUCACAAAAGCAGCAAUGUUAAAACUUCUUAGUGUCUUCAUAACAAUGACGGAGAUCACCUUCUCUCUCCUUUAUUUUCUCUAAAUAAUCCUUCAAUCCUACUACUUUAGUCCGAUUAAGAAAGCAUUUUAGGUACCUGAGUUUGUGAUCUUCCAUGGCUUCUAAGUUUUUGCUGGCAUGGUGAAGUGGGUCUAUUGAGACUACUUGUGGUGUGUAGGCCUUUUGUUUUACGUUCCGUAGUCGCUCAGGCACCCUGUAGAUCCAGCAGGCAGGGGACAGGGCACGCAAGUUUGUCAACCGAUUUUCCAUGGAAGUUGCUUGGUUUUCUAUGUCAAAAGAAGCUUCAUUGCUGCUUUCUUCCACUUUCUUCAUCCCCGUAUGUGUUGUUCUGAUUGUAAGUGACGAGGAUGGUGAUGAUUCUAGACACCAUAAUCAACAAAUGUUUCAAUCAUAAUUGACAUUUCAAGAUGCUCCGACAAAAAAUUAGAAAACAUUCAUCACACAAUGCGAACUCAUACAAUAGAUGGGUUGAGAAGAUCCACACAUUGCAAUCAUACAAUCCAAUUGCACAGGGAUUAGUCCCUAUUCUCCUCUCUCUCUCUCUCUCUCUCUCUCUCUCUCUCUCUCUCUCUCUCUCUCAAAAAGAUUUUCAUAUCGAUAACAUCUUAUUGCAAGGGACUGGUACAUCAAGUAGUGAAGAACAGAAAUUCAUAUUCUUUCAAUCAAAAUGUAUAAAUUUUGAAAAAGUUUGUUUUAUUUUUGGGGGAAAAAAAUCUGAACAUAUAUGUAUGUGCAUAUUAUACGUAGAUCUAAGGUGAAAACAGACCAGAUUUUUACUCCAUUUUUCAUGAGGUUUAAGUUCAUGAUGUAUAUAUUUAUCUCAAGUGUAACAUCUCACAUCGAUCAACGGAGAUGAGGUGAUGUGUCUUAUAUGUACAUGCUCGCCUCCAUCUAGCACAAGGCCUUUUGGGAGAUCACUGGCUUCGGAGUCAUAGGAACUCCGAAGUUAAGCGAGUUGGGGUUAGAGCAAUCCCAUAAUGGGUGACUCACUGGGAAGUUGCUCUUGAGUUCCCAAAAACAAAACUGUGAGGACAGAGAGGGGGGCCCAAAGCGGCCAAUAUUAUUCUACGGCAGAGCCGAUCCUGGGAUGUGACAAUUUGGUAUUAGAGCCACACUGCCGUGUGGUGCGAGUGUGCCGAAGAGGACGUUGGGCCCUUGAGGGGGGUGGAUUGUAACAUCUCACAUCGACCAACAGCGAGGGAGUGAUGUGCCUUAUAUGUACAUGCCCGCCUUCAUCUAGCACGAGGCCUUUUAGGAGCUCACUCACUUCGGAGCCAUAGGACCACCAUCCCAAGUUCAAUAUACAACCCAACAACCAUCUUAGCCAUCUUCUCAUUGAUCUUCCACCCAGCAUCCAACACUAUCUUCAUAAACUCUUUAGCUUAAUAUCUCUGUUGCUUUUGUUUUUUGUUUUUUUUAAUUUAAAUUUUUUAGUUUUUUUUUUUGGUUGGUGCAGAUUCAAUGAUAAAGAACAUCGAACUCGUCGCAACAUCCUGCCCUAGAUCCGAACUCUACCACCAUCACAACCCUCCCUCUCUCGAUCUCCAACCAACCUUAACACCCAACUUCAAAUCUUGGUUGUUUGAAACUCAGCCCCCUUCUCAAACCCCACCCUCUCUCUCUCUCUCUCUCUCUCUCUCUCUCAAAAUCAACAAGAUUUUCAUGUCAAUAAGAUAAGAUCUCAUUGCAAGUGACUUGUAGAUGAAGUGGGAAAGAACAAAAAGUCAUAUUCUUCCAAUCAAAACGUAUCAAGUCUAACAAAAUUUCUAGUUAGUUUGCUUUAUGAUAGUUGUUUUUUGAAGGGGUCCUUAGAUCCAAUCUCAAAAAGUUUGACUUUUAUUAUGUUUAACUCUGGUUUUUGCAAAUUUUUUUUUUUAUCUCUACCCACUAACUUUUAUCUCUCAUUUUUAUUACCCAUUUUACCCUUUAAAAUAAAUAUGGUAAUAAACUAAAAAUUCUGAUUCAAUGCAUGUUCAUAAGAGAAUUAAGGCCCCGUUUGGGAUUGCUUUUUUUCGUCAAAAACUUGUUUCACUUUAAAGUUAAGCAGUUUAAGGUGUUUGGUAAAAAUAAAAUAUCCUGAUUAUUUUAAAAGCAGUGGCCUUUUGACAGCUGCUUUUAAAAGCAGGUUCUGGGUUGCUUUUCAAAGCUGCUUUCAAAAGAAGCAAAGAUGAACUUUUAAUGAAUGUUUUUUAAUUCCCAAAAUACAAUCAUUCAUUUUAAAAAAUGACACCACCUCCACUUCCACAUCCAACUCCACCACUUGCACCACCACAUUCACUACCUCCACAACCACCGCCAUUACCACCACCACCACAUCCUUCUCCUCCUCAUCCUCCGCCACCACCACCAGAAGCAGAUCCAGAAAUUUUUCAGGAGAGGGGCAAUAAUGAUUUUGAUACUGCCCAAUUAAAAACAUAUUAUGAAAACCAGACCCUUAGUUAAUUUAAAGAUUAAUUAGCACGAUAAAAUAAAUACAUAAUUAAUAAUAAAAAUAUAUUAUCACAGUGAAAGAUUAGAUCAACAAACAAGUAGUAUCAAUCAAAUCCUAAUUAAACAAAAACUCUAAUAUCAAAGUGUGAUUUGAGAUCAUUGUGCAAGGACUCUUCUUCGUUGUUGUUUUUUAUUAUUUAAUUUUUUUGACAGAUGGGCUUCUUCAAAUUGGGAGCAUUGAGGUAAGCCUUUUGGUAUUACAUUAUUAUUAUUAUUAUAAUGAAAUAUUUAUUAUAACAACCAAGUAAUUGAAGCCAAACAAUGAAUCUUGAAACGGUUUGCACAAAAAACGAAGAGUUUGAAUUUUUGAAAAACACUUCAUUUAAACCAUUAAACAUAGAUCAAGGACGACGCCGUUUGUGACAAAUAAAAAUAGGGUUGUCUUCUUCAUUCGUGAACCAGAGCCUCCAUCAGGACACACCUCUACAACUCCUCCUCUACAACACAGUGUGUGCCUCAAUCGUGUAACUUGCCAUUUGCGAUUCAGGAGGCCUUAGAUCGUCGCACUCACGAGAUGCGCCUUGAUACACUUUUAAACGCUAGANNNNNNNNNNNNNNNNNNNNNNNNNNNNNNNNNNNNNNNNNNNNNNNNNNNNNNNNNNNNNNNNNNNNNNNNNNNNNNNNNNNNNNNNNNNNNNNNNNNNNNNNNNNNNNNNNNNNNNNNNNNNNNNNNNNNNNNNNNNNNNNNNNNNNNNNNNNNNNNNNNNNNNNNNNNNNNNNNNNNNNNNNNNNNNNNNNNNNNNNNNNNNNNNNNNNNNNNNNNNNNNNNNNNNNNNNNNNNNNNNNNNNNNNNNNNNNNNNNNNNNNNNNNNNNNNNNNNNNNNNNNNNNNNNNNNNNNNNNNNNNNNNNNNNNNNNNNNNNNNNNNNNNNNNNNNNNNNNNNNNNNNNNNNNNNNNNNNNNNNNNNNNNNNNNNNNNNNNNNNNNNNNNNNNNNNNNNNNNNNNNNNNNNNNNNNNNNNNNNNNNNNNNNNNNNNNNNNNNNNNNNNNNNNNNNNNNNNNNNNNNNNNNNNNNNNNNNNNNNNNNNNNNNNNNNNNNNNNNNNNNNNNNNNNNNNNNNNNNNNNNNNNNNNNNNNNNNNNNNNNNNNNNNNNNNNNNNNNNNNNNNNNNNNNNNNNNNNNNNNNNNNNNNNNNNNNNNNNNNNNNNNNNNNNNNNNNNNNNNNNNNNNNNNNNNNNNNNNNNNNNNNNNNNNNNNNNNNNNNNNNNNNNNNNNNNNNNNNNNNNNNNNNNNNNNNNNNNNNNNNNNNNNNNNNNNNNNNNNNNNNNNNNNNNNNNNNNNNNNNNNNNNNNNNNNNNNNNNNNNNNNNNNNNNNNNNNNNNNNNNNNNNNNNNNNNNNNNNNNNNNNNNNNNNNNNNNNNNNNNNNNNNNNNNNNNNNNNNNNNNNNNNNNNNNNNNNNNNNNNNNNNNNNNNNNNNNNNNNNNNNNNNNNNNNNNNNNNNNNNNNNNNNNNNNNNNNNNNNNNNNNNNNNNNNNNNNNNNNNNNNNNNNNNNNNNNNNNNNNNNNNNNNNNNNNNNNNNNNNNNNNNNNNNNNNNNNNNNNNNNNNNNNNNNNNNNNNNNNNNNNNNNNNNNNNNNNNNNNNNNNNNNNNNNNNNNNNNNNNNNNNNNNNNNNNNNNNNNNNNNNNNNNNNNNNNNNNNNNNNNNNNNNNNNNNNNNNNNNNNNNNNNNNNNNNNNNNNNNNNNNNNNNNNNNNNNNNNNNNNNNNNNNNNNNNNNNNNNNNNNNNNNNNNNNNNNNNNNNNNNNNNNNNNNNNNNNNNNNNNNNNNNNNNNNNNNNNNNNNNNNNNNNNNNNNNNNNNNNNNNNNNNNNNNNNNNNNNNNNNNNNNNNNNNNNNNNNNNNNNNNNNNNNNNNNNNNNNNNNNNNNNNNNNNNNNNNNNNNNNNNNNNNNNNNNNNNNNNNNNNNNNNNNNNNNNNNNNNNNNNNNNNNNNNNNNNNNNNNNNNNNNNNNNNNNNNNNNNNNNNNNNNNNNNNNNNNNNNNNNNNNNNNNNNNNNNNNNNNNNNNNNNNNNNNNNNNNNNNNNNNNNNNNNNNNNNNNNNNNNNNNNNNNNNNNNNNNNNNNNNNNNNNNNNNNNNNNNNNNNNNNNNNNNNNNNNNNNNNNNNNNNNNNNNNNNNNNNNNNNNNNNNNNNNNNNNNNNNNNNNNNNNNNNNNNNNNNNNNNNNNNNNNNNNNNNNNNNNNNNNNNNNNNNNNNNNNNNNNNNNNNNNNNNNNNNNNNNNNNNNNNNNNNNNNNNNNNNNNNNNNNNNNNNNNNNNNNNNNNNNNNNNNNNNNNNNNNNNNNNNNNNNNNNNNNNNNNNNNNNNNNNNNNNNNNNNNNNNNNNNNNNNNNNNNNNNNNNNNNNNNNNNNNNNNNNNNNNNNNNNNNNNNNNNNNNNNNNNNNNNNNNNNNNNNNNNNNNNNNNNNNNNNNNNNNUACAAACCACAACCACCAACUCCACGUUCAUCACCACCACUACCUCCACUCCACCACUACCAUUACUACUACCACAACAUGAUUAGUACAUAACACUUUUAACAUCAUGUCUAUUUUAGUCAUUAUUCACAUUUACAACAAUUUUAUAUUAAAAUUUACCAAACGGUUUUGACACUGCUUUUUGUACUAACAGCACUUUAAAAAUAUUGUUUAUCAAACAUGGAGUGCUUUACUUUACAGCUAAUUAUUUUCAAAGCACAGCAAAAGCAAAUUUUUUUAAAAGUGACAGCAAUCCUAAAAAUUCUAUACUCUAACACAAAAAAUAAAAACUAAAAACAAAAAUUAAAAUGGUUAUCAAACAUACACUUAUAUUACAAAGAAAAUAUCAAAUAUUGAACUCAUCAUAAGAGAACACAGAAAAACCUCACCGCUUGCAACUCGUACACCACCACUACACGAACAACUGCUAAUUAAAAUGAGUCACAUGUGGUACUUAACUCUAAAAACUUAUUCAGAUUAUAUAUCGUACUCCUCGAUCAAAACAACCAUGAAACAUAAGUGAUUUAAACCUCUAGGCAAAUGGAAGGUAUAUAACAAUUUAUAGAACAAUACAGUAAUCCAGAAGAAAUAUUAUGAAAUAAAAAGAAUAAAAAGUAAAAAAAGAGAAGGAAAGGAAUUCCCACCUGAUAUGUAUAAGUAUGAAAGGAAGGACCAAGUUUGUUUUGCCUUUGGUUAAUGACUAGAAAAGCUCACUUGCAUAUUGCUUUCUCCGGCCGUAGAUGCAAGAGAAAUUUUCUCUUAAUAAUAGCACAAUGAUCGGGUAAUUGUAAGAACAAGUUGAUUUUAAAUUCAGGUCAAGUCGUAGAUUUCUUGCCUUUUCUAUUCUCCUUCCUUGGACAUGAGCUGUUUAAUCUUGGACUCUUCCCCCAUCAUGUUGGGCCUGUCUUCUUCUUGAGGAUUGUAUAGGCCCAGGAAAUGCUUCAAGGUAGUUUUUGUGUUUUGGGCCUUGAGACCCAACUUCACAAAAAGAAAAUAGAUUUGACCAAAAAACAAAUUUGAAGGAUAUUGAAAUUGUACCUGUAGGAUAGGUUAAAACACCAUAAGGGAGGUAAAUAGUACGUUUACAGAAUUUAAGUGUAAUAAUUGAAUAAAAACAUGCCCAGAGGAUUGAUAAGUGAUAUCAAUUCUUGAAUAUACAGAACGUAAAAUAAAGGAACACGUAGAAAAUUAUUUUAUGUGGUAAAACUCUAUCUCUGGGGAACAUCCACGGGGCUUUUUAGUCCAAAAUAAUCCAUUAUAGAACGAUGAUUACAAGAAGUAUUCACACACUUAUCCUAGACACAUUCUAGAUUAUGUUUACUGACCUCUUCUCAACUUCUGUCUCGAGAUGAUCUUUCGACACUCCUUAUGUUGAACGCAAUACUGGUCACGAUUUCUUCAAGCUCCCUAGAGUUCUUCCAACUCUCCUUGUAUUGAAUCCGACACUAGUCACGAUCGAUUCAAGCUCAUUGGAGAAAAACUGCCACAACGGUCUUAGUGCCCUCAAUCGUAUGAGUCACUGAACAUGCAAAUGAAUACAAUAUAAAUGAUAAAAGUGUUUGAUAAAUCACCAAGUUAUAGAACACUUGAUGAUUUAUCUCAAAUAAAAAUUCAGCUUUACAAAGUUUAUGAUGAAUUGAAAAUAUGAUCGUUAAAGCUAUCUAAACAAAGAAGACGAAGGUCUUAUUUUAUAGAAUUUUUCUUUACAAGAAAGAAAACACGUUGAAAACCAAAUCUCCAAUUUUCAAGGCUUGACAGAAAAUCACAAAAGUAUCUUUCCUAUUCUAGAGAUUGGUCACAUGUAGUUCAACCAAUAGGAAAUGAGAUAUUCAAGAAAGCAAGAUUUUGAUCAAUAUCAAUAUCAGAUCAAUUCUUAUACGCCUAGUCAACUAUUAAGGGUAUCUUGACUCCUUGAUGUUGUGAUAUGAUUGAAACAUGAUUUCCAUGUUAGAAAAUUAAAGGGAUGUUAAAACAUGAAAGUAAUAGAGAAUCAAAUUGAUGUGGACCAAAAUUGCCUAAAAAGAAAACACUCCUAAAUAAACUUCAAUUCACUUUUAAAAAACAGUAAAACAUGAUUGAUCGUUCUUUAAAACAAUUCCCUAAAUAUACAUGCAUGAUAAUGAUAUCACUUACCCUUAAAUCAAAUUGUCACGCCCCGGACCCGAGGGUCGGGUGGAAACCUCACCGCCCAGUGCGUGAGAAAAUAAAAAGAAAAUAAAAUAAAAAGAAGCCGAACAGGGUUUAAAAUAAACUUCUCUUAUAAAAAUAACUCCAAUCUACAACUUUACAAGAAAUAACUAANNNNNNNNNNNNNNNNNNNNNNNNNNNNNNNNNNNNNNNNNNNNNNNNNNNNNNNNNNNNNNNNNNNNNNNNNNNNNNNNNNNNNNNNNNNNNNNNNNNNNNNNNNNNNNNNNNNNNNNNNNNNNNNNNNNNNNNNNNNNNNNNNNNNNNNNNNNNNNNNNNNNNNNNNNNNNNNNNNNNNNNNNNNNNNNNNNNNNNNNNNNNNNNNNNNNNNNNNNNNNNNNNNNNNNNNNNNNNNNNNNNNNNNNNNNNNNNNNNNNNNNNNNNNNNNNNNNNNNNNNNNNNNNNNNNNNNNNNNNNNNNNNNNNNNNNNNNNNNNNNNNNNNNNNNNNNNNNNNNNNNNNNNNNNNNNNNNNNNNNNNNNNNNNNNNNNNNNNNNNNNNNNNNNNNNNNNNNNNNNNNNNNNGAUUUCAAUUGGUAUUCAGAGCGUCAGCUCUUAAUACAAAUAGAGAGAUCCUAGGAUUUGUUUUGGUGUUUAGGUGUGCUCACUGUGGAACGGGAUCGAGUUGCUGGAUCUUGCAACUCCCCUCCUUAUUUUGAUGGAAACAACUACGCUGCUUGGAGAGAAAAAUUUGAGAUAUUCCUUGAUGCUCUUGAUGAGUACGCAAGUGAGUAUCUCACAAAAGAGUGGGUUGCUCCUGUCAAGACUGUUGAGAGUAAUGUUGUGCCCAAGCCUAGGUCGGAAUGGACUGAAGCUGAGGUGUUUGCUGCAUAUUCAAACAAGAAGGCCAGAAAUGCCUUAGUUACAGCCUUGUCUAGCACACAAUUUUCACAUAUACAACACAUCCUAAAUGCGAAACAGGCUUGGGAUAAACUAAGGGUGGUUCAUGAAGGGGAUGACCAAGUUAGAUCCCUAAAACUUCAGAUGAUGCCUGCACAAUUUGAAGAACUUAGGAUGUCUGAAACUGAGUCUAUUUCUGAGUUCUAUGGGAGAGUUGAGAUGAUCACUAAUGAAGCCAUGAGUCUCGGUCAACCUAUUGAUGAGCUUCUUGUUGUUCAGAAAAUCCUUCGUGUUCUACCAUCUAGGUUUAGAGCAAAGAAAACCGCAAUCAUGGAGGUCCAAAACUUAAAUGAAAUUAAGCUUGGCAAGCUCGUAGGAAAAUUGAAAACCUAUGAGAUGGAGUUGAAUAUGGAAAAGAAUGACACUAAAAAAUCAAAAAAUGUUGCACUUCAAGGAGUGAAUGAUUCCUCUCUGAAAGGUGGUGAAAAAUCCUCAGGUUUUGAGGAUGAGAUGGCUUUGUUUGUCAAAAAAUUUAGGAGAAUUCUUAGGGAUAAAGGAAAGUUUGCUAGAAAGGGCAGCUCUGGUAGUGAGAGACAAGUUAGACCAUCAACUGAUCAGUCUAAUGAGAGGAACAAGGAUGUCAAACCUUUCACUAAAGAUUUUAGAAAAUCUGUCAAGUGCUUCACAUGUGGAGGCAUUGGGCACUAUGCUGCCCAUUGUGCAAACAAUCAGAAAAAAUACUCCAAAGGAAAGGACAAGGCCAUAAAAGUUAGCUGGAGUGAGAGUGAAAGUGAAGUGUCUCAAGGGGAUUCAUUUUUCUCUGAUAAUGAUGACCAACAUGUUGCUUUUGUUGCCUCUGUGCAGUCAGUGUCUGAUAAAUCUGAUUCUGAGUCAGAUGACCUGUCAUACGAGUGAUUAGGAAGAAAAUAUGAUUGUUUGUUCAAAGAGACAUUGUCUUUGAAAGAAGAGAGCCUCAAACUUGAGGCCAACAACCAUGAACUUCAACAUGAAAUCCUCAUCUUAAAAGAAACCAAAAAGGAGUUGAGUGACAAAUUUGUGUCUCUAGAAAAAGAAUUUGUUGCACUUGUGUCAAUUAGGAGUAAUCUUGAAAAUCAAGUUAAUGUGCUCAAGGAAAGUAACAUUGGUUUCCAGAACUCAAACAAAUUGCUCCUAGGUAAAUUGAAUGAAGCAAAAAAGUAAGGUUAUAUCUAUGACCAUUGGUGCCUCAAAAAUUGACAAAAUGUUGACUAUGGGAAAACCUCAUGGGGACAAAGGUGGUCUUGGAUUUAAUCAUUUUGAUUCUAGUUCGUCUAGCUCUACCACUAGGUUUGUCAAUUCAAAAACUCCAACCAUGGCUUCUCUUGAUGCUCAGCCGGUAGUCAAGAAACCUAAGUUUGUUCCAACUUGUCACUGGUGUGGGUUGACUGGUCAUAUUCGAUCAAUCUGUCUUAUGUACAAAAAGGAUAAGACUAGAAAAUUGUCUUCAAAAUCUAAAAAUCCAAGAUCUUUGCAAGAUCAGGUUGAUCAUUUGCUAAAAGAAGUAACUAAGAUUGCAAAACUUGUCUCCCUUAAAAUGUGUUCACCUAUUGUGCCUAAGUCUACUUGGGUUGAAAAAGGUCAUACCAAAUGUCUUGUUGUGCUAAAUGCUUUUGCUGCAUCAAACACCAACUCUUGGUACUUUGAUAGUGGCUGUUCCAAACAUAUGUUUGGUGAUAAGAGUGUCUUCUCAUCUCUCAGUCCUUUUGAUGGAGGCACUGUGACUUUUGGUGGAGGUCACAAGUCUCAAGUUUUUGGAAAAGGUACUGUUUGUAUCCCUGGUUUACCCGAGCUUAAGAAUGUUAGAUGUGUUAAGGGUCUUACAUCCAAUCUCAUUAGUGUGAGUCAGCUGUGUGAUGAUGGAGUAAUAGAAGUUAGAUUCUCCAAGCAUGGGUGCAAAAUCGUUGGAAAAUGUGGCAAUGAGAUUGUGAGCGUGACUAGGUCUAGGGACAAUUGCUAUUGUAUUGAUGGUGUCAAUGAUGAAAAAGAAGUAGUUUGCAAUAAGGUUGUGAAUGAAACAAGUGUCUUGUGGCAUCAAAGGCUUGGACAUGUGAACUUUAGAGACUUGCAUAAAUUGUCCAAGAAAGAGUUAGUGAGUGGAUUACCAAAGCUUGACAAAUCUGAUCAACAUGUUUGUGAAGGAUGUCAAUUGGGGAAGCAAGUUAGAGUGUCUCAUAAGAAGGUCAAACACAUUCAAACACAAGUAAGCCUUGAACUUGUUCACAUGGACAUUGUUGGUCCUAUCCAAACCUUGUCCCUUGGUGGAAAGAAAUAUAUUCUUGUCAUGGUUAAUGAUUUCUCUAGGUUCACUUAAGUCUCAUUCUUACGUGAGAAAUCUGAAACUUUUCUAAGGUUUAAGUCUGUUUGUCAUCUUUUGCAAAAAGAAAAGAUGACUAGUCAUCUGCCUCUUGUUAGAAUUAGAACAGAUCAUGGUUCUGAGUUUGAGAAUUCUCAGUUUCUGAAAUUUUGUGAAGAAAUGGGAAUUAAGCAUGAGUUCUCUGCACCUAUUACACCUCAACAAAAUGGUGUUGUGGAGAGAAAGAAUAGAGUUCUUGUUGAGAUGGCUCGGGUGAUGCUCAAUAGCAACAAUCUUGCUAAACAUUUUUGGGCUGAAGCUGUAAGUACAGCUUGUUAUAUCUCAAACAGGGUAUUUUUGAGGUCUGGUACCAAACAAACUCCCUAUGAGAUUUGAAAAGGAAAGAAGCCUAAUGUGUCAUAUUUUAGAGUCUUUGGUAGCACAUGCUAUAUUUUGAAAGAUAGGGAGCAUCUUCCUAAGUUUGAUUCUAAGUGUGAUAAGGGAAUAUUUCUAGGGUGUUCCACUUUAAGCCGAGCUUAUAGAGUGUACAACUGUAGGACCAGAACCAUCAUUGAGUCCAUAAAUGUCAAAAUUGAUGAUUUUGCUGCCUCUACUGAGAUGGCAUUAGAUGAGAAUGGUCUUUUUUCUCCUCAUCUCGUGCAAGAAUCUCUAGGUCUGGAUCUUGUAGUUGACCUGUCAACUUUCGGAAAUUUUGUCCCAGUUGACCUGUCAACUCCUUCAACCUCUAGUUCCAUCUCAUCUAUCCAAGUUGUCAGCUCCCAUGCUGAUCAUAGCCCUCUCACUCAAACUGAGAGUGUCAUUAUUGGUCCUCUUAAUCAGGGAGUGAGAACUAGGAAAUAAUUAGCUCAAGAAAUUAGUCAUGUGUGUUAUGUCUCAAAAGAAGAACCUAAGAAUGUGAAAGAGGCGUUGAACCAUGGUGAAUGGUUUCUUGCAAUGCAAGAAGAGCUGAAUCAGUUUGUUAGAAAUGAUGUUUGGUACCUUGUUCCCAGACCUACCAAUACAAAUGUUGUAGGUACUAAGUGGAUUUUCAAGAACAAAACUGAUGAGCAAGGUAAUGUUGUUAGAAACAAAGCUAGAUUAGUUGCUCAAGGUUACACUCAAAUGGAAGACAUUGACUUUGAUGAAACUUUUGCCCCUGUUGCAAGACUAGAAUCAGUUAGAUUACUUCUUGCUAUUGUUUGUCACUUAAAAUUCAAACUUUAUCAAAUGGAUGUCAAAACUGCUUUUUUGAAUGGUAUUUUAAAUGAAGAGGUCUAUGUUGAACAACCAAAGGGUUUUGAAGAUCCACAUCAUCCAAAUGAUGUGUUUCAGUUAAAAAAGGCACUCUAUGGUUUGAAACAAGCUCCUAGAGCAUGGUAUGAGAGGUUAUCUUCUCAUCUUCUAAGAAAUGACUAUGUUAGAGGGUCAAUUGACAAAACUUUGUUUGUCAAAAGGUUCAAAAAUGAUGUCUUGAUUGCUCAAGUGUAUGUUGAUGAUAUUAUGGUUGGUUCUACCUCUGACUUGCAUGUUCAAGAGUUUAUUCAUGUCAUGACUAGUGAAUUUGAGAUGAGUCUUGUAGGUGAGCUUAACUAUUUCUUAGGUCUUCAAAUCAAACAAAGCCAUGAUGGGAUCUUUGUAUCUCAAUCGAAAUAUGCAAAAAAUCUUGUGGAAAAGUUUGGUUUUGAGGAUGCAAAAUCUGCAAGAACUCCAAUGAGCACUAGUGCUAAAAUUCAUAGAGACUUGCAUGGCAAAAGUGUGGAUCAAACUCUCUAUAGAAGUAUGAUAGGAAGUCUUCUCUACUUGACUGCUAGUAGACCAGAUAUUUCUUAUAGUGUUGGAGUGUGUGCUCGGUUUCAAAGUGACCCAAAAGAGUCUCACUUGUUUGCUGUUAAGAGAAUCAUAAAAUAUGUGAGUGGGACUGUUGAGUUUGGGUUGUGGUAUACCUAUGACACUUGUGUCAGUCUGGUUGGUUAUAGUGAUGCCGAUUGGGCAGGUUGUAGAAACCCCUCCCGGGGGGGGGGGGGGGGGGGUCUUUUAUGUAGGCAACAACCUUGUUGCUUGGCAUAGCAAAAAACAAAAUUCUGUCUCCUUAUCCACUACUGAAGCAGAGGAUGUUGCAGCUGGGAGUUGCUGCACUCAACUCCUUUGGAUGAGACAAAUGUUGGAAGCUAUGGUCUUGCUCAAUCAUGCUUUCUCAUCUAUUGUGACAACAUGAGUGCCAUAGACAUUUCUAAAAAUCCUGUUCAACACUCUAGGACUAAGCAUAUAGACAUUAGGCAUCAUUUUAUUAGAGAUCUUGUGGAAGAUAAAAUUCUAUCUUUGGAAUUUGUUCCCUUUGAGAAACAGCUAGCAGAUAUACUCACCAAGGCCUUGGACUUUCAGAAACAUGUCACACUUAGGCAGUCCAUUGGCCUUUGCUCAAUUGAUUGAUUAGCUUGUCUGUUCCUUAUCUUCAGCACAUUGCAGAAUUGUUGACUAGUCAUCUUCGUUUUAGUUGACUAGUCAAAUAUUUUUUUGGUGUGUAAAUGUCUAAAACAUAUGCUUCUUCUGAUCUCUGGUGGUAUGAAGUUUGAAUCAUUUUAUGCUUUGCCUGAUUUGUGGAUAAUUCCCCCCUUCUUGUUUGGAGCCAUUAGAUGAAAUCUUUUGGUGUUCUUUCGUCCUCUUGUUGAGACAAGUGUUGUGAUCCAUUAUGGACAAUCAUUGUUAUAAUCUCCUAUCUUUUCUCACUCUCUUAGGCAAUUUGUUUAGCAUUAAACAAAAAAUAAAAAAUAAACAAAAAAUAAAAAAAAUAAAAAAAAGUGUGACCAAUGUAGUCACGACUCUAGGAAGGUAUAAGGUGUUAUGAUUGAAGAAUCUAGAGCAAGAGCCGCAAAAUUGGGCCACUCAAGCACUUAAGUCUAGGAUGUGCAAAUAACAAGGAUAAUAAAUGGCCAGAUUGAGUGAUGAAAAUCAAAUAGGUUGGGUUUAUGCCUUGAGUUUGUCUUGAAGGUUUAUUAUAUACUUGUCUCUCCAAGAGGGGUAUUUCUUCUUCUCUUGUGUUCUUCUUUUGGCUCUGAACCUCCUCUGUCCAUUUUGCCUUAUCUCUGAGCAUGAAAUCUAAUUCAUAUUCUAUCUAUCAGAGUUAGUUGCACUUGUUUUUGUUUGCACAUGUGGUUAUCUUCUCUCUCUCUUCCUUCCUGUGCUUGAAGAUUUGGACUAGGCUAUAGUAGCUAAUAGAUCGUUGAUCACUUGAUAUAUUUGCUAGUUCAUGUUUGUGUUUUUUUUUUAAAAACCCACAAUCUUGUCUUCCACAGGGUCGAUACUAACUUUGAUGCGUGUCAUGAUAUUGCCUUAGUUGACUAGUCAUCUAUGCUUAUGGUUGACUAGUCAUCCGGUUGUGUUAUAUUUGAUGCCCGUCAUGUUAUUGCCUUAGUUGACUAGUCAUCAUUUUUGUGGUUGACUAGUCAUCUAGUUCUGCCUGUUUUUGUUAUUGCCUUGGUUGACUAGUCAUCAUGCUCAUUGUGGUUGACUAGUCAUCAGGUUUUUCUCCUGAACAAUACGUCCUUUUCUUUAGCGGUUAUUCUUAUUAUUUUAUUUUUUUUUCAUUUUUUUUUCUUCUCUUUUUUGUGUUUUGAGCGGUUCUUUUUCAUUGGGGUCAGUUUUCGCAUUUUUUCCUUUUUAGGUCUGUUUCCCUCUUCUUCGUUAGAGUCUACUUUCACUCCCGUUCUCUCUCUGUUCUCUUCAGACACAAACCCAGGCCCCCGCUUCCCUUUCUCCCUCUGUGUUAGUCUCUUCGCCCCUUCUUCCCUCUGUUUUUCUCUUCCAAUUUCUUCCCGCUGACCACCAUGUCGUCCUCCGCGCCCUUCCUCACUUACCAGCGCCGCUCCAAAUCCAAAUCCAAUGACAGAGUGGAUUUUAUACCCUCCAUUCCUAGGGCUCCUAGGACUCGCUCUUCUCACUCUGUUCCCGCUGGAGACUCCUCCCCGUUUGUGUCUCCUGAGGCAGCCUCGUUCUUCGAUGGUGUUGUCUCUAAAAGGAAGUUUGUGCCUGAGAGAGCUUACCAAAUUGAUGCUCCCCCCUUAGCGGCCCAGGGUUCUGCAACUCAGAUUUUUGAGCACUGCCAUCUCCAUUCUCUCAACACUCUGUCUGGUAAGUUCAAUGCUUCUGUCGUUAAAGAGUUUUACUCGAAUUUUCCUGCUGAUCCUAAGGGGUCUAAUUAUCAGUGUGUUGUUCGUUAUGUGCCCAUUACUCUGAGACCCUCUGUCAUUAAUAGGGUUUUAGGUUUUCGGUCUUGCCCUGGUUUUGAUUCUGAUCAGUUUGCUCUUGCCUCUUCUCAAUACACUAUUGAUCUAUUUAAAACCAUGGCCUAUACUGAUCAAACAAUGCCCCUGACUUCUAAAGGUGUUCCUAUGAAGUCUUAUCUGUCACCAUUCUACAAAUUUCUAUGGGAUUUUAUCUGUCACAAUGUUCUCCCAACUAGAAAUAAUUCAAACCCCACUUUGGCUGGCUGUCAACUCAUGAUUUCAAUGGUGAAUCAUGAUAAAAUUCCCUUUGGGGAUAUUCUUUAUCAUGCAAUUCUUGGCAAAACCAUAGGUCAUGGUACAAAACACAAAGGGACUCUUGUCUUCCCAUGUCUUAUCCAGCGUCUCUGUGAGAGAAACCAGGUGGUUUUUCUUGACUCUGAUCAGUGCACUCCUCCUAUUGCUCCAUUUGGCAAGGCUUUUGUUGCCCUUAGCCAAAAAGUUUCAAAAACUUUUCUCACCUCUGUGUCAUCUACUUAUGAAAAUGACUAUCUUAGAUCUCAGCUUGCUACCAAGGAGAAACAUAUUCAACAUCUGUUAAGCCUCAUUCCAUCCUCUUUGGUUCCUGCUGCUGCUGCUGCUGAAGUACAUCCUCAGCCGACUCCUGCCACGGAGGUCUCAGAUGAUUCUGUAGAUUCUGAUGAGUCUGCUGAUUCUCUUGUUUUUUAGCUACAGUGAUCUUGUAGGCAAUGUCCUAGAUAGGGGGAGUAUUUUUGGACAAGUAUAUGUUUGUAAUUCCCUUGUGGAAAUUUGUUUUUGCUUGGGUAGUCUGUGCAUCUUGAUAGGGGGAGUUGUGUUGUAUUAUUUUGAACAAGUGAUUUUUGCUUUGUAAUCAACCUAUGCUAUGUGUUUUUCACUUUGUUCAAAUCUGAUUAUCUGCCUUGUGUUUCAUCCCCUUGUAUGCUGACUCUCUCUCCUUGCACUUUCCUUAUCAACAAGGAGGAGAACACUCUCAACCCCCAUAUUGCAUAUUGUUUCAAAAUUCUGUGAUAUAAUAUGCCUGUUUUUGUGCCUGGAAGAUUGGUUGUUCUUGCAGGUAUCCUCACUUCAUCAUCUCCUUAGGCUUGGUUUUGGGUUGAGUGUUGUUAGAGAGUGUGUUGUCAAGGAAAGCCAAAAAGGGAGAGAUUGUUAAUGUAUGCAUUUUGGGUUUUUCUUUUGGCUUCCCUUGACAACUUUGUAAUAGGAUCUCUAUUGUUAUUUAUCAAGCUCAAGUUUAGAUUGAGAAUAGCUUCUCUAGGUGUUCUUAACUAACAACUAUCAUAUGGAGGUUCAUGCAAAUUGGCAAAGGUAAAUUGUGCAUUGCAUAACAUUGCAUUAUACUGUUUUCAUAAAAUGAUGACUAGUCAUAUGUUUCUUGGAUGACUCGUCAUCCUUGCUCUCCAGCUUGAUAACCAACUUUUUUGUCCUAUUCCUUUUUCUCUCUCUGCUGCCACAUGGGAUUCUGACCUAAGGGUAUUUUUUGGUCUGUAUAGGCCUUGCGAUUCCUCUUUUGGCAAGCCGUCUCUUUUGUGUAGAAUUGGAGGAAAGAUUGGUUUUCUAUAUUUCCGUUCUUCUUCCACAAGAAAGAACAAUAUUUCAUCUAUGAGUUUUUCCAAAUUGAUUUCUUUAUGAAAAAACUGCAUUUGAAAUAUGAAUUUGCAUCUAGCUUCAUAAAAACAUUCUCUCAUUUAUAUCUAGGUCAGAUUCACUACUGAUUUCUUCAAGAGUAUGGUUUCUUGAAGAAAUUGGUUAUUCUCCCUUGAAUCCAAAUUUUGGUUUCUGUUUGAGUUGAGCUUGCAAGCUGGUGCCAUGGGAUGAAUGACUGAAGAAGGAGCUGCCAUUGCCAUGAAGAACUGGGCUUCAAGCUUUGCUAAGUUAGAGAAGAAGAUUGCACAAAGGAGGUAUUGCUCAUCUUCCUAAAUAGAUCUAGGUUUUGCUUGAGCUUGCUUGUGUUCCUUUGUAAGAAUCUUUUUCUACUUAGUUGAUUGCCUGGUCGGUUGAUGACCCCCAGUUUUUUCCCAAUGGUGGGUUUCUGGGUGAACAAUUUCUGAUUGCAUUCUUGUAAUUUUUCUGGGUUUGUGUUCUUGGUGGUCGACUAGUCAUCGUAUGAAUUAUGGUUGACUAGUCAUCAUUAUCUGCUGUUUGGUGUUUGCUUGAUUAUGCUGUCUUCACACGUUUUCACCAUAGUUGUUGCUAGCACAGGGGAUGCCUAGAUUGAUGGGUCUUUCUGAGUGCCUAGGUUGUCACUAGUAAUUCUCUAGGCCUGCAGGUACAUCAUGGUAUGUUCUAUGUAUGUUGUUGUUUGGUAUAAUUCAUAUCUGACAGUUGACUAGUCAUAAGAGUGUGUGAAGUUUGUUGCAUUUUUGGCUGAAUAUCUUUUAAGUUUACCCAUCGUCACCUAAGUACCGAUUUCAACAUGAGACCUUGCCACAGUAGAUUGAUAUAACUAAAUAUUAUCAUAAACAUAGAAAUAUAUAAGUAUUAUUAUAAUAGGAUUCAUAAUAAUUAAUAUAAAAGUAUAACAACAACAUUUACAAUUAUGUACCAAGAUAAUUACACAUAAAAAUAUAACCAAUAUAUAUUUAUAUAUAUUUUUUAAAAUACGGAUCUUUACGUAAAUGCCUUUCACGGGUCAAGCCACAAGUCUGUGUUUUGGGGAUUGCAGAGCUGCAUCAAUCUUGCCAAUGUCAAUUCUGACCCUGGGCUCUCUCAAAGCACGUUUAAAACCUAUGCUAACAUAUACUAGAGUUUAUGCUGUAUCUAGAAAAUGCCAACACUAAUUUCGUAACACAUAGAAUUGUUAGAGAUUAGAAGUUUUUAUCAUUUUUUCUUCCAGUCUCUCCACCACUCACUAAUACAGAUUACUCAUGUGAUGAGUUUACAAAACCUAUUUCUCUACUCUCGCAAAGACUAUACUUCUUCUCAAAAGACUAGAUCACUUUACCUCUAUCUCUGUGAAAUGUAAAAAGUUGAAACUUUAAUGUCAAACCUCGACAAAGUGUUCUACUUACAAACUUCUUGUGUCUACCAAUUUCUACAAAAAUUAAUUUCUCUACGGUGCUCAGAUUCAUCAUAUGUGUGUCCUUAAUUUUAGUGGAAAUUGGAAGUUUCCAUAAUUUUUGCUUUAAGUCACUCUUUUGAAGGAAGUUGAGAUUCCACUCCAUAAUCCAAAAUGUCAGGUUGACUUAUGGCAAACAAUGUAAAUAUGUAGGAGUACUAUGACCUUUUAUAGCAUUUUAAGUUUGAAUUUGGGUUUUAUACAUAGAUUUCGAAAUUAAUAGGUUGAUGCCUAGGAAAUAGAAAUUGUAAGGGCCUAUAUUAGACUAGCCCUCUUAAAAAAUAUAUUAAUUAAUGAAUAUUUGUUCUUCUUCUUGUUUUGAAGUAGUGGUGGGAGGCAGACCAACAACAAAAAUAUAGUGAAGGCUUAUAAGAGCAUUUACAAUUAUGCUCCCUAUUUUUUAGUUAAUAUUUAGGUAAAAAUAGAAAAAAGUUAUUAUAUGAGCUCUUUAUAAAAUUUGAACUCCAAUCAUACUCCCUAGUUUAGGGAGUCAAAAAUACUAUAGUUAUUUUUUAAUUCAAAUUGAUUUUGGUUAAUCUCUAUAAAUAAAUAAAAAUAUAAAAAAUAGUUAGCAUUAAUUAAAAGUUUAAACUAUGCAUAAAACAAAGAAACAUUAAAUUAUAGGGAGCCACUAUGAGUCAUUACUCUCUCUUCAGAUUUAGGAGCUCCUAGAGGUCUCCCUAUUUUAUGAGGUGGAUAAAGAGCAUGGUUGGAGUUGUAUUUCUUCAAUUUCCUCUCUAAAAUUUGUCUAAGGAUGUGGUUUAGGGAGCCCAUUGUGAAUGCUCUAACUCUGGUAAAACACGAGUGACAUGGACAACAUAUGUUACAUCGUACUGAAGAUUUUUGGGUUUCUUUAAUUGGUUAAGUAGCAUCCACAAUGAGCUUUCUAAAUCAUCUCCUUAGACAAAUUUUAGGGAGGAAUUGGAAAAGUACAACUCCAACUAUGCUCCCUAUCCACCAACUAAAAUAGAGAGACCUUUAGGAGCUCAUAAAUCUGAUGAGAGAGAAAGAACUCUUAAUGACCCCCUAUAAUUUAAUGUUGCUUUAUUUUAUGCAUAUUUUGAACUUUUAAUUAAAUCAAAUUAUUAUUUUUAUAUUAUUUUGAAUACAGCCGGAUCAAUUAUAUUAAAUUAAAAAAUAAUUAAAAUAUUUAUAACUCUCUAAACUAGAAAGCAUGAUUGUAGAUCAUCUUAUAUACCUUAAUUUGAAGAUUCUUUAUUUGGGUUUCUUUCAAGACUUAUCACCUUAGCCACACCACCUACACGUCUGCAAGCUUCCGUAAUCUAACAAGGAAGGGGAGGCUGCGCAAUACUUAUCACCUUAGCCACACCACCUACACCACAAGACCAAUAUGUGUAGUCCAGCAGGCUUUCCAAUUUUAAUAUAUAUUAUAAAAUAAAAUAAAAAUCAAUCUAUUAUCAUAUAUAUUAUAAAAUAAAGAUUAUUGCUCCAUCCUCCAUGCACUUGCAUGCCCUCUUACAAAGUGUGAAGUAGAUUUUGUGUGCUCCAAGUCAUUGACGAGAGCUGUAACAUGGUUAGCUGGAUUUAUAAGAUCUUUUCUUUUCUGGGAAUUUUCUGAAUUAAGAAAAAUCAAGUAAAAUUAAUAAAGCAUAAAUUAGAAAGGGAAAAUAUCUAGAGGAUGCAUUGUAGGAUUGCACAUGCCAAUAAUUGUAUCCUCUAAAUAUAUAGCGACACAUUUUUUUUGUUUUCAUGACUUGUGGUCCUAAAAUUAUUGUUCCUAGCGGGCUUUUCACCCUCUCUCGAUUGAAAAUCAAUUGUGUAAAUCUUCAAUCUUGAAUGAUGCACCUAAAACUCAAGUGUCCCAGGCCAAUUAUUGCUCUCAUACCACUUGUUGUAAUAAACAUUCACCCAUUCUAAAGGAAAGAUAACCAUCGAUAUUAUCUGAAAUUUAACCACUUAAGUUCAUUAUGAUUAACUAUGUAUCUUAUGGACCAAUCCAAUCGUAAGGUUUUAUACUCAAUUAGAUCGACCAAUACAAAGUUCACACUGGAUUAAAAAGGGCUAUCGGUAGGGGAGUGUUCGGCACCCUUUACUGUGGAGCGCAACACAAGACCCCUUGCAUGCCCUCACUAAGUUGAGCCCAACUAUUUUUGAGCAUUAACAAUAUAUAUAGAUUGAAAAAAUAAAAUAAAAAUCAAUCUAUUAUCAUAUAUAUUAUAAAAUACAUAUUAUUGCUCCAUCCUCCAUACACUUGCAUGCCCUCUUACAAAGUGUGAAGUAGAUUUUUUGUGCUCCAACUCAUUGACUAGGGCUGAAACAUGGUUAGUUGGAUUUAUAAGAUCUUUUGUUUUUUGGGAAUUUUCUGAAGCACGGAAAAUCAAAUAAAAUUAAUAAAGCAGAAACUGUACCCUUUAAUUAUAUAUGGACAUAUGUUUUUUUGUUUUCAAGUCUUAGAUGACAUGGGGACCCCUCUCAAAUUUAAGUGGUCCAUUAUUGUUAACCACAUAUUUUAUGGACCAUCCAGCUUCGGUACAUUUCUCCCACAUGCCACAAUUGUAUAUUCACAAUUACGUCUGAUACAUCACAUCAUGCCACUUGCCUCACAUGCCACAAUUGUAUAUUCACAAUUACUUCUGGGUACCCCUCAUCAGUCGUCUAUAAAAUGGUGAAGCCAGUUGCUACUGUUACCAUAAGAGCCAGCUCCGACUUUCUUUAAUUUCUUGCUACAUCUGUUGCUAAGUUAAUUUCAGUCCUAAUGGGGUUUCAUCUCCCACUCAUCUUUGCUAUUCUCAGUGUAAGCUCUGCAAUUUGAUUAACUUUUCCAUUCUCUCUCAUUGUACUCUAUAUAUAUAAAUGAAAGUUUUGUGUUCCUAUAAUUCUCUCCGAUUUUAUUUAGUACGUACUUAAGUGUCGUCCACUAAUUAAUUACACUUUGUGAGAUUUGAUUUUAAUUAGAGUUCGAAUUAAUGUUGCAGCUAGCAGCGGUUGCACUGGCAAACAAUGCUGCUCAACCAGCACCUCAACUUUACUGGAACUCCGUCCUGCCAAACACACAGAUGCCAAGAUCUAUCAGUGAACUUCUGCAUCCUGGUUUGUGUUCAGCUCUUUAUAAUCUUAGAUAUCUCUUCUACCUGCCAUUUUACUAAACUAUGUUCGACCACAUAUUUAUCAGUUAACUACUGUCAUUACAAGAAUGACACUUAUUUUCCAAUAUAAUUUGCAGACUCCACAAAUGAAGAAAAGAGCAAACCUGAAAUUUUCCCAUUGCAGGGCAAUAGAGUUUACACUCAAAGCCAUUAUAAAAAACGUCCUCCUCCUCCAUCUGACGAGGGCAAACCUGAAAAUUUCCCAUUGGCCAAUAGCUUUUACACUCAAACCCAUUAUAAAAAACGUCCUCCUCCUCCAUCUGACGAGGGCAAACCUGAAAAUUUCCCAUUGGGCAAUAGCCAUUAUUCUCAAACAGGGUAUGCAAAAGGUCCUCCUCCUCCUCCUAAAAUUUUCCCAUUUUCAGGUUACAGUCGAAAAAGGUAUGGAGGAAGUCCUCCUCCUCCUUCUCCAUUCGUUCAAAAAGACUAUGGACAGAACGAUAAACAUUACGUUCAAAAAAACUAUGGAAAAGUUCCUCCUCCACCUGACAAUCAACUACUCCAUUAUAAAGACUUGGCUAUUUUCUUCUUCGAGAAGGACAUGCGCCCUGGCGCAACAAUGAAGUUCCAAUUCCCUAGAAAUUCAAACACGGCUACUUUCCUGCCACGCGAAAGUGCUCAAUCGAUCCCCUUCUCCUCUAAGAAACUACCAGAAAUUUUCAACCAUUUUUCAGUGAAGCCAACAUCUGAGGAAGCCAAAACAAUUAAGCAAACAAUCGAAGAGUGUGAAGCUCCAGGCCUUAAGGGAGAGGAAAAAUAUUGCGCCACAUCUUUAGAAUCAAUGGUUGAUUUUAGCACUUCGAAGCUUGGAACAAGAAACGUUGAAGCAAUCUCAACGGAGGUAUUGGAAGAAGGAGCCACCAAGUACAUGCACAACUAUACAACAAUGCCGGGACUGAAGAAGUUGGAAGGUGACAAAGUCGUUGUGUGUCAUAAGGAGAACUAUCCCUAUGCUGUGUUUUUCUGCCAUGCAAUAAAACAAACAGCAGCUUAUGUUCUCUCCCUGAAAGCCGAUGAUGGGAUGAAGGUGAAAGCAGUAACCAUCUGCCAUCUAGACACAUCAGAAUGGGACCCAGAGCAUUUGUCCUUCCAAAUCCUCAACGUUAAGCCCGGAACCACUCCCAUCUGCCAUUUCCUUUCCACUGAUGCUAUUGCCUGGGUUCCAAAACACAAGUCUGCAUGAUCAUCACUUAGCACUGUACGUAUAAUAAGCUUGGUCGGGUUGCACCCUAGGCCUGCAUAAUUAUCUCCCUACUUAUUUCUGCCUCUUUAUCAUGCGGUGUAAGAUAUAUGAUGAGAUGAAGUUUUCUCUUGUAACUAUGUAGACUACUUCAACUUGUACUCAUAAUAAAGCACGCUGUUGGGGGGUUCUACUUAAUUUCGUUCUCUCCAAUGUUUGAGUGUUGAAUUGUUACGUUGGAAUAGGCUGCUAAUGCAUGUAGUUAGAGAAGCCUUCAUUUAUAUCAAAGUCCUCAAACUAUCAAGAAUUAAUGUAUCCAGAAACAUAUACCAAGACGCAAAAUGUCACAUCCCGGAAUCAGCUACUUCCCAGUGGGUCACCCAUCCUGGGAUUGCUCUAGCCCCCAACUCGCUUAACUUCGGAGUUCCUACGAUUCCGAAGCCAGUGAGCUCCCAAAAGGCCUCGUGCUAGAUGGAUGCGGGUGUGCACAUAUAAGGCACAAUACCCCCUCUCCGUUGGUUUGAUGUGGGAUCUUACAAUCCACCCCCCUUAAGGGUCCGACGUCCCCGUCGAUACACUCGCACCACACGGCAGAGUGGCUCUGAUACCAAAUUGUCACAUCCCGGGAUCAGCUCCGCCGUAGCACGAUAUUGUCCGCUUUGGGCCCCCCUCUCUGCCCUCACGGUUUUGUUUCUGGGAGCUCACGAGCAACUUCCCAGUGGGUCACCCAUCCUGGGAUUGCUCUAGCCCCCAACUCGCUUAACUUCGUAGUUCCUACGAUUCCGAAGCCAGUGAGCUCCCAAAAGGCCUCGUGCUAGAUGGAUACGGGUGUGCACAUAUAAGGCACAAUACCCCCUCUCCGUUGGUUUGAUGUGGGAUCUUACACAAAACAACAUAUUUUCCAUUCUCUGUCUGUAACACCAAGGCAAACUUCCUUUAUCACAUCAUUUAAAGGAUCAAAUUCCAGUACUAAUCUAAUCCAUCAUGUAAAGCAUACAAGUGCCUACCUAAAUUUGUCCAUUGGAUAUAUAUGUCACUUCUUAUUUUUUGAUAGAGAUAUAAAUGUUGAGAAAAUUAGAGUACACAACUCCAAUAUAGACUUGUUAGAGACAAAACAAGUAAACAAAUUCCUUGUAUUAGACUCACAAAAUAUUAAAACAAGACAACUCUCAAAGAAAAGACAAACUCUCACACUUCUCACAAGGACUACUUAACUUUAUAGCUUAUUGCAUAUAGCAUAUGCAAACACAAUUACAACAUACCUACGUACACUAUGGAAACACUCGUGUAUAUUUGAACACAAGAAAACAUGUGCACCGUGCACGGUUCACAUGAAGUAAGAAAUGAAGAGGAAAUAAAGGAGAAGAAUACAAAAGAAAAUGGAGAUGAGAAAAAAAAAACACGAAUAAUGAAAAAUGAAUUGACAAUUAUAUGUGGUUGACAUUAGAUCUAAUAUUAUAUGUAACAACUAUUGAUCUAAAAUAAACAUUAAAUCAAACAAUAAUUAAAAGAUUUGACAAUAUAAAAAUUUAUUGAGGACAAAAAAAGGCAAAAACUUAUGAAAAAUGGAAACAAUAAAUAUGAACUGAGUCAUCAACUCAUCAUGGUAAGUUUGCUGACGUAUAAAAAUAGUCAAUGAACUACAUCGAAAAGUAAUUGGCUUACAUCAAAAAUUAAAAUCACGUGGUCUACCUACUAUAUAGGAUGAAAAAAUUACGUGAACAAUAUACUUACACCAUGGGAACACUCCUAUAUAUUUGAACACAUGAACACGUGUUCAAGGUUAUAUAUUUCAUUACCUUCACAAUAGGUACCAAACCGUACCAUGCGAACAUUCAUAUACGCACAACAUACUUAUAACAUACCUACACUAUGGGAACACUCGUGUAUAUUUGAACACAAGAAGACCUGUGCACCACCGUGCACGGUUCACAUGAAGUAAGAAGAUGAAGAGGAAAUAAAGAAGAAGAAUACAAAAGAAAAUGGAGAUGAGAAGAAGAAAAAAAAAACACGAAUAAUGAAAAAUGAAUUGACAAUUAUAUAUGGUUGACAUUAGAUCUAAUAUUAUAUGUAAUAACUAAUGACCUAAAAUAAACAUUAAAUCAAACAAUAAUUAAAAGAUUUGACAAUAUAAAAAUUUACACGUAAGCAAACUCACCAUGGUAAGUUUGCUGACGUGUAAAAAUAGUCAAUGGACUACAUCGAAAAAUAAUUGGCUUACAUCAAAAAUUAAAAUCACGUGGGUUAUUCCUAAGAAACCUUAAUAUUUUUGGGUUUAUAUAUUUUUUGUAUUUUUUUAAAAUAAAAAAAAGAAAAGAAAUCUGACCAUGUAUGUAUGAUGAUGAUAUGCAUGUUAUUUUUAGACCUAAGGUAAAACAGACAAACUUUUUACUCCAUUUUUCAUGAGGUUUAUCACAAUAAUUAAACUGUUAUAUCCUCCAUUUUAGAUCUCAUGCUUCCAUUUAAAGAAAAGAAUAUCAACAACAAAAAAAAGAAUAAAGUUACAACAUUGAUCAAUUCAAAUGUCCAACUACCGGAUCAUGAGCUCCUGCACUUAGCGAUAUGCAGAUAAAUGCGUAGUGUCUUAAUGCAGAGGCUCGGGAUCCCCAACUACCAUUGAAACAUAAGAAACUAAAAUCUGCAAGAAAAUGCUAUCAAUUGAAAAAACAAUAAUUAAAAAACAAAAAAAGGAAGGGAAUUCGCACCGCUAUGCAAAAAAGAGCAAGUCGGUUCAAUGAUUUUUUUUCUUCUUCUUUUUGUUAUGGAAAUGAAAAGCUCAAUGAUGGGCUAUAUAUAGGAAGAAGCUCAAUGAUUGAAUUAUUAUCUUCUAUCUACAUUCUACCCUCUUCCUCGCUACAUACACAAAUGGUGCACACCAGUAACUAAGCUUGUUUUGGGUUCGGUGGCUCACUGUAAAAGCUCAAUGGAGAUGGUUUGAGGUAGAAUUUUCUCCUAUUUCAAUAGGACAAUGAUGAGCUCUAUGGAUUUUUUUUGUUUGUUUAUAGAAAUUAAAUGGUAUAGGGUCUAUCUAUAUUAUUAAUGCUAAGAAUGAGAAUAUGACUAAAUAACUCAAAAAAAAUUUAUAAUAAAUCAACAAUUUUUUUUUUUUAAAAAAAAAUCUAUAGAAUCUUUUAUUAGAUCAAUAGGCACCACUAGAAAAUCUCCAUAUAAGCCACUACUAAUACACCCGUGACUACUGACAAACCCGUAGCCAAAGAGUAUUGGCCACCUGCCACACGACAGUGGUCCAAGCAUAAUGUUGUCAUUCAUUAUUCCCCACAGCAACCAGCAUCCAAUAAAGGGUUGGGGCCCACCCAUAUUCCACCUCUCUUUAUGAAUAUAAAAGAAAUAUUUUUUAUUCAACAUGGACGCAGAAACUGUUGCUAAACUGCAAACUUCUUAAAAUAUUUAUCUAACUUUCUAGAUCCAUGUACUGAGAUUUAUUAGGGAAAUAUUGUAGAAACUGAUUAUUUUGAAAUAUUAAAUGUGAAAAACUGAACAAAAAUUUGAUGGGUUACAUAUUUCAACUCAUUUCAGCAGCUUAGAUUUUGAAGACCUCGGAAGAGGCUAUGCAAUGAGCCUAGCUAGUGCACUGUUGAUCACUUCAGUGUCUACCGAUCUGUAAUUUUUCCAGAUUGGUUAUAUUUUCCUUUACAUAUUCUUAUAUUACCGAUCACUUCAGUGUCUACCGAUCUCAUAUUUCUGGCAGAACAAUAAAUCUUUCAACAUUAAAAGUUUAAAACUCCAAGAUGCUAAAUUUAACGUUAAAAUAAAUAAUUAAAAGGGCUAAUGAAACCUAUAUGCCCAGGUGAGGAGCAUGCCACAAACUUAUUUCAACCCCAAAACUUCAUUAAAAAGCCCAAAACACUCAAUGAGGCAUCUAAGUAAUUUAAUAAUUAAAAUUAAAUUCAAUAUGACCAGCUAUCAUUUUUUGGGUUUUUUUUUGUUUGUUUCUAGAAAUUAAAUAGUAUAGGAUUUAUUUAUAGUUUUAGUGCUAAAAAUGGGUAUAUGACUAAAUAUCUCUAUAAAAAAAAUACCUAUAUGUUUGAGAAACAAAAUAAUAAAACUACAACAUAGGUUAAAAACAUUCUAAUAAACUCAAUACAUAUGGUCUACGUACUAUACAGGAUGAAAAAAUUACAUGAACAAUAUACCUACACCAUGGGAACACUCCUGUAUAUUUGAACACAUAAACACGUGUUCAAGGUUAUAUAUUUCAUUACCUUCACAGUAUUCAUCAAAACCCACCAUGGGAACAUUCAUAUACACACAACAUAACAUACCUACACUGUAGGAACACUCGUGUAUAUUUGAACACAAGAAGACAUGUGCACGGUUGAUGUGAAGUAAGAAGAUGAAGAGGAAAUAAAGAAGAAUAAUACAACAGAAAAUGGAGAUGAGAAAAAAAACACGAAUAAUAAAAAAUGAAUUGACAAUUAUAGAUAGUAGACAUUAGAUCUAAUAUUAAAUGUAAUAACUUUUGAUCUAAAAUAAACAUUAAAUCAAACAAUAAUUAAAAGUUUUGACAAUGUAAAAAGUUAUUGAGGACUAAAAAAGGCAAAAACAUUUGAAAAAUGGAAACAAUAAAUAUGAGCUGAGUCAUCAGCUCACUAUGGUAAGUUUGCUGACGUGUAAAAAUAGUCAAUGGGUUAGAUUAUUAUUUGUGGGUAACUAAAAUCUCGUUUAACAACAAUAGUUAACGUUUGUUUAGAGAAGGAAAAAAACUUGAUGAUGUGUCAUGUUCUAAAGGGUUAGAUUAUUGUAAUGGCUUAGAUUUAAUGAAAUACAGGUAAAUGCGUAAUGUCCAAAUGUAGAGGCUCGGAAUCCUCAUCUACCAUUGAAACAUAAGAAACUAAAAUUUUCAAGAAAAUGCUAUCAACUGAAAAAACAAAAAACAAAAAACAAAAAGGGAAGGGAAUUUGCACCUGCUAUGAUGGGUUGAAUGAUUUUUUCUUCUUCUUCUUCUUUUUCUUUUUCUUUUUGGUUCUUUAGAUCUAGUUGCACAUUCCAAAGAAAUAAAACCUCAGGCAUGCAUGCAAUGCAAGCUCUUUUCCCAUGUUUUCCUCUGUUUUCCUCCUAUUUUCCCAUGCAAACUCUUUUCUUAUAUGGAAGUGAUUAAAGUGUGAUUCAUUGAAUAUUUGCGGGGUUUUGUUCAGACCUAACAAAGUUCUAAGUGAGCACAUCAAAUUUCUUUUACCCAAUCAAAUUCAACUAGGUUUAUUCUACGACCUUAUGCUCGAUCAUUUUCCACAAGCAACCGUCCACGUACCAAGUAUUUAUUUUAUAUCAACGAGUACGAUGGUCCAUGUAAGUAUUCUAAUAAUUCACUCCAGUUGCAGGCCCCAAUAAUAUAGAAGGGCCAAUGGUCUUUCAUUUGAUGAAAGCUGCUAUCUACUGAUAACAAAGUUCAAUGAAGACGUAGGAAGAAACUUUGAGAAGAAGCUUGCAAUUUCUUUUAUUGAUUUUCUCUCUUUUUCGAUCUACUUCACAAUGAACAGUAUCUAAUAUUUAUAUGACAGAAGCACUUAGCUUCUCAGCUACGACUUAACAAACACGUGAACCCACGUGAACUUCUAACUAACUAAACGCAUUAUAUACAUGUCUUUUGCCAAUCAUCCCCCCUCAAUCGCAGUGGUGGCUGGACCAACACUAAGAUUGUGACAGUGUUUCAAAAACAAUGGACUAUGCAGGCCCUUUGUGAAAAUGUCGGCAACUUGUUCUUCAGUAUUGACAUAUCGAACCACCAAAUCAUGACGCUGAACCCGUUCUCUGAUAAAGUGAAAAUCAAGUUCUAAAUGCUUUAUGCGAGAGUUUAAAACUGGAUUACUACUUAAGGCCAAUGCUGAUAAAUUGUCACUAUGUAAGACUGGAGCUUCAGGAACAAUAAUAUGUAAGUCUUGAAGAACAUAUCUGAUCCAAGAGAUAUCAGCAGCACAGUUGGCAAGAGCUCGAUACUCUGCCUCUGUAGAACUACGAGAGACAGAAGAUUGCUUACGAGAGGACCAAGAGAUAGGAUUCUGUCCAAGAAAUACAACGUACCCUGUAGUAGAGCGACGAGUAUUGGGAUCCCCAGCCCAAUCUGCGUCACUAUAGCCAACCAAAACAGAAGAACCAGAUGUAAAUGUCAAACCAUAAGAUAAAGUGCAUUGCACAUAUCUCAGUAUACGCUUAACUAAAGUCAUAUGAAUAUCAGUAGGAGCAGUCAUAAACUGGCAUACGGUGUUCACAGCAUAUGCCAGAUCUGGGCGUGUGAAUGUGAGGUAUUGAAGAGCUCCAACCAAGCUGCGAAACAUUGUAGGAUCAGGAAGUAAUGUACCAUCAGUUGUCAGAACAUGACAAUGAGGUUUACAAGGUGUAAUUGAUGGUUUACAAGUUUCCAUGCCAGCUCUCCUAAGUAAAUCACGAGCAUAUUUAGCUUGGUUGACAAACAAAUCACCAUUGGACUGAUAAGAAACCUCCAAGCCCAAGAAAUAAGUAAGCUGGCCAAUAUCUUUCAUAUCAAACACUUGUCCCAAAUCAUCAAUCACAGAUUGCGCUAGGGUAGAACUUGACCCCGUGAUGAUAAUGUCAUCCACAUACAGCAAAAGAAUAACCACAUUAAGACCAUCAUGCUUCACAAAGAGACUAGGAUCGGAGUGUGAAGAAACAAAGCCCAAAGCUGGAAGAUAUCCAGUGAACUUGGCAUUCCAAGCACGUGGUGCCUGUUUAAGACCGUAAAGAGACUUUCGUAGCCGACAUACAUAAUCUGGAUAAUGAUCAUCAAUGAAUCCCAAAGGCUGUUUCAUGUACACUUCCUCCUGUAGGUCACCAUGAAGAAAGGCGUUUUUAACGUCCAAUUGGCGCAAACACCAUCUAUGAGAUGCAACCAAACUUAAAAUCAAUCGAACUGUGGUAUGACGAACUACAAGACUAAAGGUUUCGUCAAAAUCUAUACCUUGUUCUUGACUAAAACCUUGUGCAACUAAACGAGCUUUAUAUCGAGCAAUACGUCCAUCAGCAUGUCUUUUAAUUUUGUAAAUCCAACGACAACCAACAAUAUUCUUAUCAGAGGGUGAAGGAACUAAAUUCCAUGUACCUUGAGUUUGUAAUGCUUUAAUUUCCUCUGUCAUAGCCUGCUGCCACUCAGACUUUGUACUAGCUUCUCGAAAAGUAUGAGGCUUAUCAAGAGCAGUAAUUGUAGAUAAACAAGUGGAAAAACAUUGAAAAUCACCAAAAUCUUUCUUCUUGCUAAUACCACUUUUAAGACGAGUUUGCAUAGAAUGACCAUGCUGUGGAAUGGAAAUAUGAGAAGAAGAACUAGAGGCAUCUGUGACAGAGAGAGGAAGCAAAACCUGUAAUUGAGCAGGAUCCAAAAUAGGUUGCAUAGUCUGAGCAGAACCUAAGACCUCUUGAGCCUCAUAUGUAGAUACUGAAGAAGAUGAAUUCUCAUUUGAACAUGGGAGAGGAGAGUGAUCAGACUCUGUGGUAGUAACAUAUCUAUAAGGCAAUGAAACUGCUAUAGCUGAGGGAGACAAUUGUGUCAUGACAGAAGAAGAUUAGGUUGAGGAUACUGAAUAAUUCUUCAUUGGAAACUGAGUUUCAUCAUAAAUCACAUGUCUUGAAAUAACCACUUUAUGAGUGUCAGGAUGAAAACAAAUAACACCCUUAUAACCAAGAGAAUAUCCAAGGAACACAUGCUCUGCUGAUCGUGGCUCUAACUUGUGAGAAUUAUAGGGUCGAAGAAGUGGAUAUACUGCAGAUCCAAAAACCUUUAAUGAUUGAAGCUCAGGAUUAUGACCAAACAAUUUGAAGUAUGGAGAUGUCAUUUGAAGAAGCUGACAAGGCAUACGAUUUAUGAGAAAGGUAGCAUGAGCUGCAGCAUAGUACCAAAACUUGUCAUUCAAGGCAGCAGUAGCAAGUAAUGUAAUUGUGGUUUCAAUAAUUUGCCUAUUCUUCCUCUCAGCAACCCCAUUUUGCUGAGGGGUAUAAGGACAUGAAAUCUGAUAGAAGCCAAGAAAUCUUUAAAUGCUUUACUAUUAUACUCCCCACCACCAUCAGAUUGAAAAUAUUGCACAGAAGCUUGAAAGUUCUUAGUAAUAUACGCAUGAAAUUUCACAAGUGUGGGAAAAACCUCAGAUUUAUUGAUUAAUGGAAAAAUCCAGAGAAAUCGAGUACAGUCAUCGAUGAUUGACACAUAAUGUCUUUUCCCAUGUUUUCCUCUGUUUUCCUCCUAUUUUCCCAUGCAAACUCUUUUCUUAUAUGGAAGUGAUUAAAGUGUGAUUCAUUGAAUAUUUGCGGGGUUUUGUUCAGACCUAACAAAGUUCUAAGUGAGCACAUCAAAUUUCUUUUACACCAUCAAAUUCAACUAGGUUUAUUCUACAACCUUAUGCUCGAUCAUUUUCCACAAGCAACCGUCCACGUACCAAGUAUUUAUUUUAUAUCAACGAGUACGAUGGUCCAUUCUAAUAAUUCACUCCAGUUGCAGGCCCCAAUAAUUUAGAAGGGCCGAUGGUCUUUCAUUUGAUGAAAGCUGCUAUCUACCAACCCUGCAAUAUGAGCUAUGCAAUGGUGAUGGUGUUACAUGACGUCAGAAUGUCGUAGGGAAAAUAAAAAAUAAAAAGUCAAGGUUUCUUAUUAAUGUUAAUAAAGGCAUAGCAAAAAAUUUGUAGCUCCAAUUGUUCAAAGCAAUUACCCAUGCACUUGAGAUUCUGUGUUUGAAUCUCCAAUUUUCUCUAAUAUUGUUUGUAUAAAAAUAAAAACUUUUGAAAAGACAUUAAUAUUGUAUUCUAUAUUCUAUAAAGUGUUGGACAUGUUUUAUAUUGUUGACAACCCCCUAAUACUUUGGUGGUGCCUAGUUAUAUUCAAUUCGUAUUUAUUUAAUUUGCCACUUACAUUCUUGCCUUAAUACAUCUAGGCUUAUUUUUAUACUAAUUUCUCUAACAUAACUUUUGCACAUUCUUUUAGUCUCUAAUAUAUAUAUUCUAAUAAAUGAUCUUACCCACUUGAGUUAUAAAUCUUUUUUUUUUAAUCAUGAAAAAUCGACAUUUUGACAGUGAGUUGAAAAGCACUCCCCAAUUUUAAUGUCAACCACUUGAAAAAAAAAACAUAAAUUUAAUGACAACAAUUACAUUUAGCAAUGCAACCUAAAUACUCAAAACCUUUGCGCCCCUUUUGCAACGCAUAUAGCAGGGUGAGGAUAUUGCCAAAGGAACUGCGAUAGCCAAUUAAAAAAAAAAGUAAUGAAGGCUUAUAACUCUGGGUUAAGAGAUUGGUCGUGGAGAAUUUACAUAAUUGGAGAAUGUACCAUCCCACAUCGACCAACGGAGAGAUGGUGAUGUGCCUCAUAUGUACAUGCCCACCUCCAUCUAGCACGAGGCCUUUUAGGAGCUCACUGCAUUCAGAGUCAUUGGAACUCCGAAGUUAAGCAAGUUUAAACUAGAGCAAUCCCAGGAGUGGUAAUCCACUGGGAAGUUACUCGUGAGUUCCUAGAAACAAAACCGUGAGGGCAAGGGGCCGAAAGCAGACAAUAUCGUGCUAUGCCCACCUCUAUCUAGCACGAGGCCUUUUGGAAGCUCACUGGCUUCGGAGUCAUGGGAACUCUGAAGUUAAGCGAGUUUGGGCUAGACCAAUCCCAGGAUUGGUGACCCAUUGGGAAGUUGCUCGUGAGUUCCCAGAAACAAAAUCGUGAGUGCAGGGAGCCCAAAGCCUACAAUAACGUGCUAUGGCGAAGCCGAUUCGGGGUAUGACAGAGAAUAUUCAAAUAUUCAAAAUAUUUAUUUCUUUGGAGUGGAGAUUUCAGCUUGAAGACCAACAAUCAAUGAUCAUGAUUUUAAUCCAAGAAGGCAUAAAUUCAACGACAAAUUUUUGUCAACCCGGGGAGAAUGAUGCAGAUAAAAAGCCAUUAAAGUUUAUGGGGCAUUUGAAUCAAAAGCAUUAAUAAGUUCAAUGCAUGAACGUUUUGUUUUGGCUUCUAAUAAAUUCUAUGUAUUUGGAAUGGAAUAGCUAGAGUCGUAAUUAUUUGGAUGGGGCUUAAUGUAUUUGGAUUAAUAGGUUAAUUAAUUUAGGUGCUAGUUCAAUGUGUGCGGUGAGAGAUUAAGUCUUUAAAUACUUGUAUGCUCAUAUUUCUCAAAGGAGUGGUUGUUGAUAAUUGAAAUUGAAAACAAAGAGAAUGUUCUCUCAUCUUUGCUCAUAAUCUGGAUAUUCUUAGAAUUAACGGGUUUGAGUAUUUUAUUCUAUCUUUUAUGCCAAGUUUCGGGUAUUCUUAGACUAAACGGGGCUUGGUGGUUCGUGGUUCGUGUUUUCCAAUAUCCUUGCUCUUUCCAACAUCCUUGCUCGAGUGCCGCUGCACUAGUUGGUAUCAGAGCGGGAUUCAAUUGCAAAACUGAAAUCCUGUGGAGGAACUGCACCCUAGUUGUGUAGUUAGUCAAAUCUACAUCAGCUGUUAUUAGAAAUGGUUAGUGGUGAUCAUACAUUUGAUCAUUUAUUAGAUUUGGAUCUCCCUCCAGUAUUUGAUCAAUGUUCAGAUGGUUCUUGCGAGAUUUGUUGUGAUUAACAUUUUAUAGUGGAAUGCAUUGAAGAAGUCGUGGAAAAUUAUGUCAACCUUCAUAUUGCAAAUGUCGAUGAUUCCAUCGCUUUAUUCAACUCUCAUGAUACUUUCGAAGUUGUUGAAUAUAUUGAUUUCACGGGGGUUGAAAAUUUCAGUCAUCGUAGUGCAACCACUUUGGUUGAUACCAUAAUUCAUAAUAUCUGGGUUAAGAGAUUGGCAGUGGAGAAUUUACACAAAUGGAGAAUAUUCAAAUAUUCAAAAUAUUUAUUUCUUUGGAGUGGGAGAUUUCAGUUUGAAGACCAACAAUCAAUGAUCAUGAUUUUAAUACAAGAAGGCAUAAAUUCAAGGACAAAUUUUUGUCAACAUGGGGAGAAUGAUGCAAAUAAAGAGCCAUUAAAGUUUAUAGGGCAUCUGAAUCAAAAGCAUUAAUAAGUUCAAUGCAUGACCGUUUUGUUUUGGCUUCUAAUAAAUUCCAUGCAUUUGGAAUGGAAUAGCUAGAGUCAUAAUUUUUUGAAUGGGCUUAAUGUAUAUGGAUUAAUGGGUUAAUUAAUUUAGGUGUGUUUAUAUCGGAAAUAAACGGCCUAUGAUCACCGAACACGUGGACAGGAUUGAUAUUGAUCACAGAACCCCUUCGGCAUGCUUCCUACCGAAGCCAUCUAUCUUGGCCCUUUUUACCAUCGGACACGUGUCAUGCUCACAAUCCAUGUCCACAGUCCCACAUCGGAAAUAUGAGCACAGUGCACACCUCCCAAGGCCUAUUUAAGAAGACCCCUAUCCUCAAAAGGAGGAGAUCAGAACGAACGGUACGCUACCGAUUGAUCUAUCAGUUAACAUUACUAAAACUGUACUUACUAAAGCAUCGGAGAGCCUUCGGCCGGUACCACACCGGUACCCCAAGGAAUUACCGAACGUGUCCUUUUGCAGGUACUUACCCUUCUGAAGUAGAACAUCUUCCGAAGACAGUCACCUGCCGAAGGCAUAAUAUCACUAAGUUGGCGAAAUACGUGCCGAACCACUUUUUCGCAUCAACAGUUUGGCGCCGUCUGUGGGAAUCCAGAAAAAUCAUCAACCCACUAUCUCCAAAACACAUGGGGACCACUUCAGUACCCACGUUCUUAUCGGAAGAAGGGGUACCGUUCGGAAGGUAGACCGGAGCUAGCCCAGCGCUACCCCCAUCCACUCCCUUCGGAAACGCCCCCGCAACCCAAACAACCGCCGAAGCCGAGCUGUUAGUCCAAAUCGCGUCCCUACGGAAGGACAUAGCGAGACUUCAGGAACACAACAACCUUCUUUCGUCCAAAGUGGACGAAACCCAGCAGCUGCUCCACCAGCAGCACACGCAGAACAUCCAAGCAACUCACUCUUCCCAGAGCUUGCAGACCCCCCAUAGGAAGAAGAAACACGAGAAGGUAGCGAGGGCAACGCCCGCACCUUCCAAACAGUUGGUAGUUCCGGCACCCAGGGAUCAGCCGCACAUCCCCAAGAAAGUCUACUCCGAUUGCCGACAUCGGAUUAACGAUCGGGAGGCAGAGAGACAGAGGUCUCCGAUCAGGAUUAGCGCUCGACUAAGGGACUCACGGAUGAAAAUCCUAGGAAGCAAGUCGCCUAUUCGGAAGGUCAGAGGGCUGGACUCCGCAGAGGAGUCAGAAUCCGAAUAUAUCCCUUCCAGGACGCAAGCUUCCACCUACCGUUCGACAACGCCUUCACGGUACUCGGGGGUUAAUUCAUUAAGUCUAGAAAGACGAUCGGAAGAUUAUGGUUCCAAGGAAAUCUCUAGUCGAGACCCUGUUGUCCGACUCCUUUUUCAGAAAGUCCAAAAAAUGGAAAACGACAAAGCUCGCUCCCAAGAACCGGAAUGAGGAAGCUUCGGCCCGGACCAUUCACCAGGCGCAUCCGAGACUCUCGGUAGGAUAAGAAAGUGCAGCAACUGCGUAUACCGUUCUAUAUGGGAACGGAGGACCCCUUAACACACCUCCACUCAUUUCAGUCCGCCAUUGGAUGCAAGGGCCUGAGCGAUGAAAGGCAGUGCCUGCUAUUCCCGUCUUCCCUUACCGAAGCAGCCCUGAACUGGUUCUACCGGUUGGAGCCGGAAACGGUAAAUUCCUUCGACGAGCUGAAACAAAUUUUCCUCAAUCACUUCAUGAUCCAAACGGAUCGUCUUUACUCUGCCGAUGAUCUGUACACGAUUCGGCAAAGAGAGGAUGAACCGUUGAGAGAAUACGCGGUGCGCUUCAGUCACGAAUACUCAAGGUGUCCGAAAACAGACGAUAGGGCAACCUACGGCGCCUUCAAGAGUGGCCUUCGGUCCUCGCAUUUCCGAUACCUAGUACACAGCAGCAACUGGCGCACGUACGAUGAACUGAUGCAGGCAGCAAUCCAUGCCAAAGCCGAAUACUUCAACUCGAAACCCGCGGUUUCGGCACGGCGAGGAGAUGCCGAACCAAGUGCUUAUCCGGUAAAGGCGCCACCCUACGAGAGAGUCGACCCAUAUUUGGCAGGUCAUAAGAGGAAAGACGACCGUGCCGAUCGAAGAGAACACCCGAAGAAGGGAAAAGGGAGGUAUGGUCGCAACGACCACCGAGCGCCCCUGCCGAAUCGUGACCACGGCAAUGAAGUCUUCACCCUAUUGAACACUACCUACGAGGCCGUCCUAAUGAACGAACAAGAAAUAAUACCAAAGCCGAACCUGCGAAGAUCCAAUCGGCAAGACAACCGGGAUACCGGUAAAUUCUGCCGAUACCAUCAGCAUAACAGCCAUAAUACGGAAGACUGUAUAAGCCUAAGAAAAAUUGUCGAACGGUUGAUCAGAGAGGGGAAGCUAGAUCAGUAUAUCGCCCGGCAGCCACCGGCGCCGGUACCGAAUCCAAUUCGGCAGAUAAACAUGAUAAGCACUAUCAGCGGUGGCCCCACCAUCGCAGGAAUGAGCAACCGUUCAAUGAAGCAAUACGUGCGCGCCGCACAAUUUCCGCAGGUAUUCGGCAUAGAGGUGAAUCGGUAUCAUGAAAUACCGAAAGUUCAUUGGGAACCAAUCACAUUUUGCGAAGAGGAGGAAGAGGGCAUCCUCUAUCCCCACGACGACCCAAUGAUCAUUCGAGCAGAAAUUACCGACUACGAUGUAGGACGGGUACUGAUCGAUACCGGGAGCUCGGUGAACAUGAUUUUUGCCGAAGCUUUCCGAGAGAUGGGAAUAAAGGACAGCCAGGUCAACCGGCAGUUGACACCUUUGUUAAGUUUCUCUGGGGACCUGGUCCAACCGGUCGGUAGUGUAAAACUGCCAAUUACCUUCGGCACCGCGCCAAGGAAAACGACGGUAUACAAUCAGUUCCUCAUCAUUGACUGCCCGACAGCGUACAACGUCAUAGUUGGAUGAACGGCACUCACCAGGGUCAAGGCACAUCUUUUCCCCCACAUGCUAUUGAUGAAGUUCCCGACCCCCAACGGCAUAGGAGCUGUCAAGGGAAAUCAGCUAAGCGCGCGGACUUGCUACGCCACGGCCCUCAAGUCAACCUCUUUCAAAAUCCCCAACGAGACCAUGUCUGUACAGGGGAUACCGAACGGUACGGGACCCGUUGACGACCCAAGAGAUGAGCCCCCGACUCCUCACACACAACCCGCCGAGGAACUGGAGACGAUAACCCUGAGCGAAGAGCAGCCCGAUCGUUGGGUUAGAAUCAGCACCAGACUCACCCCUGCCCUCCGAACGCAGUUCAUAGACUUCUUGCGGCGCCAUUCGGAAGUAUUCGCAUGGUCCUACGAAGAAAUGCCCGGCAUCGCCCCAGGGGUCAUCAGCCAUAAACUCAGCAUCUCUCCCGCUUAUAAGCCUGUAAGACAGAAGCGCCGUUCGUACGAUACCGAGCGAUACGAAGCCAUGCGUAAGGAGGUUGACAAACUUCAAACCAUCGGCUUCAUCAGGGAGGCUACGUAUCCGGUAUGGCUGGCAAAUUCGGUGAUGGUCCGGAAGGCUACAUGCGGGUGGUGAAUGUGCCAAGACUAUACCGAUAUGAACAAGGCCUGCCCAAAGGACAGCUUUCUGUUGCCACGGAUAGACCAGCUCGUGGACGCCACCGCCGGCCACGAGCUGCUCAGUUUCAUGGACGCCUAUUCCGGAUACAACCAAAUUUUCGUGCACCCUUCCGACAGCGAACACACCGCCUUCAUAACGGACAGAGGGUUGUACUGUUACAAUGUCAUGCCGUUCGGCCUGAAGAACGCGGGGGCAACAUAUCAAAGGCUCGUCAACAGAAUUUUCGCCAAAUACAUCGGCAGCAUCAUGGAGGUUUACGUUGACGACAUGUUAGUAAAAAGUAGAACUGCCGAAGAACACCUGCACAAUUUUUCAAUCAUGUUCGACACACUGAAAGACUACCGGAUGAGGCUGAACCCGAUGAAAUGCGCCUUCGGUGUAUCUUCCGGGAAAUUCCUCGGAUUCAUGAUUAGUCACAAGGGUAUCGAAGCGAAUCCCGAAAAAAUAAAGGCAAUCAUCGAUAUGAAAGGUCGAAGACGACGAAGGACAUUCAAAGCCUUACCGGACGCGUGGCGGCCUUAACUCGCUUCAUAUCCAAGGCUACCGACAAAUGUGUACCGUUCUUUAAAGCCUUGAAAGGGGAUAAACAGAAUAUCAUAUGGACUGCCGAGUGUGAUAAAGCGUUUCAAGACUUAAAGGACUACAUGGGCAAAGCACCCCUUUUAUCAAAACCACUACCUGGGGAGAUUCUCUCCCUAUACCUUUCGGUAUCUAGCACUGCCGUCAGUUCGGUAUUGAUUCGAAAACCAGAGAAAGCAGAGUUACCGAUUUUCUAUGUCAGUAAGGCACUCCAGAGUGCUGAACUUCGGUAUCCCCCAUUAGAGCAGCUUACACUAGCCCUUGUGGUCUCGGCACGAAGACUUCGGCCAUACUUUCAAGCACACAGAAUCAAAGUUCUGACUAACCAACCGCUCCAGCAAGUGCUCCAAAAACCAGAGACUUCUAGCCGAUUGAUCAAGUGGGCGAUCGAACUCGGAGAGUUCGAUAUACAAUUCAUGCCAAGGCCCGCCGAAAAGGGUCAAGCCAUUGCCGAUUUCAUCUCCGAGCUCACCCCAUCAACAGCACAGGAGAUACCCGAGACCGGGUUGCUAGAGGAACUUGACACCGAGCGCUUUGGUGCCUCAACUCCCGUAUGGAGUCUGCACGUUGAUGGUUCGGCAAACCAACAAGGAUGCGGAGCGGGCUUGGUACUGACAACACCGGACGGACUCAAGAUCGAGUACGCCCUCCGAUUCGACUUCCGAACCUCCAACAAUGAAGCGGAAUAUGAAGCUCUCCUGGCCGGCCUUCGGCUAGCCAAUAGCAUGAAUGCAAAACAAAUCAGAAUUCAUAGCGACCCCCAGCUCAUUGUGAACCAGGUAACGGCGGACUUCGCUGCCAAAGACGCCUCCAUGUAUGCCUACCUUUCGACUACCCAUCAACUGCUCUGAAGCUUUCGAGCCUACGAGAUCAAGCAGAUCCCCAUAAGCGAAAACAGCCAUGCCGAUGCAUUGGCACAUCUGGCUUCGGCAAUUAACGACAAAAUCGGAAGAAAUGUGCCAGUAGAGAUUCUUGCCCAACCGAGCACGGUAGCCUCCGAAACAUGUACCGUACGGUACGAAGAUACAUGGAUGUCUCCUAUCUACUCGUACCUGACCAACGGCACCCUUCCAGAAGACAAGGCCCAGGCCCGAAAGCUUAGGCACCGAUCAGCAAAGUACACCGUCAUCAACGAUGUCCUUUACAAACGUGGCUACACAACUCCAUAUCUCAAAUGCCUUACGGCAGAACAGGGGGACUACGUCCUUCGGGAGAUCCAUAAUGGUGUGUGCGGCGACCAUUCUGGGUCCCGGUCACUCGCCCACAAAGCCUUUCGGCAAGGAUACUUUUGGCCGACCAUGCACCAGGACGCUAAUUCGCUAGUGAAAAAGUGUGAUAAAUGCCAGCGCUUCGGUAACAUACAGCAUAUCCCUGCCGAACCCCUGACACCGAUCGUGAGUCCUUGGCCUUUCGCACAAUGGGGACUAGACCUGAUCGGUCCGAUGCCACAAGGUAAAGGCCAGGUAAAAUAUGCAGUGGUUGCCGUCGACUACUUCACCAAAUGGGUAGAAGCCAAACCUUUAGCAACCAUAACGGCAGCAAAGAUGGAGGAUUUUGUCUGGACUCACAUUUCGUCUGGAUUUCGGUAUCCCAUAUGCUAUCAUUAUCGAUAACGACAGGCAGUUCGAUUCGGAACUCUUCAGGCAAUUCUGCACCGGCCUGAAAAUCAACUUGUUUUUCGCAUCACCAGCUCAUCCCCAAUCGAACGGUCGGGUCGAAGCAAUAAACAAAAUCAUCAUGAAACUACUGAAACGGCAGCUGGACAAAGCCAAAGGAGCUUGGUUGGAGAAGCUUCCUGAAGCACUAUGGGCCAUUCGGACAUCUUACCGAACGUCCACUGGAGAAAUCCCUUUUUCCCUGACUUUCGGUUCGGAGGCUGUGGUGCCUGUGGAAAUUGGCGAACCUUCCUACCGAACGAAAACCUUCGCACCAAAGCCGAAUGAAGAAGCACUUUCUCUAAGCCUUGAUCUUCUUAAAGAGCACCGGGCACAUGCCAACCUUCGGAAUGAAGCCUACAAGCAACGUGUCUCUCGGUACUACGACUCUAGUGUCAGGCACCGCUCCUUCCGAAUCGGAGACUGGGUCAUGCGCAAGGUAUCCCUAGCAACCAAGGAUGCCACGGAAGGAACCCUCGGACCUUAAUGGGAAGGACCCUAUGAGAUCAUCGGGAACCUACCGACUGAGAGACUCCAACGGCAAGACCCUCGGUCAUCCUUGGAACGUGGAACAUCUCAAAUACUACUACAAGUGACCUAGCCUACGGCAGGCCCGAACUGUAACCGCUCAGAAUGUAUUUGUCCUUCAACUGAAAAUAAUAAAAGUCUUCAGCACUAUUACUUCAGAACCUCUUUUUAAUUAGUCUACUAGCCCACGACUGCCAAUAAUGUCGAGUUAACGUUCUACGGCAUCUUUAUUAGCCUACGGCAAUAAAUGACUUUCGGCGACAAUACGUUCGACAAUUUAAACACAUGUUCAGAUUGUUCAAACAACAGUAGAUAAAAACAUGCAUUUGAAUUAGAGAUGCCCUCGGCAUCAAUGUGUUCGGUACACAAAAUAAAAAUAGAAAAAAACUAAUUCUACUAUUAUAAAUAAACGGCAAGGAGCCUCAAGUUUCAUCGGCGGCGACAGCCUCGGCAGAUCCGGAGCCCUCGGCGGCAUCUUCCCCUCGUAUUCUUCAAUCAUGUCCUCCGUCAGCCCUUCCGGUAGAGGAGUAGGAUCAGCGAUGAAGUUCAGAUUCAGCUUCUUCCCGAGGUUGUACCGUUUGAACCGGUACAACAGGUCCGCCAUCUCCGAGCCCACUUCCUUAUCCAGGAGAACAGUGAACUCUUCAGACGAGCGGUACCCCCGGAUAGUUGACCGAAUGGCAGCCUCAAUCUCCGCAGCCUUGGCCCGCUCCGACUCCUCCAAGGCCACCUGCACCGCCUCUUUGGCAGCCUCGGCAUCCCUCGCUGUCGCCAGCGCUGCCUCCAGGAGACCCUUCAUCUCCUCCACCUUCGCCUCCGAAGCGAGACCCUUUUCAGCAGAUGGGCGUGGUCCUGGAGCGCUUUGCCAGCCUCGGCAACCUUGGCCCUGCCGUCCUCGUACGCCUUCUUGGCACGCUCGGCAGCAGCAAUGGCCCGCUUGACGCAGAGCCACAUGUCCAUGGACGCCUACACAAAACAAACAAAGUUAGAAGCAUGCCCCACUUACCAAAAAAAAAAGGACGAAGGAAGAAAGAAAAUCUUAUCGAGGCUUGAAGCCGGAAGGCGCGUCCGGCCUCCUCCCGAAGAAGCUUCUUCGGUAGUUCGUCGAUCUCCAGCAGCUCCAUCUGAGAACCGAGGAUCAUAUGGUUGACGAACUGGACCGUCUUCGCGGGGCAGGCGAUGGUGACGGCUUCGGAAGGACCGUCCACGUCCUCCACCGCAAGGAAAGCCCUUGGGACCUCCGAUUGGCGAGGGCGUUUGGGGACUGGCUCGGCUUCCAGAUCGACUGUCUCCGGCCGCUUGCCGGCAGCCUUGGAAGCUGCGGCCUCGGUAUCCCGAUGCCUCGGUGCAGAGACCUCACCGGCAGUGCGCCCCAGAACAGGCUCGGUGCCCAGCUGUCGCAGGCGCUCCGCGAGGGUCUGAUCCUCCGGAUCCACCACCGCCUGCCGGACGGAAGCUGCCUCGGGCUGCUUUUUCUUUUUCUUGCCCUCCAGGCCCAUCAUUAGGCGCCUCCUGGAGGACUCGUUCAUCUUCUUCGCCUCGGCAGCCUUCUUGCGUCCGUCACUGGUCAAAAGUGUUUGGUCAGUUGGCAAACAAAAGCAACACACAAAAACAAAAAAAAAAAACAAAAAGAGAGAAGGAAAGAUAUACUUACUCUCGGCAGGGUGGACGAGGCCGGCUCUGACAAGGUUGUCGGUGGAGAAGAAGCGUGGGUAAACUCGCUCGGCAGCAGGUACUCUCAGCCUCACUCUGUCGAGCUGCCGGAUCUCACUCUGCUUGGGGCUCGGCUGUUUGAGUUUACCUGUCGGAAGAAGGAAAAUUAGUAAAAUAAAGCAAGAAAAAAGAAGAGAGAAGAGAAGCCAGCCUAUCAAUCGGUAUUUCGGAAACCUACCGGCAAUCUGAAAUGUCGUGGGGACCGGGAAGCGAGGAGGUGUUCCCGAUGGCGAUUCCCAAUCGCCGGAGAGUAGCACCCGCCGAUUCCUCCACGACUUUUGAGAAGUCGGCACCGAGCUGAUGAAGUGCCCCUGCUCGGAAGUCUUCAGGCAGUUCGCCUGAACCCAGCCGCCGUGAUCGGCGCUCUUGGACUUAGUAAUGCUGUAUAAGUACAAGAACUGCUCGUAGGAAGGCUCCCCCUCCUCGGCAAUCCCGAACGCAGCAAUUACCCCGAUCAAGGCCACCCAGAAGUUGGGGUUGUACUGGCCGGGAGCGUACCCGAUCUGGGCAAGGAACUUCUGCACGGCAGGUUUCAACGGCAACCGAACCCCUUGUAGAAGAACGUCGGUGAAGAAGGUCACUUCACCGUUCACUGGGUCGCUGAGGGACUCGACAGGGCUCGGUAUCCUCAUCUUCACCGAGUCCGGAAUGAGGUACUCGGCCCUAAUCCUCUCCAGCUCUCGUUCGGUGAUCUUGUUGGGCUCCAAUUAGUCGACCCCGAACAGAGUCUUCCUAGGCACACCCACCGGUAUCCUAGGCUGCUCUCGAUGGACGAUCGUCACCCUCGGCCGGGAGGGACCGGCAAUGCCCUCACCACGACCGGAGGUGGAGGCCUCAGGCUGAUGCUUAAACGGGCCGACGCGGGUACCGUCCUUGUACACCACGGUCAAGGGUAGCGGUUGCCCCGUCAUAAGCCCCUUGCCGAUGCCAUGGGUGGGAAUGGAGUUCACCUCCUCACCGAAUAACUCAACAUCGGUGUCUUCUCCACCCUCAGCGUCGAGGCUCACAGCCCCGCUGGACGUAUCCCAGCCCGAUGACAACUCCCCAUCGAACGCGUUGGGCUCACUUCCGAACGGCGACUCGCUAUCAGACAUCUACAAAACAAAGAAAGGGAAGCUAAGGCCCGUGCCACAAACUACUCUACCGAUGCCUACAUCGCUACCUAUGGCCACUAGACUACCGAAGAAAAAUUCUAUUUUACGUUCGGCUAGCCUACGCCAUGAAAAGACGUACAAUUAAAUAAAUUGAGAGUAUUUUGAGGGGUACCGAACGGUAUCUUACCUUGAGUAGUGUGGGAUGAGUUGAUCACCGAUCAGAGACUUCGAAAAUUGCCCUGUAUGCCGAGAACCGCUGUAAAAAUCGCCUUGAUUGCCGUUCACUCUCUUCGGAAAUCGCCCGCACAGAGCUCUCGCGUCAACUCACAAUUGCAAAGUGAGCCUUACAUCCGGAGCAACCUCUAUUUAUAGGGAGAAAGCUGUAACGGUACACCUCGGAAGACUAAACGGCUCUUUAAUGCGUCGUCAGACGUGCUGUUGCUGGCCACGUGUCACCCGACGAAUGGCGCCGCUGACUGCACGCCAGGCACGGAAGACGAAGCGUCUCUCUGCCCUUUUGCUCUCAGCAUCGACGACCCCUCAAGUCCCAGGUCAAUCUCCCCCGAACGAUCCUACCGAACGGCAGGUCAACCUCCGAACCGCUAUAGAGAACUAAAUUCCCUUCCGAAGGACCUUCGGAAGAGAACUUGGGGGACUACUGUUUAUACCGGAAAUAAACGGCCUAUGACCACCGAACAAGUGGACAGGAUCGAUAUUGAUCACAGAACCCCUUCGGCAUGCUUCCUACCGAAGCCAUCUAUCUUGGCCCUUUUUACCAUCGGACACGUGUCAUGCUCACAAUCCAUGUCCACAGUCCCACAUCGGAAAUAUGAGCACAGUGCACACCUCCCAAGGCCUAUUUAAGAAGAUCCCUAUCCCCAAAAGGAGGAGAUCAGAACGAACGGUACGCUACCGAUUGAUCUGUCAGUUAACAUUACUAAAACCGUACUUACUAAAACAUCGGAGAGCCUUCGGCCGGUACCACACCGGUACCCCAAGGAAUUACCGAACGUGUCCUUUUGCAGGUACUUACCCUUCCGAAGUAGAACAUCUUCCGAAGACAGUCACUUGCCGAAGGCAUAAUAUCACUAAGUUGGCGAAAUACGUGCCGAACCACUUUUUCGCAUCAACAAGGUGCUAGUUCAAUGUAUGCAAUGAGAGAUUAAGUCUUUAAAUACUUGUAUGCUCAUAAUUCUCAAAGGAGUGGUUGUUGAUAAUUGAAAUUGAAAACAAAGAGAGUGUUCUCUCAUCUUUGCUCAUAAUCUGGGUAUUCUUAUAAUUAACGGGUUUGAAUUUUUCAUUCUAUCUUUUAUGCCAAGUUUCGGGUAAUCUUAGACUAAACGGGGCUUGGUGGGUCGUGGUUCGUGGUUCGUGUUUUCCAACAUCCUUGCUCGAAUGUUGCUGCAUCAAAGGCAGACCAAUAAAAAAAAGAGUAGCAAAGGCUUAUAACUCUCGUAAAACAAGAGUGACGUGGACAUAAUAUGUUACGUCGUACUGAAGAUUUUUGGGUUUCUUUAAUUGGUUAAGUUUAUAUACAUUCAUUUGAAGAUUCUUUAUUUGGGUUUCUUUCAAGAUGAAAACCAUAUCCACAACCAUAACCACAACUUGCCAGGGGCGGAUCCACAGAGGAGCAAGGGUGGUCAAUUGACCCCUACAACCUCUGAAAUCUGCCAUUAGAGGAGCAAAAAUUGACCCUCGCAAGAUGUUCGAUGAAAUGCCCCAAAGGGGCAACUUGUCUGUCCAUGCGCUCCAGCGCUGCUUGCGCGCAGCGCGCGAGCCUUUUUUUUUUUUUUUUUUUGUUUCUCUCGACUUCAAAGGUCGGGUGAGGUUGUUGAGUUCCAACUCGUCUCCCAUCUUGAUUGGAAGUGUAGCUUGCUUACUUUUAUCUUGACGGAGAUAACGAAGUGUGUUCUCUAGUUUAGGGUCAUAUGGUAUAAGCUCGUGACUCUGCGAACGACGACCCAGCAUAUACCUGAAAUUGAAAACAAAACUCAAUUAGAUUGACAAUCCCCGGCAACGGCGCCAAAAACUUGUUGGUAAUUUUUAACAACAAUAUUAAAACCUUGAAGUGCACAAAUCAAAUGAUAGUAUAGUAACCAAGCAAGGGUCGAUCCCACAGAGAUUGUGAUCUAAAGAGAUGUUUAUCAAUGUCACACAAUGAGAACUAAAACACAAUUAAACACGAAAACAAAAUAAAGAUUGAAACCACAAGGACUUCCACACACACGCCAACACCAAGGGGGGUUUUGAUUUGAUUUUGUGAAUAAAACAAAACAAGGAAAAGAAAAGAAAACAGAAUUUAAAUUAGAGUUUAAGAGAAAUUGGUUUAAAAUCAAUCAAGAACAAUAGCUAGGACUUACUAUCCACCUCCAAACAAUCAAUCAAUCAAUCAAUCCAUAAACAACAAUAGAUAAUCAAUUUCUAGCAAGCACAUGAUGAUGACACUCACAACAAGAUCAUGGCAUUUGACUCGAGUUGUGUGAUUCCCUCUGAAGUGUAUGGCAUUUACAUCAAUACGUGUAUUCUUAAUUAAAAUCUAGUAUGAUAUUUACUCAAAUUAACAAUCAAGAAUCCAUUAAGAUCAAAGAGAAUAUGUGUGUCACAAAAACCCUAAAACAUGGCAUUUGUUAUUAGGAAUUCAAGAAUCAAUUUCUCAUAACUAGUUCUGAACUCAAUUAUUCGUUGCAAACAAGAACACAUUCAAUAUGGCAAUUGACCUAUGUUCUACAACAAUUUAAUUCCAAACAUGCUUCCAAGUUAGCUACUCAAAGAAACAAAAUAUCAGAAUUCACAUAACAUAGAGAAACCAAAAUCAUCACGCUUGUAGAAACUGAAAAUCCAUUCAAACUUGUUUAUAAAAUUGAAAUUAUGUUUAGGGCUUCAAGAUUAAGCCCUAACUAACAAGAAAUUAGUUACUCAUAUUCUUGGAUGAACUCAAAAAUAAAUACAUAAGAACUGAAAAUUAAAAGAAGGAAGGAAAAGAAAGAACUCGUUGGCAGCUUUCUCCUUUUGCGCUGUUGAUCUCUUUAGGACGUGAAUUCCCUGUAUGAGGGCCUUGGCUGGCUUUUAUAUCACUUAUAUCAGAGUUCUAAACCCUAAUAUUGACUGAAAAAGUCAUCCAAGAAGUCUUGGUAAAUAAGGAAUCCAAAUAGGGAAGUAAAGAUCACAAUUCCUAACUCUAUAGGGAAAUACAGCUCAGCCCAAUUGUUACACGAUUUGGGGAUCUUCGGCCUUGUAGAAAAAUCAUUAAAAAUAUAUUUUAGAAAGAUAAAUGUCUUAUCUUUCCAACCAUAUAUAGCACGUAACUUGAACAAUUCGGGAAGGCUUCCGUUUCUUCGUAUUCACGUAAUAUGUACGAAACUGUCCUGUCUGCACGUGGGCUAACUUUACUUGUAAUACUCUACCAAUUGGCUUGGUAUAAAAUUCUACAAAAUCACAGAUUGAACUUCAAGAUGUUAGCUUUCAUCUCCAAUUGGCCUUGCACUAAAAUUCCUCUGAAAAGUUAAUUUUCCCUUAAAAACCUUCUAAGAGCGCAGAAAAGCUGAAAAUCAGAAAAGUAAAGUCAUAAGCCCUUUUUAAAUCCAAUUAUCCUACAAAACCUAAGUAAAAAGAGUACAUAAAUGAGUAUAUUUAUGGACUUAUCAAAUUUCUGGCGUGUAAGGCACUUCCCAUACAUGGCGUUGGAAUUUCCGGCUUAUGGGAAGAUUAUGUGAUUAUUAGGUCUCACACGUGGCGUUAGAAUUUCCGGUGUGUGAGACACUUCCUAUAGGUGGCGUUGGAAUUUUCGGCAUAUGGGAAGAUUAUGUGAUUAUUAUGUCUCACACGUGGAGUUGGAAUUUUCGGCGUGUGAGACACUUCCCAUACGUGGUGUUGGAAUUUCCGGCGUAUGGGAAGAGAAUAAGGAGAGGAAAAAAUAAUUAUUUUACUAUAUCGGGGAAAGAUUGAUGCUUAAAAGAAUAAUGUCUUGUGUGUUGUGAUUUAAGGAAAAGGAAUAAUUCUAUAAUUUACUAUUUUAUUUUGCUGUAAUGGAUUGUAUGUUAUUGGAAUCGAGAUUCUUGUAGAAAGAACUACAUGUGGCUUGAUCCCUCAGUAAGGAUACGUAGGUAGCUUAGGGUCUCACCCAGGUGCAGCCGCGAAAUAACUAUAUAUAUAAAAGGUUUAACCGGUUUUGAAUGUGUGAAUGAAUUUUGAGGUGGUUGCGGGAUUUGAAUCCUAAUUAUUACUACUACUAGGUUCAGUUUUGAUUAUGAUGGAACGCCUGAAGCUCGACUCAAACUUGAGCGAGAUUAAAUGCUUGUUUAUUUCUCGAUUAACUUGAUUGGACUUUAUUAAAUAGAAUAUGUGGUUCUGAUAUGUCUGAGAUCCAUUUCGAAAUAAAUGACUGAUAUUAGGUUGAUUAUAUUGAGUAAUGGGCUUGAGGCCCCUAGAACCGAAAAUCGCGUGCCCUUAUUCCUUUUUGGGAAAGGAGGCUAUAGUUUUAGUGACUGGGCCCGACAUCGUGGUGAUGUCAAAUUUUCCACAGGAUAUGUUCUGGGUUCCGAGGAAUUCGAGGCAGGUCUUGUCAACUAAUCAAUCGUCACAUCCCAGGAUCGGCUCCGCUGUAGCACGAUAUUGUCUGUCCGCUUUGGGCCUCUCUCUCUACCUUCACAAUUUUAUUUCUGGGAACUCACAAGCAACUUUCUAGUAGGUCAUCAAUCUUGGAAUUACUCUAGCCCCAACUCACUUAAUUUCGGAGUUCCCAUGACUCCAAAACUAGUCAGUUCCCAAAAGGCCUCGUGUUAGAUAGAGGCGGGCAUGUACAUAUAAGACACAGCACCCCCUCUUCGUUAAUCAAUGUGGGAUGUUACACCUCCCUUCUAAUCUUGUACUAAAAAAAAACUUACACUGAGAAGAGCAAAGAUGAGUGGUAGAUGGAAACCCAUUAAGAUUGAAAUACUUAUGCAACAGGAAGGUGAUGAAUAUGAAGGAAAAAUAAAACUUAAUAUAUAUAAGAUCAAGUGAAAAACAAAAUUAAGUCAUCAAACACUGACAGAGAAAGUAAAACCACUUUAGUUGAUCAAAUCCAAAUUUUAUAUAAUCUGUAUUAAUGAGUGGAGGAGAGACUUGAAGAAAAAAAUGAUAAAAACUUUCAAUCUCUAACAAUUUCUACGUUUGUCCUUCAAAUUUGCUUUUUGGCAACUCUUUUUUCUUUUUGUGAAGUUGGGUCUCAACUUCCAAGGCCCAAAAUGCAAAAACUACCUCAAACUCAAAGCAUUCCCUGGGCCUAUACAAUCCUCAAGAAGAAGACAAGCCCAAUGUGAGGAAGAAGAAAAGAAAAAGGCAAGGAAUCUAUGAGUUGACCUGAUCAUUAUGCAAUUAUUCAGAGAGAAUUUAUGUCACAUCUACAGCCGGAGAAAGCAAUCUGCAACUGCAAGUGAGCUUUUCUAGUCAUUAGCCAAAGGCAAAACAAACUUGGUCCUUGCAUACAUAGCUUAGCAGGUGCGAAUUCCUUCACUUCUCUCUUUCUACUUUUUUUUCUUUUCAUUUUCAUAAUAUUUCUUCUAGAUUAAUGUAUUGUUCUAUAAAUUGAUAUAUAUGUUUCCACAUGUCCAUUUGCCUGAAGGUUUAAGUCGCUUGUGUUUCAUGGUAUGUUUUGAUCGAGGAGUAGGUUGACACACUGGUCAAAGUUGAGGGGGUUCUUUGUAUCUUAUACCCUAUCGAUUUUCUUAGGGGUGUCCUUUCGUGCCGUCACUAUGGUUUUGCUCAGCAUAGCACAUCAACAGGAAAAUGGAAGAAUGCAAUCAUGCUGGUCCAAAUGACACAAUUAACAUGCCAUACGUUCCAUUAGAAACUUCAUUGAGGGAGGAGUUAGAUAGCUUGCCUGCCUUGUCCUCUUCGUGUUGUAUCUACAGAGUUCCCAAUGACAUACGACGUCUGGAGGAAAAGGACUACACACCUCAAGUCAUCUCCAUAGGUCCACCUCAUCAUGGCAAGGAAGGUUUAGAAGCCAUGGAAGAGCUGAAAAGAGGUACCUACGAGAUUUUAUGUGUCGGACUAAGAUAAGCUUGAAAGACUAUAUCAAGAAAAUAAGGGACCAAGAAGCAAGACUGAGAAGUUGUUAUGCAGAACCCAUCAAAUUUAGCAUUGAUGAAUUUGUAAAAAUCAUUCUAGUGGAUGCUGCCUUCACUACUGAGUUCUUAUUGAGGUUCUAUCUGAAAGAAUCUGGACAUGAAGGAGACCGUUUGUUAAACAAUCCGUGGAUGUUCAGGUAUGUACAGCCUGACAUGUGGUUGCUUGAAAAUCAGCUCCCAUUCUUUGUUCUUGAGGAUCUUUAUCACACAUACAUAAUAACCGACUCUUUUAGGAAUUAUUACAGUACUCAUGAUCAUGAGAGGCUUUCAAUAAUUAAUAUUUCAAAGAAUUUCUUCACAGCUGGAAUAUUGAAUUUGGAGGGUAAAGGAGACAAAUGGAACAGAAUAUCAUCUUCUUCUAGUUCUAUUAAUGUGCAACACUUUGUUGAUCUUAUAAGAAUUUUCUAUCUACCAUUGGAAUCAGAAUUAAGAGAUGCAGGGGAGCUCAAAACCUUGAACAUACCUAGCAUCAAAGAGAUGCACCAGGCUGGAGUCAAAAUUAAGGUAGGAUCAAGCAAAAACUUAGUCGACAUACAAUUUGCAAGUGGAACUCUCAUAAUUCCUAAAAUAAUGAUAACUGGUGACAAACUGCGGACCCUGGGAAAUGUCCUUGCCUUUGAACAAAGCCAUUGCAUGGAAGACAACUACUUAAACGAUUAUGUUAGCAUCAUGGGUCGUUUUGCGAACACUCCAAAGGGUGUGGAGUUGCUUGUUGAGUUUGGAAUUUUUCAAACUGCGGGUACCACCAGCGUGGUGUCAUCUAUGAUUACCAAACUUGCCUCUGAGGCUCUUUUCUUUGUCGAUAGAUUCUGUUACGCGACUCUUUGUGAAGAGCGGAACAACUUCUGCAGAUCGUCCUGGAACAAAUGGAAGGCAAAUUUGAGACAAAAUUAUUUCAACACACCUUGGGCAUCUAUUUCUGUCAUUGCCGCUGUUGUUCUCCUCACACACACUCUCAGACAAACGGUGUGCUCUGUUAUCUCUGCUACUUAACCAUUAAAGGGUAAGUCCCUGCUUUGCCGCUUUCUCUUCUGACAAUAAUAUGUAGACUCAUCUCUGUUUUUAUUAUUUAUUUAUUCACUCACAUGGUUCUAGCAGGAACACUUUCGGGAAACUAGUAGUAUUUCAGGUCCUCAUCAAGUAAAGGGAUCCGAGGAAAGCCUGUGAACUCAAGUCCAGAUGAUGAAUGUAAUAUUUCUAUUGUUUGUCCAAAUUUUCACAGUGAAUGAAUUCAAACUGCAGGUUCUUCCUAUCCAGAUUGUUUCUGAUGAAAUAUUAUUUAUUUCUGUGCUAUAAAUUUUUUAGUAAUGAAAAAAGAGAGAAAAAAAAACUUCCAAUGUCCACCAAUCUCUGUAAAAAUUAAUUUGUUUUAUGAUUAAUUUCUCCAUGGUGGUGAUCAAAUCUUUAUUCUUUUUGUGGUUAAGUUGGAUCCCAAGGCCCAUAAACACAAAAACUAACUCAAAGCAUUCCUGGGCCUAGAAACCGCUUGGCAUCCUCAAGAAGAAGACAAGCCCAACAUGAUGUGGGAAGAGUCCAAGACUAAACGGCUCAAGUCGAAGGAAAAAGCAUAUAAAGAGAGUUUGAUAUUUUUCAUCAUCAAAUCCGUUAAGAAUUUUAUGUAUUUAUUAUUAGUAAAUUUAGGUUUUACCCAUAAAAAAAUUUUCAUUUUUGGAAAAAGCCAAAGCUUUUUGAAAAAAGACAGAAUAACCUCUUAACUUUCAAACCAAAGACAUGCAAAUGUAAAGGAUUUCUUAGGAAAUCAAAAAAUAAAUAAGGGCAAUUUUGUCCAUUUUUGCUUGUUUUAAAAAUUUUCUCUCUCCUUUGGGCUUUUCCAAAGUCUCCCUUUAUUAUUUUAUAUUUUUUUAGUACAAGCGAUAGGGAGGGGUUUCUCACACACACAACUAAUGUCAUGGGGGUUUGAACCUGAUACCUCUCUGGUCUACAAAUCAAAACCCUUUUUCACUCCACUAGACCCUGUUGGCUUUUUUUUUUCUUCUUAAGAGCAUUUUAAAUCUAGUAAGAAACAACCUAAUUUUUUCCGGAACAUUUUCAUGGAAUAAGCAUUGCACACUCCGCACAAAGGACACAGAAACUUCACCGAAACACAAAAGCAGAUUUUACUUAUAGUCGACAAACCCUUGUACAAAAUGUUGAUUUUUAGUUGUCGUGGGACCUGCAAUGGAUUAUUCAAACUUCCCCAGGACGCGCAUAGACAUGUCAAAGCAAAGGCAAGGAAGCUACAUGAGGAGUUGACCUGACUUCCAAACCAGAUUCACUAGUUCUUAUACUGAAAUCUAGCAGAAGAGCAAGCUAUCUGCAUUGAGCUUUUCUAGCUACUCAUCUACCAACUGCCAAAAAAAAAAAAAAAAACUUGGGUUUCAAUCCAUAGCAGGUAUGUUUUCAAUGCCCAAACUCCUUUCUCUGUCUUUCUUUAUUUUUCUAUGUUUGCUUGCACAUCCAAUUUCUUGAAGCUUUUUAAGUGUCUUGUGUUUCAUUUUAGUUGGAAAUUGGAAUUGAGCAAAAGGUUAUGUAAAUGUCGUAUAUAAUUUUCUUCUCUUGUAAUGGGAUUUUGGUUUGUCUAUGUUUUGACUGGAAGCAUAAUCUACUAUCUGAUAUCAUUACACAAAGAAUUUGUUUUAUUAGAAUCUCCAAUAAUGCAGAACACGAAAAAGAUUUUUUUUUUAUUUUUUAUUUUUUAUUUUUAUAAAUGUAAUAAUUCAUUCAAGACUUUCAAUUCUUUUCCUUUCGAACAAAUAAAAAAAAUGGUGUCUCUAUGUUAAUGUGAAUUAAACUUUCGUACUGAUUCACAUGAUUAGUAGGAAUUUUUCAAUCAAAACUGCAUUAGAAUCUUCCAAGAAUAAUUACAAGAAACAGAGUUGACCAGAAGAGUUUUGAAUGAAUUUGGUGCAUUCAAAUCAAAUUCUUAAGGCACUAGUGUGGUAUGUAAGAGUUACAAGGAUCAAAAGUCUUUGUGUGUUUGGUCUUAUAGUUGCAAUGUUUGUAUUAAUUUUCUCAACCAUCUUGAAAAUUUGUUUAUUGUUGUGUCAGUGACUAUCAUUUCAUUAUCAUCCAUUACGAUUGACAACAACAAACACAUCAGCGGAAAAUGGAAGGAAGCGAUCAAGCUCCACAUGAUAUUGAAAACCCCUGCAUUCCAUUAGUAACUUCAAUGGGCGAGGAAUUGGAUGGCUUGUCUCCCCUCUCCUCUCUGUGUUGCAUUUAUAGAGUUCCUGAACGACUACGGCGUGUGAGUGAAAAGGCCUACACACCUCAGGUAGUCUCUAUAGGCCCACUUCAUCAUGGCAAGGAAGGCCUAAAAGCCAUGGAAGAUCACAAAAAGAGGUACUUACAAGAUUAUAUACGUCGGACCAGGGUAAGCCUAGCGGAUUAUGUACAGAAAGUAAAAGACCAAGAAGCAAAACUGCGCAGUUGUUAUGCAGAAACCAUUCAGGUUAGCAGUGAUGAAUUUGUGAGAAUCAUUCUGGUGGAUGCCGCCUUCAUCAUUGAGGUCUUGUUGAGGUAUCGUUUCGAUGAAUUGCAGGAUGAAAAUGACUGCAUAUUUAACAAACCAUAUAUGUUGCAGGAUGUAUGGCCUGACAUGCGGUUGCUUGAAAAUCAGCUGCCCUUCUUCAUUCUUGAGGAACUUUUUGACCCCGACAAAAUCGAAGUCUCUUCUAACAAUAACAAUAUUGAAAGGCUUUCGAUACUCAACCUUUGCCACAAUUUCUUCAAAAAUCUAAUGCAUAUAGAGGGAACAGAUGGCAAUAUGGAGAAAUUAUGUGCUUCUAAAGUUGAACACUUUGUAGAUUUUUGUAGAAAUUUGCAUCUACCUCUACCAUUGAAACCACAUGCUAAAGGGCGACUUGAAACUCUAAACACACCCAGCAUCACAGAGUUACACAGAGCAGGAGUCAAGUUUAGGGUGGGAUCACCCAAAAACUUAUUCAACAUAAAAUUCGCUAAUGGGAUUCUAAAAAUUCCAAAAUUAGCAAUAAGUGAUGAGACAGAGCUUACAAUCAGAAACCUCCUCGCUUUUGAACAAUGCCAUUGCAUGGAGAAUUACAUAAACGAUUAUGUUGUCAUCAUGGAUCGCUUUGUGAACACCGCAAAGGAUGUGGAGUUGCUUGUUAAGCAUGGAAUCGUCGAAAAUAGUCUCGGUGACAGUAGUGAAGGGUCUACUCUGAUUAACAACCUUGCGGAUGGGGUCAUAGUGGACCCUAAUGACUUCUAUUUUGCUAUUCUUUGUGCAGACCUCAACAAGUACUGCAGAACGUCUUGGCACAAAUGGCAGGCGAACUUGAGACAAAACUAUUGCAACACACCUUGGGCAACUAUUUCAAUUGCUGCGGCUAUUUUUCUCCUCAUACUCACUUUUAUACAAACAGUGUGCUCUGUUAUCUCUGCUCUGCCUUCUAAGCGUUGAGAGUAAGUCUCCUCUUAGCCGUUUUCCCCUUGUCAUUUCCUUUUGGUCCUCCGCAUGACACGAGCUGGGUUUGUCACCAGCCUAGAGGUGCAAGAGAGCUGGAGAAAGAAAAAGUUAGUGUAUAUGUAGAAAAUAUAGCCUCUGUUAGUGAAAGUGAGCUGUGCAUGUAGAGUGAUGGAAGCAAUGUGGUUGUUUUAUUUGUUUCUCCAUGCUUGUUCGGUAUGAAACUGUUCAAAUUUUAUAACUUUAUUGUUAAUCCGAGAGCUGUUAUGUUGGGUACUCCAAUGUAACAAAUCAUUGAAAAUCUCAUGUCGGUAGAUACUAGUCUUUAAUCUAAGACAUCCUUUGUCAAUGGAGGUUUUGUGCAAAAACUAUUUUAUACACAUAUUUUAUACCCUAAGUGAAGCCCCUAUUUUAUACCCUAAGUGAAGCCCCUAUUUUAUACACAUGAAAAACAAUUUUUGAUCUUCAAAAAAAGCAAUGCAUAUUCGAAAUAUAACUGAAAAAAAGUGUAUUGUCUAUGAUUUUAUUUUUGUAUUUUAGGUGCAUACAAUUGGAUCUAAAAUUGCCACAUAACUAUCAUAAACUUAGAAGCCAUAUAAUUACGCUUACGAAAUAUGCUAGCGUGCGUCGCAUGUGGGCAUGUGUCACCCUAUUACCAUACUGUAUGUCCUGGACGGUAGAUGACUGGACCUUUGCCUCCGACCAAAAUAUACAUAUAUUUUCCUCCUUUUCUUGAGCUUUAUAAGCGUCCAACUCCAUUCAUAGUUGAUUUCGAACCAAAACAAAGAAUUCAUAAUUGAUUUAUUAUUUUUCCAACUAUAUGCACAAGGACCUAUAGCCUUUUCGAGUGUAUAAUUAAUUAGCAUGAAGAAAAGGAUAGAAUUCUUUUCUUGCAGACCCAUACAUAAAUGUAGAUUCGAUACAUUUACGCAGUCCACCCGCACCAAAAGAUUGCAAAAAGUUCACAAUAUUUUUAAAUGUAGAUUCGAUACUUUAAUUGAUUGCUAUGAAAACCUUCUCUGGUGAGGCAUUAGUGGUCUUCAGCUCUUCACCUUGGCAUUGGUGGGUGAAGUCACACCACAUCCCCUACCCUCGGGUUUAGUAGAGUCUCCCGACCACAAAGGUUGGGCAGCGCAAGCAAACCAGAAAAAUUAUAGUUUUGGGAGCUUCUAAUUUAUUUUAUUUUUUUACACUAAACAAACACAGUUGAUUUAAGUAGAAAUCAAUUUAGUCCUUUAGCCAAGCUUGAUGGUAAAGUGGGGCCAAUCACACAGUCCAUAUCCACCCCUUGGAAUCUCCAUAACCCCCAAAAAAGUUUCAAAAAAAAAUUUUUACAAAUAAUUUGAAAUGUUUGAUAAUGAAUGUACACAAAUUAUAGCUCUGGGAGCUUCUAAUUUUUACACUCUAUAGCAACCAAAAAAAAAAAAACCCAGUUAAUUUAAGUAGAACUCAAUGAAGUGCUUUAUUUCACUAAGCCAAGCUUGACGGUGAAGAACUGAUCAACUAACAUUUCUUUUGCAGGUUCUGAAAGAAAAAGUAGAGAGGAAAAAGAAAACGUUGCUUUUCUGCUUUUAUUAUUAUUUGAACCAAUUAAACCGGGGUUGCAUAAGCGCUUCUAUUAUAAAAAUGUUGAAAUCUUCAUAAGAAAUCCAAGUGCCUCCUGGUAAAACAAUUGGGAGUGCUAGCUUAUUUAGAAAGCGCUUCUAAAGGUUUAAGCCAAAUACUGUCAUAAGCGCUUUUGGUUGUUAAAAAAGCACUUUGAGCUAUUCUAGAAGCAUUCACAAACAUGCCCUGGCUAUCUAUGGACUUCUCCUUUUUAUACCCUUGGGAGAGCUACGAACCCACUAAUUUAUAAUAAGUAAAUUUAGGUUUUACCCAUAAAAAAACUUUCACUUUUGGAAAAAGCCAAAGCUUUUUCAAAAAAGACAGAAAAACCUCUCAACUUUCAAACCAAAGACAUGCAAAUGUAAAGGAUUCCUUAGGAAAUCAAAAAAAAAAAUAAGGGCAAUUUUGUCUAUUUUGGCUUCUUUUAAAAAUUUUCUCUCUCCUUUGGGCUUUUCCAAAGUCUCCCCUAAUUAAUACAACAUGCCAAGCCUUAGAAAGGUAAAGCCAGGUUAAGCAUAACAUGAACAGUGAAAACCAGGUUUCACUACAUAUGGAUGUCAUUGCAGCUGUUGUUCUUCUCAUACUCACUAUCAUGCUGUCUGCCUGCUCUGUUGUCUCUGUUACUUAACUUAAUGUUAAAGUAUUUUAGAGAUCGAUUCAACCAAUGUUGUGCCUAUUGUUUUCUUAUAGUUCGUUUGUGUGAGUGGUGGUGGUAUUCAAAUUAUUUGUUUGAUGUAAGACUAAAUAUAUAAUUUUUAACAAAUGUAUCAGGGGUAAUUCCCUUCGCACUGAGAGUUUGAAUAGCUUAUUUAUAUACAAACAGAAGAACCUCCACUUCCCUAGUUUAUUUCUUUUGACUCUGUGGACCAUUCCUCGAAAGAUGAUUCUCGAUCCUGUUCGUAAAAAAAUUUCUAUUUUUAGUUUAAAUUUUUUUUAUAGGUUUACCAUAAUCUUUUUUAAAUUUAUUACUUAAAUAGUGGUAGUGGACAUUGAACAACCGGGAGCAAUUUACUUAUGAUACUUAGUUGACAUUCAUAAAAAGUAUCUAAUGAAUUAUGAGUUCAAUACAUCUAAAUUUUAAAUCAGUAAAAUAUUUAAAUAUUCACUAAAGAAAUAAUAAUUAAAACAUAAUUACUAAUUAAAGUAAUUAAAAACGGCUAAGGUAUUACUUAUUAAAUUAAAGAAGUUGGCCAAAAAACAAAAGUAAAGGAACAUAUUUUAUAUUUUUAAAAUUUAAAGAUAAAAAUAAAAUAAAAUAAACCAAAACAACCUCUCUCGACAAAAUUUCGUCGGCACAAGUUUAUACCGGCAAUAUUUGCCGAAUUAGACCUCUCUCGACGAAACUCACCUCUGCUGACGAAAUUGCGUUGGGAGAAAUCUAAUUAGGUAAAAAGUUGCAUGCAUAUACCCGUGCCAACUAAGUGUAACAUCCCACAUCGACCAACGGAAAGGGGGUGAUGUGCCUUAUAUGUACAUGCCCGUCUCUAUCUAGCACGAGGCCUUUUGGGAGCUCACUGGGUUCGAAGUCAUGGGAACUCCGAAGUUAAGCGAGUUGGGGCUAGAGCAAUCCCAAGAUGGGUGACCCACUUGGAAGUUGCUCGUGAGUUCCCAGAAACAAAACCGUGAGGGCGGAGGCCUAAAGCUGACAAUAUCGUGCUACGGCGGAGCCGAUCCCAGAAUGUGACAAUAUCGUGCUUAUCACUGGUGGAAGACAGUCCGCAGACGGUAUGCUAACCCUGUUCCCUUACUUGGGAAGAGUUUCAGAGGGUAUUCUUCGAUCAGUUCUACCCGCAUUCUUACAAGAAUGUGAAGAAGUCUGAGUUCUUGCAUUUGAAACAGGGACAGAUGUUAGCACUGGAAUAUAAGCAUAAAUUAGGAUUUCUCUAGCCCAAACUCGCUUAACUUUAGAGUUUCCAUGACUCUGAAGCUAGUGAGCUUCCAAAAGGUCUCAUGCUAGAUGGAGGCGGCAUGUACGUAUAAAGCAUAUCACUCUAUCUCCGUUGGUUGAUGUGGGAUGUUACACUUCACCCCCGUUAGUGGCUCGACGUCCUCUUCAGCACACUCGCACCACACAGCAGAGCAGCUCUAAUACCAAAUUGUCACAUCCCGGGAUCGGCUAUGCCGUAGCACGAUAUUAUCCGUUUUGGGCCCCUCCUCUCUGCCCUCACGGCUUUAUUUCUGGGAACUCACGAGCAACUUCCUAGUGGGUCACCCAUCCUAGGAUUGCUCUAGCCCCAACUCGCUUAACUUCGGAGUUCCCAUGACUCCGAAUCCAGUGAGCUCUCAAAAGGCCUUGUGCAAGAUGGGGCCGGGCAUAUACAUAUAAAGCACAUCACCCCCUCUCUAUUGAUCGAUGUGGGAUGUUACAAUAUGUCACAAUUAUAAAUAGGAACCCAAGAAGAACAUAUAUCAUAUAAACUAUUCAACCAGUCAUCAUUAGCCAAUUCACAUUCUUUCAUCAAUUCCUUCCACUUUUCUUCAAAUUCCUCUAUCUUGUAUGUUGACAGAAUACAUUUCUUCAUCUGAAUUUUGAAUUUGGACUUCGUGAAGUACACAUGUGACAAUUUUUCUACAAACUUCUUCUUAAUAUGCCAGAGGCAUAACCGAUGGCGAGUGUUAGGAAAAAUCUUGACAAUUGCUCCUUUCGUUGCCAAGUCUUGGUCAGUAAUAAUGGAAACUAGAUGACGUCCUCCCAUUGCUUCAAGCCAUGUCUCAAACAACCACAAAAUGUCACUUCUGUCUCAUCUUGUAAAAGUGCACAUCCAAAUUGUAUUGAUUGCAAAUGGUGGUUUACUCCUGUGAAUGGUGCAAAUGGCAUAUCAUACUUGUUUGUCCUAUAGGUUGUGUCAAAUGUGACUACAUCUCCAAAAAGUGGUACGCCAUGCAUGAUCAAGCAUCCACCCAAAAGAAAUUAGCUGCCCUUCCGUUUUCAUCACAUUGAAUGGCAUAAAAAAAAAAUUGAGGAUUCUUAGCUUGCUUCUUCCUAAAGUAAGUAAGGACUGGUUGUGCAUCACCUCCAUCCAGUUGUCUAUGCCGGACAUUUCUCAAGUGGUUAUAACAAUCUCUAUUGUUAAAACCAAUAUGCAAUUGGCAAAUUUUCUUCAUGAAAUGUUUCAGUCAGAAUUUUAGCUGUUUUCGGCAUAACCCUAUUUGACUUCAUUUUUAUUCUUCUUUCCGGUGUAACUAGCUUGUGAUUGUGAGAGUCUUGGAAACUUGAAACUUUCCAUUUGUUUGACCAUCUAUCAAGCUUAAUUCUCAUACUUGCUUUGCAUCCACAUUUCACCGUAUAACAAUUUUUACCCGUUCUCUUCAUAUUCUCAAUCUCACUUAUGUCUCUCUCAUCAUUCUCUUCUGAAGCCUUCUGUGAUGUAUUUUUGGGCACAUAUUUUCCUUCAUGUGCACAAACAAAUUAUCUACUCGUUACCUCAUCUAAACGCCUUCUUGUCUUGGAGGAAGAUCAAGUUCUAAUCCAGAAUCCCUCUUGCCGGCCAUACUCUUCAUAAUAGUUUCUUGCUUCUUCCAUUCUGUCAAAUACCAUCCCUGUAUAUGGUGCUUUUAAUUGUGUCACUUUCUUUUUUGGAGUACUUGUUUCACCAUUCUCCACUUGAAUUAUCUCCUCUACCUAUUGAACAUAUUUAUCAUUCUUAACGAUGCAACUUAGAAAAAUAUUGUACAUAUGUUAAUAAGAUAUAUAUGAAAAUGAAGAAUAUGAUUAUCUCUGCAUCAAAAUAUUAAUGCAAGAUGAAAUAUAAUUGAAUAAACUUUCAUAUUGAUUUUAAAAUUUAAUUCUUAUGUUAAAAGACAAUCAUUAAUGGCACUACGAAUUAUUUUUUAACAUAAGAAUUCUUAAUGGCCCAAUAAUUCAGCAAUCCUAACAUCGUAUAAACUUUCAUAUAACAUCGUAUUUAUAAAUAUAUAAAAAAAAUUGCAAUCCUAAUUGUCUACAGGAAGAGCUACAACAAAGAUAAAAAAAUCUCAGAUGAAAGUAACAUACCAAAGAUAUGCACUAAGAGUUGGAGGAAAUAUCUUGUGUGCGCUCCAACAUUUUGAUGAGGCAAUAUUGUAUUCAGAUAUGAGAAAUUGCUUUGACAUAAAAGAACUAUACUGAAGAUGAAUUCAUGGUUGCGUAUAUGCUGUGCAUGAAGAAGAAUAAACUGAAAAGAGUCCUUAUUAGACCUUAAUAAAUAUUUGAGAUUAAAGAGGAGAGAGAGAGAGAGAGAGAGGCGUGCGAAUGUGAUUGUGGUUUGGGUAUUUAGUUUUUGGUGAAAUUUUUUAUUUAUUAGAUCCUAAUAAAUAUUUGAGAUUAAAGAAGCAGGAGAGAUCCUAAUAAAUAUAUUUGUUUGAUGUAAGACCAAAUAUAUAAUUUUUAACAAAUGUAUCAGGGGUAACUCCCUUCGCACUGAGAGUUUGAAUCGCUCAUUUAUAUACAAACAAAAGAACCUCCACUUCCCUAGUUUAUUUAUUUUGGCUCUGUGGAGCGUACUUCUAAGUAAUUUUCAUAGGCACAAGCCAUCACUCUUUUUUUUUUUUUUUUUUUAAAUCAGUAAAAUAUUUAAAUAUUCACUAAAGAAAUAAGGACAAGGACACUGUUACUGUGCUGCUGUUACUGUUACUGUGCUGCUGCUGGAAAAAGGACAAGGACUUCACAUGUUGCUUUCGUCUUUUGCGGAGGAGAGAGACCUAGGACUUGCAUGUCUUAGAUAUUUAAGAUAAGGGGCUUUUGUGCCAUUUUGAAAUUACUUUGGGUGUUUUUGAAAGCGGCUUGUUUCUUUUGGGUUUCUCACUAAAUUUCACUUUAGAGGGAAUAAGGGAAAUAAUAAUAAUAAUAGUACAGACCUUAUUAGCAACAGGGUUACAAACUUCUUCUACAACACACACCAACAUGAAUCUAGCCCAGAUCCACUCUUUUACAUACUUGAAAACAAAACAAAAAACAAGAUAGGGAGAAAAUGGCUACAGAGAGACUUACUGCUAAUACUUGAUCAAUAACAGAGAUAAUAGAGCACACUGUUUGUAUGACAGUGAGUAUCAGAAGAAUAACAGCUGCAAAGAGAGAAAUAGCUGCCCAAGGUGUGUUGAAAUACUUUUGUCUCAAAUUUGCCUUCCAUCUGUUCGUGGUCUUCUUGCAGUACUCGUUUAGUUUGCCAGCAAGAUCACCAAAAUAGUAGUUUUCGUGGUUCGGAGCAACUUUACUGCAAAGCUUGUUAAUCAUAAUGGAAACCUUAUUGUUGUCACCUAGCGUGUUUACAACAAUUCUAUUCUCAACAAGCAACUCUACAUCCUUUGGAGUGUUUACAAAUUUAUCCAGGAUGAAAACAUAAUCGCUUAUGUAUUUAUCCACGCAAUGGCAUUGUUCAAAGGCAAUGAGAUUUCUAUGUGUAAGCUCUGUGUAAUCAUGUAUUUCAAUUUUUUGGAAUUUCCAAGGUGUUUUUCUUGAACUGUAUAUCGAAUAAGUUCUUGCUUGAUCCCACGUUAAACUUAACUCCGGCCUGGUGUAGUUUUGUCAUGCUGGGUGUACCUUGGAGCCCUCCAUUUUUCUUUUCUUUUGGCAGAUGUAAAGUUCUAAUAAAAUCAACAAAAUGUAAAGGUUUUUUAGGAUCAGGAGGCAUAAAAGACUUACGGAAGGCUGGUGAGUUCUCCAAGUUUUCUAAACGCAGUGCCUGUUGGAAGAACCUGUAAGAGAGUUCAAUUAUUGAAGGCUCCCCAGUCUGAGCACCUGUGAGAUUGUAAAGAUCCUCGAGAAUGAAAAAUGGCAGCUGAUUUUCGAGCAUAAGCAUGUCAGGCAAUAUAUUUUGUAGCACCAUGGUUUUUUAAAUAUCCAAGCAUUAUCAUCCUGCAAUUUUUCUUCCUGAAAUUUUUCUUCGGAUUUAUUCCUCAACAAUAGCUCAAUGACAAAGGCGGCAUCAACUAGAAUGAUAUUCACAAAAGCAGCAAUGUUAAACUUCUUAGUGUCUUCAUAAUAAUGACGGAGAUCACCUUCUCUCUCCUUUAUUUUCUCUAAAUAAUCCUUCAAUCCUACUACUUUAGUCCGAUCAAGAAAACAUUUUAGGUACCUGAGUUUGUGAUCUUCCAUGGCUUCUAAGUUUUUGCUGCCAUGGUGAAGUGGGCCUAUUUAACUACUUGUGGUGUGUAGGCCUUUAGUUUUACGUUCUGUAGUCGCUCAGGCACCCUGUAGAUACAGCAGGCAGGGGACAGGGCACGCAAGUUUGUCAACUGAUUUUCCAUGGAAGUUGCUUGGUUUUCUAUGUCAAAAGAAGCUUCAUUGCUGCUUUCUUCCACUUUCUUCCUCCCCAUUAUGUGUUGUUCUGAUUGUAAGCGACGAGGAUGGUGAUGAUUCUAGACACCAUAAUCAACAAAUGUUUCAAUCAUAAUUGACAUUUCAAGAUGCUCCGACAAAAAAUUAGAAAACAUUCAUCACAAAAUGCGAACUCAUACAAUAGAUGGGAUGAGAAGAUCCACACAUUGCAAUCAUACAAUCCAAUUGCACAGGGAUUAGUCCCUAUUCUCCUCUCUCUCUCUCUCUCUCUCUCUCUCUCUCUCUCUCUCUCUCUCUCUCUCUCUCUCUCUCUCUCUCAAAAAGAUUUUCAUAUCGAUAACAUCUUAUUGCAAGGGAAUUGUACACCAAGUAGUGAAGAACAGAAAUUCAUAUUCUUUCAAUCAAAAUGUACAAAUUUCGAAAAUGUUUGUUUGUUUUAUUUUUUGGGGAAAAAAAUCUGUGCAUGUUAUAUGUAGACCUAAGGUGAAAACAGACCAGAUUUUUACGCCAUUUUUCAUGAGGUUUAAGUUUGUGAUGUAUAUAUUUAUCUCAAGUGUAACAUCUCACAUCGAUCAAUGGAGAGGAGGUGAUGUGUCUUAUAUGUAUAUGCUCGCCUCCAUCUAGUACUGGGCUUUUGGGAGCUCACUAGCUUCGGAGUCAUGGGAACUCCGAAGUUAAGCGAGUUGGCGCUAAAGCAAUCCUAGGAUAGGUGACUCAUUAGGAAGUUGCUCGUGAGUUCUCAAAAACAAAACUGUGAGGGCAGAGAAGGGGGCUCAAAGCAGCCAAUAUUGUGCUACGGCGGAGCCGAUCCUGGGAUGUGACAAUUUGGUAUCAGAGCCACACUGCCAUGUGGUGCCAGUAUGCCGACAAAGACGUCGGGCCCUUGAGAGGGGUGGAUUGUAACAUCUCACAUCGACCAACAAAGAGGGGGUGAUGUGCCUUAUAUUUAUAUGCCCGCCUCCAUCUAGCACGAGGCCUUUUAGGAGCUCACUGGCUUCAGAGUCAUAGGACCACCAUCCCAAGUUCAAUAUACAACCCAACAACCAUCUUAGCCAUCUUCUCAUUGAUCUUCCACCCAGCAUAUAACACUAUUGUUGGAGCAUGAAAUUUCAGAUCCUCCAACAAGUAAUUUUUUAUUUCCAUGUUGAGAAGCCGAACACCAUCUUCGAUUAUCACCAUUGAGUGAGGAGGGGGGUACCUGCAAGAAAACACUCCGACCCUCAAGUCAGUGUUCGUUCAUGAAUACCGCAAUAGAAUCAAUCGUAACUCCCUCCCCCUAUGCUGGGGGAUUAGUUAGCCUUUUGUAGCCAUUGAACCCUUGGACUCUAAGUCCCAUAUCCUUAUUUAUCUCCAUGCUCAAUGGUAGUGGAUAUCAUGUUAUUUGAUUCACUCCACUCCAUAAAUUUAGGGUUCAUGGGAAGUGGCUUGUUAUGUGGGCCUUAAUUUUUGCUCCCAUGUCUGCCCCCUUUUCUCUCGCUGGACACGUGUCUCGGGUGUAUAGAGAGAAAAUAUUCUUUGUGGGAAUUCAUUAUGUGUAGAAUUUUAUGUGGAGACUUGACUUAUAUUAUCUUUGAUCACGAAUUCGGCCUUUAGCCAUGAGUAUGGUCUUCGACCAUGAAUAUGAGCUUCGAUCACGAGUUCGAGUUUGGGCUUCGGCCGUAUAGUCUUCAACUAUGUAUUUAACUUUCAGUCACGACUAUGGCUUUCAGCCACAUGAGCUUGAAUUUCUUUCACAAUCGUGGUCUUCAACCACUUGAAUUUGACUUUCAGUCACAAGCAUGAGUUGAGUAUUGGCAUGCCCCCCAUUGGUUUAGAAUGCAUGUGUUUACUAACUAGACAUUGUGGCUCUUGUUUAUCCUCUGUUUAUGUUGAUUUUGUCGUUAGUUGGGCUUCAUAAAUUGCCACCAUAUAGAAAUAGGCUUAUGGCUUAUCUUGAGUGGUGCAGUAGCUGCCUCCACCACGCAAAUGUAGUCAAGAGGUUAACAAGCUGCCAAAUUCUAACCACAAGAUAAUAAUGUUAAUUUCGUCAACAAAAAUCAGAAUACGCAGGCUUAGUAGUAUCUAGAUAUUGAGCAGCAUAUGACUACAUUCAAAUUCAGGCAUUUUAGAGAGCCAUACAUGCAACUGUUCUCAUCUCCCAAAUGCAAGAGAAAUAAGUAAAAUACCUUGGCAUGUGUCAGAUGUAUAUAUAAUCAAUUUAAAAGCUUCUGAUCAUACAUCCUUGAGGCAUGAAUAUAUGCAUUGAUAAAAGAUGUAAGGAUGUUCCAUGCUAUAAUUCGUGGAUCCUGAAAGUGACAAUAGAAAACUUAUCUGUUUGCAGUUCGGCUCGUGCCCCCAUAGAAAUUGGUUUUUUGCCCAAUUCCAAAUUCAUAAUUCAGUGUUAUGACUUCUUCAACUACAUAACAUGACUGCGUACUUGAUGCUGCUAGGUCACGAAACUACCAAAAGCAUGGGGUAGAAAUUCUUCUCUAUUUGGGGCAAAAAUUCAUGCCCCCAUUCGUGCCCCUAAUUCAACCGUUUUGUCACAAACGGUUGCAUACAUCCCAAUAAAAAUUGGAUACUAACCUCUGAAAAUUGAAGGCUCUUUUCACGAAAAUUCUUUUGUGAGAUUUUGGAGCCAUGCGUGAUUGGUAUAGUCCAAUUCAUAUUGUUUUUAUGGCAAGAAGAUGCACUGUGAUAAAAAUUUAUAGUCGUGAAAUGAUAAAAGAGAGUAUAGAAUUCUUCUCUGUUGGGGGAUUUAAUUCAUGCCCCCAUUGUAGCUCCUAAGGCAAGAGUGUAUCCAUGGCUUCUAAUUAUGACUUUUUGUACGGUUUCCACAGACGGCGCCAACUGUUGGAGCAUGAAAUUUCAGAUCCUCCAACAAGUAAUUUUUUAUUUCCAUGUUGAGAAGCCGAACACCAUCUUCAAUUAUCACCAUUGAGUGAGGAGGGGGGUACCUGCAAGAAAACACUCUGAUGCUCAAGUCAGUGUUCGUUCAUGAAUACCGCAAUAGAAUCAAUUGUAACUCCCUCCCCCUAUGCUGGGGGAUUAGUUAGCCUUUUAUAGCCGUUGAACCCUUGGACUCCAAGUCCCAUAUCCUUAUUUAUCUCCAUGCUCAAUGGUAGUGGAUAUCAUGUUAUUUGAUUCACUCCACUCCAUAAAUUUAGGGUUCAAGGGAAGUGGCUUGUUAUGUGGGCCUUAAUUUUUGCUCCCACAACUAUCUUCAUAUACUCUUUAGCUUAAUCUCUCUGUUGCUUUUGUCUUUUAUUUUUUUCAAAUUAAAUUUUUUAGUUUAUAUUUUUUUUUAUUGGUGUAGAUUCAAUGACAAAGAACAUCGAACUCGUCGCAACAUCUUGCCCUAGAUCCGAACUCUACCACCAUCACAACCCUCCCUCUCUUGAUCUCCGACCAACCUUAACACCCAACUUCAAAUCUAUGUUGUUUGAAACUCAGCCCCCUUCCCCAACCCCCCCCCCCCCCNNNNNNNNNNNNNNNNNNNNNNNNNNNNNNNNNNNNNNNNNNNNNNNNNNNNNNNNNNNNNNNNNNNNNNNNNNNNNNNNNNNNNNNNNNNNNNNNNNNNUGUCAAUAAGAUAAGAUCUCAUUGCAAGUGACUUGUAGAUGAAGUGGUAAAGAACAAAAAGUCAUAUUCUUCCAAUCAAAAGGUAUCAAGUCAAACAAAAUUUCUAGUUAGUUUGCUUUAUGAUAGUUGUUUUUUGAAGGGGUCCUUAGAUCCAAUCUCAAAAAGUUUGACUUUUAUUAUGUUUAACUCUGGUUUUUGCAAUUUUUUUUUAUCUCUACCCACUAACUUUUAUCUCUCAUUUUUAUUACCCAUUUUACCCUUUAAAAUAAAUAUGGCAAUAAACUAAAAAUUCUGAUUUAAUGCAUGUUUUACUCAUAAGAGAACUAAAACCUAAAAAUUAUGUACUCUAACACAAAAAAUAAAAACUAAAAAUAAAAAUUGAAGUGGUUAUCAAACAGAUCCUUAUAUUACAAAGAAAAUAUCAAAGAUUGAACUCGUCAUAAGAGAACACAGAAAAACCUCACUGCUUGCAACACCACCACUACACGAACAACUGCUAAUUUGACAGGACCCGCCCCAAAUUUUCUGAAAUUCGAGACGAAUCCUGUGGAAUUCCCGACAUAAUCCUGAUGUCGGGCCCACUUCUAAAACUAUAUCCUUUUUCCCAAAAAAGAAUAAGGGCGCGAGACUUUCUACCGAAAUUUCGGCAGAGUCUCUCCUACAAAUUGGACAUUUCCCAAAAUUUUAACCUGCAUAAAACACAAUUUAUAUUUCCAAUUGGCAACAUGCACAAGAUAAUUUCAUGCAAUUCACAUAAACGGCAUUCGGCCGUCCAAUAAUUAUCAACAAACUACCAAGCACGCUAUCAACUCUAUUCAUACCUUAAACAAGGCAAACAAUAAAUUCAAUUAUGAAUACUAAAUACAACAUGCAUCAUCUAACUUUUCCAAUCCCAAUAUACGAGGUUUUAACCUCCUAACACAAUCACAUCUAUGUCCGCGGCUGCACCUAAUAACCUUAGGCUGCCUACGUACCCUCACUGAGGGAUCAAGCCACGCGUAGUUCUUCCUACUAAAACCCGAUUUCAAACACAUACAAUACCUUUAUUCAUCUCUCUGUUAUUCACAUAAUCUCCUCAUACGCCGGUACUACCAACGCCACGUAUGGAGUCUGUCAACACGCCAGAUAACCUACGCCACGUGCGACCUCAACAUACUAUCACAAUAUCUCCACAUACGUCGGUACAACCAACUCCACGUAUGGGGUAUGUCAACACUCCGGAUAACCUACGCCACGUGCGACCUCACUAUAUUAUCACAUAAUCUCCCAUACGCCGGUACAACCAACCCCACGUAUGGGGUCUGUCAAGACGCCGGAUAACCUACUCCACAUGCGACCUCAACAUAUUGUCACAUCAUCUCCCCAUACGCCGGUACUACCAACGCCACGUAUGGGGUGUGUCCGCACGCCGGAUAACCUACGCCACGUGGGACCUAACAAAUACAUGGUGGUACUUAUAAUGUAACCAAAAUUCGGGGAGGUACCUAGGGUAGUGUGUAUAGCACCUCAAACUGACAUUCUAGACUCUUUUUCAUACAUUUAUACCUAUAUUUAAAUAUAUAAGUUACUCUAACAUUGUAUAAACCUCAACAUCAUCCCAAGUACUCCACACAUCACCAAUACUUUACCAAAAAUGCUAACUUAACUAUUAAUUAUUUAUAAAAAAAAAAAGGUUUUCAAAAAAUCAUUAAAUUCAUAUGCCUAACAAUACCAUCACAAAGCCAUGCUAUUCAUUUAAAAAUAAGGACCAAGAGUUUCCUACGAUAAUAAUAAACACUCUAAAAUCUCAGCCCAGUCAACAUGGCUCAACAACGCUCAAGACCUGUCAUUAGGGUCAUUUUAAUCCUUCUAGGAAGGUAAAACUACCUCGGAAGACUCAAGGUCAACCAAGGGUCAAACUACCCACACUUGGUCAAACGGGCCCACGGGGCCCACGACCUCCAAAUUCUGAUCCGAAGGUUCCUAUGGGUUCUACAAGGUAUAGGACACUCGUCCUGCAAGUUUAGUCCAGAUCGGACGGUCAGAUCGCUCACGAUCGCACGAUCUGACGGUUAAUAUAAACAUAAACUUUAAAUUAUUAAAUCGGACAUCCGGGGCUCCAAUUUACGAUCCUUGAAUUCCUACACAAUUCUAGAAAUACCUAGAUUAACAUAUAUUAAAUUCAAGACCAUCCAACGGUCCCAACCUAUCAUACCCAGAUAACGCGCAAUAAGCGAUAUCCGUUCGAGCCUCAAACGGCAUCCAAAUUGACAUAUGAGCACACCUACGCACUCGUGAGAACCAGGAGUGCCCUUUUUCUACAGUGCCCACGUGCCUCCGCACGUGCCGGCAGCGCGUGGGUGCCCAAAGCGAUUACGCAUCGUCGGAAAAUCUCAAAAUCACGGCUCCAAACUCCUACCCUAGGUAUAACACCAUAUUUGGAGCCACUUUUGUUCUUGGACCUACCCCAAAAACUGACCGGAGGUGGCAUGAAUCGCAAUCCUAAAAUCGGCCGAAUUUAAAUUCGUAAAUCAAAUUUCCUACGCUAGGAAUCGAUCGAAUCCUACCCAACAGGCAGCUAGAGCACAUUAAAAAGAUGAGAAAGCAUACCAAGAUCGAGGAAAAUGGUGGCCGGAGGCAUUCUAACGAGCUCCUUGAAUUUUGGGUUAAAACUGGUCGGAUUUUUACAUUUUUCGGCGAUCACAGGUGGUUCCAGCAGCUGAGAUUGGUCAGGAUGGGAAGAGGGAGAUGGCCCAGUUCUUUUGGGACUGAUGCCACCCCACGCAGUGGCCGGAUGCGACAGUGGUGGCCCAAAAACCACCGCGGUGAACAGUAACAAGAGGGGCUGUUUCUGCGCGCAGGGAGAUGAGGAAGAAGAAGAAAAAUAAAAAGAAAAAGGAAAUUUAAAACUGCCCGGUUACUAUAGCACGGCACUGUUUGCUACAGUACAAAAUUUUAAAAUUUCCUCCUUCGUUACAACUCGGAAUUGGGCGUGCCACAUGUCUACAAACUCAUAUCGACGAGCUCUAAUGGUGCUACUUAAUUCUCCAAAAUCUUUCCGAAUCAAAAAAUGACCAAAAUACCCUUACCCAAAGGGUAUAUUCCUAAAUUCAUAUUUAAAUUAAUUUAAUAAUUUAAUUGAGUAAACAAAUUAGGAUCGGGGUGUUACAUAAUUAAAAUGAGUCACAUGUGGUACUUAACUCUAAAAACUUAUUUAGAUUAUAUAUCCAUACUUAUUUAAAUGAGGUAAAUAGUACGUUUACAGAGUUUAAGUGUAAUAAAUGAAUAAAAACAUGCCCAGAGGAUUGAUAAGUGAUAUCAAUUCUUGAAUAUACAGAACGUAAAAUAAAAGAACACGUAGAAAAUUAUUUUAUGUGGUAAAACCCCAUCUCUAGGGAACAUCCACGGGGCUUUUUAGUCCAAAACAAAUCCAUUAUAGAACGAGGAUUAUAAGAAGUACUCACACACUUAUCCUAGACACAUUCUAGAUAAUGUUUAUUGACUUCUUCGUAACUCAACUUCUGUCACGAGAUGAUCUUUCGACACUCCUUAUGUUGAACGCAAUACUGGUCACGAUUUCUUCAAGCUCCUAAUAGAGUUCUUCCAACUCUCCUUGUAUUGAAUCUGACACUAGUCACGAUCGAUUCAAGCUCAUCGUAAAAAAACCGCCACAACGGUCUUGGUGCCCCCAACCGUACGAGUCACUGAACAUGUAAAUGAAUACAAUAUGAAUGAUAAAAGUGUUUGAUAAAUCACCAAGUUAUGGAACACUUGAUGAUUUAUCUUAAAUAAAAACUCAGCUUUCCAAAGUUUAUGAAUUGAAAAUAUGAUCGUUAAAGCUCUCUAAACAAAGAAGAUGAAGGUCUUAUUCUAUAGAAUUUUUCUUUACAAGAAAGAAAACACGUUGAAAACCAAAUCUUCAAUUUCCAAGGCUUGACAGAAAAUCACAAAAGUAUCUUUCCUAUUCUAGAGAUUGGUCACAUGUAGUCCAACCAAUAGGAAAUGAGAUAUUUAAGAAAGCAAGAUUUUGAUCAAUAUCAAUAUCAAAUGAAUUCUUAUACGCCUAGUCAACUAUUAAGGGUAUCUUGACUCCUUGAUAUUGUGAUAUGAUUGAAACAUGAUUUCCAUGUUAGAAAAUUAAGGGGAUGUUAAAACAUGAAAGUAUUAGGAGAAUCAAAUUGAUUUGGACCAAAAUUGCCUAAAAAGAAAACACUCCUAAAUAAACUUCAAUUCACUUUUAAAAACAGUAAAACGUGAUUAAAUCGUUGUUUAAAACAAUUCCCUAAUAGACAUGCAUGAUAAUGACAUCACUUACUCCUAAAUCAAAUUGUCACGUCCUGGACUCGGGGGUUGGUGGAAACCCCGCGCCCGGUGCGUGAGAAAAUAAAAAGUAAAAUAAAAUAAAAAGAAAGCCGAAAUAAGGGUUUAAAAUAAACUUCUCUUAUAAAAAUAACUCCAAAAUCUUACAACUUUACAAGAAAUAAAUAAAGCUCUAUCAUUCUUAUCUAAUUCAGCCUCAACUGGUUUAGUCCUUGUCUUGCCCACUAAUUCAUCUGAAAAAUUAAACAGGGUGAGGGAUGAGCAAGUAAGGACAUGAGACCUUGCCACAGUAGAUUGAUAUAACUAAAUAUUAUCAUAAACAUAUAAAUAUAUAAGUAUUAUUAUAAUAGGAUUCAUAAUAAUUAAUAUAAAAGUAUAACAACAAUAUUGACAUAUACGUACCAAGAUAAUUACAUAUAUAAAUAUAACCAAUAUAUAUUUAUAUAUAUUUUAAAAUACGGGUCUUUACGCAAAUGCCUUUCGCGGGUCAAGCCACAAGUCUAUGUUUUGGAGAUUGCUGAGCUGCAUCAAUCCUGCCAAUGUCAAUUCUGCCCCUAGGCUCUCUCAAAGCAAGUUUAAAACCUAUGCUAACAUAUACUAGAGUUUAUGCUGUAUCUAGAAAAUGCCAACACUAAUUUCGUAACACGUAGAAAUUGUUAGAGAUGGAAGUUUUUAUCAUUUUUUCUUCCAGUCUCUCCACCACUCACUAAUACAGAUUACUCAUGUGAUGAGUUUACAAACCUAUUUCUCUACUCUCGCAAAGACUAUACUUCUUCUCAAAAGACUAGAUCACUUUACCUAUAUCUCUGUGAAAUGUAAAAAGUUGAAACUUUAAUGUCAAACCUCGACAAAGUGUUCUACUUUACAAACUUCUUGUAUCUACCAAUUUCUACUAAAAUUAAUUUCUCUACGGUGCUCAGAUUCAUCAUAUGUGUGUCCUUAAUUUUAGUUGAAAUUGGAAGUUUCCAUCAUUUUUGCUUUAAGUCACUCUUCUGAAGGAAGUUUAGGUUCCACCCCAUAAUUCAAAAUGUCAGGUUGACUUAAACAAUGUAAUUAUGUAGGAGUACUAUGACCUUUUAUAGCAUUUUUAGUUUGAAUUUGGGUUUUAUACAUAGAUUUCGAAAUUAAUAGGUUGAUGUCUAGGAAAUAGAAAUUGUAAGGGCCUAUAUUAGACUAGCCCUCUUAAAAAAAAUAUUGAUUAAUGAAUAUUUGUUCUUCUUAUUGUUUUGAAGUAGUGGUGGGAGGCAGACCAACAAAAAAAAUAUAGUGAAGGCUUAUAAGAGCAUUUACAAUCAUGCUCCCUAUUUUUCAGUUAAAAUUUAGCUGAAAAUAGAAAAAAGUUAUUAUAGGAGCUCUUUAUAAAAUUUGAACUCCAAUCAUACUCCCUAGUUUAGGGAGUCAUAAAUACUAUAGUUAUUUUUUAAUUCAAUUUGAUUUUGGUUAAUCUCUAUAAAUAAAUGAAAAUAUGAUAAAAUAGUUAGCAUUAAUUAAAAGUUUAAACUAUGCAUAAAACAAAGAAACAUUAAAUUAUAGAGAGCCACUAUAAGUCAUUUCUCUCUCCUCAGAUUUAUGAGCUCCUAGAGGUCUCCUUAUUUUAGGAGGUGGAUAAGGAGUGUGAUUGGAGUUGUAUUUCUUCAAUUUCCUCCCUAAAAUUUGUCUAAGGAUGUGGUUUAUGGAGCCCAUUGUGAAUGCUCUAACUCUGGUAAAACAUGAGUGACAUGAACAACAUAUGUUACGUCGUAGUGAAGAUUUUUGGGUUUCUAUAAUUGGUUAAGUAGCAUCCACAAUGAGUUUCCUAAAUCAUCUCCUUAGACCAAUUUUUAGGGGAGGGAAUUGGGAAAAAGUACAACUCCCACCCAUGCUCCCUAUCCACCAACUAAAAUAGGGAGACCUCUAGGAGCUCCUAAAUCUGAUGAGAGAGAAAAGACUCUUAGUGACUCUCUAUAAUUUAAAAUUACUUUAUUUUAUGCAUAUUUUGAACUUUUAAUUAAAUCAAAUUAUUAUUUUUAUAUUAUUUUGUAUACAAAUAGACUAAUUAUAUUAAAUUAAAAAAUAAUUAAAGUAUUUAUGACUCUUUAAAUUAGAGAGCAUAAUUGUAGAUCAUCUUAUAUACCUUAAUUUGAAGAUUCUUUAUUUGGGUUUCUUUCAACACUUAUCACCUUAGCCACACCACCUACACCAAAUUGACGUCUGCAAGCUUUCGUAAUCUAACAAGGAAGGGGAGGCUGCGCAAUACUUAUCACCUUAGCCACACCAACACCACAAGACCAAUAUGUGUAGUCCAGGAGGCUUUCCCAUUUUAAUAUAUAUUAUCAAAUAAAAUAAAAAUCAAUCUAUUAUCAUAUAUAUUAUAAAAUAAAGAUUAUUGCUCCAUCCUCCAUGCACUUGCAUGCCCUCUUACAAAGUGUGAAGUAGAUUUUGUGUGCUCCAAGUCAUUGACUAGAGCUAUAACAUGGUUAGCUGGAUUUAUAAGAUCUUUUUUUUUUUGGGAAUUUUCUGAACCAAGGAAAAUCAAGUAAAAUUAAUAAAGCAUAAAUUAGAAAGGGAAAGUAUCUAGAGGAUGCAUUGUAGGAUUGCACAUGCCAAUAAUUGUACCCUCUAAAUAUAUAGGGAAAUAUUUUUUUUGUUUUCAUGACAUGUGGUCCUAAAAUUAUUGUUCCUAGCGGGCUCUCCAUCCCCUCUCAAUUGAAAACCAAUGGUGUAAAUCUUCAAUCCUGAAUAAUGCACCUAAAACUCAAGUGUCCCAGGCCAAUUAUUGCUCUCAUACUACUUGUUGUAAUAAACAUCCACCCAUUCUCAAGGAAAGAUAACUAUCGAUAUUAUCUCAAAUUUAACCACUUAACUUUAUUAUGAUUAACUAUGUAUCUUAUGGACCAAUCCAGCUGUGAGGUUUUAUACCCAAUUAGAUCGACCAAUACAGAGGUCACACGUGGAUUGAAAAGCGUCAUCGGUAGGGGAGUGUUCGACACCUUUUACUGCCGAGCGCAACACAAGACCCCUUACCAGGAACUUACCUGCUAAGACACGUGGAGACCCCACAUGUAAUAUCAACAGUCCCACAUCGAAAUUUAACACAACAUGCACACACCUCAAGACUUAUAAAAGUGGGCACAAGUCCCAAAAAUAGGGGAACUUGGUCUUUUGGCAAUUCAGCCAUUACUUUAUCCAUAUUAUUAUACACUCCGUACUUAUUCUAAUUUCAGCAUUGGAGAGCCCUCAGCCCAAGGAAUUACCAAGCAUUCUCCAUCUUGCAAAUUAAUUGCUCUACCGAAGCCCAGAAGGAGCCAAAGGCCAAGAUAGCACUAAGUUGAACCCAAAAAUGUUAAACUAUUUUUUAGCAUUAACAAUAUAUAUAGAUUUUUAAAAAAAAAAAAUCAAUCUAUUAUCAUAUAUAUUAUAAAAUAAAUAUUAUUGCUCCAUCCUCCAUACACUUGCAUGCCCUCUUACAAAGUGUGAAGUAGAUUUUGUGUGCUCCAAGUCAUUGACUAGAGCUAUAACAUGGUUAGCUGGAUUUAUAAGAUCUUUUUUUUUUUGGGAAUUUUCUGAACCAAGGAAAAUCAAGUAAAAUUAAUAAAGCAUAAAUUAGAAAGGGAAAGUAUCUAGAGGAUGCAUUGUAGGAUUGCACAUGCCAAUAAUUGUACCCUCUAAAUAUAUAGGGAAAUAUUUUUUUUGUUUUCAUGACAUGUGGUCCUAAAAUUAUUGUUCCUAGCGGGCUCUCCAUCCCCUCUCAAUUGAAAACCAAUGGUGUAAAUCUUCAAUCCUGAAUAAUGCACCUAAAACUCAAGUGUCCCAGGCCAAUUAUUGCUCUCAUACUACUUGUUGUAAUAAACAUCCACCCAUUCUCAAGGAAAGAUAACUAUCGAUAUUAUCUCAAAUUUAACCACUUAACUUUAUUAUGAUUAACUAUGUAUCUUAUGGACCAAUCCAGCUGUGAGGUUUUAUACCCAAUUAGAUCGACCAAUACAGAGGUCACACGUGGAUUGAAAAGCGUCAUCGGUAGGGGAGUGUUCGACACCUUUUACUGCCGAGCGCAACACAAGACCCCUUACCAGGAACUUACCUGCUAAGACACGUGGAGACCCCACAUGUAAUAUCAACAGUCCCACAUCGAAAUUUAACACAACAUGCACACACCUCAAGACUUAUAAAAGUGGGCACAAGUCCCAAAAAUAGGGGAACUUGGUCUUUUGGCAAUUCAGCCAUUACUUUAUCCAUAUUAUUAUACACUCCGUACUUAUUCUAAUUUCAGCAUUGGAGAGCCCUCAGCCCAAGGAAUUACCAAGCAUUCUCCAUCUUGCAAAUUAAUUGCUCUACCGAAGCCCAGAAGGAGCCAAAGGCCAAGAUAGCACUAAGUUGAACCCAAAAAUGUUAAACUAUUUUUUAGCAUUAACAAUAUAUAUAGAUUUUUAAAAAAAAAAAAUCAAUCUAUUAUCAUAUAUAUUAUAAAAUAAAUAUUAUUGCUCCAUCCUCCAUACACUUGCAUGCCCUCUUACAAAGUGUGAAGUAGAUUUUUUGUGCUCCAAGUCAUUGACUAUGGUUGAAACAUGGUUAGUUGGAUUUAUAAGAUCUUUUGUUUUCUGGGAAUCUUCUGAACCGCGGAAAAUCAAGUCAAAUUAAUAAAGCAGAAACUGUACCCUUUAAUUAUAUAUGGACAUAUGUUUUUUUGUUUUCAAGUCUUAGAUGACAUGGGGACCUAAAAUUAUUGCUCCCAGUGGGCUCUCGACCCCUUUCAAAUUUAAGUGGUCCAUUAUUAUUAACCACAUAUUUUAUGGACCAUCCAGCUGUGGGGUUUUAUCUCAAAAACCUUCGGUACAUUUCUCCCACAUGCCACAAUUGUAUAUUCACAAUUACUUCUGGGUACCCCUCAUCAUUCGUCUAUAAAAUGGUGAAGCCAGUUGCUCUGUUACCAUAAGAGCCAGCUCCGACGUUCUUUAAUUUCUUGCUACUUCUGUUGCCAAGUUAAUUUCAGUCCUAAUGGGGUUUCAUCUCCCACUCAUCGUUGCUAUUCUCAGUGUAAGCUCUGCAAUUUGAUUAACUUUUCCAUUCUCUCUCAUUGUACUCUAUAUAAACGAAAGUUUUGUGUUCUUAUAAUUCUCUCCGAUUUAUUUAGUACGUACUUAAGUGUCGUCCACUAAUUAAUUACACUUUGUGAGAUUUGAUUUUAAUUAGAGUUGGAAUUAAUGUUGCAGCUAGCAGCGGUUGCACUGGCAAACAAUGCUGCUCAACCAGCACCUCAACUUUACUGGAACUCCGUCCUGCCAAACACACAGAUGCCAAGAUCUAUCAGUGAACUUCUGCAUCCUGGUUUGUAUUUGAGCACUUUAGAAUCUUAGAUAUCUCUUCUACCUGCCAUUUUACUAAAAUAUGUUCGACCACAUAUUUAUCAGUUAAAUACUGUCAUUACAAGAAUGACACUUAUUUUCCAAUAUAAUUUGCAGACUCCACAAAUGAAGAAAAGAGCAAACCUGAAAAUAUCCCAUUGGCACGUUCAGGUUACAGUCGAAAAAGGUAUGGAGGAGGUCCUCCUCCAUCUGACGAGGGCAAACCUGAAAGUAUCCCAUUGAGAAAUUCAGGUUACCAACGAAAAAAUUAUGGAGGACGUCCUCCUCCAUCUGACGAGGGCAAACCUGAAAGUAUCCCAUUGAGAAAUUCAGGUUACCAACGAAAAAAUUAUGGAGGACGUCCUCCUCCAUCUGACGAGGGCAAACCUGAAAGUAUCCCAUUGAGAAAUUCAGGUUACCAACGAAAAAAUUAUGGAGGACGUCCUCCUCCAUCUGACGAGGGCAAACCUGAAAGUAUCCCAUUGAGAAAUUCAGGUUACCAACGAAAAAAUUAUGGAGGACGUCCUCCUCCAUCUGACGAGGGCAAACCUGAAAGUAUCCCAUUGAGAAAUUCAGGUUACCAACGAAAAAAUUAUGGAGGACGUCCUCCUCCAUCUGACGAGGAAAAACCUGAAAGUAUCCCAUUGAGAAAUUCAGGUUACCAACGAAAAAAUUAUGGAGGACGUCCUCCUCCAUCUGACGAGGGCAAACCUGAAAGUAUCCCAUUGAGAAAUUCAGGUUACCAACGAAAAAAUUAUGGAGGACGUCCUCCUCCAUCUGACGAGGGCAAACCUGAAAGUGUCCCAUUGAGAAAUUCAGGUUACCAACGAAAAAAUUAUGGAGGACGUCCUCCUCCAUCUGACAGUCAACUACUCCAUUAUAGAGACUUAGCUAUUUUCUUCUUCGAGAAGGACAUGCGCCCUGGCUCAACAAUGCAGUUCCAAUUCCCUAGAAAUUCAAACACGGCUACUUUCCUGCCACGCGAAAGUGCUCAAUCAAUCCCCUUCUCCUCUAACAAACUAUCAGAAAUUUUCAACCAUUUUUCAGUGAAGCCGACAUCUGUGGAAGCCAAAACAAUUAAGCAAACAAUCGAAGAGUGUGAAGCUCCAGGCCUUAAGGGAGAGGAAAAAUAUUGCGCCACAUCUUUAGAAUCAAUGGUUGAUUUUAGCACUUCGAAGCUUGGAACAAGAAACGUUGAAGCAAUCUCGACGGAGGUAUUGGAAGAAGGAGCCACCAAGUACAUGCACAACUAUACAACAAUGCCGGGACUGAAGAAGUUGGCAGGUGACAAAGUCGUUGUGUGUCAUAAGGAGAACUAUCCCUAUGCUGUGUUUUUCUGCCAUGCAAUAAAACAAACAGAAGCUUAUGUUCUCACCCUGAAAGCCGAUGAUGGGAUGAAGGUUAAAGCAGUAACCAUCUGCCAUCUAGACACAUCAGAAUGGGAUCCAGAGCAUUUGUCCUUCCAAAUCCUCAACGUUAAGCCCGGAACCACUCCCAUCUGCCAUUUCAUUUCCACUGAUGCUAUUGCCUGGGUUCCGAACCACAAAUCUGCAUGAUCAUCACUUAGCACUGUACGUAUAAUAAGCUUGGUCGGGUUGCACCCUAGGCCUGCAUAAUUAUCUCCCUACUUAUUUCUGCCUCUUCAUCAUGUGGUGUAAGAUAUAUGGUGAGAUGAAGUAACUAUGUAGACUUCAACUUGUACUCAUAAUAAAGCAUGCUGUUGGGGGGUUCUACUUAAUUUCGUUCUCUCCAAUGUUUGAGUGUUGAAUUGUUACGUUGGAAUAGGCUGCUAAUGCAUGUAGUUAGAGAAGCCUUCAUUUAUAUCAUAGUCCUCAAACUAUCAAGAAUUAAUCCAGAAACAAACCAAGACGCAAAACAACAUAUUUUCCAUGCUCUGUCUGUAACACCAAAGCAAACUUCCUUUAUCACAUCAUUUAAAGGAUCAAAUUCCAGUACUAAUCAAAUCCCAAGGGCGAAACCAAGAAUUUUUCAACGAGUGGGCUAGCUAAAGUUAUUAGCUUAAAAUUUAAUGAUUUUUUCUUUUUUUUGGAACUUCCAAUUUCUCUAGUCUUUCUAGAAAUAAAAGUAAACAUUAAAUCAUAUCAACCAAGCUAGUCCAUAGCUCCAUAGACUAAUUUUCAAAAAGUUUUAACAUAAACCAAAUAGGGUUUAACACCAUAAUGGAUUAAACAUCUAAGACUUUUUACCUAGAUUGACCUUAGGUUUCUUCAUGCAUUCAUAUCAUACAUGAAAAGUUGUUUUAUGUAAAAAUAUUGACUAAGUAUGAAAAAUGGGUUUUCGAAAUAAUCAUUUUCUCAAGAUAAUUUUUGAUGGCUUUUAUUCCUCACACGUCAAAUAAGAAAACUUGAUUUUAUGAUAUUUUAGUAUGAAGUACAUAUUGACUUAAUGAGCCAUCAUUUUUAGCCUAAAUUGUAUUUUGCACUAAAACUGAUUUUUCAUAUUUUGAUUUUGUGGCAAUUUG